AUUCUUUCUCUAAGCUAAAAUUGCUUUCAGUUAGUGAAUGCAAAAGGCUUGUGAACGUUGUACCUUCUAUCAUUCUAGGACAGCUCUUGAGCCUAGAAACUUUGACAGCAGAAGCAUGUAAAUCCCUUGAAGUUGUUUUUAAACUCCAGCCGCCAAAUCCUCUAGAUGGAAAUAGUGUUGCUCAUUCUCCAUUAAAAGAGCUGAAGUUAAAUGAAUUACCAAUGCUAAACUCUGUAUGGGAUAAGGAACUCUACCAUCAUAUUAAAUUCCAGUGUCUACGUUCGAUUACCCUUUGGAGAUGCGCUAGGCUCGCCUCUUUGUUUUCGGCCUCAAUAGCCAGAGAUCUAAUCCAACUUGAGGAGUUGGAGAUCAAUCAAUGCGGCAUUGUGGAACUCAUUGAGAAGGAAGGACCGGAUGAGCUGAGCAUCAAUGUGGAAGCCAUAGAAGGCCCAAGUCAUGAGCUAAAAGUAACAUCAUCAUUUCCAAGUUAUUUUCAGCAUAUGAAGACUUUAGAUGUGUCAUGUUGUCAUGGGCUAUCAAAUCUGUUCACACCGACAAUGGCUACAAACUUGGCAGAACUCACAAAAUUAAGGAUUAGUAAAUGUGAAAUAUUGACAGAAGUCAUUAUUGAUGAGGGAGGAAAGGAGAGGCAUGUAGUGGCUUUCAAUCAAUUGAAGUAUAUGGAGCUUGAUGGGUUGACUAGGUUGAGAUGUUUUAGCUCAGGUGGAUACGCUUUGAUGUUCCCUCUCUUGGAAGAUAUCAUUGUGAAUACAUGUUCCAAGAUGAAGUUCUUCCACGAGGGACGAAUAGAGGCGCCAAAGCUAAAGGGAGUAAAAGUAGUAACAAAGUGCCAGUAUUUUUGGAAGGGAAACCUCAACUCAACCAUCCAAAAUAUGUUUGAAGAAAUGGUAUGCUUCAGUUACUAAAUUCUGUGCAAUUUGAUUUUUUCUUUUCACCAAUAAAGUAAUUUUUUUUAACUAGAAUUUUACGUUUAAUGAUGCAUUUUCUAAUAGGCUACAUUUGCUGGGAUUAAGUUUAUGUGGUUGUCUAAGUUCCCGGAGCUGAUUGGAAAAUGGCACGAUGAACUUAAUCCCGUCACAUCAUCUUGGCAAUUAAAAGCACUAGUGGUGGAUAAAUGUCCAUCAUUUAUUAACGCUAUUCCAUCCAGCUUGAUGCUUGUUUUAGAGAGAAUGACAAGCUUGCAAGUGCAUGAUUGCGAGGCUCUGGAAGAAAUAUUCAAUCUUGAAGGGCUUGAAGCUGUGGGUUGCACUCAGGUGCUGCCUCAGCUACAGAAUUUGUACUUGGUCAAUCUACCAAAGUUGAGGCAACUAUGGAACAAAGAUCUCCAAGGAACGAUGUGCUUUAAUUCUCUAAGGCUUCUUAGCCUUUAUAAAUGCAACAACUUGAGACAUGCUUUUGUUCCAUCAAUGGCUCGGUGCCUUCCCAAUCUAAGGAUGAUAGAAAUAAAGGAGUGUGAUAAAAUGGAAGGAGUGAUUGCAGAUGAAGAAGGGCAAGUAAGCACAAUGGAGGAGAUUACAUUCCCAAAACUUCGGUGGAUAACUUUGGAAUGCUUGCCCAAUUUGACUAGUUUCCUCUUGUGGAAGAAUCAUAUCCUAGAAUGCCCUAUUUUAUCAACCUUGAGCAUUGCCCAUUGCCCCAAGAUGAGAAGUCUAAGUUGGCAAUCUUCAAUGGAGAUUGACAAUGGCACCCCUUCGCUUUUCACUCCACAGGUUAGUCUCUCAAAUAAAUGCAUUUUUGGCAUUUCAUUUGAACAUAUUCAUUUGUUUAUAAUUGGACAAUGCAUGGUAUGCAGACAGAAGUGCUAGAUAUAAUUGUUUGUAGUGUCAAUCAUCAAUGCUUUGCUUAAAUUUGACUGGGACUCUGUGUUUUAUACCUAAACAAAGAUGACCAAAAUAUUUGCCUUCCCACAAUAAUCUAGGAUCACAUCCAUAAAGUAUUAAUGCAAAACAAUUCAGACAUCGGUAAUCAUGUGUGGUUUUAAAAUCAUUUAAUUAUGCAGAUCUAUGUACAUAAUCAAUUAAUAUUUACUUAAAAGAUUAAAAGUUUUCUAAUCCUCAACAAAUAUAAGUAUUAAUUGUCCAUCUCCAUAUAUUUUUACUAGUGUUAUUUAUGUGAGCUCAUAAAAUCAUAUUGUGUGCAAUAACUCAAAAUUGAUUACAGAGGGAUCUUAAAAAAGUUAUGACAAUAACCAUAUGAAAACAUUUUCUUUUUGUAAUUUCAACUAUAAAGAACAAAAUAGUGAACAUAGAAUAGCAUUUUUUUUUUUUGGUCGAAAAAACAUAGAAUAUCAUUUGAAAAUGGCAGAAAAAUAUGAAGUACCACCCACUUCAUAUUUUCUUGCACAGAAGCAAACUGGUGUCGUUCCAUUAAACAUGAAGAGAAGGGAAAAGAAAACUUCAUAAUUAUAAAAGCCUAGUUCACAAAUUGCUUAACUAUUACAGCUCUUUGUACCAUAAUCAUCUUCCCAAUCAACGAAAUUGAAGGAAUUAGAGAGAAUUGCUCUUUUAAUUGGGUGCUCUAAACUUCGAUAAUGAUAAGUACAAUCAACUUUUUUAUUAUCUUUUUUAUAUCUUAAUAAUCACCAAUGCUUGACUGCGUCUUGAUGAUAAAAUAAGUAAAAAUAAAAAGGCCAAUAUGCAUGAAGUUGUUCAUCUUCUUUGUUUGUAAAUCACACUCGAAUUGAUAUACUUCAACAACCUAUCAAAUUACCUACUCGUAUUAAACAACAAAUAUUAACUCUAAAUUAUCAUAUUGAGUGAUAAUUAGUGUGAUGCUGCGCACAAUCUAUGUUUAGCAAGAGAAAAUGCAUAUUGCUUUUUCCAGAAAAGAAAUGGCUAAAAUAAGGAAAAAAUAAAAGAGAGAAUAGGAUAGUUGGACAAUAAAUAUUAGCAAUUCCGCGGGUGGUUGUCGGCAUUGCGAGUCUUAUUUCAUAACUAGAUGAUAAUAUUUAGUCAAUGUCCUAGCUAAAAUAAAAAUCUAAAAAAAAUUGGAAUAAAUUAUCCAAUCAACAACACUACUGGAGAGAAAAUAUUGGGUGCAUUAAAUACACCAUGUAGGAUCUGUAUUAAAUCAUCUACAAAUCGACAUGUGGUAGAGCCAGGCCCACCUAUCAAUUGAACGAUUGAAAUAUUUGCUCCCGCUCUCUUCAAUAACGCCCUGUUACGGGAAAGCUCUCUUUCCUCUUUUUUGGUGUGGCUUUGCUCCCUCUCUCUCUCUCUCUCUCUCUCUCUCUCUCUCUCUCUCUUUCCUUCCUCGGUGGCCUUGGCCUCCGUAUGUUGCAGUGCUGUUGCGGUGUGCUCAUUAGACAAAGGAAAAAAAAAAAGAAAAAGAAAGAAAUUAGACAAAGUCUAUUUGAUGAUUUAGCUUCUCCCCCUCUAAGAAAUGUUUGCUCUAAGUCAUUUCGUUUCACCUUGAUCAUCCUCGAAGAGGGGAAAAAAAGAAAGUGAACCAAAUCUAUAGACUCAAGUAACAAUAACUCUUCUUCCUCCCCCUCCCCCUCAUCUUCUUGCCUUCUGUUUUUUUGGGGGCGAUUGAUUGGAUGUUCUGUCCAAUGGUUGAAUCGGAAGCUUCAGAAUCGCUUCUCUGAAGCUCGCCUCCUCUCUGUGCACGUGCUUCCAUGGGUUUCGAGUGAUUACGCGAACCGGAUCUUGUUGGUUAUGGUGGGUCGAAGUGGAUCUCCGAUGCGGAAGCGAUUUCGGUGUCGAUUCGGUUAGGGCAUUGAUUCCCGGCGAAGAAAAAAUUAAAAAAAAUCUUCUAUUCAGCCUUCUCUUCCUCCUCCUUCGUCCAUAGCCGCCGGACCUUCGCCCCUCCUCUGCUAUCGCCACCGGCGGAGUCACUGGCGCCUUGAUUAGGCUGACCCCCGCUAUUUCCAAGGCAAGCAUGGCGACUUCCUCUGCUUUGUCCGUCUCAUCGUCCUACAGAUCUCGAAAUCUGGCCAUCCAUAGUGACGGAGUUGUAGAUCUGGAAGUCGACCAUCGUCGCUUGUAGCCAUGGACGAGCCGCUGUCGCUAGAGCCAUGGUUGCAGAUCUGGAAGUCUCAUCGUGAGCAACAAAGGCUUAUGGACUGCCAUUGUCCCCUCCGUCGUCACCCGCGGUCGGCUCGUGGUUGGCCCCGUCCAUGGCCGGGCCACCCCUCCAUCGUCACAGCUGUUCGUGGUCAUUGCCCGUCCAGAUCUGGACAGGAGUGGUGCCUAUAGAUCUAGUAUCGUCCAUGGACGCAAGCCUAGCUCAUCCAUGGCUCGCGAGGAGGCUCUUCCACAGAUCUGGCGACCCCUGCUUGUCCAUGGCCAUGAGCCUUGACGGCGAUUUUGAGAUCCCGACGGCCAUGGACUGCGAGGUCAAACAGCGAAAGAAAAAACAAAGGAAUAAAUGUCGGGGAAGAGUGGCCAUGGAUGAGACGGCCGGAGCUUGAACGCGGCCAUGGACGAGACGGCUUCAUGAACGGGUAAACCACAAAGACGACGGAGAGGGUUGGAUGCCCAGCUAUGGUCGCCUUGGACGUGGCACCGGCAACUCUGCUGGUGGCGAUGGCAGAGGGAGGCGGGAAGGUUGGGCUCAAUGUGGCUGGAGAUGGAGGAGAAAGCGUAGAUAAAGGAAAGUGAGGUGGAUUGAGAUUUUUUAUAUUUAUACAUCUGAAAAAAAAAAAAAAAAAAAAGCCCAAUGUUUAGUCAAUGUCAUAGCUACAUAAAAAAUUAAAAAUAAUAGGAAAUAAUCAUCCAGUCAACACUUCCAUUACGUCUCAUGAGAUUCUCCUCACGUAAAGACUCAAUGCAGUAAAUGACGACCUCCUCGGGCGAUUCUUUUUUUGGGUCGAAACUGGGGCACUUGAAAAUGCGCGAUAUCAUUUUUUAUUACAAAUUCUAUACAACUUAUGUUUUUUCCUUUUUUUUUUCCUUUUUCUAAUACUUUUACGCAAUUCUUAUGAUUGUUUUAUGCAAGUAGAAUGUUCAAUUAUAACAAGUAUCUACACAUUUGUUUACUUUUUAAUUGUAAGAGUUAUCGCUAAUUAUUUAUCUAUAAUGUCGUUUGCAUGUAUAAGUUGUUAUAUAAUGCCUAGCCUGCAUUCUAAGAAUAUUUCAAAAAGUCAUUAUAACACUCAACAACAAUACUAAUAAAUUUAGGGAAGUAUGAAAAUAGUCAUAUGAUCUUUUGAUAAUGACAAGUUGUGAUAACGUUAAUUUCAUUUUAGUGUCAAAUAUGAGCUGUCAUAUAAUAAUUGAUUUCUCCCACAUUAUUAGAUAAUUUCAAAAACUCAUUAAAAUCCUCAAUUAAGAAUAUUGAUAGAUUUAAGGAAGUGUGGAAAGUUAUUCUUUUUUUUUUUCUUGUGACAACUUGUAUAAAAGCAUCGAUCAACCCCUCCCUAUUUAUGUCACUAACAAGAUCUCGACUUCUCAUGAUUUGUGAGAACAAGGGAAGUCCGGAAAUUCCUUCUUUAGGGUCAUAAUUCAAUGUAAUCACAUCCAUUGUGUUAUUUUUUUUCUCAAUAUGGCAGGUACAAUUUCCUCAACUUAUGCAAACGCAUCUCUCCCACAUGGAUAAUUUAAGCAAAAUAUGGAUUGAUGGUCCUCAAGAAACUUUGACUUUUGAUCAUUUAAGGAAAGUGGAGGUUCAGAACUGUAAGAGCCUUGAAAAUUUGUUUCCGUAUUGGGUGGCUAAAAGUUUAACCCAACUUAGAGAACUUCUAGUGGAGUCGUGUGAGAUCAAGGAAAUAGUCACUAGUGGGGAUGACACUCCACACUCCAAUACUACUCAAGAUCUUUUCCCAAAACUAACAUCUUUGGUGUUACAUGACAUGCCACGAGUCAAGAGCUUCUGUCCUAACUUGCCCACUUUGAAUUGGCCAUUAUUGGAGGAAUUACGAGUGACUCACUGUGACAAACUGAACAUGUUAUCCUUUGUGGCAUCCAUGAAUGGUUGGGCUCAAAGCAAUGAUCAACAAGAUCUUCCAUAUCAAGAAGCACACUCUUCAUUUGAGAGGGUAUGAUUAUAGCUGCUCUCCCUUAGUUUCUACUUUGUUCUUUAAAGUAGUCACUAAUAUCAUAUCCAUUGCAUAUCAUGUCAUGCUAUAUUGUUAUAGAGAAGAUGAUCUCCCUUACCUAUUAGUUUGUCGACAACAUUAAGACAUUCCUAAUAUCUUACGUAUACUUUCAUUUGUGGAUAUGCAUAAGAUAUUCCAUUACCUAGAGUUACAAAAAUAUUUACAGCAUCCUAUUGACAAUAGAAUAUAUUCCUAAUCUAACCUAAUGGUGCUCCUUGGCGACAUCAAUAAGACUUUGACAAGAGGUCCUCUCAAUUAUUGACAUGUAUCACGCAUUUGAACUUUUCUUCUAUAUUUCAUCUUCUACAAACUCUAAAAAAAAUCAAUUCGAACUUUUUUUUUAAAACAAAAAUAACAUUAGUACCUUAGUGCACUAUUUUGUACUGUAUUUUUUAAUACACUGGUGCACUGCAGUUGUCGUGUUGUCUUGUUAUAAUACUAUAGAAAACUAGAACCCCUUUCCUAUAAGUUUGUGGACAACGUAAGGUAUUUUUGAUAUCUUAAGCACACUUCUAAAUUUGUGGACCCCAUAUGUUUUAGUAACAUCAUGAGUGCAUCCCGCUACAUAACAUUCCAAAGAUGAUAAAUUUUUGUUGACAAGAUAAGAAAUUCCUAACGAAAGAUGAAUUUAGUGAGUGCAGGGAUCUUGAAUUUAGAUUCAAUCUAUGCACUUGACCAUACCAACCUCUACAUGAGACUUUUAAAGGCUUGAGUCUUGGAAAAGAGGUUCUUGAGAUAUAAUGAACUUUAGGAAGAUGGCCACCUUCCAUGCAAAUCAUCUAAAUAGGUUUACUUUUAACAACACAUGAUUUAUUGCCGAAACUUAGUAGAAUUUACUUCUCUUAUUGUAUUGGUUAUUUGACAGGACUUUCCCAACUUUAAGAGACUUUUAUUAGUCAAUAACAAUAUUCAGAUGAUACAAGAUGGAAAUUUUCCCGAUGACAUCUUUAGCAAACCAAAAGCACUAAUAUUGGCAUGCUUUCAUGAUGAAAAGGCCGUCUUUCCUUCUAUAUUCUUCUUAGAGAGAUUUCAGAAUCUACAAAGCCUUGAGGUAUUCUGUAGCUCCUUUGGAGAUAUAUUCCCGGAUGAAGGGCUUGUUGAAGGGGGGAAACAUCCGAUGCUUGAAAAUUUAAGAGAAAUUAAGUUAAACAAGCUACACAACCUGAAGCGUGUGUGGAGAGAAGACUCUUUAGUGUCGAAAAUUCUUCAAAGCAUCAAAACAUUUGAGAUUUGGGAUUGUCCAUGUUUGACGACAAUAUUUCCAACUAUGGCGUCCUUCCAGAAUUUGAUGGAGUUAGUAGUGAAGAAUUCCUCUGGAUUGGUAUAUCUAGUAACAGUUUCAAUGGUCACAAAUUUGAUGCAUCUCAAUACCAUGACUAUAAUAGGAUGUGAAAGAAUGAAAGAAAUAGUGGCCAAUGAUGAAAAAGGAGAAGGAAAAGUGAUUUAUUUUAAAUAUCUACAAAAGUUGACACUCCAAGAUCUACCAAGCCUAGAAUGCUUCUCCUCCAUCUCGAGUUGCACCUUCAGGUUCCCAUGGUUAUUGACUAUUAAAGUGGAAGAGUGUCCAAAAAUGAAGACCUUUUCUAAGGGUAUGCUAAACACACCACAACUUCAGCAGAAUGAUUCGAUGAGCCUCUUCAGAUACAAGUGGGAAAGAGGGAACUGGGAGGAGGGUGAUGAUCUCAAUACAACCAUACAAAAGUUAGCAGCAUAAACAAAUGCACAUAGAAUUGGUAAAGAUUCAAUCGAUGUCAUUCUCUCAUCCAUUCGUUUUUCUUUUUUCUUAUUUUUUUGGUAACACGAUAAGUUUUUAAAUUUUUCUUUUUGUAUCUUUUCUAUUAUUGAUACCGUCGGAUCAAAGCAUCAUCAACCCUUAUCUAUCGAUCGAUCGAUCAAUCUCGCCUCCUUCACCGAACAGCAGGAAACGAAGCAAGGCUCUCCUUCUCCUUCUUGAUGCCAGAGGCUCUCCCUGCUGCAUUCACGGAGGACGGAGCGAAAAGGAAGCGACGGGAAUUGCCAGGACUGAGAGAAGAUGGCAUUGCCAAGUCUGGACAGUCAGUCCUCCACUCACUUCAUCAAAGAAGAAGAACAUUCUCUCUCCGCAUCUGUAUCCGACGAAUCGUAAGUUCACUCUUCUGCACACAUCAUUCCUCUCGUCUGCCAGAAUUUCUUCCCGAUUUUCGUGUCUUGUUGCUCGUAAUUUUCUUCCGGUUUUCGUAGAGACCUUUCUUUAAUCGUCGUCGUCUUCUUCAGCUAGGGCUCUGCUUUUUAAAUUCGUUCCGUGUAAAUUUCUCAGUCCACUACUUCAGAUCAUGGACCAAUAGAGGUCCUCCACUGACAUCAUCAAAGAAGAAUAUCUCUCUCUCGCACUUGAACCCGGCAAACUCGUAAGUUCACUUUUCUUCCAACUUUGGUGUCUUAUUGCGCGUGAAUUAGGUUGAAGUCGGAGGCUAGUUUCGUAGAGACCUUCCUCAAUCCUCGGCUUCUUCUUCAGCAAAGGGCUCUGUUCUUCAAAAUUCAUUCCACAUUAGAGUCUAAAAGCAUAAGUUCCUCAAACUAGCAAUUUUAUCUUAACAAUGGAGUAAUUGAAAUAGGGAAAAGAAUGAAAGGACUUUUAUUGGGACAUAAGCUGGUGGUUGGAGGUUCGAAAAGAUAACAAUCGUCUCCUUUUUUUUGUGGAUAGAUGUGUUGGAAAAGCAAUUCCUAAGGUGUCUUAGAAUUAGAAUCCAAGUCCUCUUAUAUGGAGAAAUUUGACAAUGUAAUUCAAUGUCGGAGAAGUAGAAUAUAUAUGUUAAUCGCACAAAGAGACUAUGUUCAUAUGGACUAGCAAAUUGCAAAGAAUGUUGCUGCCUCCAUAACUAAAGAGAAAGACCUAAUCGAUAAAAGGCUGGCUUGUUGUGAUUAUGAAAUUUCAUUACAGAUCUAAUGAUUGAUAAUUUUUGUUUUCAAAUAGGAGAUGCUAUUGUAUUUUGUUAUAUUAAUCAGAUUUGGGGAAAAAAAAGAUUUUACUUUGUCAAAUUGAACCAAUAGUUUGAUAAAACCUUAUUUGAGCUGUGCUUGAAAGAAUCAAAUAGCUUAAGUUUAAAUUUUCAAUUCUAUUCAUGUUCCAGUUAUCAGUGUAUUUGCUUUUUUCCCUGUGAUUGUGAUUUGUAUGGCUGAAAUUGAUUUGUUUUAAAUAUAUAUAGAGGACCUGGAAGGCUUCUUCUGAAUGUGUACCCUAUUGCAUUCUUGGAGCAUAGAUUUGACCUUGACUUUGGAUUAAUGGCUUUCGUUAUAUGGUUUACUGUCUAUUAAACUCCUGAAACUAGCAAGUAAUGCCUUAAACUCACAUUGUGUAUGAUUUGAUUCUCUCAUUAGGGUAUGCUUAUGUUUUGGUCUGUUCUUCACCAUAUGUUGGUUUUUUGACCAUGUAGACGGGCAGUCUGCUCCUGUUCAAUUCAUCACGCAACAUAUUCAGGAAAUUAAGCAAAUUGCUACUCUCAGGUAUUCGGACAAGUCAUGGAUGGUGAAGCCAAGGAGUUGGAGAUGAGAUUUUUUUUUUUUUUUUUUGUGGGGGGGGGGGGGGGGGGGGGGGGCGUUCUUUUCCACUGGAUGACCCGCAUUUGCAAUAGAAAGUCAUUUGCAAGUAGAAACUCAUUGAUAGGGAUGAUUUUUUGUUCAGAGUCUACAUAUUCACUAGUGCUGAUUAGGAUUUGAUUUACAUUGAUUGAGAUGAACUCAGGAAUUGUCACUUUUGCUGGUCCAAAAUGAAUUCGGUAUUCCAAAUAAAUAACUCCUUUAUGUAGUCUUGAGGAAUCAAGGAAGUGUACUUCUAUGCCAACUGGGUUUUAUGAGGUUGAUCGUAAUCUAGAUGCACACUCAUUAAUGCCACAUUCCAAAUCUGAAUGAACUAAAAACAAGAUGUCCUUUUUGGUUUAUGCAUUCUUGUUAUGUUGCUCUUCGUUUUGAAUCUAAAAUCUGGUCUCAUAGGCUUAUUAAGAUCAUGGGUUUUAUUUUUCCUACAGGGACUACCAAAAAGGUUCAAGAGGAUGCUUUUGAGAGAAUGGUGCAAUUAUUUGGCUUGUGGAAUUGGAAAAAUGUGAUAAGAUGGCUUGGCUAGCAAAGGGUUGGAAUGAAUAUGCAGAGCAUUACUCUAUUUGUGAGGGCCAAUUUUUGGUCUUCUAAUCUGAAGGGGACUCCAUUUUCCAUGUCAUCAUAAUCGAUGAAAGGAUGUUUGAGAUAGAAUAUCUGCCAAUCAAUGUUGAUGUGAGGAACCGAGCCUCAGCAAUUGUGGAUUUGUCUUGCUGAAAGCGGAAGAUACCUUUGAUUUAUGAUGUUUCAGCCAAGCUUGAAGUCCAGGGGGAUGGAUUGCAUUCAACCAAGUGCCCGCAGUCUUGUAUGGAAAUGGAAUCUGAUCAGGUUUGCAAAGUUCUUGGCAGUUCCUAUGCACAUUCAUCAGCAGAGUUUGGGGAGGAACAGAAGUUCAAACUGCUCAUCACAAGAUUUUCCAGGUGUGAAUCUUAAUAUAUUAGCUAAUUCUCCCCUUGAUUGUAUAGUUCUCGUGUUUGAUUCAAAUACCAUAGAGGAACUAUCCAUGUCGUUAAGCUAAGAGAAACUGCAUUAUAGAGUUGAUGCUAAGAGAAAGUGUUACCAGAUAAUUCAUUCUAUUAGUGUUUCUUUGUCUCUAGAUCUCCCGUGUGUGCAUAUGUAUGUGUUGGGAAUGUGCCAGCGAUUGCCGUGAUGUUUUGGUUGAGCUUGAAGUCUUGGGGGAUUAAUUGCAUCCAGCCAAGUAUCCUUAGCUUUGUAUGGCAAUGGAAUUUGAUUAGGUUUGCAAAGUUCGUGGCAGCUCCCAUGCACAUUCGUUAGCAAAAAGUUUGGGGAGGGACAAAAUUUCAAACUGCUCAUCACGAGGUUUUUCGGGUGUGAAUCUUAAUAUAUUAGCAAAUUCUCCUCUUGACUGUGUUUUUCUUGUGUUUGAUUUGAAUUCCAUCAGGAACUCUCCACAUCGUUAGGCUAAGAGAAACUGUGUUAGAGCUAAUUCACUCUUGUAGUGUUUCUCUGUCUAUAGUUCUCCCGUGUGUGAAUAUGCUUGUGUUAGGGGAUCUCAUAAAUAAUGGAAACAAGCUGAGCCAAUCAUAUCAGAUUUGAUUGCGCUGAGAAUCGUAUUGGUGUGCAUAUAGGCCUUGGGAAGCUAGACCAUUAGUCAGACUCAGAUCAAUUGAUUUAGGGUUGCUAUGUCGGCAGAUAUGAGUUUUACAUAACAAGAAUAGAAUACGACUAAAAAGCAAAUGCUUUCUUCAUGUUCUGUUUGCGACUGCUGCAGGUAAGCUGAGGGGCUUGUGCAGAGCUCUUGAACUGGCCAGCAAAUUUAUACUCGAUUAUUCUUUCUCCGAAAUUGCGGUGAGGUUAAUACAUUUGAAGAAAAACAAUGUGGUGAGAUCCUCGUGAUACUGACAACUCUGGGAUUUAAAUCACCUGAGGCAUCCUCAUACUGUCUUCCUCAGAUAUCAUUGGUUGUUCUCUUCUUUUUGAUGACAAAAUUGCAAAAUGUCUACUUGAGCAGAAAGUUCCUGCUUCAUUCACAAAGACACAUGUUAAGAAAAGCCCGUAGACCAUGGCUCUCAUUUUUCAAGACAAAUACUGGCCGUUGAAGCUCAUCAGCCAUGAACAUUCUGGAAAGUCAUCUGCCCUUUGGGCCACAUCACGAGAGAAACUUUUCUGAAGGUGGAAGACGUGUGUGUGUUCGAGCUUUAUUGAAAGGGACGAUACCAUGUUCAGAGUAUCUAUCUUCAGAACCACUGAUAAGAUUUGGGUGUAUAAUAAUACUGUGCAAUACAAUACAGCAGAGGACGCAUCGCGUUAGCUCACUUUAGGUGAGAACAGAACUUACAAAAUUGCUAAGCUGAAUUCUGCUUCCGGUUCGGCAAUGUGGAUAAAAGCAUUAGUUUUGUUCCAAUGGAUGGAAUGGUUCUGAAUGUGUACGAUACCUUUCCUUGAUCCUAGACAGCAAUCACAAUGUGAGCAAGAGUCGUGAGUCGUGAGUCAUGAGUCGGAGGAAGCUGAUUACAGAUGUCGAUUCUGUAGUUUCUAAUUCAGGAGACAAUCUCUCUCUCAAAUUGGGUGCUUCUUUAAGGUUUCCGGUGGCUCAACCUGACCUUUAGAACUGUAAAGCACAGUUAUGUCGAUUACGCUUCCCUUAAGCCAUAUAUCAACCAUGAUUUUGCAAGCUCCGGUGAACUUACAUCAGAUUCUUUGCAUUCUCUUUCCGAUUUCUUGAAGAUUUUGUGAUCAGUCUUUUUGCAUGUGGUUGCAAAUUGAAGUUUGUCAGUUUCUUCUCAUGUGAAAAGCAAUAGAAAUUUAUUUAUGUUUUUUCAUGUUUACUGAAUGUUGAUAUGCAUGAUGAAGUAAAUAUGCUGCAUCUUUGCGUCGCUGCAGUACGACUCUUCGGAGCCUCCGACAGUGGCUUUGCACCUUUAGAAUCAGUGACAUCCCGGUGCUCUCGAAUUUGAACUUGCUCUCGUCAACAAAUAAUGCUCGGCGAUACUCUUUCUCUCUCUCUCUCUCUCUCUCUCUCUCUCUCUUCCUUGCGAGAACUCGAUACCUCCUCUGUAAGUGCAACCUCCGGCAAUGGAAAUUUGGGAGAUGGCUAGAGGAUGGGAGAAAACAAAAGUGGAACAGAAAUCAACGGACAAAAUUGAGAAUAAAUCAAAGACAAUUCUAGAGUUAAAUCAGAGACAGAACGUCCUGGUAAUUGUGACUGUUGAUUAAGGAAACUCUGUGGUCGAGUUCUGCCGUUGUGGCGGCGAGUGGCAUCUUCGAACCGGUAGCGACGCUUUUUGUGCUUCGGUCGGUGCUGGAAGCAACAAUCGUCAAAGAGCUCGAUCUCGAUAAAUCGCUGGUAGAGCUCCAAUCGCGGUUGCAAUAAAUCAUCAGCUAGAGAUCAAUCCCCCUUCAUUCAAUUGUUCCUCCAAGCUGCAAUCGAAGGCUUCUCCGACUCUCUCCACCAAUUCAGAUCACCCUGCAGUGAACGACACUAUCAGAUUCCGCAUUCAAGGUGCGGCCACACUAAUUCCUCUCUGAUUUGAGUUGUCACUUUCCUGUCCUUACAUAUGUCUGGACCACAUUCACCUGUCGCCCGGCCAUCUCGAGCUCAUGUCGCCAUCACCACUGACCCAUUGUUACGCCAGUUUCAUGUGCAAUCGAACUGCCGAGUCAAAUUUCGAUUCACUCCAGAAUACGUUCUGUCAACUCUUGCCAAGGCUGAGGUCGGAUGGAUCAUCAUAUGGAUACCAUUCGCGGAUACGAAGGAUGAGAUUCUUUGGUUUCGCUCUUGGCACUCUUGCCAGUCCGACGUCACUUCAUCAACCGUGGUAGCCAUGGCCAAUCUGAGUCAUCAUCCUUCGAGACGAUACACCGAGCGUGAAGAUUGGCAGCGGCGAGCAAACAAUCUAGAAUAAAAAGGUGCAAUGCAAAGGGGUGGAUGGAGGUGAUUCAGAUUUUGCGUGGGAAUUUUGGGCAAAACAGGGCAAACAAGGUGAAGCUGGUGGUGGCUCUUUGGAUGAGAAGGAAGUAGAGUGUAGAAAAAAAAAAGAUAAAAAAGGAAAAAUAAAGUAAUAAUAAAUAAAUAAAUAAAUAAAUAAAAGAGACACGAAAGGAAAAUAUAGAGAGCACACGAGAAAUCGGUCAAAUGGAAUACUUGCACAAGAGAUGUAAUUCGUCACACCAUCGAACACCUUCCUUGCAAACUCGAUCCCUCCUCCACAGUGCAAUCGAUGGCAAUGGGAAUUCGGAAGAUGGUGAGAGAAUUGGAGAAAAUCAAAAUGAAAUAGAUAUCAACGGACAAAGUUAGAAUGUAUCGAAAUUAAUCCUAGAGUCGAAUCGGAGAUGAAAUGACCUGGUGGGAAGUGCGACUGUCGAUCUGAUAGAUAUCAUAAUUACCCGAAUGUCAGUGAGGAACCGGCUGUCCGCGGAUAUUUCUUAUGGCGCGAUCUUCUUUCCUCCGCUUUUUGUUACAGAGUCGUCUCACCCUCUGUUUCUCUCUUGCGCAAUUCAACGAACACCUUCUGCUCAGAGGACGCAGCACAUUCACAACGACCAGGAAACUACGGGGGUCAAGUUCUUCGCCAUGCAACGUUUUCUCUGUCUAUCUUUAUUUUUUCACCAGGUCUUCCUCUAUCAGGAUUGUUUCCUAUCCGAUUAAACUUCUGAGUCCAAUUUCGAUUCAUUCCAGUAUAAAUUCUGUCGAUUCUUGCUUCCUUCUUUUCCCUUCCACUUCAUUGCCGCCUUUUGGAUUCCAAAUGCGGUCGCUUGCGUCCUUCGUUUCGCCCUCCUACGCCGCGCAUGAAGGGGAUGUCGGGCUGGUGUAUAGGAUCCGCCAAUUCGAGGGAUGAAAUCUUCGAGUUCACUCUCGGCCCUCCCGCCGGUUUGAGAAGCCCGUCAAAAGGAAGACUUGCAUAAAAGAUGGAAUUCCUUGAGAGGAAGAUUCAUCUCAUAACUCAGCCAUCAUUCUCCUUUUCUUUUCCUUUAAAUAGGUAUAAAAAACUCCAAACGACGCCAUUGCAGCGUUUCUUGGCUUCAGGUACCUUUUUUGUUAGGAAAUCAAGUGGAUGUGCAAAUAAAAUAAUCACUUUAUUUUAUAUAAGCAAUAUUGCAAACUCUUUACUCACACCACUCUCAUACACCUCUCACACCUCACACAAACACAAUUCUUGCACACACCCACUCACUCUUUCUCACUCUACACUUCACGCCACCUACUCCCACCCACUCACACACUCACGUACACACCCCACACUUUACGUACACACUCCUCACACUUUUCACACCAAGAGACAACAGCCCCUAUUUAUAGGAGCCAAAGUCGGUGGAGUCCACGGACAAAAUGGCCGAGAAAAAUCUGGAGAGAGAGGGAGAGAAAAUUCUGGAGAGAGGGAGAGAAAAGUCUAGAGUAGAGAGAGAGAGAGUAAUCUGGAAAAAUCCAGAGAGAGAGAGGCGGUGCCUUUUUCUUCUGACACUCCCCCUCACCGACUACUCUCUCUUAGCAUGGACAUUGUGUCAAGUUGCUUUUCGGCAUAUGCUUUUGUCUUCUUCCAUUCAGCACAUUGUGAAGCUUCCUCGUACGUGGAUGGCUUUAUGACUCCAUCUUCAGUUGUUUCUCUUGCGAUUUUCCAUUGAGUUUUGUGAUCCUUGAAUUUUUGCAAUGCCAAUUCAUUUUGCCCUUUAGUCUCAUUUUCCUUCUCACUCAAUUCAGUCUUCGUAUUUAGCAUAUCUCCUCUAAGAAUUUGGAGAUUAGAACUCAUUCGAUCAAGCCUCUCACUUGUGACUUUCAUUUCGUGCUUCAACCGAUUCAAUCCCAUCCGAAGCACUUCAAUGUAGACCUCUUGAUCAUUUUCCUCAUAAAAUUUCUUCCCCUAGAUCUUAUUCCACCGAUCCUUACACCAUGGGAUGUAGGGUGUAGAUGGCCUCCUUUUCUCAAAGAAAACUUUAUUUUUCUCCUUCAUUUGCUCAUUGUCUCUUCCGAUAUGAUUAAUUCGGAAUAUCAUAGUGGGCUUGAGGUCCUGAAGCUUCUGCGGCUUCUUGAACUCAUAUCGGAACUUCUCUAGCCCCUUUCUUUUGCCUCGAGCUCUCGAUCCUUCUGCCUUAUCAUCUCAUCCCUUUUCUUCAACAUAUUCUCCAUAUUUGCCUUCUCAACUUUCAACUUCUUUAUCAUCUCUUGCAUCUCAUGCAAUUUCUUUUCACGACUGCUUGUUGGCAUUUGCUUCUUCGAGUUCUCCCUUGGCUUGCUCUUAUUCGGGGUCGUGAUGGAACCUGUUGAAUCAUCCAACUCAAUUAUACAAGCAGUUGCAAGCUCUUCUCGUUCCUUCACUGCAAUAGGUACUUGAAAGUCCCAUUCUUCUUCGCUUUCAAUCUCCUUCUUGUAGGAAGUGACGACAUUUCCUUCUUCUCGCCUAUACCAACAGAAUCUGGCAAUAUGUCCUACCUUGCCACAAACGUAGCACCGUUUGCUACGCCUUUUGUUGUUCUUAUCUUUGUCGUUGUCGUCGUCACGAUCUUGACUAGCUCCCCUUGGCUGAUAACCCUUCUUUUUGGGUUGCCUCCACCAAUCUCCAUGAUCUUUCCAUGGUUUACCAUCUCUUGCACCUGCUCUAUUUCUAUUCUGGCCCUUGAACCCUCUUUUAUAACUGAAGAGGGCACUUUCAUCCUCCUUAAUUGAGACCUUAGGGAUUUGUUUAUCUAAGGCCUCUUGAUUGGCCAAUAUAUUUUCCAACUCAGUUAGAGUUGGCUCAUUUGCCCAUCCACGAGUGGCCGUAACAAUAUCGUUAUACUCCGGCCUUAACCCAUGAAUUAUUAUUCUUCUCAUUCUUGUCUCAGAGAUGGCAUUUUGAGGAUCUAAUUUUGAAAUUUCUUCACAAAUAGAUUUAACUUUAGAAAAGUAUUGACUUACCGUCAUACUUUGUUGCGAGAUUGAGAGGAGCUCAUUCUCUAGGCAUUGUAACUUGGCAUCGUUUGUCCUCGCAAACAGCGUCGCCAAGUUAUCCCAGGCCUCGUUCGGGGUCUUCGCACUCUUUAUGUGUGGUAAUAAUUCAUCAUCAACAGUCACGGCAAGAACAUAAAGAGCCUUACCUGACUUGACGUUCCACUUUCUUAAAUCACUAUCAUUUGUGGGUGGUGUGAUGUUGUUGCCGCCAACAAUAUCCCAUAAAUCUUGUCCAAGCAAAUAAUAUCGCAUGCGGAUACUCCAAUUAUUAUAAUUAAAAUCAUUGAGCUUUUCCAUCCCGUUCACCGGACUCGAGAAAUCCACCAUGAUGACUUGAGUAUAAUGCCCCGCACUAUACCAAGUAAGCCUGGUCCCGGACCAACCGACUUCACAAUUCCAGAUUGUGCACUGGUAGAACUCUGACGUCCUUCGCUUCUUUGCUCCUUGGCUCGACGAUCCCUGAUCUCCUUGCUCACUUACAAUGGUCCUCGACCACUGUCUUCGCACGGCCUCCGACGACCUGCUCUGAUACCACUACCUGCUCUGAUACCACUUGUUAGGAAAUCAAGUGGAUGUGCAAAUAAAAUAAUCACUUUAUUUUAUAUAAGCAAUAUUACAAACUCUUUAUUCACACCACUAAACACCUCUCACACCUCACACAAACACAAUUCUUGCACACACCCACUCACUCUUUCUCACUCUACACUUCACGCCACCUACUCCCACCCACUCACACACUGACAUACACACCACACACUUUACGUACACACUCCUCACACUUUUCACACCAAGAGACAACAGCCCCUAUUUAUAGGAGCCAAAGUCGGUGGAGUCCACGGACAAAAUGGCCGAGAAAAAUCUGGAGAGAGAGGGAGAGAAAAAUCUGGAGAGAGGGAGAGAAAAGUCUAGAGCAAUAGAGAGAGAGAGUAAUCUGGAAAAAUCCAGAGAGAGAGAGAGGCGGUGCCUUUUUCUUCUGACAUUUUUCGGAUCUCUCCCUCCAUCUUGACACGCUCCCCCGCUCAGUGAGUUCCGAGUCGCUCCACCAUCACCCUCGCUAUCUACUGCUGCUUUGAAACCGAGCUGCACUCGCCUCAUGAUUGAUUCUGUCGCUCACCGUCUUUAGAAACUUCGGUGAUCUUCUCUCUUUCUCUCUUCUUUUCCUUCUUCCGGUUCGAAUCGCGUUUUCGUUUUGUGCAUUCUUAUAUAUUUUGACAGAGCGAUGUUUAAUGCUCUUGUCGUUUUGCUCAUCAAAGGGUUCAUGUCCGGAAUUUUUUUCUUUUUUCCUUGUUUCCAAUCGUGAAUCCUAGACCACUUGGAAACGAGCGAAGAUUGAACUGAAAACGUCGUGAGCAAUCACCACAGCGAACGAGAGUUGUGCAGAGUUAAGCUCGGUCGAACAGUGGUUCGGUUUUCCUCUAUUUUUUGGCACCCUAUAGUCGCUUCUGGAUUCAGUUGUGGUGCGGGGGUGACUCGCUAGCCAUUCCUGAUCGGUCCUUCGAUUAACACUUUUCUCUGUGUAGAUUUCUGAGCGGCUUGGGACUUGGAGAUGGGAGUGGCGCCGAUGAGUUAUGACAUGGAAGGGGGGAUGCUGGAGAUCGGCAUGGGUAAGCUUUUGGCCCUCUCCGCUUUCUGAAUUUUUUUUUUUUUUUUAGCUACGGGCGAUAGAAAUCUGUUGGGAUGCUUGAAUCUCGUAAUUAAGCUUUGUCUGUACUGUGGGGAGUAGCUUUGUGUUAUUGUUUGUGGCUUAUUAUGUCUUUCGCCAUCUAAAUUUCACUGUGCUUGGAAUCAGAACUUUAAUCAUGGGGUAUUAUUGUUUUCGAGGCUUUCCAUGUAGCUUUAGCGUUUCUGAAAAGUUUGCGCUGCCCCUCUUAUGACAACGGUUAAUACACUUACUACUUAGAUCUACACAAUCUCUAUCAUUUUACAUGUUUUGGUUAAGAGGUGAUGAAUCAUUUAGCUCUUGUCCGAGUCAAAUUUUUAGCAUGCCUUAGCCGCUGGGUCUUAGUUAUCAGUUGUUCAGACAAUUGCUUUGCUACUUGCAGAGCAUAGGAUUGUUUAUGGUGUUAUUGGGCCGUUGGUUAUACUCGACAAAGUCAAGGUAAAUUUCACUGGUUAUAAUUUUACGAGUUUCAGUGAACUCCUAUAUUGACAUGUUGGAUUACUUUUAUUGUAUAUUAGGGACCAAAGUAUCAAGAGAUUGUAAAUAUCCGCUCGGGAGAUGGAACAACUUGACGUGGGCAUGUCCUUAAAGUUGAUGGAGAGAAAGCUGCUGUGUAGGUUCAGUAUAAGCUGCCAGCCUCUUCUUUUUUGCUUUAGCUCUCUUGAAACUGCAUUUUUGUUGGUUGGACUACAUUAGUUGGGUCACUUUGGUGUGCAGUACUUUUUAGCUAAUGACCUAGUGAAAUCUCUGCCGUUAAUUACAAGCAUCAGAAAAAGCAGAACAUGUAGAAUAUUUUCUUGGGUAUAUGUGAUGAAAUGUGAGAACAUCAUAUGGGAUAAUAAUUUAAAAAAUUGUGAUUGAGUUUUUUGAGGAGACCAAUGUUAAGAGUCUAAUUAGCAUUCCAUGUGGGCAUACCCUCUCUCUCUCUCUCUCCCUCUCUCCGCAUCUAUAUCUGACGAAUCAUAAGUUCACGCUUCAGCACACAUUAUUUUAACCGUGUGCCAGAAUUUCAUCCAAUUUUUGUGUCUUGUUGCGCAUAAUUUUCUUCUGAAUUUCAUUAAACCUUCCUCAAUCGUCAUCGUCUUCUUCAGCUAGGGCUCUACUUUCAAAAUUCGUUCCACAGUCAAUUUUUAUGCAUGUAAAUUUCUCAGUCCACCGCUUCAGCUCAUGAACCAAUAAAGGUCCUCAACCUAGCAAUUCAUUUUCCCUAAUUCUACAUCUCGUGAGUAUAUAUGUAUGGUCGUCUCUCUUUAUCACACUGGCUGCUUUGAAAAUGUGGAUGGGCGGAGUUCUUCUCUUCCAGUUGGCAAGAAUUUGUGAUAAAAACACGUCUGCGUUGGAGUAGGAGAUUUCUUACGUGUUUGAGCUCAUGGAUGGUGAUGAUAUGGUGGAACUUGAAAAUAUUCAGAGAAUCUUAUGCCUUGUCAAAAUAUGAGUCACUUUUAUGCCUUGUUCUCCAUAAACUCCGGAGUGCUCAUCAUCACGAGAAUUUGGAGGGGUGGCUCGCGUAACUCUCUUUCCAUCGUUCUCUUCGAAUUCUAUAAUAGUUUCUAAGAAGCUCUUGUUUUGAUCUUGAUUGAUUAUGAAAUGAUGUGGGGAUACUAUUAACUUCUGACCUAUGCUAAAUUUUUUGAUGGCAAGUCAAAUUAAUGAAGUGUACAUAAACUGUCACUGAAGUUGUCGCUUUUCAGUUACAGGGAGGACCAAACAGUUAGCAGAUUAAGCCAUCCUGAGCUGGUUUUCUUAGGUCCAAUGCACCCAAGGGCUCUCACUACUCUUGAAUCGACCGGCAAAUAUUCUGACGGAGCAUUCUUUUUCAAGGUGGUGAUGAGGCCAUCUCAUGUUAAGUAUGGCUUGGUAUGAUCCCAAGCUUAUUUACUCAAACUGGCAUGUCUGGAAAUCAAAUACAUUGAUGCUGUUUAUAUCUUUGCUUAUACUCUAGUGUAUUUCGAAGUUUACUGCAUUGUGUAGUAAACCACAUCAUAUGUUAUUUUCCUUAAAGUGUUCAUGGAUAUAUGCUUAAAACCAGGUAUAUAUCUUAACAAUGGAACAUAAGCUGGUGGUUGGUGGUUCGAAAAGAUAACAAUCAUCUCCUUUUUUAUGGUGGAUAGAUGCGUUGGAAAAGCAAUUGCUGAGGCAAGUCUUGAGAAUUAGAAUCCAAGUCCUCUUGUAUGGAGAAAUUCGACAAUGUUAUUCAAUGUUGUAGAGGUAGAAUAUAUAUGCAAAUCGCACUAGGAGACUGUUAAAAUUGACAAGCAAAUUGCAAAAUAUGUUGCUGCCUCCAUAACUAAAGAGAAAGACCUAAAAGAUAAGGGGGUGACUUGUUAUGGUUUUGAAAUUUCAUUCUAGAUCUAAUGACUGAUAAUUUUGUUGUCAAAUUGGAGAUACUGUUGUCUUUUGUUAUAUUAAUCAAAUUUGGGGGGAAAAAAGAUGAUUUUACUUUGUCAAAUUGAACCAAUAGAUUGAUAAAACCUUUUUUGAGCUGUGCUUGAAAGAAUCAAACAGCUUAAAAAUUUUCAAUUCCAUCCAUGUUCCAGUCAUCAGUGUGAUUGCUUUUUCCCGUGAUUGUGGUCUGUGUGGCUGAAAUUCAUAUGUUUUAAAUAUUUAAUAGGACCUGGAAAGCUUCUUCCAAAUGUGUACCCUAUUGCAUUCCGGGAGCAUAGAUUUGACCUUGACUUUGGAUUGAUGACUUUUUCGUUAUAUGGUUUACUGUCUGUUAAACUCCUGAAACUAGCAAGUUAUGCUUAAAACUCACACUGUGUACAAUUUGAUUCUCUCAUUAGGGUUUGCUUAUGUUUUGGUCUGUUCUUCACCAUAUGUUGGUUUUUUCCACCAUGUAGAUGGGUAGUUUGCUCCUGUUUAAUUCAUCACAUAACGUAUUCAGGAAAUUAAGCAAAUUUUGACUAUAAGGUAUUCAGACAGGUCAUGGAUGGUGAAACUAAGGAGCUGAGGACGAGAUUUUUUUUUUUUUUUGGGGGGUGGGGGGGGGGGGGGCACUUUUGACAAGAAAAAGUCAUCUGCAUGUAGAAACUCAUUGAUAGGGAUGAUUUUGUAUUCAGAGUCUACAUAUUCACUAAGGCCGGGUAGGACCUGGUUUUCAUUGAUUGAGAAGAACUCUGGAAGCGGUACUUUCGCUAGUCCAAAAUGAAUUAAGUAUUCCAAAUAAUAACUCCUUUAUAUAGUCUUGAGGAAUCAAGGAAGUGUACUUCUAUGCUGAUUGGUUUUUAUGAGGUUGAUCAUAAUCCAGAUUGCAUUCAUUAAUGCCACAUUCCUCAUCUGAAUGAACUGAACAGUAUGUGCUUCAAGAUGUCCUUUUUGGUUUAUGCAUUCUUGUUAUUUUGUUCUUCAUUUUGAAUUUGAAAUCAAGUCUCAUAGGCUUGUUAAGAUUAUGGGUUUCAUUUUACCUACAGGGAAUACCAAAGAGGUUCAAGAAAAUGCUUUUGAGAGAAUGGUGCAAUUAUUUGGCUUGUGGAAUUGGAAAAGUGUGAUGAGAUGAUUUGGCUAGCAAAGGGUUGGAAUGAAUUAGCGGAGCAUCACUCUAUCUGUGAGGGUCAAUUUUUGAUCUUCUAAUCUGAAGGGGACUCCAUUUUCCAUGUCACCAUAAUUGAUGAAAGGAUGUCCGAGAUAGAAUAUCCGCCAGUCAAUGUCGAUGUGAGGAACUGAGCCUCAGCAAUUGUAGAAUUGCCUUGCUGAAUGUGGAAGGUGCUUUUGAUUGCCGUGAUGUUUCAGUCGAGCUUGAAGUCUGGGGGGAUGAAUUGCAUUCAGCCAAGUGUCCUCGGUUCUGUAUGGAAAAGGAAUUUAAUCAGGUUUGCGAAGUUCAUGGCAGCUCUUAUGCACAUUCAUAAGCAAAGUUUGCGAAGGCAUAGAAGUUUGAACUGCUCAUCACAAGAUUUUCAAGGUGUGAAUCUUAAUAUAAUAGCUAAUUCUCCCCUUGACUAUGUUGUUCUUGUGUUUGAUUCGAAUUCUGUACAGGAACUCUCCAUGUUGUUAGGCUAAGAGAAACUGUGUUAGAGCUAAUUCAUUCUUGUGAUGUUUCUCUAUAGUUCUCCCACGUGGAGUAAAUUCAUUGGGAGAUCUCAAAAAUAAUGAUAACAAGCCAAGCUGGUCAUAUCAGAUUUGAUUGUGCUGAGAAUUGUAUUGGCGUACAUAUAGGCCUCAGGAAGCUAGACCAUUAUUAAGACUUAGAUCUAUUAAUUUAGGGUUGCUAUGUUGGUAGAUAUGAGUUUUACAUUACAAGAACAGAAUACGCCUAAAAAGCUAAAGCUUUAUUCAUGUUUUGUUUGCAACUACUGCAGGUAAGCUGAGAGAGCCGGGCUUGUGAAGAGCUUGAGCCAGCCAGCGAAUUUAUACUCGAUUAUCCUUUCUUCCAUAUUGCAGUGAGGUGAAUAUAUCUGAAGAAAAGCAAUAUAGUAAGAUCCUCAUGACAAUGACAACUCUUGGAUUUAAAUCAGAGAGUCGCUAGACUAUGUUAGCUCUAACUAUUUAAUCACGUGGCGAUAAUUUUUUUUUUUUUUUAUCGUUUACAUGGUUUUAAAAAAAAAAAAAAUCCUCAUACUGUCUUCCUAAGAUUUCAUUGUUUGUUUUCUCCUCUCUAAUGACAAAAUUGCGAAACGUCUACUUAUACAGAGAGUUAUCGGUUCAUUCCCGAAGAAGCACAUUAAGAAAAGCCCGCACACCGUGGCUCUCAUAUUUCCACACAAAGCACGGCUGUUGAAGCUCAUCAGCCAUGAAAAUUAUGGAAAGUCAUCUGCUGGUUGGGCCGCAUUCACGAGAGAAACUUCUUUGAAGGUAAAAGACAUGUGUGUGUUCGAGCUUUAUUGAAAGGGACGAUAUCAUGUUCAGAGUAUGCAUCUUCAGAACCACUGAAAAGACUUGGCCAAUUAAUAUAUCCAAAUACUAUACAGCAGAGUUGCUAGGCUGAAUUUGGCAAAAUGGAUAAAGGCAUGAGUUUUGUUCCAAUGAAUGGAAUGGUCCUGAAUGUGUUCGAUACCUUUCCUUAAUCCUAGACUUAAUAAUCACCAUGUGGGCAGGAGUCGUAAGUUGAAGAGAGCUGAUAACUAAUGUCGAUUCUGUAACUUCCAUCUCAGGAGACAAUCUCUCAAAUUAGGUGCUUCUUUAAGGUUUCUGGUGACUUAACCUGGCCUUUAGAAUUGUAAAUGGUAGUAACAUAGAAUACACUUCCCUUAAGCCAGCGCAACCAUGAUGUGCAAGCUCCUGUGAACUUACAUCAGAUUAUUUUCAUUGUCUCUUUUUGAUUUUUUUAAAGAUUUUGUGAUAAGUCUUCUCACAUGUGGGCGCAAAUUGAAGUUUUUUAGCUUCUUCCCAUGCGAAGAGCAUUUGCAAUUUAUUUUGUCAAAUUAACUAAAUUGUUAUACGCAUGGCAAAGCAAUUUCCAAUCUAUGUUACAUCUUUUCAUUGGUUAGUAAAUUAAGGAAAUUUUUACACCAAUGUCUACUAAAUUGCUCAUUGUUCAACUGUGGAAAGAAGAAUUUCUAGUCACCCACGUUAUUACCCUCGGCCAUGCCGCCAAAUGAUAUGAUAUCAUAGUAUAGAUAAAGAAAGUCCCCCAGCUUGGAAGGAGUAGCUUUGUUAUUUCUAUUUAUAUAGAAAUGGCAAGUAGUCCAUAUGCUGAUUCAGCCAUUCUGUGUUGGUUUUUCAUGGUCCUACACUUCCAGACCUCUCAUUACUCCUAAAUUAGCCUGCAAAUUCGAUUUAUAACUAUCCUUUUUCAAAAUGGUGAUUCCGCAACUUAUAUGAGUAGUCCGGUAAGAUCUUGAGCUUAAUUAGGCACUGGUAUACCUAGAGCUUAGUUAUAAUUGCUAGCACCAGUGAUACCACGACUGUUUUAGCAGUCGAUGUCUACUUGUUGGAGAUUUUUUUUUUUUUCCAUUUAUACAGUGUCUAUAGUUGAAGCCAAUAGCAUCCUAGAACAAUACUCAUUAAUAACAUGUAUUAAAAAAAUGAUGUUAGCUGUUAAUUUCUUUCAUCCUCAAGCACUUUCAAACAAAUAAAUUUAUCCUUGGAUUUCUUCGACUUCAAAUCAUUACCUUCUUGCUCUUUGCCCUCUGAUUUUGUCUUUGCAUUUCUCAUUUCACUUAUAUAAUUUCAUAGCUCGGUCGUUAAAACAUGUAAAUGUGCAGAGUAUUCUGGAUGGAUUCAUUAAGCAACAUAUUCAGGAGAAGCAAAGAGCAACUCUUAGGCAUUCCAACAAUGAAGUUCAUCGGGAGCCAGACUCAUAAGAGGGGCCUUGUCUGUGUCCUUUUCUUCUGGUUGAUGUGCAUUUCGGAGAGAAACUCGUAUGCGUGUAGGAAAUGUCUGCAUGAAUGAAUGAACAAAGAGAAUCACCUGAAGGCCUGCAUUCUUUGCAGCAAUAGCUUCUCAAUAUCAUGUGCUUAUCACAAAUCGUGACUCGGUACCUACACAUAACUAUGUGUUUUUUCUUCUCCACAUUUAGUGUCGAAAAUCCAUGAAGACACUACCUCAGAUCUCCAUGAUUUGUAUUUCCGGAGUCUUUAUGCUAAUCUGCCGUCAUAAGAUACAUGUGUACAAAAACAAAUGCAGCAAAUGGCCUCUCAUCAACGAAGAAGUUGCCUAGGAGGUGACCUUUUGGGGCUCACCAAUUUCAUACCCUGCAUUGUGACAGAAUGAAACAACACAUAAUAUUGAUACUAAUAACCAUGAACCAAAGCAGACCCAAAACAAAUUAAUUCAACCCCUCGAACAGCAGAGCAGGUAAUUAACAAAUAGAAUUCGAUGAGACUGAAUCAUCGACUAGUUAUCCUUGUUACCAGAUGGAACAACAAUUUAGAGAACAGCAGUUAAGCUAUGCAACAAUAGGUCACCCAUCAGAGUUUAUGAGGGCAAAGAGACAUCGAAUGGCAAAGCAAUUACUACUUGGGAACAGGACAAACAUGUCCAGAAUUUGUGAAUGGUUGCUUACCCUUCCAAACAAAAGGAGACAUGAAACUUUCUGAGGCUAAAACCAAAAAUUACAAGCUGAGUUAAGUAGAGUAAUUACAAUGGUCCCAUCCUGCGUCAACGAUCUUAUAAUGGGCACAUGUACCGUGUAUUUUUCUGUGCUUAUGUUGAUUCCAUCAUAAUAUUAAUAUCAACUGAAAAGGAGACUUUGAGUAAACACCAAUUAAAUUUGCAACCACGCAAAAAAUUCACUCCUUGACAACAACGCCUUCAAAUAAUGCAACUAAACACACUGCAUUAAUAAAUUAGUGACAGCCAAUCUGGAAAAACGGGAGGAUGAGGAAGCACUUUGUUGGAGGGACAAACCAGAAAUGUUACACCGUUCAUGAGCAACUCUCAUUUCGCACACCAUGAGCCAUUCUCGAGUCCGAUAGAUCCUGAGGGUGACGAGUGAUCUAACGAGGUGGGAUCCGGAAAACCUUCCUCCAGGUGGGAUGGCUAUGUCUUCAUGAGGCUUGGGAAUGAUGGGCACUGACUCCUGCUGCAGCUCCUCUCGAAACUAUAGGGACUGAUGUAUUGCCAGCCAACAUAUUGUUCAUAUUUGCACCAGAAUUUAUAACGUAGUCAAUCGCCUGCAUAGCGAAAUUGAAUUUCAUAAACUCCACAACAGGCCUGAGAACCUAGAAAGCAGCAUCGACUUCAACUCCAGAAACCAACCUCUGUGAUUGCAGUAUCAACAACCCUCUCAGGUCCAUGCUUCUGCCCAAAAAAACAAAAAAAAAAAAAAAACCUCGUUAUUCUCCGACCACCUCACCCAUUAGAAAGACUCUUAGGAUCUGCAGAUAUUUCAUCGUCAAAUGCAGUAUUCAGAGCCUCUCUCACAGUCUCCCUUUCGCUGCGGUGGCAUAACUAUGUAACGGCGUUUCUGCAUCACAACUUUUCCACAGCCUUUCUCUCAACAUCACAGCAUCGAAGCCUCUGGCAGUGGCUUUUCCUAUUAGAAUCAACAACAUCAUGCCCUCUCGAACUCGAACUUGCUCCCACCGUCAGAUAAAGCUCGCUAAUUCUAUCUCUCUCUCUCGAACGGGUAUCCUUAGAAACAGAGUCCAGCUUGGUCAUUCCAUCAAACACCUUCCUUGCAAACUCGACUGGAUUUUUCUCCGACCAAUUUUUUUUUUUUUCGCAUCUCUCUCUGGCUCUGGAUUCCCCUGAUUCAUCUCCAGCAAUUCAGAUCAUCCCCACAGUAAACCACACCAUUAGAUUCCACAUUUGAGUUGCGGCUCUGAUUCAAGUCCUCGCUUUCCUGUCCUUGCCCAUGUCUGGACCAGAUUUUUCCGUCGCGGGGCCAUCUCGGGCUUACGCUACCAUCGCCGCUGAACCAUCAACAGGACCAUUUCAUGUCUGAUUGAACUUCCGAGUCAAAUUCCAAUUCACUCCAGAAUAUGUCCUGUCGACUCUUUGCUUCGUUCUGCUCGCUCCCACUUCAUGCCGCCUUUCGAAAUUCCAUUAUUCCACCCAUCUAUGCCGUGCGCAAAGAGGGACGCGGGGUGGUGUUCGCUGUUUACAAGAGCCUUUUAUCCGAUUGCCAAGGCUGAGGUUGGAUGGAUCAUCAUCAUCAUCAUCAUCAUCAUCAUCAUCUGGAUACGAUUCGCCGAUUCGAAGGAUGAGAUUCUUUGGGUUUCGCUCUCAGCACCUCCACUGGUCUGGCAUCGCUUCUUCAACCGCAGCAGCCGAGGCCAAUCCGAGUCGUCAUCAUCCGAGACGAUAUGCCGAGCAUGAAGAUUGGCAGUGGCGAGUACGAAGAGAAAAACAACGGAGAAAUUAAAAAAAGGCGCGAAGCGAAGCGAUUCGGAUUUUGUGUGGGAAAACGGGGCGAACAGGUGAAGCCAGUGGUUGUCCUUUGGAUGAAAAGAAAUUGAAUUUGAAAAUAAAAGAGAAUAAAAAGGAAAAAUGAACUCACCGUCGUUUCCCGAAAAAGUCGGCGAAAAACUCCAAAUUAUAUUUAUUUUUGUCGCAUUUAUUUUUCUUUUUGUUACGCGAAAGCUCAAAAUUAUGUAUAUGGCCUAUUUACUCUAGUUCUUAUGAUGUCAAAAAUUUUAAAUUUUGUACCAAUAUGACAUAUUUAUCUUUUGUCAAGAUUUCGUAUGAUGGAUUUUAUAUUUUUUCUUUGGUCAAAAUUGUUCUUAUUUCAUUUGAUGUCAACACUAUUUACAUUUCGUCAUUCAUAUAGGCAGUCUUUUUUUUAACGAUACUCAUUGACAGAGAAUGAAUAUACACAUAAAUAGAGUUUGGAGUUUUUUGUGACAUAAAAAUAAAAAAUAACAAAAAACUUAAGAUGGAUGUGUCAUAGUUGGCAUAUUUUAGGAUUUUUAGUGAUUUUCCUCCUUUUUUUCUUAACUUCAUCAAUAAUCAAUCACAACUCAAAACCGAGAAUGCAUCGAUCUCUCUCUACUUGUUGCCUAUCGGCCAUCACCAAGCUUCCAUCACCUUGUCCCUCCUAGAUGUCCUUGGUGGUGUUUACGUCGGUUGUUCUUGUCCCCUUUAUUGUUAGAAAGGCACUUUCGAUUGAUUGCUCAUAUAAUGAAUUUGCAGCUUAAAAUUCGCUUUCAUAGAUUAUAAGAGUAUGCUUACUGUGACUUGUUCUAGCUUGAAUGAACGGUACUUUAAUAUCACUUGUGAAAGGAAAAUUCCACUUUUCUUUCUCGUAAUUUCAAUUCCAAAAAAAUAUAUUUAAUUUCCACAUGUCUAUUGGCUUGAGAUUUCUAUUUAAAUUUCCUAUUAUUGGAAAAUUGACCCAUUGUCAUUUCCAAUUAAUGGCGUAGGACGACUAAUGGCGUCGGAAAUGAUGGGAUUCUGAUUUUAAGUGAUCUUCGGCUAGGUAUGGGUUGUGGCCUUAUUAGCAAAUAGGGUGGGCCAGAGGAACUGCAUCCAACCAAGCUUGAUGCACUUACGACGAAAUUUCAACUAGGGAGAGCUAAGUGAGUGGGGCCACGAACCAGAAGAGGCCCCCUUUUUUAACACCCAUCAUUUUCUAAGAGUUCUUAUUUUUUAAUUAGUUUAUCAUUUAUUUUUUUAUCCAUUCUUUUUAACUGCUUUUUGUUGUUUUUGCUAUUUUCCAUUUUUGUAAUUUAACAAGGACGGACGCUUGAAUUGUUGAUAAAAAUUCAGGUGUAGACAACAUAUGUGAUAACACUAAAGUUAGUGCCAUGGAAAACUCAGUACUAUUGUAAAUUAGUUGUUUAACAAAUGUAUUAUGCAUUGAUUAACACAUUCCUUGUAAAUAUUUUCCACAAAACCAAAAAUAAUAAUAAGGAUAAAAAGAAAAAGCCCCUCCGCUCCUUAAAAUUAGUCAAAUCUAAUAGUAUAGAAAUCAAAAUUACAUUCUAUAUCGGCAUUACCGAAUUUUUUUUGUUAAAUUGUUACUCCCCCAUCUUCUUGUGAACUCAUCUUUAGCUCUGAUACCGCGAAGUAGUUUGAAACUAAACAGUAACUAACGUAUGGAACUCCUUAAACAUUAAUGGUUAGAUUACUUACUUCCACGAAAACCAUGACAAAAAUUGGGCAUGGGGAUGAGAGUGCGUAGUGAAAGCUUGUUUAAGUGGAGUCUGAUCAUUAUUUUCCUCUAUAGUUGCAGUAAAACUUAGCACUCGUGGACAUAUAUUAAGAUCAAUUAGUGCAGAAGCCAACUCAAUGAUCGCCAAGUUAAACUAGAAAGGGCUUAACCAAAAAUUUGAAAGGCAAAAGCAUCACAUGAUUCAUUCUAAAGCAAGCUCCAAAAGUGAUUGCAUCUCUUAAUAUUUCUAAAUAUAUAGAAUUUACAUAUUGAGAAAUGAUGAUGAAAAUGUUGUAGCUAGAAGCCCAAAUCAAGGUAAUGAGAUACAAGCUGGUCAAAAGCCAUAACUGUAAAUCCUACUAGAUUUCAUUUCCACUAUGGAUACAAUAUGUUCCUUGGUGGGUAGCAUAAUAAUUCAAGAGUGACAGAUUAUGCAUCGAAUCGAAUAAAAUAAUCCAAACCUAGAAAUAAGACCAGGAACCACCUAGACAUAAGACCAGGAACCACUAUGGUUUGCUUGUGAAGCCACCGGAACGAGCUACAAAACGAUUCUCAUUCAACUGGUCCGAUCUAAUACUUUGGUUUUGCAGCAAUCCUAAUGUCAAAUCUUGCGGCAACAUCAUCACCAUUGAAUCUAGCAUCAAUCGAAAGUGAAUCGACAAAUAUCAAAUUCCAAGACCCCAAUGUCGCAUCAAAAGCGACUUAAGAAAAUUGAUGGGAAGAAAAGAAGGGGGGAGGAGCCAUGUGGUGAAAAGAGGAGGAACGGCCUAUUAUUGGGACUACGGUGGCAUUGUCGAAGUGGCCCCCAAUCCUCAGAUAUGUCAGAGAUCGGACUUAUCAACAACGGUGAUAGUGGUGUUGAGGGCAGUAGCAAUGACCUUGGUGUGGGAGGGAGGAGAGGAAGAAAUGGAGGGGUUUCCAAGUAGUGUGACUAGAGGGACCAGAAAAUGUGAAAUCAAAAGGGAAAACCUAUCCCAAUUGAUUUGAGAAUUUCAGUUGCACCUAUGUAUUGUCUUACCUUUCAGUCUAAUACAUGAAUACUACCAAAUUAUAAAUUUUGGACAAAAUUACCCUUAUUUAAGUCGUCGGAAAACAUCAGUUGGUGGCUAGCACAUAAGCUUAGACCCUAAUUUGAGGCUAGUUUGGCCAGUUUAUGUGUGACGACCCAAACUCGAGGCAAUAUAGAGGGAUGGACUGAGAUCGCCUUGGUAGUACGCAGGUGAGGCCAAGGACAUGUCUCCCGUCCCACAUCGCUUAGGGGGAGUCCUAGGCUAGUUUAUAAAGGCUUGGGUCCCUUUUAAUUUGUAUAACGUGUUUUAAAACCGUGAGGACUCAAUGUCCAAAGCGAACAAUAUUAUAUAAUGGGGCUCGGGUCGUUACAAAUGGUAUCAGAGCCAACUCCCGACCGCAUGUGGGGGCCACAGCGAGGACGCUAUGCCUUAAGAGGGGGAGAAUGUGACGACCCAGAUCCGAGGCAGUACGGAGGAAUAGACUGAGAUCGCCUUGGUAGUACGCGGGUCAGGCCAAGGACAUGUCUCCUGUCCCACAUCGCUUAGGGGGGGAGAGUCCUAGGCUAGUUUAUAAAGGUUUGGGUCCCUUUAAUCUGUAUAACGUGUUUUAAAGCCGUGAAACUCAGUAUCUAAAGCGGAUAAUAUUAUACAAUGGGGCCCAGAUCGUUACAUUAUGCCCUAACUUAUAGAGCAAAAUUGACACUUUUCUUUUUCUCCAUAAAGGAAGCUUGCUAGAUGAAAACGGAGAAGCUGGACUUGAAAGAUUUGCAGGAAGACUUCUCGGCAACUUUGACUUAGUAAAACUUUUGGACUAUUAUCACAAGAAAAUUUAUCGGAUGAUGAUUAUUGUAUCUUUUGUUAUUUCAAUUUUGAAGAGCUUGAAUGCUUUAGGAUCUUAUUUCUCUUGAAUUCUUCUUCUUUACAGGCACAAUUGUCUGCAAAGAGCAUUCAUACGACACGAAUGGCAAAGCAAACAUCUAUUCAUGGUUAGUCAAUUAAACAAUUUUUUUACACCAAUAUCUACUAAGGCUUCAUCCAUUUUGUAAAAAAUAUUACGUUUUUGGAAAAUAUUUUCUAUGAAAUCAUUUUCUAAGAAAAUGAUAAUAUUUUCCAGUGUUUGCUUGAAACUUAAAAAUGAAUUAGAAAAUAUUUUCCACCGUUUGGUUUGGAAAAUUCAAUUUGAUUUCCCUUUGUGCACUCAUUUUAACAAAUUUUUUAUCUUUUAAAAAAUCAAUUUUUCAAUUUUUUUCUUCUUACAUCUUAUUAUAUUUUUUCCUUGUAUUUUUCUUUUCUUUUCCUCCUCCUUCUUCUUUAGUUGAUCAUCAUGGCCACAGUGACAGCCGAAAAGCUUGAGGCCUUGAGCCUCACCAAAUUGGCAAGCCAACGAGCCAAAGGCUCACACUCACUAACUUGGAGAGGCUCGAGCUCAAGGCCUUGGGCCUCGCUAGAUCGAUGAGCGAACUUGCUGCUUAGCAAAGGCUUGCUUGAUUGGUGAGCGAUGAGCAUAGCUUGCCAAUCUGGCGAACCCUAAGCUCACCUAUGGUUGGUUGCCGACAACUGGCCUAGACACAAGGAAAAAAAAAUAAAAAUAAAAAUGAAAGGAAGGAAGGAUAAUGAGGGUAUGAGAUAAGAGAAAACAAGUGAGGAAAAUGUUUUCCCAAACUUAAAAAGUGAACAACAUUUUCCUCUAUUUUAAAAGACAUUCUUUCAUUGAUAAAAAUAUUUUCACCAUCUAGUUCAUUCUUAUGAAACGAACGCUAAAAAAUCUAAAAAAUAUUUUCCUGAAAGUUAUUUUUCGCGAAAUGAACUAAGCUUAAAUUUCCACCGUGGAAAUUGGAUUUCUAGUCACCCCCGUUGCCCUCGACCAUGCUGCCAAAUGAUAUGGUAUCACAAGAAAGUCCUCCAACGUGGAAGGAGCAGCUUUACUAUUUUUAUUAUUAUAGAAAUGGGAAGUAGUCUCUACGUUGAUUGGGCCACUCUGAGUGGGUUUUUCAUGGUCUUUCACUUCCAAGACCUCUCAUUACUUUUUCAAAAUGGUGAUACCGCAUCUUAUAUGAAUUGUCUAGUAAGAUCUUGAGCUUCAAUCAUCACCGAUGUACCUAGAGCUCAAUUAUGGUUGCUAGCACUUACGAUACCAUGACCGCUUUAGUGUUUGAUGUGCGCUUGUUGGAGAUUUUUCUUCAUCUAUAUCGUGUUCAUAUAUAAUCCAAUAGAAUACUAAAAUGAUACUCAUUAAUAAAUGUAUUAGAAAAUGAUGUUAGCUAUUAAUUUCUUUCAUCCUCAAGCACUUUAAAACAGAUAAAUUUAUCCUUGGAUUUCUUCAACUUCAAAUCAUUACCGUCUUGCUCUUUGCCCUCCAAUUUUAUCUUUGGAUUUCUCAUUUCACUUAUAUAAUUUCAUAGCUCGAUCAUUCAAACAUGUAAAUGUGCAGAGUAUUCCGGAUGGAUUCAUUAAGCAAUAUAUUCAGGAGAAGCAAAAAGUAACUAUGUGCUUAUCACUACCUGUGACUUAGUGCCUCCAUGUAACUAUGUCCUUUUUCUUCUCCACAUUUAGUGUUGAAAAUCCACAAAGACACUACCUUAGAUCUCCAUGGUUUGUAUUUCCAGAGUCCCUAUGCUAAUCUGCCAUCAUAAGAUACAUGUAUACAAAAACAAAUGCAGCAAAUGGCCUAUCAUCUACGAAGAAGUUGCCUAGGAGUGAGCUUUUGGAGCUCACCAAUUUCCUACCCCGCGUUAGAACAGAAUGAACAGCACAUAAUAUUGAUAUUAAUAACCAUGAAGCAAAGGAGACCCAAGAUAAUUAAUUCAACCCCUAGAACAGUAGAGCAUGUGAUUAACAAAUCAAAUUUGACAAGAUGAAUCAUCAACUAAUUACACUUGUACCAAAUGGGACAAUUUAGAGAAUAGCGUUUAAGGUAUGCAAUGAUAGGUCACCCAUCAAAGUUUAUGAGGGCAAAGAAUCAUUAAAUAGCAAAGUUAUUACUACAUCGGAACAAGAGAGGCUUGUCCAAAAUUUGCGAUUGAUUGCUUACCCUUUCAAACAAAAGAAGGUAGGAAAAGGAUGGAGGAGACGUGAAGCUUUCUGAGGCUAAUACCAAAUAUUACAAGCUGAUGAAAUUAGUGUAACAACAAUCGUCCCAUCCUGCACCAACGUUAUUAUAUUGAGCAUGUGUCAUUGAAUUAUCUCAUUUUUCUGUGCUCAUGUUGAUACCAUCAUAAGAUCAAACUAAAAAGAAGUUUGAAUGCAUUAUCGUCAUGGAGUGGAUAGUUUGCGUGGAAAUUUACUCAAAGCAAUGUAACUAACACACUGCAUUAAGAAAUUAGUGACUACCAAUCCGAAAAAAGCAGAGGAUGAGGAAGCACUUUGGUUGGAGGAACUUACUAGUGAUGUUAUACAAUUCAUUUCGCCAACUCUCGUUUCGCCAACUCUCGUUUCGCAUGCCACGAACGAUUCUUGUGUCUGAUAGAUCCUGAGGGUGAUGAGUGAUCUAACGAGGCCAGAUCCUGUAAAGAUUCCCCCAGGUUGGAUGGCGACGUCUUCACUCAGCCUGGGAGUGAUGGGUGGCAACUCCUCUUGUCGCUCCUCUUGAAACUAUAGGGAUGACAUAUCGCCUGCUAACAUGAGUCCAUCUUUGCAGGAGAAUUUGUAAAGUAGUCAAACAACUGCACAAUGAAGUACACUCCACGACAGGCAUGAGACCAUAGAAAGCAAUGUUAGUUUCAACUCCACAAUAGGCCUAAGACUAUAGAAUCGAGGACUUGAUUACACUAAUUAAUCAGAUAGUGCCCUUUUGGUGUCUAAUGUUGUUCAUUUUACAAAAAGAUAUUUAUCAAGUAGUUUGAAUUGAUUUUAGAUCUAUCCCUAAUAUGUGAUUAUGCGGGUGCACAAUUAUUAUAAUAGUAACUAGCAACCAAGGACAUCGAAUAAAUUGCAUGGCAAAAUGAGCAUUUAUCUCUAAUAGAUAAGAAAGAUAUCAUUCCUAACUAGUAUAGGGGUAAACAACAAUAUAUAUUGAAAAGUGCGUAAUCAAGUGAUAAUUCUUGUCAAAAAAGAAAACAUUGAAAUCCUAUGGCAAAGCCCAAAGAGUUUGUUUAAAUAUUGAGCAUGAUUUUUUUAUCAAUGAUUUCCCACAAUUUUAAGAGAAGACUUCCCAAAAGACUAUUUUAAAGCUUUUUCCAAGGAAUUCUAUUUUUCAGAAGCUUUUUCUAAUUUUUCAUAAAAUUUAAACUUUUUAAUUCUUCUAAUUUUUUUUUUUAUAUUUUCAAAUCUUUAAUAAAAAUAAUUUUUUAUUCUGAAAUGGGGACUCUGGCUGGGCCCCCAAGGCCCUGUCAAAAGCAGGCUGCCGUCUGAUACCUCGUGGGUUUGGCAAACAAGGCUUUCAACAAGCUCAAUUUCAAAUUGAUCUAAGCCCACUUUUUGAAAUAAUUAUACUAAGCUCCUCAACUAAAUACCAAAACCAGCCCACAUUUGCCAAGCUUCAACUUGAGUCCAACGCCCACUAAUCCCAUCGCCUAAUAGGUCAACCCAAAAUCUCUGAUUUCACUUCCUCAUUCAUUAUGCCCUCCACGCCCCUCUCCACUGUUCCUCUCUCUUACGUUGUUCAUGUCCUCAUCUUCCGGCUCGAAGACGGCGACGAGCGGGCAAGCUUGUGACAAAUCGGGCUAUAUGGUAUGCCGCCUUAGUAUCUUCAAGCCACAAUCCUCGGGCAAGGGAGAAUUGAACCGAAAAAGAAACUCACCGACGACACAGAGAUAUGGGAGCAAAAGACGGUGUGCUCGAGCGCAUCGGCCAGAGGUUGUCGGAGAGGGUUCGAACGCGGCGGAGCUGCUGGAGAACUCCUUCUCGCUAUCGAGUUUCACUCCCCUCCUCUACUCUCACUCGGAUCUCCUGCUGUUCUCCGAACCUUCCUCGUUUGAUUCUUGCAGCCGUGCGAGAGAGGAGCGCACUUGACCAGCCCCACCUCCGGUCCUUCACCGCCACGACGUCACCUCCUCCACCAUCAGAACGCUACCACCACCGAAGAUAUCGAGAGUGCAGUCGGCUCUCUCUCUCUCUCUCUCUCUCCAAGAACCAGCCUCCCUCUGGCUCACCCUCUCUCAAGCUUGCUCUCUCUCUGUGUGGCUCCCGCGAGCAGCUCUCACCGUCUCCUUCUUGAGCAAUGCUUGCCGUCUCUGGUUUUCAGCCGAACCCCUCAAGAAGCAGCCCUCGCCCUUUCUCUCCAUCUGUUUUCAGCCGAUUAAGAAGCCCUUUAGAGCUCACUCCCUCUUUCUCUCACGAUCUCACUCACCGGAUCUCUCUCUCUCUCUCUCUCUCUCUCUCUUCUCUCCUCUCCCCCGGUUCUCUCCCGAGCUCAAGGAAAUAUCUAGUGGUUUGCUCUCACCACAUCAUCAGCUAACGUGGCGAGCAUUGUUUUGCUUCCAUCUAAUUACAGCUUGGCACAUAUUUGCUAAUAUGGAAUUUGAAAUGGCUAGUAGAACAUCUAGAGGAGGUGAAUAGCUGUGAAGACAUAUUUUUGCGAAUGCAGUAAAAAUGCUAUACUUUUAAACUGAGUUUGAUUGACUACAAACUUUUCAGAAGGGUUCUGAUUUUAACAACUAUUUUAAAACAUAGAAUUAUAUUGCAAUAAAUAAAGUAAAUGAGUUUAGGGAAGAGAAAAAUAAACACAAGAUUUAUAUUGGUUUGGCUUAUAUCAAGUCUACCCCUACUCUCCCACAUUGACAGCCUUCUGGCUGGUUUCCACUAUGAAUCGAAAGAGAAUGUUAUAGCCCUAUGAUCUCGACUUUUCAAUGAAGUGAUUCUACUACUCUCACAAAAUCACUCUCUAGAGUUUCUCUCUUUUGAAUACAAUUUUAAGCACUAAAUAAUGAAGGACAAGUGAUUUGGAAGCUUCAGACUUUGGAAUUCUUCUUUCACGCUCUCCUCGAAUGACUUGAUAAACCUCCUUAAAUACUCCUCUAUGCCUUCUCAGUUGUUGGCACUUUCCAGAGAAAUUCUUUCAAUCAACCUAUUGGACAGAAUCAAUCAAGGAGAUCUCGAGCCGUUUGAAGAUUGAGAUGAAAGCUAGUCAAUCCUAUUCGCCCAUACAAUCAGGAUCUUGAUUUUCAUAAGUAGAUUCUUUCGAAAUAAACUUGCCUUCCGAAAUGAUAUGCUUCUUCGAAAUUGAUUCCCAUUAAGAUUAAAUAGCGUCGUUUCAUGUAAUUUUAGUUCAUAUCACACCAUCACCCUUACAUAUAAGAUAAUCGGUCAUGAUUAGACUGACAUGUGAAACAAAUGAGACAAAACUUGGCCGAGAGAACUUGAUUACACUAUUCCUCAAAGAGUUAAGAUUAAAUUGGUUCAAUUGAAAUGUUUAAAACUCGAUUACAUUCCAUAUAAUAUGUUUAAUACCGCUUGUGCAAUUUUCUCAACAUACCAAAACACUAGUACCUUGAAUUUGAUGAAAAUAGAAGAUUCUUGUGUAUGUCUUCAUAUUGAUCAUGACACAAUCUUAACCUCGUAGAUUUCAUAAUAUCUCAAAUAAAUUGAUAAUUUGCUCGUCAAUUUUGAUCGUCUAAUUUGAUGUCCUCCCUUGAUCAUGAAACUCUAUUUCCACACGUGAAAAACUCUAUGCUAUUAAAGUAAUUGGAUAAAGUGAUGUUUCGAAGAUAUUUGUGUUUCAACAUUUAUCAUAUGGAUCUCAAGGGAAGAUCACAUAAUAGAAAGUGUGAGAUCAUUUGGGCUUAUGAGGAUAGGGUUCAUGCAAUUAAAAAACCAUUUUGUUUCUGCAAAAUUUGGCUCCUAUGGAAAUAAGGAACAUCCUUCACUCAUCUGUCAAGAUCAAUAUGAUCUUUUCUAUUUUCUUAUUUUUACAAUUGUUUAAGUUGAAAUAGCUCAUAUUUUUUCAUAUUAUCUAUUUUUUCUCAUUGUCUGUGUUUAUAUUUUGAUUUUUUGUAUUUAUACAUUGCUUUUUCAAAUAUGCAUGUGGGCAGAUAAUUCUCUUUGCAUUAUUCAUAGAAUCUAUUAAGAAAAAUAAUCGAAUUGCAACUCUUAGGCAUUUAAACAAAUCGUGCACGAUGGAGCCGAAGAUCCAUCACAUCUUGUCAAAAAGUUGAGGAUUGAAUUGUAUUUACCUUAUUCUCUACCAAGUCUGAACUAUAAUCAUGAGAGUUCGGUAGUGUCUCUUGUACUUUUAUAAGCCAUGUUUUUUUUUUUUUUUCUCAUAUUGCUAUCUUUUGACUAGUUUUUAGUUAAAUCGCAUCUUUUCCAAAUGGCAGGUACUUAAAAACAUGAGACCCUAUCAACGAUGAGCAUUUUACGUCACAUGAUUUGAUGAUGGCAUCCAGUUCUCUUGCUCUAUACUUUCGUUUUAUAUGGCAUCAUUGUUAAAGUUAUUAUUUCCAAGAAGGCUACAAUGCAUAAUUUCCCCAGUCCAAGAUUGAACCAUGUAUGCAAAAGUGGGGUCCAUAUGUACUAUUUUGUCUUAUAGAGCUCUGUCGUUGGAGAAUAUCUUUGCAUGUUGCUUAGGCCCAGAAGAAGCAAUUAUUUAACUUGACAUUAAAAGUCAAGAUAAUACAUGAAAAGUCAAUACUUAUUUUCAACAUAUGGUAUUAAUAAGAAGAACAUCAUUCAAAAUUGCUAUUAAUAUAUAAUCUCUACAUUGGCAUGUCGUUGAGAUCACCGAUCUCUUUAAUUCUUAAUGGGACAUCACAAGGUUUAUUUACUUCUAUCAUCCUGAUGGCGCAGUAGAGACACGACAUGGGAGGAUUCUGCAGUAGAUGAUUUGCAUCUCAUGUAUUAAAAAGGGAUUGAAAGAAUUAAAAUAUAUAUACACACAUACACAAUGUACAGGCACAAUUGACCGAGAAAAAAGAGUUCAAAGACCUACUGACAAUUUUCGCAAAAAAUUCAAUUACUACUAUGCCUAAAUUCCUUAUUAAUUAUCAAAUCCUGCUCCAAAUCUAGUUUGAGCCAUCAUUUAUUUUUUUUGGAAAAUGCAAUGAAUGAAACCCGUUUCUUUUAUUUCACAUGUUGCCCUAUUAAUUCGUGCAUGAUGCGUCGAGUCUGCAAACUACCUCUACUUUGUGGGCCAAUGCCAACACUUGUCCCUUCAAGCUCCAUUGAUGUACCAUGAAGUUCCUAUUAGUCUUCGCCAAACAAGAUGUGUUUGUUCGAUACUCCUCAAAAGGUGCGACCAUCCAAGUGCAUCAAGUCCAUUCAAAAGAUCAAUAAUAUGAUUCUAGUGGAUGCAUCAGGACAGACUAUUGAAGUGCACGAAAUGGAACAGCUCGUCUAUCAAUUUGAAAGAGGAAAGGACGAAAGUUUUGAUAGCUCAAUGAAUACUUCGAGUGAAUAGAAACACCUCACUGUGGGUGCUGUGUAAGGCAUCUUGUCUUGCACAAUGCCUCAUAGGCAUGCAUUAAUGAGUCCACUUUGCAUUAUUGGUGCGAGGCUUGCUCUCUCUUUCUCUGAAGAAAAGUCAAAGGAAAUUAUCGAUUGAAUCUAGCCUUCGAAAAUAAUAGAUAUAAAUACAUUAAAAUCAUAUCAAUAAGUAAUUUUUGAAAGAGCAAGAAUAGAGAGGUAUUAAAAAUAUGGCAAUUUUAUGAUAAUUAUUUCACAUUCUAAUUUAAUAAUUAUGAUGGGCAUAAAAAUCAGAUAACUUCAAAUUUAUUUUGUGAAUUGAGUUUUUUUUUUUUUUUUUUCACUUAAAGGGAUGCCUGGAAGGGCUUUCUUUCAACAAAUCUGCCAAGAUAAUACAUGAAAAGUCAAGACUUACUAAUGGUUAAUAUUAGUUAGACAUAAGGAUCUAAGUUAGCCAAAGUCUAAUGUGUCAAUAAGGAGAACAUUAUCAAAAACUACUAAUCGAUAGAUAAUCUCUAUAAGGCAAAUCAUCAAGAUCACUCAUCUUUUGAACUCUAAAAGGUACAUUACAUACCUCAUGCAACAAGGGUUAACUGAAGUGAAGAGAGAAGUUUGUUCAUUUAGGCCUCAUCAAGAGAGUUGUCAGUUUUAGCUUAAUAAUUGGCAACUCUUUUGCUUAAUGAAUCAUUGCCUCAAGAGGGGUGAAGUAGGGAAGUAAUGUUUGUCGACUGUAAAAGGAAAGAGGCCAGACAAGUGAGGGCACCCGGUCAGUUCAUGCAUUUAUGAAAACUUAGAUGUUUGUCCAAUAGUGAUGGACCAAAGGACGUAGAGGUAGACAUCGGCGAUGGUGACUAGUCAAGGAAAGGAAUAGUAAAAUGCAGAAAUCCAUCUCAGCUCUUGCAACCUAUGUAGCACCGACACGGACAUGUGACACGUGACACGGCACGACACGAUACGCCGACACGUCAUUUCUUAGAAAUAGAGAAUUCCGACACGUUCCGACACGUUAUAUAUUAAAUAUAUUUUUAUAUAUAAAUACAUAAAUAAAUAAUAAUAAAAAUAGCCUAGAAUUAAUUUACAUGAAAAAUAUUAAAUAAUAUCAUUCAUUAUUUUAAUUUGUUACAAUAAUACACAAAACUUAGAGGAAAAAACAUUGUUUAAAGAAAAAUGCUGAAAUGAUAUUUUUAAAUUUAUUUAUUUAUCAUAUAUAGCAUUUUUUUAUUACUUCUUUCAUAGUAAAAGAAUUUUUUAAAAAAAUAAAACAAUUCUAAAAAAAAACUGAAAAAAAUGACCCCGUGCGUGUAUAUUUAUAGCAAUUUUAUUACUUCUUUUGUGUAUAUUUAUAUUUUGACCCCUCAAGUAUUAGAAAUUUUUAAAAUUGACCCCGUGCGUAUUGGAAUUGCGUGUCGGAAUUCUGGACUCGCGUGUCGGAGCGUGUCGGAAAGAGUUGACCACGUGUCGGAUUUUUUGACACUCGUUGACCGCGUGUCGGAGCGUGUCGGGACAUGUCGGAGCGUGUCGGACACGUGUCGGAGUGUCGGACACGACACGAAAGCUUCCGGAGAGUGUCCGUGCUACAUAGCUUGCAACCACUCUCUAUUACUCUAUCUCCCUCUCCCACAACUUACCCUAAUUAAAGCAAUCUUUCAUAUAUUUGGAUGGUUGUCCACAAGAAGUGAAAGAAAGGAGGUGGAGACUUAGACAUUAGUGAUGGGAAUUGAUCAAGGAACAAUAAAUUGUAAAAAAGUCAUUCAUUAUGUAUAUAUACUUACGUUUUAUGAGACAUCUAUAUCUAUCGCUGGGUUGUUUAUAAGACGUAUAUCGUUCGUCUUGAUGGAGGCAACCGACAUAUAGAGGCCCUCUUGUAUUUUUUUUCCUUUGGCCAGUGAUGACAUGGGGGCAAUCUACUUACCACUCAACUUCCCAAGUGGAUCUCCAUCCAUACCCUAUCUCCUCUUUCUUCCUUGGGUUUUUGAGUCAUUCUUAAAUUUCUAAAUCAUUGGAUAGCUAGUAUUAGAACUCAGUCGUUUAUUGCAAAAUGUUGCUGUUUUCCAACGCUCCCUAUCCUUCAAAAAAAUUAAAAGUGAAAGAAAAAUUAGGGUUAUAAAUUAUCAAAAGCCACAUAACUUUAUUUAUCAAUAAGUGUAUAAUUUUGUAAAAUUUUAAAACUGAUUUGUGAUAAUUGCAAUAUUUGAAAAAUAAAUCUUAAAAGUAAAAUACCCGAAAUAGACCCAAGCAUUUGAAAGAAUUGAAAGAAUAGGGGAAAACUCCAAUUGGAACGACAUAGUACUGUAAGUGGUGACUCGAAUUGUUUCCCAUAUCAAUGCUAUCCCGUAAAAAGUAGCAUUGUUCAAAAAAGUAAACUGGUUUAGAAUGUUUAAUUUACUUAGAAGUUUUGAUCUAAAAUGUUAGUGGCAACUUCAAUUGUUUCCCAUUAAUUGUGUCCCGUAAAGAGUAGUAUUAUUCCAAAAAGUAAACUAGUUUAAAAUGUUUAAUUUACUUCGAAGUUUUGCUCUAACAGUUCCAUAUGAAGUUCCGUCUACUAUAACAAUUACAAUUGACAUUCUAGUCUAAUAAUUUGCUUAGUUAUAAUGUUACUUCUAUCACAAAAAAUUCAAACUGAUAUAUUUAUGACAAAUUUACCCUAAAUGAAAAACUUCAAAUUAAUAUACCUGUAAUAAAUUUACCCUCAAUUAGUUUAUGUUAAAUUUUACCCUCAAAUUAUUGAGUUAAAUGACAUAUGACAGCUAACAGGUAUACCAAUUUAGAUUUUUACCUUAUGUCUAUCACAUUUAUACUAGUUUUGGGUUUUACCCUCUAUUUAUCACAUGUGUACCAGUUUGUCACUUUUCAUGAUAUUAAUCUAAUUUCACAGAAACUAGGGAAGAGUAACUUGAUCACAAAUGAACCAAUUUAGAGUUUUUGAGGUUCAAAAAGUUAAUUUUUGAUAAAUUUAUCACAAGUGUAUCGGUUUAAGGUUGUUGGUGGUAAAAAAAAAAAUAUUAUCAAUUUGGAGUUUUUCAUUAUAUUAACAUUUUUUAAUAUGAUUUCAUUGACUUGCACAAGGAGCGGAUUUUGGAUUAGUACCUUAUUGGUGUUUGUCCAUUGAUAGUGAAGGAAAGGAUAAAAGGAUGGUUCAAAAUUACUAUAUUAGCAGUGGGAAAGGAGGAAAGGACGGAUUACUCAUCAAUGUUUGUCCAUUAGCUGUGGAGGAAAGGAUGGAGACAAGGACACGACGGUGAGGGUGAGAGUGCAUUUAGUAAUCAUUAUAUUCCUCAGAACAAUUUAUGCUUAAAAAUAUUUUUUUUUCCAAUUCUAUUCCCUUGCCAAGUUUCUAAGCAUUUGAAUGUAUUUUAAUAACUGUACAAAAUUUUUAUUCCUGGAUUAGAAAUAUGUUUAGUACAAUCCUAAUUUUUUUUUAUUUUACUUAGAAUUUUUUAAUUUUUUAAUAAUUUUUUCCUUUUCUUUUUCUUCUUCCUCUAGCCAGUCGCUGGCUAUAGGAAGAAGAAGAAAAAGAAAGAGAAGAAAAGACAAAAAAAAAAAAAAAACUUGAUUCUUGAGUCAUUCUUAGGAACAAAUAAAUAAUUUUUUUUCUGCUUCUUGAUUCUAUUCUAAAUUUACUUUAGGAAAUAAUUCUAUAUUCCGGAACAAAAACAUUACCAAACAGGACCUAAAGGAACAACAAUGUAGAAAAUCAUACAUUUCUAUGCUCAAAGUAUUGAUUGGUGUUUAGUUAAGGCCUAACUAUAGUUAGGUUAACAAGCUCCAUGAUCUAUACCCAUCUCCUCUUUUUUUUUUUUCUCUUGUGAUUUGAGUCUUUGCUACAAAAUCAUUUAUUUAUAUGUCCAUUAAUUGAUGUUUACAUUUUAAAAUGUUCAUUCAAUAAUCAUGCCUUUUAAUCGAUCACGUAAGUAUCAUAAUUUUUUUUAGAAUUUUUAAUUUAAAUACCGGAAAUCUGACGUGAUGUAAUAUUUUGGAUGAACGCUUUGAAAUAUUUUGUGACACUUAAAUUAGUACUGCACAAUUAUUAUAACACGUGCUAUCCUUUUCUCGAGAUCUUUAGCAGCAAAAUAUGCAAUGAAUCAUGAGAUUGAUUGAUAGGUCUAGCAAGCCUAGUGUAGCAUGCAACCACUUAGACUAAUUAUCAACUUUUCCAGCAAUAACUUUGCACUUAAAUCUUUUCGCUUUCUUCUUCUUUCAACGUUCUUGGUCUGUUCCAAUCUUUCUUUCUCUAAAGAACAAUUAUAGAAAAUUCCGAUCGAUGUUGUUGUUGAGAAUAACUUGAAAAAUUAUAUUGAAUUCAUAUCAUUAAGUAGUUUUUAAAAGAGCAAGAAGAAGGAGACAUUAACAAAAUUCCUACCAGACCAUAUCCUCAUAUGACAAUUUUAUGAUAAUUAUUUAACUUUAGGAUUGGCGCAAUUUUAUGAUUCUAUAAUGACAACGAAUGCUAAAUACACUUACUCUCUUUAACAUCAAUCUCUCCUCCAUCUUUACACUGGCCUGCAAUCCGUAGCGACCUCCAAUUCAGUCGCCACCCUUACCUCAAAGCUAACGUCGAGGUUGAGGCCCACUGUAUUAUCAAAAUAUACUUAUUCCUUAUAAUAAAAAAUUGCGCUUGCUUAAUACUAGGAUUAGUGCAAUUGGGCGAGGCGUUGUGGGAUUUCUAACUCAGGGACUGGAGGUCAUUUGAAUCUACAUGCAAACUGUUCAGGAUUGAGCCACCUAUACAAGCCAAAAACAUGAACUUAAACUGUUCAUGAAACUUGCAAGAUAACUUAUGGGCUUCUAGAUAAACUGGUUAUCAUGUCCGGGCCCUUAUAAAAGAAUUGCUUUUAUUUAGGAUGAUUCUAACUUUACAUGAUAAAAUUUUUAUAUGCACCUUCUUAUUAUGCAAAUUAUCCUUAAGAACUUAAUUACAAGGAAAACGUUCCUCAUGACCUUAAUUAGUGAUAACAUUUUUUUCAUUAGAAAUUUGUCAUGACAUUUUCAAAUAGUCAUAACAGAAUAUUGAUUUAGGAGCAAUUUCACAGUCUAAUCUAAUAAUUAUGGUUGGCAUAAAAAUUAAAUAACCUUAAUUGUUUUUAUUCACUUAAAGGGGCGCUUUGAGUGGCUUUUUCUCAACCGAUAUGGGAAAGAUAAUACAUGAAAGGUUAAGAUUUAUUUUCAAUUUAUGAUUAAUUAGAUAUAAGGGUCUAAGUCAGCCCAAAUCUAAAGAACAUUAUCAAAAAUUGUUAUUCAACAUAUAAUAUUUGGAUUGGCAAAUCAUCAAGACCAUUCCCCUUAAACCCUUGACAGGAUAUCCCAUAUCCUAGCGCGACAAGGGUAAUUUGAGUUGAAGCCAAAGCUUGUUCAUUUGGUUCUCAUCAAUGGAGUUGCCAGUGUUAGGUUAAUAAGUGACAACUCUUUUGCUUAAUUGAUCAUUUCCUCGAGAGGGAUGAAGUGGGAAAACAAGGUUUCUCAGCGGUAAAAUGAAAGAAGGAAGACAAGUGAGGGUACCCGGUCAGUUGCCAUACAUUUACGUACACCUUGAUCUUUGUCCAGUAGUGGUGGACGAAACGACGUGGAGAUAGACAUAAGUGAUGGUGACUGGUCUACCAAAGGAACAAUAAAAUGCAGAAAUCCACUUCUAGAAGAGGGACCUGUCAUGUUAAAGUCCGUAACUUUGCUUGUCUAUAAUCGUGUUUUGAAAAUUUGCAAUAUUUGGAAAAUAAAUGUUUGAAGAAAAAGACUCAAAACAGACCCAAGUAUAAAGAGAAAGGGGAAACUCCAAUUAGAAUGAGAGACCAUGUAACAAAAUUUGUAGUGACUUGAAAUGUUUCCCAUAUUAUUUUUGUCCUGUAAAGAGUAGCAGUAAUCAACAAAGUAAUCUUAAUAAAGAAUGGCAAAAGUUUAAUUUACUUACAAGUUUUGAUCUAACAAUUUUAAUUGAAGUUACGUCCAAUUUAACAAUUGCAAUUGACAUGCUAAUCUAACAACUUGCUUAAUUAUAAUGUUACUCCUAUAUUUUAGAUAUGAUUUCAUUGACCUGUGCAAGGAGCGGGUUUAGGACUAGUACCAAUCAUUGUAUAUCUAAUUAAUGAUGGAAGAAAAGAUGAAAGGAUGGAUUAGAAUGAAUACAUUAGCGUUGGAAAAGGAUGAAAGGACCAUUUGCGGUGCCAAAGGAUGAAAGGAUGGGUGACUCAUCAAUAUCUGCCAUCAGCGGUGGGGAAAGGAUGGGAGUGGUGAUGGUAAAUGGUCCACUAAAGGAACGAUAACGUAGAAAAUCAUCCAAUUCUAUACCCAGACUGGUGUUUAGUUAAGGCCUAAACUAAGGUUAGGUUAACGAGCUUCAUAGUCUAUACCCAUCUUUUCUUUUUUCCUUGAGGGUUAGGUCUUUGCUAUAAAAUUCAUCCAUUUCUAUGUCCAUCUAUUGGUGUUUACGUUUGAAACUUAUUUACUUAGGUGUCAUAACUUUCAAUUAAUCACUAUCAGUCAUAAAAUUUCAAGUAGUCAUAAUAAAUAAAAGGAUUUAUGAGUAACUUGACAUUAUAAUCUAACAAUUAUGGUUGGCAAAAAAAGAUUAAACAACUUCAAUUUUUCCUUAUGAACGAAGUUGUUUUUUCCUCUUACACUUGAAGUGAUGGCUAUGAGGUGCUUUCUAUCAGCAAAUUUGUGAAAAUUUGAAGGACAAUCCACAAAAAGUCAAGACUUAUUUUUAACUAAUGGUCCAUAUUAAUUGGGCAGAAGGGUCUAAGUUGGGCCAAGUCAGAUAUGUCAAUAAGUAGGAUAUUAUCAAUAAUUGUUAUUUAAUAUGUAAAUCAAUAACACAUUUUUACAUUUUAGAGAUAUUUCGAUUUAUGUACCACUUUGAAAACUAAAUUCAAUUUUUUACCAUUCACUUAGCUUAAUUAUAAUAUUAACUUCUAUAUUUUUUAUAUGCUUUCACAACCCACACAAGGAAUGGGUUUUAGGACUAGUACCUAAUUCUUUUUUGCACCCAAAACCCUUCGCCUUCUUCGUCUCUUGUCAUUCUUGCUCUGUUGUGCUCCUUCAUCAUUCUUUUUACAUCUCUCUGUUUUUGUCCCUUUCUUUCUCAAAAAAAAAGAAUUAAAAAAAAUAUUAGAUCAAUACAAAAAUCAUAUUAAACUCAUAUCAAUAAGUAAAUCAUUGAUGCAAGGAUCUAAGUUAUGAUUCAAUGAGCAAGAACAGAGAGCCAUUAGAAAAAUUCCAACCAUAUCAUCAUAUGUCAAUUUUUAUAAUCUGAUGUGAGUAUAUAUACCUCAAAUAAUCCACCUCUCGAGGAACUCCAUCAAUUUUACUUUUUAACUCCUUUUCUUUAAAGUGGAAGUCAUGAUGGCUUUUUCUUGGAUUGCGACAAACUUUAACGUUAAAUAUUUUGGACGACAACGCAUAAUCAAUUAUGAUAUUGACAUGCUUCUCUAAUCUUUCAUUGAUGCCCAAUCAACAUUAUCAAUAAAUACCACUUUAAAGUGAAAGUCAUGAUAGGGUUUUUUUUGCACUGAAGGGUAAAAUUCACCAAGACAAAAAAGAAAAAGAAAAGAUUCCUCUAGUGGGCCUUCCAUUCCACUAAAACCUAUGAAAAAUGGUUAGGAAGAUCUUCUGAAGUUGUUGUGAUGAUUGGUGUACAAACAUGCAUGUUGGGUGGGGGCUAUUUAUGCGCCCAAUUUAGCUUAAAUCACAUCCGUCUAAGUAAACUUAGUCAUUAAUGGACCCGACUUUUAUUUCGAAAGAGAAUAAUAAAUAUGCCCUUUUCAUUUUCUCUCGUAUCUAUUGCCUUGUUUAUUUUCUUAUUUACUAUAGACAUUUGAUAAGAGAUUUUGGUUUGAAUUUUUUCACCUACUCUUUUGAUUCCACAAAUUUGUUUAUGUAAGAAUUCAUCUGAAAAACGUAUUCAGCCUUUGAAUCAUAGAAAAGAAAAGGCUGAUUUGUUUAAAAGAAGAUUGGACCUUAAGCACGUUCUGAAAUAUUAAAUUAAAUUUAUGCUUUCAUCAAGCUUUAGCUAUAAUUUUUUCAAAAUAUCAUGAUCAAACGUCCAAUUCUUUUUAUCAUUUCUAGAAGAGAUCAUUUCAACAAGUUAAUUUGGCAAUAAAUUUUAUUUAGCUGAGUCCAUAUGUUAGUGAACUAAUAAAGGAUUCUCUUUAUACAUAUGUUGGUUUUGACACAUUAGAAGUUAUUUUUUUUAUAGCUAAUUCGUUAUUCCGCGCUAAUAAUGCUAGAAAGUUUGGGAGAUCACUGGGUGAGAGUUUCAUUUUGUGCAUAUUAAUUCCUUUUGUUUCGCUGCAUCUCUAUAGUUAUAUUAAGAGUAAUGGUAGUUGCUAAACAGAAGAAAGCAAUACGGAAGCCCGUCCAUAAAUUCAACUUGUUGACUAUCCAGAAUCUUUUGGCAUAUGAUGCGCAUAAAAAAUUGAUUUGACGGCCAACUGCGUGAAGUUACAAGUCAAGUGUUCUCUCUUUGUCAAACAGUACAGCGUGGUAAGCGUUAUAACUCCAUGUCACGUGGGCGCUGACACGCCGUGUAAACUACAUAUCCCGAGGGGAGGGUCGAAUCACCUGUUCACUACUUUAACGGCUGAUAAUCAUCUCUUUAUCCAUUCAUUGCCAAUCCACGCUUCCCUUCCCUCAUCCUUUUUCUCCGCUCAAAUCUCUUGGCUUUGUUCGUCUCUUGCUCUGUUUCGCUCUUUCUUCUCCUCGGCUCAACCAUUCUUCUUCUUCCUCCUCCUCCUCCUCUUCUUUAGUUUUUGCUGCUCUUCUCCCUCUCCGUCUCUCUUUUUUCUCGCUCUUUCCUUCUCAAGAAAAAAAAAAAUCAAAGAACAAUGUCGGCAGAUCCUGUCGUUGGUAUUGGAUGGGAUGUCUUGAAGAGCUAUGUAGUUGUUCCCAUCGAACGUGGAUUCGGACACGUGAUCUGCUCCAAAUGAUUCGCCGACCGUCUUCGGGGGGAAGUCCAGAAUCUGGAGAACGAGGAUCAGAGGGUCAAAAUUCUUGCGGACGAGGCUAGAAGGAAUGUUCGGAAAUUGCUCGAUGUCUUCACGACGUGGAAGGCAAGUGCUGAGAAGGCCUUGGAAGAGGCGCGAGAGCUGUUGGAUGACUUCGAAAAGGCGACCAAUACUUGCUGCUACGGGACUCUUCCCGACCCCAAAUCUCGCUACCAGUUUAGCAGGAAGGCCGAGGGCAAGAUCGAGGCCAUUAAGCAACUCACUCAAAAAUGCAUCAGAUUCAACGGAUUGAACGACAUCUCCUUCAUCGAUCCUGCUUUCACUUCUUCUGCCUUGACGUCAAUGAAGCUUGGGGAUGAUGGUGCCUUCGAAUCCAGAGCUUUGAUGAUACGGAACAUCAUGGGCGCUCUUGCUGACAACACUAAUAGUGUGGUCGGGGUUUAUGGGAUGGGCGGGAUCGGCAAGUCCACCCUUUUAAUGGAUGUUGAAAGCAAAGUAAGCGAAGAGAAGUCGUUUCAUUGGGUCGCGAAGGCCGACGUGUCGGAAAAUCCAGACAUCAAGACGAUUCAAGGAGAGAUUGCGGAUGCAUUGGGCCUUCAUGAGAUAAAGAACAAAGAGACUAUCAGCGGGCGAGCCAAACUUCUGCACGGGAGAUUGAAAGACGAGGAGAGGGAGAAAAAGAAGGUCCUCAUAAUACUGGACAACCUGUGGGAGGGGCUCGACUUAAACAAAGUCGGCAUUCCUUGCGGACAUGACAACAAAGUCAUGGGAUGCAAGUUGUUGAUGACGUCGAGAGAUCGUGAUGUUUUGCGAAGGAAAAUGGGCUGCGACAAGGACUUCCUCCUCAAUGGGCUAAAGGAGGAAGAGGCAAAAAGAUUGUUUGAGAAGCUGGUGGGAGCCAAAGUUCAUGAUGACCAGUUCAAACCUCUGGUAAAUGUAGCACUCGGCAAAUGCGCUGGUGUGCCUUUCCUAAUUGUGGCAAUGGCAAAACGUUUUAAAGAUGCUAAUUUAUCUGAACGGAAAGAUACUUUGAAAAAAGUCGAGAAAUUUAAAGAUAAAGAAAUCAGUGACUCAAUACACCAGAUGUUGCAAUGGAGUUAUGAAAAAUUAGAAGAGGAGGUGAAGUCCUUAUUACAACUAUGUGUUGUUUAUGGUAUUUCCAAGCCUUCUCUUGAAAACUUGGUGAGGUACAGUGUUGGUUUGGGGUUAUUUCAAGAAGUUAGCAGCAUGGAAGAAGCUAGAAAUAGAUUAAGCUCACAUAUCCGCACUCUUCAAGCCUCCUCCCUUCUGUUAGAUAGUGAAGAUGCUUAUGGUUUCAAGAUACAUGACUUGGUUCGUGAGUUUGUUGCCUCCGUUGCUUCAAGAGAUCACUCUUUUUUCGUGUUGAAAGAUAAAGAUAAGUCAAUAACAGAGUUGCAGAAGAGCAAGCUCAAAAGUUAUAGGGCAAUAUGCUUUCUAUACGUCGACAUGAAAGAGCUUCCCAAAGAAUUAGAUUGCCCUGAGUUGCAGAUCUUUUUGUUGUUCACAAACAACAGAUCUCUUAAGGUCCCAGAUUCAUUAUUUCACUCUAUGACGAAACUCAUGGUCUUAAAUCUCACCGGGAUACAUCUCACUUACUCGCCUUCAUCGCCAUUUCAACUGUUAGAGAACUUACACAGUCUGUGUCUUGACUGUUGUUAUUUAGAUAAUGUAGCCGUUCUUGGCAAGUUGAAAGGGCUACAAAUUCUUAGUUUUACAAACUCUAAUAUUCAUCGAUUGCCAAGAGAAAUCGGGCAACUGGUAGAGUUGAGGUUAUUAGACUUGAACCAUUGUCAACUUCAGAUAAUUGAACCAGGGGUACUUCAAAGCUUGAUCAAGUUGGAGGAGUUGUACAUGAAGAAUAGCUUUAAUCAAUGGAAUAUCGUGGACCAAACUCCACCAGCUAAUGCCAGUCUGAUUGAGUUGAAUCACAUGAAUAAUCUCCACACUCUGCAUGUUUCCAUUCCUAAUCCAAAAGUGCUUCCAGAGGAUCUAAACCUUGAGAAAUUAAGCAAGUAUGAAAUCCAAAUAGGUAAUGUGUCCUACUGGUGGAGCAGGUGCAAAGGAUCUAGGAUAUUAAAGCUCAAGUUGGAUCCAUUAGACGAUGCUCCUUUGAAAGGAUGCAUUCAAAGUAUCUUAGGCAAAACUGAUCAUCUGUUUUUGGACAAGUUGGGUAGAAAUGAGCAAAGUAUCUGUGAGUUAUCCCAAAAAGGUUUUCCAGAAUUAAAGCAUCUACAGGUCAUGAAUAGUGCUUCUAUCCAUUGUAUCCACCAAUCACCAUCCCAUACACAUUUUAAGAUGUUGGAGUCAUUACUUCUCAAGAAUCUCAUCAACUUGGAUAAAUUAUGCAAUAGCCAUAUCUCAUCGAAGUCCUUCAGUACAUUAAAAGUAGUAGAAGUUGCACGUUGUGACAAGAUGGAAGUAUUGUUUCCUCUUUCAGUGGUGGGAGGACUUCCACAACUAGAAGAGAUUAAAGUUGUUGAUUGUAAGCAAAUGCGAGGGAUUGUAGAUGCUGAUGAUGGUGGCAAAGUUGAGUUGCAUAAUUUGCGUGUAUUGGAAUUGUGUGACUUGCCAAAUAUUAAGAGCUUUUUUGCUAUAGGGACAGCUCCUUUGAGUAGUGCAUUAUACGACCAAGUUGGCACCCAAAUUGCAUUCUUCAAUGAGCAACUGGUAACCUUCUUUCAAAAGAAUAUGAUACUUAUUUCUAUUUUCUUCCUUUGUUUAUUAGAUGUAACACAGAUUAUGAUGCUUAUUUAUUUUGUUAUUUUCAGUUUAUUAUCUUCCUAAUUGCCUUAUCCUUUCAUGCCUUGUCUAUAAUUAGUUAAAGUAAUCUUCCGUUUCACUUAACUGUGUAGAAAUCCAACUAAUUGUAUAAAAUCCAUGUAAAUUUAGUUUGUGAUAGAUUUUGAAUUAUUUUAAACUAACAUGCUACAAGUAUAUCUAUAUUUAUAGGGUUUCAUGAAGCAAAACUGAAGAGUAUUUCAACGUUCAAGUAAUUUCAUAAGUACAGUAAUUUUUAAUAUUUUGAAAUGAAUCCAUUGAAUUUAGUUAUCAAACUUUGUUAUUAUCCACGAAAUGUAUAAAAUAGGUGACUCUUUUGAAAAUCAAUAUGAAGAAUGGGAAGGAGAACCGCUUUUUAAAUUAAAGCAACUAUACUAAUCUAAUUUAUGCAUGUCUUUUGUGUAUUGUGUUUAAAUAAGCAUUCAAUCAUCGCAUAGGGCCAAAAUUAUAAGAAUACAAGUUUUUGUGCAUUUUUUUUUUAAUAGUGAAAGUGGGCCUAGGCAAUUCUAUGACUUAUAGUGAAAGCAGGCCUUGGCAAUGGUAUGAUUUUUAUUAUGCCACACCAAAGUCGUCAUUGCAAAAUUGAAAUUCUUGCCGUCGGAGUUCCAAACUGAUCUUUACAUUUCUCUAGUCCAUACAGCAGAAUUAAGGCUGAGUAGCUACAAUAUCAAAUGAUGGAACUUGAUGCCUUGAUGGAAAAUCCACUGUCUUAAAGUCCAAAUAAUUUUAUAGAGACUUAAUUCAAAUGUUUUGAUGGGCCUAGUAUUUUAAUUUGGCUACUUGGUAUGUCUUAGUUUAAUUUCCAAAGCUUCAAGUGCUCCACAAUUUAAUCUUCAAGAUAUUUGUGGUGAAAUUUGAGUUUUCUUUUUGUUGAAUCCAUCCAAUUUAGAUUGUGAAUUUUAUGUAGCUUCUAUAUCUUAUCAAGAGAAACUGGUGGUUGCCCAGUCUCGUGGGACCAUAUGUGGUCAUUGUGAUUUCUCUUUAUGGCGAUUUAUAAAUCUAAAUAUCAAGUUCUUUAACUAAAUGUCUUCACAUUUGGCCUUUAAAGUAUGUAUGGAUAUAUUUGUACACAAAUCCACAGUUUGUGUUUAAUAUCCUAUUAAAUUGGUUAUUGAUAGUGAUUUAUUAACAUUAAAAGAAGUUAAGUAAAUUGAGGAUAAAUAAUUGUCUAAUUAAGGAAAGCACAUGGCUAUUUUAUAUAGGAAGUAGUUGCUGCUGGUGGAGCCUUUUGGCUCACUACAUAAGAUUGCCCUUUAAUUGUGGUGUGAUUAUAGCUGAAGUUGAUGGUGAGGCCCAAGACUUGCGCCAUAUAUUAGUUUCCCCAUCAGUAAAGAAUCAUGGAGAUUUAAGUUGAUGGUGGGUCCCUCAAGACUACAUGUCUAAGUAUCUCCACUUCAACCUCGACUUUUCCACUUCGCAUGCAAGAGAGGAGUUAGAUUGGGAGGGUUUGCAAAGAGGCUUUGGUGCUUUUAAUUUUCAAGCGUUCGAAAUCUUUGUUAAAGAAUUUUACUCUUGCCUUGAUGCCUUCUCAUUUUGGGCGUAGAAACUAGGGCUGCAAAAAUCUAUGGGAUUAUAAUGAAACGUUUCUAAUAAUUGUAAUAAAUCUCUUCCAACGUUCUAAAGAGGUGGAGCCGAUGAAAGUAGCAGUGGAAGGUUGGAUUGUCGGGGAUGACAGUAGUUGAACAAAGAAACACACAUAAGUUAAACUUGUUGUAAUAGAUGGGAGCAUUGGGUGAUGGUAAGGUAGAUGGGAGAUUUCAAGUAACUUUGCAGAAGAAAGGAUUUUCUCAAGUUGAAGCGGUGAACUUUUGAAGAAGACUAGUUACUCUUUGCCCAAAAAAAAAAAGAGAAAAGAAAAUAAAGCUUUUGAUUGUGAUUUAUUGUUCAGAAGGAGUAAAACUGGCUCACUAAUCAAAUUAAUCUCCACAAUCAUUUUCCAAGUAGAGAUUGGAGAAAGAUUCAUUAUAUUGUUUAGCAAUAACACUAGUAUUGAGAUUUUCUAACUCCUUUUUUAUUUUAUUCUUUUUUUUCCCCUUCUGUGCAACUUAAUAAUGCCCUUCUCUUCUUGGCACACGUAUAUAUUAACAUUUUGGAAGUUCCUAAAUUCGUGAUUUAACCGAAUCACCAAUUCUAUGAGUGAAUAAUGCAGGUUGCCUUUUCGAAAUUGGAGACAUUAGUAAUAUGGGGCUUGGAUAAUGUCGAGUUUUUGUUUUUCGCAUCCAUGGUUAAAUCUCUUGCACAACUGGGAGAUCUACAGGUAUCUUACUGCAAAAAGAUGAAGGCAAUCAUUACAAAGGAAGAAGGGUUGGGAUUGGAAAUAUCAGAAACUCUGGCAUUCCCAAUGUUAACUAACUUAAACUUAAAUCAUUUGGAAAGUUUGAUGUGCUUCUCUUGCAAAAAGUGUAAGAUUGAUUUUUUGUUUUCAUCACUAAAUAUCUUCUUGUAGAUAAAUUCAUCCUUGCAAUACAAAUGGCAACAUUCUUUUCAUCCAUUGAAAAACUAAUGACAGGUUCACGAGAAGCUCGGAGUCAAGACCGCAUCAAGUCAUACUCCAUUGCACUCUUUAGUAAAGAGGUACAUGAUUAACGUUAUGCCAAAAUAUUAUAUAUAACAAAAGUAUUAAAUAUGCAAAAGACAAAACACAGCCAACAUAAGAACUAACUAAAUUACUCACAAAGUGUACUUUAAUUAAAAUAUUUUAAAGAAAAUGAGUCGCAUACAAACAUAAGUAUUGAAAGUUGCCAACACGUAUGAGUUGCAAUUGUUUAAUUUUAAUUUCUCCUAAAUAGUUUCCAUAAAGAUGGUCAAAUAUCUCUUAUGGUUAAAAGCUUGUCGAUGUUCAUGGGAAACUUAAAGCUCUCAGCAACCUCGCAUGUACAACAUCGACAUUGCACGCAUGCACAUUGAAAGCAAUUUAAAAACAAUGGAGAGGAAGUGAGCAGUAAGGUUCGAGAGGUUGUAGAUGAAAGGCCUUUAAGGUACUCACUUGACUUCAUUUGCUCUUAAAAGAUCUCUCUUUUUUCCCCCCUAAUCGAAGGAAGCUUUACUCUCCCUUAAUUGAACCAGCAAAAGGUAUCUGAGUCCUCUCCAUUGCUAAACUGAGCAAGAUCUCUAGGGACUAGGGCUUCAGAAAUCACCCCUUUUAGUUUUAACAUGAGCUGCAAGACCAAAGUGAUCAAUUCAGUGACUUCUCUAAGUGCACUGCAAUUUCAUUGAAUAAUUUCAUCCAUACUGUAACUUAAAUAACCAUCUCACAAAUGUUAUGUACACUAACUAUUUCAUCCUUUGGUUAGCAAAAAAAGCACAAAGUGUAAUUUGAUUAUUUUGGGAAAUUGACUAAAUUCAAGAGAGGGAAUGACAUAAUUUAAAUUUGGGAUUAUGAGGGACUAAUGUGACUAUGUGAUAGUUAAGGAGCAUAUCCAAAUUACCAUUUUGCCAUUAUCAACAGAAUCUAGUCAGAAUUCCUACUUUUUGACUUGUUUGCGGUAAAUUCCAAUAGCCUUCUAGUCCUAGAGUCAUCAACAUUAGUAUGGGCAUUUUUUACUCUUUUUUUUUUUUUUUUACUUUACUCUUCUUCUUUUUUUCCUUUUGUGCAACUUAAGACAUAAUCAUCAAUUUUAUGAAUUCCAAAUUUACAUCUUGACACUCAUCUAUCUUGGAAGUUCAUGAUUAACUCAAUCACCAAUUCUGUGAACGACUAUCGCAGGUUGCAUUUCCUAAAUUGGAGGCAUUAGAUAUCACUAGCUUGGACAAUAUUGAGAUGAUAUGGGAUAAUAAAGUUGCUGCGGAUUCUUUCCCCAAGCUAAAAUCCCUUUGUGUGGUUGACUGCAAUAAGCUUGUGAGCGUAGUUCGUUCUUUCAUUCUAAGAUGGCUCUUGAGCCUGGAAAGAUUGGAUGCAAGAAGAUGUAAUUCGCUUGAAGUUGUUUUUGAACUUCAGCCACUGAAUCAUCUAGAUGGACAUCCUAUUGCUCUUCCAUUUGAAGAACUGACGAUAUCAAGAUUACCAAAGCUAAAGUGCAUAUGGGAUAAGGAACUCCACUGUCAAAUUAAAUUCCAGUGUCUACGUUCUAUUAGUGUUUCAAGAUAUGAGGGCCUCACCUAUUUAUUUCCAACCUCAGUAGCUAGAGAUCUAAUCCGACUUGAGGAGUUGGAGAUCGAUGAAUGUGGCAUUGCAAAAAUCAUCAAGAAUGAAGAAGGAUUAGUUCCCAGGUUUGUAUUCCCAAUGUUAACUUCCCUCAAGCUUAAGUAUCUGAGAGAGUUGAAGUGCCUCUACAUUGGAGCACAUACUUCCCAAUGGCCGGCAUUGAAGACCUUGAACAUGCGUGGCUGUGACAAAGUGGAGAUACUUGUAUCGCACUCAGUAAAUGAGAUGCCACUUGAUAAACCGCCUUUCUUCUUGAUAGAAAAGGUACGAUCGAAGAUUACUUCUUUUACUUUUAUGGUGAAUAUUUUGAAGUGAUGAUUAAGGUCACAAUCAAGCAUCUCAUACAAGUAGGUCUACGUAGGAAGAUGUAAACUGUACGACUCACCUUCAAUUUAUAGAAAUAUUUCUACAUUGAAACAUCACAUGUUCUUCAAUUGUUGACCGAACAUUCUUGUCAGAUGUAUCAAAUGCAUUUUUAAUGAUCCCCUUUUAAUAAAGUUUUAUGCUAAUUUCGAUGGUUUAGCUCUCUCCUAAGUGCCAGAUGAAAACACAUGGCAUGUGUCGUGAUCUUAGCAUGGUACAAGUGUAUUGUCUAAUUUGAAUCCUAUAAAGAUUACCAAAGUUUUGCUAAAAAUGGAAAGAUGUGACGUUUUUGUUGACAUUAAUCAUUGAAAUUUGUGCACGUGCAACUGUAAUUAAUGCAUAGGUUAUUUUCACAAGGGAUUUAUCUUUAGAAUUGUGAACAUAAUGAGUUGCUUAAGCUCAAAUAUGGAUCCAAGUUGAAUAUAAAGAUUAUUGAUAAUGUUUAUUUGAUGUAGGCACAUUUCCUUUUAUUGAAUCACAUGAGACUCAACAUUCUAUAAAUGAAGUUAUUGCGCACAACAUGCAGGACUUAUAUCAUAGUACAUGAAUGCUCUUUUAACUAAGUUGGCUUUAAAUUAUGAUUUGACUAUUUUCUCAGGGCGGAUUCCCUAGUCUCCAAGAGUUAGAAUUGGAUUUAUCGGAAUGGAUGGAGAUAUGGCAUGGGCAUUUUCAUCAUGGAGCAUUCUUUUGCAAGCUUAGUUUGCUUAAGCUUCAUCAUCUCUCCCAGGAGUCUUUAAUAUCCACAUGUCGCUUUGUUGAGAGUUUAACCAACUUAAAAGAGCUAGUUGUAUGUGAAUCUUAUCUAGAAGACCCAAGCAGCAGUGAGGAAGCCAUAGAAGGCACAAGUCAUGAGAUGAAAGUAAUAUUACCCUUUUCAAGAUAUAUUCGACAUUUGCAAACUCUAGAUGUGUCACAUUGUGAUGGGUUAUCAAAAAUGUUCACACCAACAACUGCUGAAAAUUUGGUGGCACUCACAAAAUUGAAGAUAAGUAAUUGUAGAAUGUUGACAGAAGUCAUUAAUGAUGAGAAAGGUGGGGAGGGGUGUGUGGUGGCUUUCAAUCAAUUGAAGUAUAUGGAGCUUGAUGGGUUGACAGGGUUGAGAAGUUUCAGCUCACGGAGAUAUACUUUGAUGUUCCCUCUCUUGGAAGAUGUCAUUGUGACUAGGUGUCCCAACAUGAAGUUUUUCUCUCAAGGACCGAUAGAGGCAUCAAAGUUAAAGAGAGUUCGAGUAUUAAAGGAAGCGUGGUUUUGGGCAGGAAACCUCAACAUCACCAUCCAAAAUAUGUUUGAAGAAAUGGUAUGCAUCAAUUACCAAAUUCCAUGUAUUUGGAUGGUUUUGACCAUUAAAUGAAUAAUUGCUUUUUGCUAGCUAGAAGUUUACAUUUAAUGAUGCAUUUUUUGACAGGUUUCCUUUGCUGGAGUAAAGAAAAUGCUGCUAUCUGAGUUCCCCAAGCUGAUUGGAAAAUGGCAUAACGAACUAAAUCCCAUCAAGUCUUAUUGGCAAUUAGAAUCAUUGGUGGUAGAUAAAUGUCCAUCAUUUGUUAACGAUAUUCCAUCUAGAUUGAUGCCUGUUUUAGAAAAUCUGAGCUUUUUGCAAGUGCGUGAUUGCGAGUUGCUUGAAGAAAUAUUUGAUUUGGAAGGGCCGGGGGCAAUGGAAAGCACUAGAGUACUACCUCGGCUACAUGAAUUGAACUUGGCCAAUCUACAAAAAUUGAGGCGACUAUGGAACAAAGAUCUUCAAGAAUGGCCUCACUUCAAUUCUCUAGGUUAUCUCAUCCUUUAUAAUUGCAGCAACUUGGGACAUGCUUUCACUCCAUCGAUGGCUCGAUGCCUUGCCAAUCUUGAACAGGUGGAAAUAAAGGAGUGUGGUCAGAUGGAAAGAGUGAUUGCAGAGGAAGAAGGGCAAGGAAGCAUAGUGGAGAAGAUUACAUUCCCAAAGCUCAGGUGGAUGAAACUAAAAUGCUUACCCAAUUUGACUUGUCUUCUCUCGAGAAAAAAUCAUACAUUGGAAUGCCCCAAAUUAGAAUCGCUAAGCAUUGCCCAUUGCCCUAAGAUGAGAAGUUUGACUAGGCAAUCCCGAAUGGAGAACGACCACAGCAACCCUUCACUUUACACUCCCCAGGUCAGUCUUUUAAGCAAAUGCAUUUUUUGGCAUUUCAUUGGAAACAUAUUCUCGUAGUAUUGGACAAUGCACGGUAUGAUGCAAAUUUAGUGCUUUGUGUGGGUUUAUAUACAUAUCUUCUAAAAUUAUUCUAAUCCUCAAUAAAUAUAACUAUGAACCAUCCAUCUCCACAUCCUUUUAGAAGUGUUAAAUUGGCGUCAGUUCAUGAAAUCAUUAUAUUCAUAGUACUUUAGAAUUAAUUAGCGAGGUUCUUAAAAAAGUUACCACAAAAACCAUAUAAAGACAUUUUCUUUUUGCAAUUUCAACAAUAAAGAGCUAAACAGUAAACAUAGUAUAGCAUCUAAAAAUGACAAAAAAAUGUAGUAUUGCCACUUCAUAUUUUCUUGCACGGAAGCAAACUAGCAUCGUUCUACUAAACAUGAAGAAAAGGGGAAAAGAAAACUUCAUAAUGUAAAAGCUUAGUUCACAAAUUGCUUAGCAAUGACAAAUCAUUGUACCAUAAAUCAUCUUCCCAAUCAAUGAAAUUAAGGGAAUUGGAGAGGGCGGCACUUUUAAUUGGAGUGUUAUAAACUUCAAUGAUGAUUCGUGCAAUCAACUUUUUUAUUUCUUAAUACUCACCAAUGCUUGAGUUGGGUCUUCAUAAUAAAAUAAAUACAAAUAAAAAGGUCAAUAUGCAUGGAGCGAUUUGUCUUCUUCAUUCAUAAAUCCUACUUGAAUUGCUAUAUUCCAACAAUUUAUCAAGUUAGGUACCUGUGUUAUGCAAUAAAUAUUAACUUUGAAUAAUUAUAUUUAGUGAUAAUUAGUUUGAUAAUGUGCUCAAUUUAUAUUUGGCAAGAGAAAAGGUAGAUUGCUUUUUCCAAGAAAAGUAAUGGCGAAAGAAAGGAAAAAUAAAUAAAAGAGAGGAAAGGACAGCUGGAUGAUAAAUAGUAGCAAUUCUGUGGGCGGUUGCCGACAUUGCAAGUCUUAUUUUAUAACUAGAUGACAAUAUUUAGUCAAUGUCCAAGCUAAAAUAAAAAUUUUAAAAAUCAGAAUAAAUUAUCCAAUUGACAACAAUACCGAAGAGAAAAUAUUAGGUGCAUUGAAUAUUCCCCAUAAGAUUCGUACUGAAUAAUCCGCAGAUCAACACAUGGCAAAGCCAGGCCCGCCUCUCAAUUGAACCAUCAAAAUUUUUGCUCCCCCCUUUGUUCAUUUACGUCCUGUCACUGGAAAGCUCUGCUCUCCUCUUCCUAGUGUGGCUCUGCUCCCUCUCUCUCUUUCAUAUACGAAGGUGCAUCUCUAUACGUGAACCACACCACCCCUUUGGCCUCCAUCGGUUGCGGUGCGCUCACUGGACAAAGGGAAAAAAAAUAGAAAAAGGAAGAAAUUAGACAAAAGUCUAUUUGGUGUUUCAGCUUCUCCCCCCUUGAGAACUGUUCGCUCUCAGUCAUUUCGUUUGACCUUGUUCCUUCUCUUUGCGAUGAGGGGAAAAAAUAAAGUGAAUUAAAUCUACGUAGUCAAGUAAUGAUAAGUCUUCUUCCUCCCCCUCCUCUACCUUCUUUUUUUGGGGCAAAUGAUUGGGUGGUCUGUCCAAUGGUUGAAUUGGAAGCUUCAGAAUCACUUCUCUGAAGCUCGCCUCCUCUCUGUGCGCGUGCAUGCGUGGGUUCCGAGCGAUUACGCGAACCGGAGCUUGUUGGUUAUGGUGGGUCGAAGUGGAUCUCCGAUGCGGAAGCGAUUUUGAAGUCGAUUCGAUCGGGGCAUUGAUUCCGACGAAGAAAAAUUAAAAAAUCUUAUCUUCAGCCCUCUCUUCCUCCUCUUUCAUCCACAGCUGCCCGACCUCCGCCCCUCCUCCGUUGUCACCAAUGGCGGAGUCAUCAGCGCCUUGCUUAGGCUGAUCCUCACUACGUCCAAGCCGAGCAUGGCUGGCUUCCUUUGCUUUGUCCAUCUCAUCAUCCUACAGAUCUCGAAAUCUGGCCGUCCAUAGCGACGUAGUUGCAGAUCUAGAAGUCCACCACUAUCUUUAGCAGCCAUGGACGUGCCACUGUUGCCGGAACGAUGGCUUUAGACUUGGAAGUCCCAUCGUGAAAAAUGAUGGCUUAUGGACUGCCAUUGUCCCCUCCGUAGUCGCUCGCGAUCGGCUCAUGGUCGGCCCCGUCCAUGGCUGGCCACCCCUCCAUCAUCACAGAUGCUUGUGGUCAUUGCCCAUCCAGAUCUGGAUUGGAGUCGUGCCUCCAGAUCUAGUAUCGUCCAUAGCUCGCGAGGAGGCUCCUCCACAGAUCUAGCGACCGCUGCUUGUCCAUGGCCAUGAGCCUUGACGACAAGUUUGAGAUCCUAACGGCCAAGGACCCCAAGGUCAAACAGCGAAACAAAAAACAGAGGAAUAGAUGUCAGGGAAGAGUGGCCACAGACGAGAUGGCCGGAGCUUGAAUGCGGCCAUGGACAAGGGGCGUCAUGAACGGGCAGACCACAAAGACGACGGAGAGGGUUGGACGCCCGGAAAUGGUCGCCUUGGACACAGCGCCGGCAACUCCGCCGUUGGCAACGGCGGAGGGAGGUGGGAAGGUUGCGUUCAAUGUGGGUGGAGAUGGAGGAGAAAGCCUAGAUGGAGGAGGAAAGUGAGGUGGAUUGAGAUUUUUUAUGUUUAGUCAUCUGACCAAAAAAUGCUAAUAUUUAGUCAAUGUCCUAGCUAUAUAAAAAAUUAAAAAUAAUAGGAAUCAAUCAUCCAGUCAACAUUUCCAUUCCGUUCCAUGAAGUUCUCACGGGAAGACUGAACGCAAUAAAUGACGACCUCGACCGGCACUUCUUUUUUUGGGUCGAACCUUGAGGCACUUGAAAAUGUGCGAUAUCAACCCAAAUUUGAAUUUUUGGCGUUCAUUUUUUUUUUUAUUAUGGAUUCCAUAUAAGUUUCGGUUAUUUCUUUUUUCCCUUGAGGGAAGAAAUGCUUGUGUUUUGUCUUAUUCUAAUACUUUUGUGCAAUUCUUUCUAUCGUUGCUUACGAGUAGAAUGUUUAAUCAUGAGGAGUAUCUAUAUAUUUGUUUACUAUUUAUCGUAAACUUUAUCGCUAAUUAUUUAUUUAUUUCUAAUGUCAUUUGCAUGUAUAAGUUGUCAUGUAAUAAUAGGUAUCCCCACAUUUUGAGGAUAUUUCAAAAAGUCAUUAUUACAUUGAAUCAAGAAUACUAAUAAAUUGGGGAAGCAUAAAAAUAGUCAUAUGAUUUUUUGGUAGUGACAAGUUGUGAUAGCGUUAAUUUCAUUUUUAUGUCAAAUAUGAGCUACCUGUAAUUAUAAGUUGCUCCCACAUUGUUAGACAAUUUCAAAUACUCAUUAAAAUCCUCAAUUAAGAAUACUAAUAGAUUAAGGGAAGUGUGGAAAGUCAUUUUGUUUUUUUUUUGUUUUUUUUUUUGUGAGAAGUCAUAGGUGCGUUAACUUUACUUUUUAGUGGACAAUCAUAUUGUGGUCAUAACACGGUAAAAAAAAAAAAAAAACACGGCUGAUUUUCUCCACACAAACAUAUUGUGGUCAUCCGCUUCUUUUUUCUGUUCUUUUUACGUUUCUUUUAGCCUCCAACACCCGAACAAAACUCCAAAAGCCUCAACACAAGGCAUCAAUUAAGGAUAAGAAAUUGGAUACCAUUUUUUGCGAGCAGUUGCACCACUGACCCACCACAAGAUUCUACCACAAAAGUGAAUAAAUAAUAUUUCAAGCAAGUUAUUAAUGGUCCAAUGUAGAACUAGUAAGUUGGCCCAACUUGCUUUUUUAUGAGAUCAUAAUAUAUGUUAAUUAUUCCAAUCAUUAUAUUGCCCGUGCCUGUUACAUAUUUAUUUUUUCGAUACAAAAAUUUUUAUGCACGUAAUAAAGAAAAAACUUGUAAACAAUUGAAGUUAUUAUUAUUUUUAUCUGGUUCACCAUCUAAUUUGCAUGAUGCUUCUCAUUAGUGAACUUUAUUAAUUGAAGAUGCAUAAGUAAUGUUCGCAAUUGGUAUUAGUGUUGAAUAAGUAGCGUGCUCAUAGUAAAUAGAGGAAAUAAUCUCUAUCGUAGGAAGACACAUUUGAUGAGUGUUGGACUCGAGUUGUCAAUCAAUUGUAAGUGAAGAUGCACAAAUCUCACUCGUGCUCCCAUUUUGUGGCUUAUUGAUCCCAACUAUUGAUCUAUUUAAAAAAGUUAUUUCUAAAAUUUAUCACUCAAUGCAUCAAUGAUUGAUGAUGAUUGAGGCACCAUAUGGUAAAAAAAUGGGGGUAGUGCAUCUCCAUCCUUUCCAUAUAUACAUGGACAUGCUUAUAUAAUCAUCUUCUAAGUCCAUGCUAUUAAAAAGCAAAUAAGCAUCACUGUACAAGAUUUCUUACCUCCAUACAAAUAAACACGAUGUCCAUGCUGUUGAUUCACUUUUGCUAAUAAUUUUCGAUUAUUCUAAAUCUACUAGAGAUGAAAAUGGGAAGUUAAUUCCUUUUAAUUGAUAAGAAAUAUAUGUAGAACCUGCUUAUACCUAUCACUGGAGCAUCAUCAUCAUAUUGCACCCAUCAAUGCAGCAUUGGACCCAACAUAAGGAAGAGAGAAGAAUGAUAUGUAUGUAUAUCCCGAUUGGAUUGCAAUAUGAAGCACAUGCAUCAAAGCUUCUUUGAACCGUGCUUCGGCUACAUUCGUUCCUCGAACCAAAUAAAUUUAAGAAAUUCUUACCUUAUCUAAUGUUGCAUUAUCAAAAAAUCAGUGCAAGCAACUUUGAUAAUGAUCAGUUGAAUAAUCCAAGUAUUCAUCAUUGAACUUUCCAAAAAUUAAAGAGAUAAGGCGUUGCUAUUAUUUAAUGUCAAUUGAGGCACUUAAAAGUCAAUGCUCAAUGUACUAUUGAUUAUAAAUGCAUUUAUAAUUUCAUGCUUGUUGCAAUGCAAUAUGCUUGGCCUUAGUCAUUAGUCAACUUAAAUGAAAGGAUUAAUUAGCCGCUCCCUUUUUUUGUCAAUAACAAGUUCCCACAUUCUCAUGAUUUGUGAGAGUAAGGGAAGUUUAGAAAUUCUUUCUUUGAGGUCAUAACUCAAUGUAAUCACAUUCAUUACGUCAUUUUUCUCAAUAUGCCAGGUACAAUGUCCUAAGCUUAAGCGGAUGUUUCUCUCCCAUAUGGACAAUUUAAGCAAAAUAUGGAGUGACAAUCCUCAAGAAACUCUCACUUUUGACAAUAUAUGGAAAGUGCAAGUUCAAAAUUGUAGGAGCCUUGAAAUUGUGUUUCCGCAAUGGGUGGCUACAAGUCUAACCCAACUUAAGGAACUUCAAGUGGAGUCUUGUGGGAUUGAGGAAAUAGUUGCUAGUGGGAAUGAGACUCCACAUUCCAAUACCACUCAAGAUCUUUUCCCAAAACUAACCUUUCUAGUGUUACAUGAUAUGCCACAACUCAAGAACUUCUGCACCAACUUGCCUGCUUUGAAAUGGCCAAUCUUGAAGGAACUGCGAGUGACUCAUUGUGAUAAAGUAAACAUGCUGUCUCUUGUAGCAUCUAUGAGCAAUUGGGCUCAAAAAGAUUAUCAACGGGGCCUUUUAGACCAAGAAGCACACUCUUUAUUUGAAAUGGUAUGAUUUCAGUUGCUCUCCCUUAGUUUCUAUUUUGUUCUUUAAAGCACUCACUGAUCUCAUAUCCACUACAUAAUCAAGCCACGUUAUAUUGCUAUAGAAAACAUGAUCUCCCUUACUUAUUAGUUUGUUGACAACAUUAAAAUAUUUCUAAUAUCUUAAGUAUACUUUUCAUUUGUGGACAACCAUAAGAUAUUUCAUUACCUAUAAUUACAAAAAUAAUUAUAGAUUUUUGUUGAAGGCGCAAUAUAUUCCUAAUCUAGUCUAGUGGUGCUCCUUAGGGAAAUCAUUGAAAAUUUGACAUGAGGUCCACUUCAUUGUUGACAUGUGUUGCACAUUUGAACUUUUUUUCUCCAUUUCAUCUUCUAAAAACUCUAAAAAAAAAAAAAAUCAAUACAAACAAUUUUAACAAAGAUAAGAUUAGUACCUUAUGCACUAUUUUCUUUUGUAUUCCUUAAUUGAUCUCGUCUUAUACAUAGUCAUUCUGUUGUAUUACUUUAGACAACCUGAAACUCCUUACCUACGAGUUUGAAGAUAACAUAAGAUAUUUUAUUAUAUCUUAGGCACACUUUUAAGUUUGUGGACCCAUAUGUUUCAGUAAUAUCAUCCGUGCAUCCCAUUACAUAAGUUUCCAAAGAUGACUAAUUUUAGUUAACAAGAUAAGAUAUUUCUAAUAAAAGGUGAAGAUGAAUUUGGUGAGCUUGGAGAGAUCUUGACAAGUUCACUCUACAAACUUAACCAUACCAACCUCUAUUCGAGACUUUUAAAAGCUUGAGACUUGAAUGUAGGGCUCUUGAGAUAUAAUAAACUUUAAGAAGAUGGCCACCCUCCAUGUGAAUCAUCUUAAUAGGUUUACUUUUUACGGCACAUGAUUUAUUGUCGAAAUUUUGUUGAAUUUACUUCUCUUGUUGUAUUGGCAAUUCAACAGGAUUUUUCCAACUUGGAGAGACUUUUAUUAGUCGAUAACAAUAUUCAGAUGAUACAAGAUGGAAAUUUUCCGAAUGACAUGUUUAGCAAGCUAAAAGCAGUAACACUGGCAUGCUUUCAUGAUAAAAAGGCUACCUUUCCUUCCAUAUUCCUCCUAGAGAGAUUUCAAAAUCUACAAAGCCUUGAGGUCUUUUGUAGCUCCUUUGAAGAUUUAUUCUCGGACGAAGGGCUUGUAGAAGAAGUGAAACAUCCGGUGCUUGAAAAUUUAAGAGAACUUAAGUUAAACAAGCUACACAACUUAAAGUGUGUGUGGAGAGAAGACUCGUUAGUAUCGAAAAUUCUUCAGAGCAUCAAAACAUUUGAGGUUUGGGAUUGUCCUUGUUUGACAAUAAUAUUUCCAACCGUGACAUCCUUCCAGAAGCUGACCGGCUUAGAGGUAAAAAAUUGCUCUGGAUUGGUACAUUUAGUAACAGCUUCAGUGGUCACAAAUUUGGUGCAUCUUGAAUGGAUAACUAUAAUAGAAUGUGAAAGAAUGAAAGAAGUAAUGACAAAUGAUGGAAAUGGAGAAGAAAAAGUGAUUUCUUUUGGAAAUCUACAAUAUUUGACACUCCAACAUCUGCCAAGCCUAGAAUGCUUUUCCUCCAUCCCGAGUUGUACUUUUAGGUUCCCAUCCUUGUGGAGUAUUGAAGUGGAAGAGUGCCCGAAAAUGAAGACAUUUUCUAUGGGUACGCUAAGCACGUCAAGACCAUAUCAUGUGUCAUUGUUCAGAUAUAAGUGGAGAGGGAAUUGGGAGACGAGUGAUGAUCUCAAUACAACCAUACAAAAAUUAUCAGCAUGAACAAAUUCACAUAUAAUUGGUAAGAUCCAAUUGGCGUCAUUCUCUCAUCAAUUUUUUUUUCUUUUUCUUUAUUCUUUUGGUAGUGCCGUAAGUUUUUAAAAUUUUUCUUUUUGUGACUUUUCUAUUAUUUAUUCCGUCAGAUCAGCAUGACCAUUCCGUCAGCUCAUCCUUCAGUGAACAGCAGGAAGCAAAGCAGGGCUCCCCUUCUCCUCCUUGACGCCAGAAGCUCUCUCUUCAUCUUUCUUCUUCUUCUUCUUCUUCUUCUUCCUCCUCCUCGGUGAAGCGAAACUAGGGGGAACCUCUGCUGCCUUCACGAAGGACGGAGCGAAAAUGAAGCAUCAGGAAUUGCCAGGACUGCGAGAAGCGAAGCUGCACUUAGCGGAGCGAAGCCAAGUAGAUUCAACCAGACGCUGUCGUUGUCGCCGUCGUCGCCGCCGGAGGUGGCACAACCAAGUCAGUCGUCCACUCACUUCAUCAAAGAUGAAGAAGAUCACACUCUCUCCCCGCAUCUGCAUCCGACAAAUUGUAAGUUCAUGUUUCUUCCGAUUUUGGUGUCUUAUUGCGAGUAAAUUAGGGCUCUAUUCUUCAAAUUCGUUCUACAUUCGAGUCUAAAAUUAGGAGUUCCUCAAACUAGCAAUUUAUUGCCCUUAAAUCUACACCUUCUAUGCUUCCCUCGCGAGCAUUGGCGAGAUUUCUGCGUGUUUGAGCUCUCAUAGAUGGAGAUGAUAUGUUGUGUUCAAGGUCUCAUGUUGAAAUUUCUUUGGGUAGAGAUAUCUUUGUAACAUUAGGUACAAAUUUCUACCAGGAAAAAGGGAGAAAUCACGGAACUUGAAAAUAAUCCGAGAAUUCCACGCCUUGUCAAAAAUAUGAAAAGUCACUUUUACGCCUUGUUUGCAAUAUAGUCUAGACUGUCUGAGGAAUCACUUGUAAUCUUGAUUGGUUAAGUGUUGCUAGAAGGACAAAAUUUUAUUUUCAAUUAAUGCUAAAUCUUUUCAUAGCAAGUCAAACUAUUGAAGUGUACUUAAACUAUCUCUAAAGUAGUCAUUUUUUAAGUAUAGGCUAGUCCAAGCAUUCAAGAAGAUUGAGGCAUCAUCAGCUGGUUUUUAUGAUCCCAUGUGCCCAAAGCCUCUCACUGCUCUUACAUUGGCCAACAAAUUUCAAAUGGAGCAUCCCUUUCUCAAAGAUGGUGAUGAGGCCCUCUUAUGUUUAGUUUGGCUUGGUAUGAUCCCAUGCUUACUGACCCAAACUCGCACGUCUGAAAAUCAAACAUAUGGAUGCUGUUUAUAUCUUUGCUUAUACUCUCGUAUAUAUCCAAGUUCACUUAAUGUAGUAAAUCACAUGACAUAUUAUUCUCCUUGAACUAUUCCUAAGUGUAUAUCAAAAAUCAGAUAUAUAUCUUAACAAUGGAGUAAUUGAAGGAGGGAAAAGAAUGAAAGGACAAUUAUUGUGACCUAAGUUGGUCGUUGAGGUUCGGAAACAUAACAGUUCUCCUUUUUUGUGGAUAGACGUUUAAGAAAACAAUUGCUGAGGCGAGUCUUAAGAAUUAUAAUCCAAGUCCUCUUACAUGGAGAAAAUUGACGAUGUUAUUCAAUGCUGUAAAUUUAGAUUAUAUACGUAAAUCAUCAUACAAGGGGACUAGUUGAUAAGGACAAGCAAAUUGCAAUAAUGUCAUUACCUCCAUGACUAAAGGGAAAGACCUGAAAGAUAAGGGGGUGGCUAGUUAUCAUAGUGACGAAUAAUUUUAAUGCUAAAUAGGAGAUACUGUUUUAUUUUGUUAUACUUAUCAUAUAUUUGAGGGGAAAAAAAAAAGCUUACUUUACUUUGUCAUAUAGAACCAAUAGUUUGAUAAAUCAUUAAAUUUAGCUGUGAUUGAAAGAAUUGAACAGCUUAGUCUAAAUUUUCAAUUCCAUCCAUGUUCGACUCUUAGAUGUCUUUGCUUUUUCCCUUGCGGGUUGUGGUCUGCAUGGCUAAAAUGCAUGUCUGUUAAAUUUAUAUAUGACAUGGAAGGCUUCUUCUGGUUAUGUACCCUAUUGCACUCUAGGAGUGUAUAUUUUGACAUUUGACUUCAUAUUGCAUGUUGAGAUUGAUGACUUUCAUAUUGCAUGGCGGGGCUGGGCGAGCCUCGUCGGCAGCUGGGCGAGCCUCGUCAGUAGCUGGGCGAGGUCGAGCCUUGCCGGUGGCUGGGCGAGCAUCGUCGGCAGCUGGGCGAGGCUCGGCCUCGCUAGAUCGGGCGAGGUCGAGCCUUGCCGGUGGCUGGGCGAGCCUCACCCAGCUGCCGGUGAGGCUCGCUUGGCCACCGGCGAGGCUCGGCCGACGAAGGCGGACCUCGCCGAGGGCUGGCGAUGCUCCGGUGAGCGUCGCCGGCCCUCGUCUGGCUGGUCGCCGGUCUGGCGACCGACCAAAUGAAGAAGAAGAAGAAUAGGAAAAAGGGGAAAAAAAGGAAAAAAGGAAAAAAGAAAAGUAAAAAAAAAAUUAUUUAAAAUUUAUUUAAAAAUAAAAAGAAAUUAAUUUGGAACAUAAUCAAUUAACACAGUAUCAAACGCAAUUCUAUUCCAGAAUAAAAAAAUUUGGACAGUUACCAAACGCACUUUUUUACUCAGAAUCAGUUCCCGGGAACAGAAUAAAAAUUAAUCAUUUCUAGUCAGAAUCAGCUCCCGGGAACAGAAUCGUUGCCAAACGCGCUCUUAGCUGUCACCAUGUGGGCACGAGUCAUGAGACGGAGGAAACUGAUUGCCAAUGUCAAAUUAAGUGCUUCUUCAAUGUUUCUAGUGGCUCAACCUGACAUUUGGAGCUGUAAAGUGUAGUAACAUCGAAUGCACUUCCCUUCAGCCAUAUUACCAACUCUGAAUUUCAAGGCACAACCCAUGGUUUUACAAAGUUUAAUGUGGACAUACAUUAGAUUCUUUUCAUUUUCUCCUUUCGAAUUCAUGAAGAUUCUAUAAUGAGCCUUUUUUUCCAUGUGGGCUGCGCAAAUUGAAGUUUCUGAGUUUCUUCUCAUGUGGAGCAUUUUAGAACUUAUUUUGUCAAAUGAACUGAGUCUUGAAAUGCGUGUCAAAGCAAUUUGGAAUGAAACAACCUGGUAAGGGGGACCAGCAAAUGACAUACGUCGGCAUCGUCUGAAUGUCACAAGCAACCGGCUAUCUGCGGGUAUUUCUUGAAGCAGCAACGUUCAUCAAGGAGAGUUCGGAGUUCGGCCUGAAUGACUUUUGCUUGAGAGAGAGAGAGAGACCAUGGGUCCUGAGCUUCAUCAACUCAUUCCAAAUAUGUUGGUCGAUUUUUGCUUUGUUAUGCUUUCUUCCACUUCAUCGCGUCCUUCGGAUUCCGUUGCCGUUGUUUAGGCCCACGUGCAAAGGGGAUGUUUGGAUAUGAUAUGCUGAUUUGAAGGAUGAGAUUUCUCGGUUCCACUCUCAGUCUUCCUGCUGGUGCGGUGUACCAGCAUUGACGUGGAUAUUGGUCCGUCAGCUGACAAUUAUGUGGGCAACUAUUAAUAAUAUUUUAUUUUAUUUUUUGAUUUUUUAUUAAUUUUUUACUUCAUCGACCAAUGCAAUCGGAGGCCAAUUGAGUCAUCAUCGUUUGAGACUACAAGCCAAGGGCGUGAAGAUUGGCGGCGAGCUUGAAGAGAAAACAAUGAGAGAAUGCAGUGCAAAGCAAAGCCCGUGGAGAUGAUGGCCAAUCGUGUUCAUUUACAAAGGAAAAUUUCCACUUUUAUCUCUCGCAAUUUCAACUCCAUAGAAACAUUUUAAUUUUUCCUUAAGUCUUUCAAUUUGAGAUUUCUAUGUAAGUUCUCUCUUAUUGGAAAGCAAAUUGAACUAAGUUCAUUUCCAAUUAUCGAGAUGUCAUCCAUGUAAAUUAACAUCAUGAUAAAUGAAUUUCUUCUCCUAUUUACGGAGUAAAUCCUAACUUAAAGAAUGUCUCGGAUAAAUGCACAUAAGACCUUUCAAUAGUUUAUCUGCACUUUUUGCCUUAACUAGUCCUACAGAUUUUAUCAUACUUUUGUUGACAAAUAUGACAUGAGAACUCACAGGUCGCACAGUCUUUACCACCAUAUCGAGGUUGAGCAUACGAAUGACAAGAGUCAUGACACCAUUUGACAAAUGACAUCCUAUUCUGACAAAGUCGGCCAUAAUAAGGGUUCAAUAAGUUGAGAACAAAUCGAAUUUAUGUAAUAUCAUUAUGUGGUUUUAGGAUUGAAUCGAAUCUACAUACUAAUCUAGUUCGAGCAUUUCAUCAAACAAGUAAUAUACAUUUUGAUCAAGGAGCUCAUACGCAAAUGUACGGCAACGAUUGACUUUCAGAUCAUCACAACAAUAACAGUACAAGUCUGAAUUGCGAAUAGAGCUUCAAUCUCAACUGAUUUACUCACAGACAUUAGCUAAAGCUAACAGGCUCUGUUUCGUUCAUGAGCGGCAGAAACAGAGUGUGUGGGAUUUACCUUGACAUUUAAGUUUUUAACCUCGGACGGUCAUCAGAUCGUUGACAAAGUUCCCAGUGGUGUCGACGCCGAUGAUCGAGGCCAGCGAAAGGGGAACAACCAAGGUUCGUGAACUUGCGAGCGUCCUGACCAGAAAACAGAGCAGAACGAGAGUUGGCCUUGCUACAACGAAACCGGCAAUGGCGGAGCGGCUACAGGGGUGGCUAACGGUGCCUGAAGGACGACGGAGAAGGAGAGCCGAUCUAGAAGCCUCAAGAAUUCCCAAGAAAGAGAGUUUCUUCGUCAGGUUCAGCGUAUGCGUACUGUUGUGUUAGCGCUGAGCCUGUGGUGGCCGUCAAUGGUGGCUCAACGGUGGCUGGUUUGGCGAUUGGAGAUGGCGGACGGUGGAUUUCUGGUGUUGAUUAGUAGUGGAGAAUCUUCUGGAACUCGGUUGAUCGAGAGAGAGACAGAGAGAGAGAGAGAGUAUGGAUUGAGGGCUGCGGUGGGGGAACUUGUCUGGGCCAAGGUUUACUCUGAUGGGCCUAGCAUGAUCUGGGCUACGAUUGUGCAUCAGACCCAACAGAUCGGACCAGGCCCUCUCAAUUCUGACCGAGUGGGAGCUUUUUUAUUGCUUUCUUUUUUUUUUUAAUUUUCUUUAUUAUCUUAUAUACCUUUAAAAAAAUCCAUGUUCAACUUGCUAGCAAAAGAAUAACUUCACAACCGACUCUACCACAAUCCCUUAUUUGUGCAAUAUUGCGACAUCAUUCAAUGAGGAUAGUUAUCAUACCUAGCUCUAUAAUCCUUGAUUUGAAUUUGAGCAUUGAUGGCAUGGUUGCACUCAUGCUUGAGUUGAUUUCUUGCAAAAUCAAUUAGGUCAAUAGCCCGUUGCACACUCCCUGACCAAAGCAAUUUGCAUGCCAAAUGUGGCUUCGUUAGAAUAGGCAAACCCCUCAAGUUCAGUAAUAAACCUCAUAUCGAGACAUAAUCCAAAACUUGUGAGUAAGUUUUCAAUUCGCGGUUCUCCAUUGCUAAACUUUCGGGACACUUGUAUGAUACUCAAAUUACAUAAAUUGCCCAUGACCAUAAGUGUAAUUCUAUGUGAUGUAGUUCUUUGAUUCACUUUUGUUUAUACUAUAGAGAAACACACCAUUGGAAUUUAGCUAUAGAAAGUACUCAUUCUUAUAGGACACUCCGUCACUUUUGAUUGAACGUGAAUCUGCAUGGCUUUCAUUGUUUUGAAAUUUGACUGUCUUCCAUUUCAUGAAUAGGCGAAUUUCGCAUUUGUCAUUAAAGAUAAAUUUCAUGACGCCCUUGCAAACCCCCAAUCUCAUUACCUUAUAUAAAGUGGAAUCUUCUUGCUGAAUGUCUUAUUUCCAUCUGUUUAUUUCCUAAAAUCCGCAGGAGCUAUAAUUGCAUAAUAUAUUGUCUCCCCAUAAAUUUAAUUUGUAUAAAAUUUCCAAGACCCUCCUCACGUUGGUGCCCAGUUCACACACCACUUACCACUUUGCAUACUCUUGAUAUUUAGAAUUCCCACUUCGCGUCUUAAGAUUGACUAAAAAGACCAAAUCACCCUUCAAUUAAUGUACAUAAAUUCAAUCGGGGUGAGAAAAGCGGAAGGGCUUUUUUUAAAGAAAAGUGAUAGUUCAGUCUAAUUUUAAACUCUAAUAAAUACAUUCUGAAUUAUGCACGAUUAAUUGAGUUUCAUGCAAGUUAUAUCAUCUUGUUUUUCUUUUUAAGAAAACACGCCUAGGAGAAUGUCUCCAUCAAAUAAUACCCAGACAAACCUCAUGAAUUAGAUAAUAUAGGCGAGAACCCUUAUGAAUUAACCCAAACAAAAGAUGACUUGCAAUUGUUAGUGUGAAAAAAACUGAUUCAUGUGAGUUUCCUACGGUACUAAGCCUAAGAAAUUUCUAUGUGCCAUUAACACUACAUUUGUUUUGCGAAAAACAAGUUUCGAGAAAAUAUUUUCCGGAUUUUCCGACGCUCGUUUCAUGGAAAAUAAAGUGACUAGAGGAAUACAAUUUCCGUCAACAAAAAAAACUUCUUCAAAAGUGGAAAAAAUGUUUUCCGUUUUUUUUCCAUCCACUUUCUUUCGCUUCUAAACCAAACACUUUUUUGCGCCAAACACAUUUUCCUUUUAUUUUUAUUAUUUUAUUUUAUAAAAAAUUCGAAUUUUUAAUUAUUUAAAAAAAAAAUCCUUCUUCUUCAUACUCUCCUCGUGUCCGCGCACGGUUGGCAUGUGUCCGCACACCACUGCACGCACCGUGGCCGAAGCGCUCGGCCACAGUGGAAAGAAGCAUGCGUAGUAGUCGAACCCCUUUUCCGCGACAGUGGACCUCAGAUCGCACGGGAUGGUGUAGAAUGCCACAGCAUAAUCGUCCCGAUCAGAGUACUGCUCUCCACUGCAUACCUCGUCCACAAAAGUCAAGCGUCCGAGUAGCAGAGCAUCGACGCUCACGAGGCGCGUGCAUUCGGGAAAGAGGAACACACGAACGGGAGCCUCAGCAGAAAAUUCUCUAUCGGACCAACCCCAUUUCCAGACGCUACUCCAUCUUCGCUCUCUCUCCGUCGCCUCAGUCCACCGGUUGCCACCGUCGCUCAUCCUCCGUUGCCAGCCAGAACUCUUAUGCACUCAGCACAAAUGACACACGGUGGGGAGGCUCAGAGGUUUCUGAACGUCCAGAGAGUUAUCUCUUUCGGCUUCUUGCUUCUUGUGGUGACCUUGAACAAACCUCCUGGCAACGUUAGCAUCGUCUCCGAUCAUUGCUCCAACGGCAGGCCGUAGCUCUGUUAGAACCUGUUUUCCAGUGAGUUUUGCUCGGACUGCUCUGAACUUGUUCGUUUCUCCUUCGCUGGCUCCGAUCCUCAGCAUCAUUGUCUCAGACAACCUCUUCCUCUCAUCCGAUAGUCCUUCGUGCAUCAGAUAAAAUAAACACUAUAAUCUUCUUGUUCGUUCUUAGUUUCAUGAAGAGAGACUCAGGCAUUUUUGUGUGAUUUUUAUUGUCAAAUUCACUGCUGGCGUGUCAAUAUGCACGCUGCAAGUGCUUUGUAUGAUCGUCGCUGAAGUGCUCACCGUGAAGUGUUCAUAGUAACAAUCUGAAUCGCAAAUCAACAUUCACUGCAAUGCAUGUUUGUCUGUUAGAUGGUCGAUACUUGUUUAGUUCUUCCUGUAAAAUGUCUUGCAAAGAUGAUUCCGUCUACAUCUAUGUUACUUUGAGAUCGUAGGUUGCUCUCUAUGGCGGUUUCUGGAGUAAUGUUCCAUAAACUGUACAAUCUGUUCUACUGGGAGGAGAAAGAAAUUCUCAUCAUUAUCUCCCGAAUGCUGAAAAUUUAUUUUCUGCAUUCUGUUAUGUCAUUCUUUGUUUGAAAUUCGAAAUCAAGUUCCGUAGGCUUAUUAAAGUCAUGGGUUUUAUUUUUUCCCAUGGGGAACUUCAAAGAGUUUCAUGAGAAAAUAUGGUGAGAAUUUCCGAGAGCGUCCAACGGUGCAAUUAUUUGGCCUAUGGUUCGGUAGGGUUAGAAUGAAUCCAUGAAAUCGUACUUGAUAAAAGCUCGUCCGAGAUAGAAUAUCCGCGAUCGCGAUCGACACCGAAUGCCAAUGGCGAGGAACAGAGCCAUGGCUAUUGUGGAUUUGUCUCAAUGAAAGUGGAAGACGGUGGGUGACGGCCAUGAAGUUUUGGUCUGAGCUUGAAGUCUUGGGGGAUCAAUUGCAUUCACCUAAGCAUCCUCAGCUUUGUGAGUUUGCGAAGGUCAUGGCAGUUCCCAUUCGCGUUAAUUUUAGCAGAGAGUUUGGGGAGAGACAGAUGCUCGAACUGCUCGUCACAAGAUUUUCGAGGUGGGAGUCAUAAUCUAUGAGCUAAGCAUCCCCAUGCGACUGUGUUAUUCUCUUGUUUGAUUCAAAUUCCGUACAGAACCUGUAUGUGUUGGGGGGAUCUCGGAAAUGUCAAGCUAAUGGAAACAAACUGAAUCGGUCAUAUAGGAUAUGAUUAUGCUGGAAAAUGACGUUGGUGUUGUGCUUAUAGGUCUCGAAAGCUAGACCAUUAGAAAGACUCAAUCUAUUGUUUUUAGGCUGCUAUGCCGGUAGAUACCAGUCGCACAUAACAAGGUGUGCCUAGAGAUUGAAAGCUUUCUUCUCUUGUUUUGUUUGCAAUCGACGCAGGUAAAGCUGAAAGAGCAAGGUGCGUGCAUAGCCCUCAAACCGGCAAGCAAUUUAAAUCCAGGUACUCUACGUUGCAACUUGCGGUGAGACAAAUAUAUCUUAAAUAAACAAUGUGGUCAAAUCCUCAUGGCAAUGCUCUUGCAUUUAAAUCACAUAAUAAAAACAUAGUAAAUGAAAACAUCACCUAAUAAAUCAAGCUCAUAAUCAAAGGAUCGAAAGUAAGUAAAUACAGAAAUUAAAGUCCAAGAAUUCAACUCAAUGCUAUGUUGGCUAAAGAACAUAUAUUGUCUCAUUAUCAAGCCUUGGGACAAAAAAUCUCAUAAGUUAAGUCCGAAAAUUAAAACCAAGCCUAAUGAAGACAUACAUCAAAGUGACCCCAGAAUGUAAUCCUAAUAUUAAAGCAAACGGGAUUCUUUUUAUAUCAUUUAUUUUCCUUAGUCAUUUCAUCUAAGAAAAACACAAUGUAAAAUUUUAAUUUAUUUCAAGAUUCAAGAGAUAUGACCUCCCUAAACUCAAAGAACAUGAAUAAAACGAAAUUCAAAUAAAAUUAUUCUUGUAAUCGCCCAACUGAGACUUGCGUUUUUCUAAUUUUUUAUUUUUUUAUUUUUAAUUAGUGAAAACAAAACAGGAGAAUUUAUCCGGACACAAAUGUGCCCCAAAUAUAUCCACUCCAGCGAUUUGACUCACGGACAUUAUUAGCUAAAGCUCAUGGGCUCUGUUUUUAGUCCAUAAGCGGCAGAAAUAGAGUGUGUGUAAUUUACCUUGAUGAGAGUGAGGUUUUGACCUCGAUCGGUGAUCAGAUCAGAGAUGAAGUCCCUAGAGGUGUCGACUUCAACGAUCGACGCCGGCGAAGGGAGAGCGACCAAGGGUCCGUGCUCUUUCGGCCAUCCUGACCAGAAAACAGAGCAGAACGAGAGGAGACCUUGCUGCAGCGAAAUCAGCAAUGGCGGAGUGGCUCCAGUGGCGGCUUACAGCGUCUGGAGGAUGAUGGAGAAGCGAAAACUGAUGAAGAAGCCUCUAGAAUGCCUAUUUGUGAUGUGCACAGAGAUGAAAUCGUUGCGGAUGAAUUCGUUGCGGGCCUCGAUUCCCUUCUUCCUUCACCAGUGCACGUAAAGAUAUUGGUUGCAUUUAACGUUUGGCUUAAUGGAUCAGAUGAUACCACUGUCAAGGUUAGCAUUUUCAUACGAGUCGAAGUCCUAUUUUCCGGAUAUUCAUUCUAUUUAGACUAGCCUCUUUGUAAAGUUCAAUCCAUGAGUGUUGCAUUUAUUUCAAUCAAUCUCGUGAUUGCGCUAAAGAUUAAUUUGCCCUUGUCGCUCAUCCUUCUCCCAUUGGAGAUCGAUAUGUGAUCUUAAAAACUGAAAACUCUCUCACAUGGCCGGUCGAUAUUUAAUUUCAUUGACGUGUUCACGAUCCACAAAAGACAUCAAAAAAAUGAAGACAAAAAAUUAGAGGUCCUCCACUUUAUAUCUGCCUUACAAAUGUUCCCUACACGGGUACAAAACAAGAUGGAUUUACUCCUAUUGAAUUAUGCAAUUCUAACCUUUGAUUUAUUGGGCUUGUAUUAUUAAAUUAUAUCCUUUAAUUUGUUGGAUUCAGGCAAUUCAUGAUCUUUUCCCUGUUUGUAUCUCUUCCUUACAUAACAUAUUCAGAAAAAUCAGUAAUUGACUCGAAAAUCCCCAACAUACUCCAACAAAUUAAUUAUUGCAUUUCUCAUCAUAUUGAAAAACAACAAUGUGACAAAAAAGAUGGGGAAUAAUUUGUAUCUCCUCUAUUUUCUUUUUAUCCUUUUUGUUAGCCUCUGAAUGCCUAUUGUACUUCGUAUAUAUGCCUUUCAUGAAAAAAGUGCACUAAGCGAGUCCUUUCAUUGAUGCUUCUAAUCUUCAAUUGAAGGCAAAUUGUAUUGUAUGUGGUCUGGCGCGCAUGGUUUGACGGGCCGAGGCUUAUUCUGAUGGGCUUGGUACGGUCAGGGUUGCGCUUGUGGAACAGGCACAACAGACCGGAACUGGCCCUGUCAAUUCUGACUGAAUUGGACAUUUUUUCAUUACUUUCUUGUUUUUUUCCUUGUUUUUUGUUUGGGUCUUUACUUAUUUUUUACUAUUUUUCAUACCAUAUUUUUAUAUUUAUUUUUACCACAGUGCGUGUUCGACUCGCUGGCAAAAAUUCAAGUGUCAAUAGAGACAACAUUCCAUCAUUUGGCCAAAGAAUUACUUUAUACUGAACUCUAUUACAAUCCUUUAUUUGCACAAUAUUGAGACAACAUUAUUGUGAAAGAAUAGUCCUUGUGCUUAACUCUAUAAUCUUUGAGUUUAAUUUCAGCGUGAUAACGUCACUGCGCUCAUGCUUGAGUUGAUUUCUCAUAGAAUCGAUGCAUGGUGUAUAGCCUGGGCCUUGAAGCACACCAUUACAUGCUCCAUCCAUGCAGCAUACUGCAGUGGAAUCAUUAUACAUGCUAUAGUAGUUGUACUAAUGCUUGCCAUCUUAGUGCCCAAGUCCUUUAGGAUGAGUUUCACUAUAGUUGCGUAUGGAACCAAAGGGAAAUACCGUCACUUGCUAUAGAUUAUCUUUGACAGGAUCGUGUCUACUACAUAGCUCAUUGUGGUGCACAAAAGGAAAGAGUCAAUGCGUACGAUGCCUUGAAACGCAAUCAUGAUAUUCAUAUAGGUGAUUUGUGUAUUUUCAAGACUGCUACUUUAUUCUUGUAGUAUCAAUUAUCUUGUGGAUCCAUCAAGGUCUUACAAAGUAAAAGUGUUAUUGCUUGGAUUGAUGUCACAUAGUUAAUAUAACAUGCGGGCAACAUAUGAGUUGGGUAUAACCACAAUGAGUUCGCGCCUCACAUGUGGAAUUGUGAUGAGCACUUGACAUUAGUGCGAGUUUUAGAGAGUUGGUAGGAAAAGGGGCUAACUCGGAAAGCCAGGGAGUGGCAUAACUUUUUCCCCCCUUUGAAAUAUGAAGUGAUCUUUUGUUUACAAGUCCUAAGUUACUCGGUGAAAUCGUAGUACUUAUACAUGAUUCUGCAAUCUUGAAUUGUGCUCCGGCGGUAUGUGGACGAACUUUUGUUAUUUGCUUCUGGGCGAUAUUCAUGCAGCCGGCACGAUCCGAUUGGGUCAACGCCCGACUGCACACUCCAUGGCCAAAGAAGCCCACAUCUCCAAAUGGCUUAGCCAGGAUAGUUGGACCCCUCAGUUUCGGUAGUAAGCCUCGUAUCGAUCGAGACAGAGUCUGAAACGCCCACGUGAGCUGUCAAUUCAUGGUGCUUCUCUCCACUAAAAAUCUUUUAGAUAAACGAGAUGUCGGGUCACUUAUAGUGUUCAAGUUAUACAAAAUCCCCACAAAGGUAAGUGUGAUUCUUCGUGAUGUAGACAUCUAGCAUAUGUGGUUCUUUCAUUCACUUCUGUUUAGAAACGCAAGAUUGGAAUCCGACCAUAGAAAAGAAUCGUUCUAAUAGGGCACUCCCUGAUUUGUUAUUAUUAUUUUUUGGGUUAGGUAGCUGAUCUCUUAGUCAUUAAUCACGUCAAAUGAAUCUUUGCUUUAAUCAAACUUUAGAGCAAUUCCAACUAAUCGUCCAGCCGUUAUUAUGACAUAAGCAAAAAUAACUUGGUGAGUCUCCAUCAGUCUUGGAACAGAUCUGGAACCCAUCAGCUCGGGGCUCCGUAUAGCUCGCUCUAUCGCUUACUCAGUUCUCUCUCCUUCCCUCUCUCCACACCACCACCGUCAACAUCUCAUCGCAUCUACCCAUCUCAGUUGAGAUUUUCCGAGAUUCGACGAGGAUGAAGAACAGAUCUGGAACCCACCCGUGUGAGGUUCAUAAUAAUCCAGAUGCACACACUCAUUAUUGCCACAUUCUGAAUCUAAAUGAACCGAUAAGGAUUUUCUUCAGGAUGUCCUUUUCGGUUAAUGCAUUCCUAUUUGGUUGUUCAUUUUGAAUUUGAAAUCAAGUCUCUUAGGCUUAUUAAGAUUAUGGGUCUUAUUCUUCCAACAGGGAAUGCCAAAGAGGUUCAUGAGAAAAUAGGGUGAAAAUCUCUCAAAAAAGGAUGCUUGUCAAAGUGAGAAAUGGUGCAAUUAUUUAGCCUAAGGAAUUGGAAAAAUGUGAUGAGAUGGUCGUACUUCAAAGGGUUGAAAUGAAUUUGCAGAGCAUUUACCCUAUCUGCGAGGGCCAAUUUUUGGUCUUUAAAUCUGAAGUGGACUCCAUUUUCCAUGUAAUCAUAUUUGAUAAAGGCGUCUCCGAUAUAGACUGUCCGCCAAUGAGUGGUGAUGCGAGGAACUGAGCCUCAGCAAUUGUGGAUUUGCCUUGCGAAAGUGGAAGAUGCCGGCGAUUGCCGUGAUGUUUCGGUUAAGCUUUAAGUCUUGGGAGAUGAAGUGCAUUGACCCAAGAGUCCUCGGCUUUGUAAGGCGACAAAAUCUGAUCAAGUUUGUGAAGUUCAUGGCGGUUCCUAUGCACAUUCAUCAUUGCGGAGUUUGGGGAGAGACCAAAGUUUAAACUGCUCAUCACGAGAUUUUCGAGGUGUGAAUCUUAAUCACUAGUUAAUUCUCCUCCAGACUCUGUUGUUCUUGUGUUUGAUUCAAAUUCUGUAUAGGAACUCUCCACGACGCUAGUUAAGAGAGACUGUGUUAGAGCUAAUUCAUCCCCAUAGUUCUUCUCUGCCUCUAGCUCUCUCGUGUGUGCAUAUGUAUGUGUUGGGUGAUCUCAUGUAUGUCAAGCCAAUGAAGACGAGCAGAACCGGUCAUAUUGGACUUAAAUGUGCUGAAAAUGACAUUGCUGUGCAAAUAGGCCUCAGAAGUUAGACCAUUAGAAAAGCUCGCAUCUAUUGAUUUAGCAUUGUUAUGUCGAUGGACAUGAGUUUCACAUGACCAAAAUAGUGUAUGCCUAGAAAUGGAAAACUUUUUUCAUGUUUUGUUUGCGACUGUUGCAGGUAAGCUGAAAGAGCUGAGCUUGUGCAGAGCUCUUGAACCGGCCAGCAAAUUUAAGCCCGAGUAUCCUUUCUUCCGAAGUUGCAGCAAGGUAAAUAUAUCUGAAGAAAAGCAAUGCGAUAAGAUCCUCGUGACAAGGAAAACUGUUGGAAUUAAAUCACACAGAGUUGCUAAACUAUGUUAGCUCUAGGUUAAGCGUGCAUCGUGUCAAUAAUUUCUGUUUUUAUCCUUCAGAUGCUUUGAAAAGGAUCCUCCUACGGUCUUCCUCAGAGCUCAUUGGUUGUUGCAAAAUGUCUACUUGAGCAGAGAGUUACCGGCUCACUCCAAAAAUGCGCAUCAAGAAAAGUCCGCAGACCGUGGCUCUCAUAUUUUAAGACAAAUCAUGGCCGGCGAUGCUCAUCAGCCACGGUUAUCAUGGAAAGUUCUCUGCCAGUUGGACCGCAUUCACAAGAUAAACUUCUCUGUAGGCAGGUGGCAAUGUGUGCUCGAGCUUUAUUAGAAGGGAUGAUGUCAUUUUUGGAGGGUCCUUUAUCAGAACCACUGAGAAGACUUGGGUGAACAAUACCAUGCAAUGGACACAGCAGAGGAAGCAUUGCUUUUGGCUCAAUUUUGGUGAGAACAGAACUGCAGAAUUGCUAGGCUGAAAUCUGCUUCUGAUUCGGCAAAUUGGAUAAAAGCACAAGUUCUGUUCUAAUGAAUGGAAUGCUCCUGAAUGUACAUGAUACCUUCCUUGAUCCUAGUGUUGGCAGUCACCAUGUGGCCAUGGGUCAUGAGACGGAGGAAGCCGAUUACUAAUGUCAAUUUGAUAACUUCCAUUUCUGGAAACAAUCUCUUGAAUUAGUUGCUUCUUUAAGGUUUCCAGUGGCUCAACCCAACCUUUGGAACUGUUGAAGUUGUAGUAGCAUCAAAUACGCUUCCCUUAAGCCAUGUACCAACUCUGAAUUUCAAGGCACAACCCAUGGUUUUACAAGCUUAAUGUGGACAUACAUCAGAUUUUAUUCAUCGUCUCUUUUCGAAUUCAUGAAGAUUCUAUGACGAGCCUUUUUUGGCAUGUGGGCGGCACAAAUUGAAGUUUUCUUAGUUUCUUCUCAUGUGAAGAGCAUUCAGAACUCAUUUUGUCAAAUGAACUGAAUCUGACAUGCCUGGCCAAGCGAUUUUCCAAUCCGUGCUGCUUCUUUUCAUGGUUAGCCAAUUAAAGAAACUUUCUCACCAAUGUCUACUGAAUUCCCUCAUUGUUUUAAACGGGGAAAAGGGGAUUUUCAUGCCUCUCUUGCAGCCAUCUCUUUUGCCGCAGUAGCAUAACUCUGUAACGGCGUCACUGCCACACAACUCUUCCGUAACCCCUCUUAACAAAACAGCAAUCAAGCUAGAUAAACAUCGCCAAUUCUCCAUCUCUCUUGAACGGGGUGUUCUUCGAAACAGAGUCCGACUUCAUCAUUCCAUCAAACACCUUCCUUGCAAACUCGAUUCCCUCCUCCACGGGGCAACUCCGGCGGGGGGGGGGGGGGGGGGGGGGGGGUGUGGAGAGAGUAGGAGAAAACAAAGGCGAAACAGAAAAUCAAACAGACAAAUUGGGAAUGAAAACGACCUGGUAAGGGUGAAUAUCGAGUGAUGGAUUCCGUCAUCGCCUGAAUGUAGCAAGGAACAGCUGUCUGCAGAGAUUUCUCGAAGCAACGUUCAUCGGAGAGAGUUCGUGGGCAAAGGGAAUGUCUGGAUACUGUCUGCCAAUUCAAAGGAUGAGAUUUUUUUGGGUUUCGCUCUAUCGGCCCUCCCGCCGGUGCGGCGUCCCUUCAUCGACCGACGCAAUCUGAGGCCGAUCGAGUCGUCAUCGUCCGAGACUGAUAGGCCGAGAGCGUGAAGAUCGGUGGCGAGGCUGAAGAGAAAACGACGAGAGCUAAGCCGGUGGAGAUGAUCGCGUUGCCGCGUUCGGUUCCCGGUUUGAAUGAACAGUGCUUUAAUGUUAUUUGUGAAAGCAAAAUUCCACUUUUGUUUCAAACUUCUUCUAAUUCCGUAGAAAUAUUUUAAUUUUUCUUUAAGUCUUUUGAUUUGAGAUUUUUAUUUAAAUUUCCUUUAAUUGAAAAAAUUAACCAAUUUCAUUUCCGGUUAUCAAGAUAUCAUCAACCUAAAUUAACAUCGUGAUAAAAUGAAUUUCAUCUCCUUAAAAGUAAAGCAGGAGUAAAUCCUAAAUUAAAGAAUGUCUUGCGUAAAUGUGCUUAAUACCUUUCAAUAGUUUAUCUGCACUAUUUGCCUUAAUUAGUCCUACGAAUUUUUGUUGACAUCGGUCGCACGGUCCUUACCACCAUAAAAAGGAAGGAAAAGGCAGCUUCUGUCCAGGGGUCCUGCCAUCCUUCGCGAGUAACACUUCAUCAAUAUGAAAAUGAGUAUUUCUGGUACCUAAUUCUACAAUCUCGGAGUUGGAUAUGGGCCCCAGUGCUGCGUAAAUAAUAAAGUUUAUUCUAGUUGAUUUCUUCGUCUCACGUAUCACGACGUCGGCUUGAAGAUUUAGUUUUCGUUUUGAUUCUUGAUUAUUUUUUUUUUGUUAUCCCCACUAAGGACUUCAAGAGUAAAAAAUCUCAGCUCCAAUAAACCUCAAAACAUAAGUUCUUCACUUUGUCUCAAUAUAUUUCCGUGCUAAGCUAGUUUCAUGUUCAAUAUGGAAUCCAUCUAGAAUGUAAUAAUCCCUCGCUUUUAAUGUGGGAAUAUCUUAGAGUUGCAUUGUACCUGAUGGUCGAUGUGGUCGAUGUAGUCGAUGGUGCGGAAAGUGCUGGGUAUAAACAAUUGAUAUACCAAAUUGGUGUGCAAAUGAGAUUUUUCUGUAAGUGGGGUAAAUGUCAAACAUAGUCACUUUGUAUAAUCAGGUCACUAAACUUUAAUUUCAGUCGCCCGAUACAUUAACAUCAUUUUUCUUCCCAUAUGUAAUCAAUGAAUUAUGAAGACUUUUCGAACAAUUUUCUACGCAAUAGUCUUACAUAUAUGAUUAAAAAUGUUAUAACGACGACAUGACAUCAUAUGAGUCUCCAUUAAGAAAAAACGAAAAAAAUAAAUAUAGAAGUUUAAAAAAAGAGAGGGUAGGGAUUCAUUCACUCCAACUCAGGUUGAAACUCUCUGUCUCAUUUGGGUUACAUGGCCCUGUGUUACGAGGGGAGGUUCUCAGGACAUUACCCGAUCGGGAGCUAGCUAAAUUUAUCAUGAGUAUUUAAAUCCUCUUUUAUCCCCAUCGGAUUUUUUAAAUAUUUAUAUAACUGAGUCCAUAAUGACUAUUUUCAUUUCAAUUUGCCCCCGCAAAUUAAUGAACCUCAAUAAGCAAUUGCAGAAUCAUGAAAAUCUAGUUGCCAUAAACAAACCAAACCGACGCAACUGUUAUUUUCAUCUCAUAUUAUUGAGUUCAAGAGCAUCGGUUUGUUUACUAAAAUAAUCAUUAUUUACCGAAGUUCGCCCCCACUAGGAAAAAUUUCUAGAUACAUCCAUGAAUUGGCCAUGGUUUGCUUGGGUUUUGAUUUGUUACAAAUUCUGAAGUUCAUUUGACGAUUGAAAUCAAAAUUCAAUGACCCGAUUGUAAAAUGCGCUAUAUAAUCUAGUCGUCAAUAAUUGAUUCCUCAUCUGUUGUUCUCUUUAACAAAUUUGAACGCCUAGCCUCAUCCGAUCAAACUUCCACAAAAUUCCCAUCAAUCCCUCUCCUUUUCCCCUUCAACUUAGCUGCUACUCGUAGCUGCAAUCACCGCCUUCUUCCCAUCUUCAGUUGAAUGAAAACCUUUUAAAUGAGCGUUAUGCAAUCUUUCGAGGCCCAUUUUGGCUCGGUCUUUGAAGGUUGAGUUAAAAAGUUUCGAGAAUAAAUAUCUGAAAUCAUUUGAUGCAGGACUACGCAGUCUGCUUUUGCUUUAGAAUCAUAGAUAAAUGUUAAUUUUUUAAUUUGUUUGUCAGAGAGAUGAGUUUCUCAUGUAUCCAUUUCUAACUAUUGUAGUUCCAUCUUUAACUAUUGUAGUUUCUGCUGCAGGCAAAGGGAGGAGAUCAGAUUUUUUUAGAUGAAAACAAGAGUUGAUUUUUUUUUUUGCUUGGUCGAAGAAAUCAAGAGUCGAUUAUUAUUGUCACACCCCACAACUACAAGGAAUGGGGAUGACAUGGCCAACUUUCCAUGAAUUAUGUAUAUCUCAAGCUAUAUAUAUAUAUAUAUGUUGCAACAUUAGAGUUUCUAUAAUCCACCAAAAAGAAAUAUAUAUUUAAAACUCAACCAGUCCAACCACUAGCAAAGAUUAUAUACACCACUUUCUUAAACCAUACCCAAAAUGGAACUCUCAAAAGUUUUCCAAAAGCGCUCUCAUCUUACUAGUUGCUAACCUUGGGACCUGAAAACAUGGAAGAUUAAUGGAAUAAGCAACCAUAGCUCAUCGAGUAGUAUAUAUUAUAAAAGCAUAUCAAACUUCCACAUUACACGUUUAAAACUCAAGGCAUGACUCAUUAUCGCCAAACAAAAUAUGAUAACUUGCAAGAACAAAAUGUGUUAAAUGUUACCUCAACCUAGCUAUAUCAAAUAGCCAAAUUUCCAUUCAUCCAUAAUAACAAAACCAGCAUGAACUCAUACUAUCUCAUAUCAAUAGUUCAUUCCACACUCAAUAUCCAAACUCAAGGCCCUAGAGGUAACUCCCACGAAAUUGCGUUAUCGUGUAGCACUUAGCCCUCGACCACAUAUAGCAAUAGUACAAGGCCCUAGAGGUGGCUCCCAUGAAAUUACGUUAUCAUGUAGCACUUAGUCCUUUACUAUGCAUGUCAAUAGUAAAAGGCCCUAGAGGUGACUUCCAUGUGACUCAAGUCGCCAUGUAGCACUUAGCCCUUGACUACAAGGCUCUAGAGAUGACUCACACGAAAUUUCGUUGUCGUGUAGCACUUAGUCCUUUACUACCACACAUUUGAUUUCCUCAACACAACACAUAUCAUGUUUCAAUAGUCAUCACAUAACCACAUAAAUCGAUUGUACCAAAACAGCAUACAUAACCCUUCAAGAGAGAUUUGUCGAAUCAUCUCACAAUAACUCAAAAUUACCGAGCACUAUAUCCAUCAAUAUAUAACAAAUAGGUCCUCAUUUCCUCACAAGUAUAUGUCAGUUAAUCUUACCUUAGUACAUGAGUUACACAAAACCAAAGAUGACAUUAGUACUACUCACCUGGGGAUGCCCCAAAAUCAAAUAACGUGUGUGUUAUUUGAUCCUUCGAUCUCGCGAUCCUACCAAAUGAGCGAGAAUCAACAUUAAGUUUUGGUAGCACGCCACAUCAACCACGAAACGGCUAUAUUAUGUCUAAAUGUUAACAAAACGAUUCCUAUGCGCUAAUAAAUCGCAUACCCAAAAUAAUUAUUCAAGCCGUUUGUAACACGACACUUGAGUGUAAAACUUAGUUACACUAUAACUUUUUCUAUUGAAUCCCGUUAUUAACAUACUUACAGUCAAUAAAGAGCCCUUCCAUCAUACUACAAUAAUCCCAACUUGACGUCCCAAAAUCAAACUGAAAAUUAACAAAAUAAGGGCUCGAAACUGCUGGACGCACACUGUUCACUGUGCGUGGGAAACUUCAAAAUUUUGUUUCGAGCAAACCGUAAGUUCAAAUCACGAUCCGUAAAAUCCCACGGCUCCAAAACACCCUAAACUAUCAUUUCUACAAAAAUACGCGGCUCAACGACUCCAAAAUUGGACUUCGCCGCUCUAUUUUCCAAAUAUUUCGAAUUGGAGCCCUAAACCUGUAAAUUACUUCGAUUGGACGAAUAAUGGGCCUAAUCUCUUACCGGGUGCUGCGUUAUAAAGUUGAGCUGUCUUGGCAAGGCAGUCGUGGUAUGCACGUGCCAAAAAACCCUUUCUUCUUUUCCCCCUUCUUCUUCUUUUUCUUCAUUUUCUAUUUCUCUCCUUUUUGGUCGAGGGAGCUCUCUGCUGUCCUUUUUAACCAAGCCCUCCCCUCCCUUCCUUUUUACUUUUUUGACUUUUCAACUUAUCUUUCUUUUUCUUCUUUUGGGCCCCACCAGCCAAAUAUUACAAUUGUAGUGUGAAAUCUAGGCAAGCCAAACAACCACAGUGUAAGCUGUAAUCUCUCCUAUUAUUUGGGAUGCUCUUGGUACAGGAGAAAAUAGAAGAAAUGACAGCGUAAAAUGGCCCUUUUUUCUAUUGGGUGUUUUGAGAAAUUACUUGGAAAAGCUCUAUCUUUUAAUUGGUAGUUGAAAAGUCUGUAAUUUUAACUUGUGUGCAAUCCCAGAUUUUUCACAAGUACUAAGAUAGAGGAUGCAAUUGCUUCUCAAAGGUGGUGUUGUAGCACUUCUUGAUGUUCUCAUUUUGACAUCUAUCAAGCUAACGUAGAAUGCGAUGAACAGACAUUCACUAGCGUAUCUACAAUUUUCAUUUCUUUCCAUAUCACUUUAAAUUUCUUCAUUAUGAUUGUUUUCUGUCAUUUUGUUCGUAUCCCCGUUUCUGAUUAAUGUCUCUUCUUAUGUUACAUGAACUGUGUGGACAUACUCUUUUUUUUUGUUUUCUCUUCAUAUUUUGGCUGGAUCGAAACGCCGUCUUCUACUGCAUUGAUACAACUGCAGUGGUGCAUGCUUCAAUAUUUUUGGGAAUCGCUGAACGAUUGCUCUUGAAUUUUUUUUGGCACAUUACUUCUUGCAAUUUAUCAAAUUCUGGGUUUUCUUCCUUGUUUAUUCCUGUAUGAUUCCACCAUUCUCUAGAUGUUACGUUCUGCCUUCCAACAAGUUGGUCCUCAUGGUGGGUAUCUACUGUAUAUGCUAGUGCUUCAUUCUCUUUUUCUUUGGUUCUUGCAUGUGUGGGUGGCUGCUACUAUUGGUGCCUUUUCCUUUGCAUAAACAAAAGUGAUACCCCCCGUUCUUUGCUUGAGUUUUCUUCCUAUUUAUAUCAAUCUCUCAAUUAAGAGUUUUUGAAACUGAGCAUGAAGAAAAUGACACCCUCGGGGUAGUCACUCUUGCUGGUGAUAUUUUGUCCAGUCCACGUCAUAUGUUUAUACACUUAGUACUUACGUACAAAUCAUUCAAAAACUGCAUAUAACUUCCACAGUACAGUCUUAGGAGCAUAAAGCAGAAGAAAGAGAACUAUAGAAGACAUCUAGGAAAUGUUGCAAUAUUCAAUGAGGUAACCAACAUAGCUAAGAGGCUUACCCAGACUGCAAACCUAGAACAUCUAAAAAGCCAUGAAUGAUACAUAACCAAGCCUCCAUAAUAUGUAGUGUUCAGCAAGAAAGCCAUUUCUACAAAUGAGAGACUUUGCUCGAAGGAUUGGAAGCACGUAGAAAACUGCUUUUAUGAACAUGCCUCGGAUGGACAACAAAGCUGAAUGAUUAGCUUAGCUUAGCAAAACAGGCCUCGCCUAUGUGAUUUGAUUCUGACCAACUGGCCAAAACACAUUAGUAACUUCCACAAUGUCAUGUUAGGAGGGUAAAAAACUCAUGCAUGCACAGGAGUUAGAUGCCCAACACAUAAACAUUUAGUGGACCAAGGAACCACCCUGUUUGUCAUGAUUCUAAUUUGACUACAACAGCAAUCGAAUACACAUCAACAUAUAUGUAAACAGCAUUAUAUGACAUAACCUCUUGGUUGAAGUGAUUCAUGUAGAACCACAACAUAUCCUCCAAGUUCUCAGUCUGUUCCUAUUUGUAAUGCCCAGCAUGGCAAUCAUGAACAUGGUGGCUACAUUCCCACCAAAUGCCACAAUUGUGGACACCAUUAAGGAGAAGCGAAUCCAAGAAAAGUGAAAUUGCCAUUAUAUUACAUUUGAGCCAGAAAAGACAAGGUAUCAAAUUUAAAGGAUAUAUAUUACUAAAGCACUCAAAAAAUCUAUUUCCAUCCUACGCUUGAAAAGCCACAAAUAGAGAUGCUUUAUCAAAAUCCUUUAAAACAACAUAUGCUAGUUAACAAACGUACGAAACUACGUAAACAUUAAUCAUCAUAUUACUUACUUCCACAAAGAUUGGGCCUAAAAUGGGGCAUAGGGACGAGAGAGAAGUGUGCAAUAAAAGCUUGUUUAAGUGUAGCCCUAUAAUCAUUAUUUUUCUCUAUAGUUCUAGUGAAACAUAGCACUUGUGGAGAUAUAAUAAAACCAGUCGGUGUGAAAGACAACUGAAUGAUCGCCAGGUUGAAGUAGAAAGGGCUUAACCAGAAACUUGAAAGGCAAAACCAUCACAUGAUUCGUUUUAAAGCUAGCUCCAAAAAAGCGAUUGCAUCACUGACAUUUCUAAAUAUACAGAAUUUACAUAUCGAGAAUUGACGAUGAAUAUAUGUAGCUAGGAGCCCAGAUCAAGGCAAUGAGACACAAGCUGGUUAAAGGCUAGAAAGUGAAAAUCCUACAAGAUUUCAUUUCCACUAUGGACACGAUUCGUUCCUUGGUGGGUAGCAGAAAAAUCCAAGAGUUACAGAUUCCGCGUCGAAUAGAAUUAAAUAAUCCAGCCCUAGACAUAAGAUAAGGAACCACUAUGGUUCGUGUGUGAAGCCACUGGAACGAGCUACAGAACGAUUCUCAUCCAACUGAUCUGAUCUGAUACUUCGGUUUUGCAGCAACCCUGAUGUUGAAGCCUGCGACAAACAUCAUCACCAUUGAAUCUAGCAUCGAUUGAAAGUGAAUCAACAAGUGUCAAAUUCCAACACCUCAAUCUCGCAUCGGAAGCGACUUAAGAAAAAUUACGAGAAGAGGAGGAGGAGGAGGGGGGAGAAGCCAUGUGGUGAAAAGAGGAGGAACGGUCUGCUGUUGAUACUGUGGUGGCGUUGCCGAGGUGGCUCCCGAUCCUCGGGUACGUCGGAGAUCGGACUUCCUGACGGUGGCGACGGUGGUGUCGAGGGCGGCGGCGAUGGCUUGGUGCGAGAGGAAGGAGAUAAAGCAAUGGAGGUGUUUUCCAAGAAUUGCAACGGAAGGGACUAGAAAACCGUGAAAUUGAAAAGGGAAAUCUGAUCCCGAUUCGUUGGGGAAUUUUCUUUAUUUUUGGCCAAUCACAAAUUUUGGAAAAAAUUACCUCAAUUUAAAUCGCUGAAAAAUGUGGUGUAACUAUUUGGCUGGCGAGUGAGAUCAAAUUUUUAUUUAAUACUGAUUAGGCAAAUCUCAUUUUCUUAUUCAAAAUGAAAACGUGACAAGGGGAGGAGAACAAAAAUGGAAGAGUUUCUAAGUUGUGUGACAAGAGUGAUCUGAAAUUGUGAAAUUGAAAAAGAAAUCCUAAUCCCAAUUCAUUUGGGAAACAUAUUCUUAUUUUUUAUUAAAUUACAAAUUUCGAAUAAAAUUACCUUUGUUUAAGUCACUGGCUUAGAUCUUUAUUUGAGCCUAAUUUGGCCAUUUUAUACUCUUAUCUAUAACAAAGUCCGUACUUUUUUUUCUCCAAGGAGGAACCUUGCUAUAUGAAAAUGGAGGCGCUGGACUCGAACGAUUUGCAAAAAGACUCAUGGACUUUGACUUAGAAAAACUUUCAGACUAUUAUCACAGGAAAAUUUUUGGAUGAUGAUUAUUGAUCUUUCAUCAUUUCAAUUUUGAAGAGCUUCAAUACUUUAGGAUCUUAUUUCUCUUGAAUUAUUUCUUCUUUACAACGUUAAUUGUCUGCAAAGAGCAUUCAUGAUAUGCACGGCAAAGCAAUAAUCAAUCUAUGCUACAUCUCUUCAUAAGGAGUUAAUUGAACAAAUUUUUAUAUCAAUUUCUAUUAAGGUCCCAUUCGUUUCCCGAAAAGUAUCGCGUUUCUGAAAAAUGACAAUAUUUUCUAAUUUUUUUUAUAACCGAGGACUCUACCACGGGCCCCCAUGCCCUUUUUUAUUUUUUAUUUUCUUUUUCGUUUUCCUUUUUUCCUCCUUCUUCCUCAUUGGCCAAUCGCCGCAGCCGGUGACCGGCCAAUGAGGAAGAAGAAGAAGAAAAAUAAAGAAAAAUAAUUUAAUUUUUUUAAAAAAAAUAAUUUAAUUUUUUUUAAAAAAAAAAUUUAUAGAAAGGGGUGUAUGUAGAGAAAAAAAAACGCAAAAGUAAAAAUCAAAAAAUCGAACCAAACCGAACCGGGAUUUCGAUUCAGUUCAGAUCAUAUUUUGGUUCGGUACAAUAAAUUUCCUUAUCGGUUCGGUUCGAUUCGGCUUUUCAAAAAAAUCGAACUGAACCAUUUACACCCCUAAUGUAGCUCCUCUUGAAACUAUAGGGACUGACUUAUCACCACCCAACAUGUAGUUCAUCUUUGCAGGAGAAUUUAUAAAGUAGUCAAUUGGCUGCAAAGCAAAAUCGAAUGUCGUAAACUCCACGAUAGGCCUGAGACCAUAUAAAGCGUAAACUCCACGAUAGGCCUGAGACCAUAUAAAGCAACACCGACUUCAACUCCACGACAGACCUAAGACCAUAGGGUCAAGGACUUAGUUACACUAAUUACUCAAUUAAUGCAUUUUCGGUAUCUAAUUUUGCUUUUACAAAAAGAUAUUUGUCAUGUAGUUUGAACUGAUUUUAGACCUAUCCAUUAACAUGUGAAAUGAUCAUUCGUGUGCGUUAUAAUAACAAUUAGUAACCAAGGACAUCGAAUAAAUUGUAUGGCAAAGUGAGCAUUUAAUGCUAAUAGAUAAGAAAAAUACCAUUCCUAACUAGAUUGAAAGUAAAUGACAAUCAAUAUAUUGAAAAGUGCAUAAUCAAAUGAUAAUUCAUCUUAAAAAAGAAAACAUUAAAACCCUAUCGCACAGCCGUAAGAGUUUAUUCAAAUAUUAAGCACGAUUUUUUAUCAAUAAUUUUCCACAAUUUUAAGAGAAAGACUUGCAAGAAGACUAUUUUAAAGCUUUUUCCAAGGAAUUCUAUAUUUCAGAAGUUUUUCGGUCAAAAAACAGGCUGCCUUCUGACACCUCGUGGGUUUGGCGAACCAGGCUUUCAACAAGCUGCAUUUACAAAAUGAUCUAAGCCCACCUUUUGGAAAUAAUUUUACUGAGCCCAAGCUCAACUAAAUACCAAAACCAGCCCACAUUUGCCAAGCUUCAACUUGAGUCCAAAGCCUACAAAUCCCAUCGCCUAGAGGUCAGCCCAAAAUCUCUGAUUUCCCUUUCUCAUCCAUUCUGCCCUCCACGCCCCUCUCCAAUGUUCACCCUCUCUUACGAUGUUCAGGUCCUCAUCGUCCGGCUCGGAGACGGCGAACGAGCGGGCGAGCUCGUGUCAAAUCGGGCUAUAUGGUAUGCCGCCUUGGUAUCUUCGAGCCGGGAUACUCAGGCAAGGGAGGUUCGAACCGAAAAAGAAACUCACCGGCGACGCAGAGAUGGUGUGCUCGAGGGCGUCGGCCAGAGGUCGUCGGAGAGGGUUCGGGCGUGACAGAGCUGCUGGAGAAUUCCUUCUCGCUCUCGAGUUUCACUCUCCUCCUCGACUCUCGUUCGGAUCUCCCUCUGUUCUCCGAACCUUCUUCGUUCGAUUCCCGCGGCCGCGCGAGAGAGGAGCGCACUUGACCAGCCCCACCUCCGGUCCUUCACCGCCGCGACGUCACCUCCUCCGCCGCCGGAACGCUGCCACCGCCGAAGAUCUCGAGCACAGUCGCUUCUCUCUCGCUCUCUCUGGCUCCCACGAGCAGAUCUCCAACGUCUCCUUCUCGAGCAGCGCUCGCCCUCUCUGGUUUCCGGCCGAACCCCUCGAGAAGCAGCCCUCACCCUUUUUCUCCUUCUGUUUUCAGCCGAAGAAGAGGCCCUCUCGAUCUCGCUCCUUCUUUCUCUCCCGGUUUAACUGACCGGAUCUCUCUUUCUUCUCUCUUCUCUCCCCCCGUUCUCUUCCUAGCUCUCCCCCUUUUGAGCUCGUCUCCCUCCAAGGACGGUUGCCGGCUGCCGCUAGCCUGCUCAGACCGCGCGACAUUCCCCUCUGUCCUAGCUCGCACGCUGUCCUUUUCCUCCUCAGCUCCCUGGCGACACCCCCGUUUUGUCCCCGACGCAUCGUCCAAAACAAGCGACGAGGGAGAGAGGAGGAAGAAGAAAUUAGGGCCGGGCUUGGGGAAGUGGGCCGGCCCGCUCGGGGGAAAAGAAAGGAGGGCCGGGCAGACCCAGCCCUGGCCCGGCCAUAUUUGAUUUUUUUUUACAAUAAUAAUAUUUUUUGGAAAUUUUUUCAAGAUGAUAAAAAUUUUAAAUUUAAAUAAUUUUUUCAAAUAUAUUUAAUAAUAACAAUAAUAAUACAAAUGUUAUUAACCCAACAUAGUUCUUCUAGCCAAUUGACCCUAAUGUAACGUCUGAUCGAUGGCCUUUUGACAUGGCAUGCUGACAUGGACAAUUGUCUUGUUAGCGAUAUAUGGCAGCAAUUGAUUAGAAUAAUUAUAUUGGAAUUUGGCACAAAUAUUUAUGUACGUUAGUAAGAUUGGAAAUUUUAUUACUAAAUUAAUGUCCAUACAAUAGGUUUAAAACUAAAUUGGUAAAUUUUUCCCAUUCAAUUUGGGUUGGAUUCAUUUAACGAGUCCAAACUUGAAACAUAUCCUAACAAUAUCUUGUUGCUUCAAGAUCUACUAUUGGGAAUUUUGUGUGUGGUCAAGCUCAAACACUGUCAGAUCAAAUUGAACCAUUCUUGUAGACAAUUAAUCAAUUCAAACAAAUACAAAGAUCAGUGGCGUCACGACACCUCUCAUUCCAUGUUCAUAUCACACUAUGAUGAGAUCUUAUUAAUUAUUAAUUUUCUUAGAGGUGAUGCAUCACGAGACAAUAAAAACUCUGGUUAAUUUCUGAAUGCGUAUUGCUCAUACCUAAGCCUACAAUCGCAAAGCUGAAGUUGCGCCCCAAUGUUGUAGGGGCACACUCUCUUGAUUUCCGUGUGGGCAAAAUUCAUGCAGCUACUAUAGUCGGCAUGUGUCAGCGCACCGUUGCACGCGCCAUGGCCAAAGCACUCGGCAUGGAAGAAAGAAGCAUUGGUGUUGUAGUCGAACCCCUUUUCCACGGCGUUGAACCUCGGAUGGAUCAGGACGGUAUCCGUUGCCUCAGCAUUAUGUUCCCAUUCUGCGUACUCCUCUUGCAUACCCUGUCCAUAAAAGUCACGUCCAGUUUACUACUGAUGAUACAAAGAAGACAAUGUGAAAGUACGAUGAGCAGGACCCGAUAUUCUGCGAUGUGGACAUGAUGAUAGCGAUCGCUGUCUUCCCCUCUAAUUCUCUCGCGUUUAGCAUAGGGAAACACACAAACUGAGUUGGGUAUAAAAAGGGAUCACUUCUCAUAGGAUCCUCAGUCAUUGAUUCAUUUGGUUUUAAGAGUCCUUCUUAGUCGUUAUGAUCAAUAUUAGACAUGAUCUGGGGGGCGACAAUUUGUGCCAAAUUUUUCAGAAAUCUUGGUGGAGUCUUCAUUGGAUCAAAAGGGUAUUGCUCCUCAAUCUAACUGAUAUAUAUUAUAUAAUCUGAGUUUGUUGACAUCCAGACAAACCAUACUCUCAUAUCCUUAUAUAUUAUAAAGUGGGAAUUUAUGUAUAAUAGCCAGCUUGUGCUUGCACAAUAUAUGAUCCCUUGUCAUGCCAGUCGAAUGGGGAAAUUCCUUUUCCCUACACCAAACAUAUACUCAAGUAUCAUUUCAAAUUGAAAUUGGACAAUUAAAAUUAGGCAUAGACAACCCUAGCCAUAAGCAUGCACCCACACACGCAGAUAUUUAUAUGAAAUUAAUACGGACUCGAUUGCAAAUCGAGUUUUGAACAUUGAGUAUGGGGGUUGAGCGGAUCUCGACUUGGGCACUAUUGCAGCUCAUUUAGACAACUAGGGCCCAUCCAUGUUGACACAAAAUUUGUCUAAUUGGAGCUGAAGUCUCCACUGAAGUAAUUGAGAAUUCUCACAUUCAAAACUCGAGUUUGAGGUUUUCAUUAUUCACAAUUUCAUUGCAAUCUUCAUCAUGCAAGUAUUAAAUCCUCCAUAUUAAGCAACUAGCAAGAUACAUGGGUCUAAGAUUAUAUUUGUUAUAUUACUCUAAAUAUUUGUGUUGACAUCAAUUUUUGCAAGAGAAACAAUAUAUUGAAAAUUAUGGCAAUAUAUAUCUUCAUAUCAAUCAUAUCUUCGCCAGAGUUUAUGUGUAGUUUUGUUUAAUAAAGUGGACUCGAAUCGUGUAGUUUCGAGAUGUGAAAUCGCAAUAUAUAUCAAACAUAAUAUAACAUAAUAUAAGUGCAUGUUGUGAAUCAAUAAGUCGUCUAGGACCGCAUUCAUUGUAUUUCCAUACGGACCCUAAAAGUUAUACUGCUGUUCGUUGUAGAUUCUGUUCAGCACGGUCGAGUCUAGGGUACCACGCACCAUGGUGCAAUUGCACAGAGAAAGGAGCCCCAUAAUUAUGCCUACGACCCCUUGAAACGUCAGCAUGAUGUUAAUAUAUGUGAUUUGUCUAUGUCUCAAGUAAAUAUUUCUCUGAAAGUUUAAAAAUCAGCCAGUUGUGACUACAUAUAAGGGGUCGACUCCAUAGGUUGGGCCGCUACUCUAAUAUCAUUACAUCAGUGCAAAUGUCGAUGAAAGAGGUGACAAUGUCCUCGAUUAUUCCAUUGUCUACUCUCUUGAAUGUUCUUGGCCAAGAGAUUCACAACUUCCUCGAUUCACUCGUCCUUGUCUAUGCUUUUGUAGCAUAUGGCUCGAUAGGCAUGAAAUAAGUUGGAUACUCUUUAUGAUCAAGAAUAUAUGCUCCACCCUAUAAUAUCAAUUGCUUCUAAAUCUGUCCUGAUUUUACUAUUAGUGAAAUUAACGCAAAAAAUUGACAGGAUCUUGGAAUCAAAUCAAUGCGAAGCCAGAGCAAUUUACAAGGAACAAUCGAGGACGUAAGAAAUUUAAAUGAUUCAAUCUGAGUAUCAGUAUCUACUCCAUAGGAAAAGUCAACAGCAAAUAAUCUAUUAAUAAUCAAAAAAUUAAAUUUACAAUAUCUCAUACACUCAAGUGUUUCCCGUGCUUAGAUUAAGUCCAAACCCACAUUAUUUACAAAUAAAUAAUUUAAUUGGACGUAUACCUCACAGCACGAAUCUCUCGAUGUUUUGUGGCCUAAAGAAAGAGCUUCACUGCCGCUUGAAAGAAUCAGAGAAAACCCAUGCACCAUUUCUCUUCCCCGUGUGGGCCGGCCCAUCUCUUCUUCUUCCGGCCCGGCCAGCUCAUCCCUUCUCUUCUCCUUCCUUUGGACAUUGGCUCGAGGACGAAAGAAAGGAAAGAACAAAGAGAGAGGGGACGUAGAGAGGGUCGGGGUAGAGGACAGAAAGGACGCGCCUCAGAUCUCCACCAUCAAGGCGUCCCCACAGCAGAGUUCACCUAGCCCGACUGCUUAGCACCAUAGCCGCCGCUCCAGCAAACCGGACGAGUUGCCGCCUUCCCCUGCCGCAGCAACAAUCUGCCUUCAAGCUUAUCCUAGCAACCUCACUGUGACUGCCCCUGCUCCAACUCGUUUUUCAUCGACCACCCAGUGUGGACGCCGGAUUUGCAAGCGAGCAUCCCCUCGUCUCCGGUGACCACCUCAACUAGGUUGACGUCGGUCCCUGUCCGAGAUCCUGACGCUGACGCCUCGCUGCUGCGCCAUGCGAGCCAGCCACGUGUUUUCCACCGCCGCCGUGGUCGCGUUGCAUCGACGGUUACCCCAGUGUCAUACGUUGUCAAGCGUCACCUCGAGCAAGCACCACCACCACUGUGGCCGAAAGUCGAGUAGUAACACGAUCCACACACUGAGACGUGCCACCGCGAGGUGACGCUGCUGCACCAGCACCUCGAGCUUGCCCUGUUUUCUUUGUGUUUUGCAGAUCGUCCAGCGAAUCCCCAGUGAUCCCCGUGGAUAUCGAACGUGCCGCAAGCCUCCACAUCACGCCGAGAUCCUCGACGUUUGAGAUCGUCCUUGCCUAGCCGCCACAACUGUAUCUUUCUUGUUGCAGGUUUUCUUCAGUCGAGUUGGCGUCCAACCCCGAGACCUCCGAGCAGAAAGACACAAGAAAAAGAGAAGGCGAGGGCAACGAGCAUACUUGAGCCAAAUCAAUUCUAUGUUUUGCAGGUGCCAAAUCAAUUCUGUGUUUUGCAGGUUCACGGUGGUGUUGCUUCUACACGCUGCCACUUGGAACUCCAGAAGACUUGUUGCUGCCUCUGGUUGGUGAUAGCUCCGGCUAUGCUGCGAAUUUUUAUGCUGUCCUUCGGUGUUCCUUGCUGUUUUGAGACAGGUCUUGCUCCGGCGAGCCCUUAUCCGGUCCGAUUCCGAUAAAGAUUACGAGAGCCCAAAUUAGGUGACGAUUUUGUCUGAUUUGAUUUAAAAUUUUAAUCGCUAAUUCGAAUUGAUUACCUUAUCUUAUUGCAAUAUUUGAGAUUUUAUGCAUCAUCCAGUUAAGGCAUUGUUGAUAAUAGUUAAUUUAAUUACUAAUUUAAUACGUCAAGAUUUUAGAUCAUUUUUUAAAAUUUCUUUGACUCAAUAUUGGCUAGCUGUUGUACUCGAAAAUUGUGAUAACCUUUAAUUUAUCCCGUGAGACAAUGGGUUAUUUUUCCAAUAAUUACAAUUUAUUAAUUUGAAAUUUCUGUGAAUUGCGCAAGUGGGUUAAGUGAGAUCCCAUCCUGAGUUCAAACGGCUGCCGUCUUAUGAAAAUACCCAAAAAAAAUAUCUAAGAAUAGAUUAGAUUCCUUUUCUUAGUACAAAUUGCAUGUUUACAUUAGAGCAUUUUUUAAAUCACAGAUUUUAAUAAAAAGAUACCAAAAAUGUCAUGUGCAUGUUAUAUAGUUUUAAUUUCAUUAUUAUCUGCUACGUCAUGUCAUGUGCAUGUCACAUAAUUUUUAGCCGCAUCAUCAUUAUGCCAUGCCAUCGUGCCACAUCUUUACGCCACAUCAUCAUGCAUACCAUUGUGCCACAUCAUCCACCUUGUCAUUGUCUAUGUCACCACAUAUGUCAUGUCAUUGUUCGCAUGCCAUUUAGUGAUUGUAUGUUAAGGUCAUUAUAUUAGAACGCAUAUCAUGCUAGAAUAAAAUGCAUAUUGAUUAUUUCUCGUCCUUAGAAUUAGGAUACGUAGUUAAGAUAUCAUGCAUAUUGAUUAUUUCCCGUAUUUAAUACUUACAAAGUGGAGGAGUUAUUGUAUGGAUCGAUACGACACGGUGAGUAAAAAGAUAAGUAACAUGAAUACUUGCAUAUAAUCCUGACGAGUUUGAUAAGAGAUUAAGCAUUAUUGAGAUGCAUCUAUAAGUUGUAUUAGAAAAUAUGUGGAGUAGUUAAGAUAUCAUGAUUCGCCCAUAACACUAAGGCUUAAAUUUUUUUAGUGGAAGUUGGUCUAGCUGGAUAUAUUGAUAAGCUCAAAUUUAAGCUCCUUUUUCGCGAUCUCCCUAGGAGAAGCUGUGGAUUUCCAAUAAAUGAUAUAAUAUUCUGGCAUUUUCCAAUAUGUUGACUGCUUGCGUUAAAUAAAUGAGUUGACUGUGGAAGGUUUUACUCAUAGGGCUAUCUACUUUCUUUAUCUCACUUACCGUCAGUUUGUCUAGCGCCUUUCGAUUGGGGUCUGCUUUGGGUAGCCUCAUGCUUAAUCGACUUCUUGGAGUUGGAAGCUGUCAAUACCUCGUCUUAUAGAGUCAGUAGUUCGACAUCUUCUGGGGAGUUGCCAAGAGGUGUGGAUCUAUACAAGAAAUCAUAGAUAGGUAGUUCAAUAAGAUCAUUUUCUCCUUCCUCACCGAUGGUUAACUAGUAGCCCACUCCUAGUAUAUAUCUAUAUUUGGUGAACAUCUCAAAAAAUGAAUUUCGUAACCAAUGCGGCUUUCAAGCAACCUUGAUGGUUCACUCUAGUGGAAGAGACUUGGGGUAAAGGGUGAAACAUUGUGUUGUAAUGGUGCAAUCAUGGUGAUAGCCUUCAUAAUUCAGUUGAGAAAGAGAGCAAAGAUGAAGGUGAGUGUUGAAAAUUUAAGCUUGAGACAUGUUGAUGUAGAAGGUACCCGAAUUAAGGGAGAGAAGACCUGUGCUAAGCUCACACAUGAGAUUUAGUUUAACAUUCCCAAUUUGUAUAUUGAUGGAAUCACCCUUCGACUAUUGAACAGAAUUUACGUUGGGGAUAGAAAAAGGGGGAUCAUUUUUUGAAGAAAACCAAUAGCGUGUUCAAAUUUAACUUUGAUAGUAAAAAGUUUCUAGAUGAGGUGUGACUCAUCAGGAUUUUUUGCAAGUCAUGGCGAAUUGAUUGAUUUCAAGUCAAGCUCCAGCUUGAGCUACUCGAGUAUCUUGUCAAAUUGAAGUUCAAACUUGCCAAUAUUUGCUCAACAAGCUUGUUAGCCUAAUCUAGACUAAUUUGUCCAUUGCUUUAUACCAUAAUCCUAUAAUACAUUUUAACGAUAGACAUUAGGAUUUCAUGAAAUUUUUAACAAAAGUCUGAAAUUCAUGUCUAUCCGCUUUGAAUUUUGAUUAUUUUCUAUUUAAUUGAGAAAACUUUGUACUUGUCAAGAUCUAGCAUUGCUAAUUUUGAGUGGGGUCAAGUGCAAACAUUGUCAGAGCAAAUUGAUCCAUAACGGUAGACAAUUAAUCAAUUCAAACAUAUACAAAUAUCAAUGGCACCAACGAAGCCACUCACAUUCCACAUUUAUAUUACUCUUGUGAUGAAACCUUAUUGAAUUAUAGAUUUUCAUAGACGUGCCACCAUUAUGAUAUUGGACAUUUUUCCAAUACAAGCUUAGGUUAUUCCCUGAGUUUAUAUUGCUGGUACCUAAGUCCACAAUCGCAAAGCUGAAAUUGUAAGCCAAUACCAUACGGUCACACUCUCUUGAUUUCCUUGUAGGUGAAAUCCAAGCAACUAAUAUAUUCUGUGAGCAUCAGUGCAUCUUUGCAUGCAGUGUGGCCGAAGCACAUGGCGUGGUGGAAAGAAGCAUGGGUGUGGUAGUCAAAACCAUUUUGCGUGUUGGCAAACCUCAGAUCGACCAGGACGCUGUCCCAUGCCAAGGAAUAAUCGUCCCAUUCAUAGUAUUGUCCUCCAUCGCACACCUUGCAGGCAGAAGUCAAGUCCGGGUCACUUCUAAUGAUACAAAUACAUCGUGAAAGUACUAAGAGAAGGACUGCGAUUGUCGGUGUCGUGGACAUGACGACAGGUUCACUGUCUUUCCCUUCAAUUCUAUCUUGUUUAGAAUACAGAAACUCAGGAAUUGAGUCGGGUUUAAAAAGGGCUCAUUUCUCAUUGGGUCCCUCAGUCAUUGAUUGAUUAGGUUAAAGAGUCUUUCUUAGGACCUUGGUGGAAUCUUCAUUGGAUCAGAAGGCUUUUACUCCUCUGUUCAACCGCUGAAUUUGGCAUAUAUAUUAUAUGAUACAAGUUCGUUGACGUCCUUGCAAACCAUACUUUCUCAUAUCCUUGCAUAUUAAAAAGAGAAUUCAUUUAUAAUAGCCAACUUGUGCUCGCAAGAUAUAUUUCUUUAUCAUGCUAGUCAUAUUGGUAAAAUUACUACCUACCCGACGAGCACAUGCGACGACCUACUUUGAGUGAAACUAAGCCGAGCUCUCAUGAGUUGUCUGGUCUUGGGUUGAUGAUUAUCUGAGAAGGGCUCGACUGAUUUUUAGUCAAACUCUAGCAAGAAAAACUUGAGUAUCUUGUCAAAUUGAACUCAAGGCUGCUAAUACUCAGCUCAACAAGCUUGUGAGUCUAAUUCAAUAAAAUUAAUUGUUAUAAAUUAGACAUGGACAUCCGUAAGUAACCACACACAGAUAUAUGCAUAAAACACAACAAUACCUCGACUUUUUAUUUGACUCAAGCUCCAGCGGGAAAAUUAUACUUGACUGAGCUCAAAUCGAGUUCCAAACACUAAGUACGGGAGUUUUAGUCUAUCUUGACUUGGGCGACUUGUUUAGACACUUAAUGCCCAGUCUUGUUGCCACUAGCUUCGGGUAAUUGGAGCCAACAUGUUCAUCAAAGCAAUUGCAGAUUCUAACGUGCAGAACUCAAGUGGGCUCUUGUUGAGAAAUCUUAUUAUAACGAUUUGGUUGCGAUCUUCAUUGUGCAACUUUUAAGUUCCUAGAACCUUUUAAUCCUCGAUAUUAAGCAACAGCUAGAUAUAAAAUUGCCAUACUUAUCGAAUUAUAAUAUAUGUACAUGCUAUGAAUCAAGAAGAAACAUGAAAGCACUAAGAAUGUCAAUUCCUUUCUCUUGGUAGCUUUUCUACAUUUGUUGGAAUAUUCAUGCCAUCUGACGUGGAAAAGGCGGGUAAGUUAUUUAUGCAGAAACUUCUUGAGAGCAAAAUUUAUAGUGUCUUCUAUCCUACAUUUUCUACUUUCAAAAAUAGGUAGAUUCUAACUUUAUCUCGGCGUCAACUUUUAAUAAUGGAAUUUUGAUGCUUUUCCUAAUGAAACAUCGAUGUUUAUUACCAUCUUGUUUCGUUGAUUAUCCCUCAACAUCACAUUCACAAAGCGCACAUAGGCAAAGAGUAACCAAACCCUUGCCUAGAUCUAGGCAACGGUGAGGGUGGACCAUAGCCACCGCUUGCCCUCGUGUAGUGGUAGCGCACUAGUGACGAGAGUCAGACACGUGGGGUUUGGCUGGUCCUAGGUCCUUGUGUUUAUUGAUGCGCCACCACCACAUAAAGGCAGGAGCAAGUAAUCUUGCUCAUUCAGACCGAAAAGAAAAAAGAAAAAAAAAAAGAAAAAAGUAAUCCUCUUCGUAGCCCGUUAAGGCAUUUGUGCUCGACGCCGUAGUAAGGGUGGCGAUGGCACUGCUAAUAUAUAUAUAUAUAGUCAAUAGCUAUUUUGGGCAUCACAUUAGCAUUUGCUUGGUGCCUUAUCAAUCUCAACUGACAUAAUUUUUUUUGGAAAUGCCACAUUAUAUUUUGUUAACUGAAAAUGGAGGAGAUAAUGGGAAGUAAUUGAUAAUCUUUUAAAACAAAUUUUAGGAAUUGGUAGUACCACUUGAAAGUUUGAAUUCGAUGUACUUAUGCAUUGCUUAACUACACAUUUUUUUUAAAAUAAAUUUUACAUCUGUGAUAUAACUAUAUCUAGUAGCACAUUUGUCUGUUUUAUUUUUAUGGUUUAACUAAUAAAUGGAAAUACUAAUAGAUGGAAUACAAGAUUAGUGGUGUACUUAUUUCAUUUGAUAAUCAAAUUAGUUGCUAGCUCUCCUGGAUAAAAACUGGCCUAAAGUUCUUCACUGAAGCAACUUCCACAUGUCACUUUAUCGCAACGUGUGCCGUUGAGCAAGAGCCAGCACAUUUGGGCAACGUAGUCACUAGUUAGUCUAUCAAUUCGGAGCAUCCAUCAUGCAACCCCACUGAUUGCUCCAAGUUACAUGCACAAUCUCCCAUCGAAUAAAAAGAAAAUUGAUCUCAACCAUUGGAUGAUAAGGCUUCUUGACUAUGCGAUAAAGAUAAAUUUAUGUCAAUAAUUGGAUUAAUCAUGAGCUGGGCUAUAUGUCACGCCCCGAAUCUCGAGCGCGCCAACAUCCCACCAUGGUCAUGCAAAUAUGCGACAUCUCAGGAUAUGUCGCCGACCCAUUCAUUUCAUUACACAUGCAGAAGCGAAACAAAUCCCCUAACAACAUUUAACUUGGGAUAGAAAAGCAGGCAAUCAAUCAUAAUACCAAAUACUCAUUUACAAACACAUAGGUUUAAAUACAACUCUGGACUGUCUACAAAGUAGACCGGCUCGACAAAAUUGGAACUAUCCUAAAACCAACUAGUAGGACACGUUCACCAAUACUUCAGUCUCCACUUUUCCAGACUUAGGGCUUCGGGUCCUCCACGACCGCCAUCUAGGGACCUGAAAUUUUAAUCCCACAACCGGGAUGAGAUGAUGUCUCAGCAAGUUCAACCCCCUAAACCCCUAUUAGAAAGAAAAUACACCCCGGGUGGCCUAGCCACAUCACAAAGAAGACUUACCUCACCUCAGUUCCUUCCUGCAGGUUAGCGCAAUUCAAAUCACUCAACCACAGAUAGUAAUAUGAACUUAAACAACCGGAACACAUUUUCUUUCAUAUAACCAACAACCGCGGGGGUCCUGAUUAUAAGACUAAAUCGUUAUGACACGUCCCAUUCCAUGCCACACAAUUCCAUCACAUAAUCCGACACAUCAAUAACACUCAACAUGCAUUCCAAUUGAUAUUCACUGCCACACAAGGGCAUAGCCUAUUCGCAGUUCGGCUAUCUACUGGCAUAUAACCAGGCAUCGCCUCCCCCCAUGGAGCACGGCUUCGUCAGUACAUCGACGGCAUUCCCGAAGGAGCAUGGGCCCAGAAUCAACUGCGACCCGCAUCCACUGCGUGGGCAUCCCAUAUAGGGGCAAAUCCGACUCAACAGCCCAUGACGAUUCCUCUUAGUUAUCACACAGCCAAAGCAUACUCGGCCCCAGGACACUUUGCAUUUCACUCGAUACUUCCACUUAAAAUAGUGAUCCCGGCCAUUUUUCUUAAUAUUAAAAGUACUCCAGAAAUUACUCACGUGUGUGGGGGCAGGCUAAUUUGGAACCAGAAAGCCAAUAUCUCACUUUUUCAAACCCCACUAUUUAGUAUAAUCAUUAAAAUCCAAUUUUUGUAUCAAAACCCGACACUUGGGUUUUUAUGAAUAAAAUUCCUAUUUAUCACAAUCAACACUCAAUUUGCCACAUCCAUUCAUCAAAUUCAAAUUCUAAAGGCACAGCAGCGAUCAGCACGAAAUUCUAAGAAUUUAGAGUCACAAAAUAAUUUUCGGAAUUUAUUAAAUAAUUAAAUUUAUUCCGAAAAUUAAUUAAAUAAUGAUAUCCAUGUAUUUCACGAUCCAUGCUCAAUUUAUAAUAUCCAAUCAUCAAUUUCAUAUUCUGAUUACACAGCAGCGACCGGCACGAAAUUCUGAGAAUUUAGGGUCCUGACAAAAUUUUUGGAAUUUAAUAAAUAAUUAAAUUUAUUCCGAAAAUAAUUAAAUAAUAUUAUUUUAAUAAUUUCGAAUAAUAAUAUAUUAUUAAAUUAUUUAAUGAUUUCGGAAUAUUUAAAUAAAUCAAAAGUAAAUUCCUUUAUGUCAAAUCAAGGCUUAUUUUAAAUAAACCUACUUACCCUUAAUUAAGCACACUUUAAAUUAAACCACCACCUUAAUCAAUUCUACUCUUAAUUAACCUAUACUAACAACCUAAUAAUACUUAACAUAAACUAAACCUUCAUAAUCAUAAUUAACCCUCUAAGCGAGGUUUAGUUAGUUAAACUCACUGGAUUAGCGAGCCGAGCGGACCAAAAUGACGAGGACGACGCGAUGAUCGACUUUCCUCAAGGCGGGCUGAGCAUCCGGGCUCGGGAAGACGGCCAAAACGGGCCAAACACGGGCUGCCAUAUCCACUAAAACCAGCUGCUGUCCAAGCUCGAAGGAGGGCCGUCCGGCGGCGGUUCGGGCGUGAAAUCGGUGAAGGAGGACGGCGGAUGCUCGAACGGUUGCUAGCGGUGGCUCCGGCGGCUUUCCGGCGGUCUUGGCGACGGCGGACAGCUCGGGACGACGAAGGAUGAUGGCUGGGAUGCGCGGACGAAGGGAAGAUGGCACGACGGUGGAACGGCGAACGCACACGCGAGGCUUCACGUGCGAACGGGAGACAACGGCGAUGGCUCCGGCGACGUGCGGCGGCGUCGAGCGAGCGGAGGGGGCGUGCGUGCGGGCUGGGCGAGCUGCUGGUUUCCGUUCACCCCUCUCUCUCUCCUCUUUUUCAAAAUCCAACAAGUUCCCUUGAUUCAAGGAAGAAGAUGAUGGUGAUAGGCCACCUUUCCAAGAGCAAAUCCUCACCCUCCACAACAAUCUUCAAUGGGUGCAAUUUAUUUUUCCGCCGGGGCAUAAAAUCUUGUACAUUAAUUUCUUCAAUUCCAUUCAAUUCUCUUCCAAUUGAGUCCAACUGAAAUCCAUAAAAUUAAUCCAAUGUCACCACACUUCAAUUCACAUUUUUACUUAUCCAUAGGACCAACUUAAGUCCCAAAAGGGCGACCAAAAGCGGCCUACUAAUUUCUCGAGCCAAAUUAGCCAUUUCUUGAUUAUUUUGCUGAAAAGCUCGGCUUGCAUGAAAAAUCUUCCAAAGAUGAUUCAAUGAUCUUGAAAUGAUUUGUGACACACCCCGACUUCCAAUUUCUGAAUUCGAUUUCAAUUCCAUGGUUAAUUUCACUUUGGCACGAUACUAGCGCGGCCUAACUUACCGGGUAGCCUUUAGAAAUUUUCAUGCAUUUGACCUGUGGUUGAUCAUCUCAAGCCACAAUGUACAUCUUUGAAACAUUGGCGACUAUCGGUUGUCGGGGUAAUCUCAAGGUUUCAAAUACGAACACAGGAUACCCAAUCGAUAGAAAAGUCGGUCUAGUGCCGAUCGACACGAAUUGUGCGAUCUGGUGGAAUCACCCACACCUGAUCACAUGCCUUUAUCGAGUCGACCUAUCUCCGAUCUCUAAUCGAUUUUAAUUGUGCCGUAAUGACCCUUGCAGACUAGCUCGGUCGAAAGGUCAUUCACUGGUCAAAUUCUCGAGUCUGAUGCAUUAGAAACUCUUAACAGCUUCCUCCAAUAGACUAGUUUCCACAUGAGUGGCCAACUCAAGGAAAAGAACUAUAUGCGUGCCAACGAAAUGCCCGUCUCAAUUGAUUGAAAAUAGGAUUAGAAAAUUGAGAUGUCACACUAUAUCACCAUUGCCCUAAUCAGUGUGUAAAGUGUAGUUUGGAUUCUCUAACUUUACAAUUGUGAAAUGAAGCAACUAUCACUAAAAGUUUUUUGUAAUAGAGAAUUAAUUCCAAUAAGUUCCCUAACAAGGUGUGGAAAGGAUCUCUCCAACUUAGUGCUUCUCCGGGUUCUGGCCGAUUCAACCUAUAUUGUAUAACUAGAAAUGCAGAACAAUGACAUGGUUUUGCUAUGGAAAGGGUGGUGGAAAAUCUAUGAGCAUUACUCCAUUGAUCAUGUACACCUCACGGUUUUCAAAUAUAAAGGGAACUCUUCUUUUUUCAUAUUAGUAUUUAGUAAGAGUGCUUUGAGGAUAUUAUAAUAACAUAGAAUUGUACAAAAAUGCAAUCACUAAUUUAAAUUAAGUAUGCAAUGCAAUUAAAUUGUGAAAUAUUUGAAAGGCUAGUUAAUACGUGCAUGAAUUCAAUUGAAAAUAGGCAUGGUUUUAGCAUUUUAUUAAAUGAGAUUAACCUAGGUUGACAUGUGGUUUCAAAGUAAUGGCUCCCUAUCAUUCAAUUUCACUCCUAGCAAGGGGAUCUUAGUAUAUCAAGACACAGCAAUAUGGACUAGCUGCACAGUGAUAUGAAAAAAUUAAUUGAAAGACGAAGAGGAUAAAAGUGUUGUAAUGAUUAAAUUAGAGGAAUGGUGAGAAAAGAAAGUUCCAGACAUUGAUCAAGUUUGGCCCACUAGCAAACUAGGCCGCAUGUCGGCAACGAACCGGGCAUGUCUCGAUCACGGGCUAGGCCCAACCCUUGUCACAAAUCAGGCUUUGUGUAGUUUUGGUUCUAUUCAAUGUUGGUCGUGAUUUAAAAAAAGUUCUUAGUCACUACGGGCGAGAAACUUAUUUAUAUGAAACGAGUGUUUGAUCUACCAAGAAUGCAAAGGACACUAAUUAGAUGUUAAAUUAAUGAUUUAGAGGAAGUUCUCGAUCUUCUCCUUCUUUUACCUCUAGACUCUUCCCAAUAUACCAGAAUCUCUGCCUAUUCUUCUUCAAAAUGGAAGUCUCCAUGAGUAUCCCUUGGACACAAAGCUAAACGGUGCUUCUUUCAAUUGGCAAAGAAAACGCCCCUGGUAUCUUGAACAAUUGAUGGAAAAUCUGGACCGAUAGAGUCCCCACCUUCGACGAAUGCCCUGAUUCUUACUUUGCUUAAGGUCGUCCGAGAUGGCAAGGAAUCAUGCCCAAGCAUGGUAUGAUUCCAUGCUAUUCCGAGAAAGAGAGAGGGGCCGGGCUUUAACAGGGCUUUCUAACCUAACCUUCAGAACUGAAAUGGGCCAAGGCUUUGCAUGCACGCAGAGGCCUCAUUAAAAAAUCACAUUAAUCUGCAUCCCGAUGGCUUAAAAUUCUUGCAUAAAAUUUUCAGUCGGGUCAUGCAUCAAUCUGGUUCACAAAAUUCCAUGGUCCUAUCUAAAAAAUAUCCCUAAUUCCUAAAUGUGGAAGAAUGCGUUUAAAGAGUGGAAAUGCGAGACUAUUCAGGUUGACAUUUUUUUUUUUGGUCAUACCAAUUUUUUUUCGGUUGGAAAUUAGUCAUAAAUUUUUUAAGUAGUCAUAAUAUAUAUAUAUAUAUAUAUAUAUAUAACAUAGCAAUUAAUAGCAAAUCAAUUAAUCAAAAGGCAGAGGUAUGCAAAAAGGCACAAAAGUGGAUACUAAGAUUUGGAUUUAAUAGUACUAGUUCCUUACGCAACUCAAAGCAAAAAGUAGUAAAAAAGGAAAAGGUAAAGCGCCUUCACAUUCAAAGAUCUUAAUGUAUACUUUGGCUUUCCAUUAUGUCCGUAUUAAAGUUAUCAUUUCUAAGAAAGCAGCCAUGCACUAUCACUAGAAAUCCCAUGAUUAAAGGUGCAACAUUUGAAUAUGGUGGAGUGUCCCAUCUUCCUUUCAAGUCCACACUUAAUAAAGACGCUUUAUAAAAAAGUUGAAAAGGCGAAAGCAUUGAUCAUCUUGAUCCAUUUUCUCUCUCAAGUCCUUCUUUAAUAAAGAUACUUUAUUUAAAAAGGUCAAAAGACAAAAGCAUUGAUUGUUUUGAUCAUAGUUCUUCCUUACACAACUCCAAGUAAGAAAAUGUAAAGCACCUUAAUAAUUAGAGAUCUUAGUCUAUACUUUCACUUUCAAUGAUGUCCUUAUUAAAGUUAUUAUUUUUAAGAAAGCAGCCAUGCACUAUCACUAGAAAUCCUAUGAUUAAAGAUGCAAUAAUUUGAAUGGACAUUAGAUAGUGGGGUGUCCCAUCUUCCUCUCAAGUCUACCUUUAAUAAAGACGCUUUAUAUAAAAGCCAAAAAAGACGAAAGGGUUGAUCAUCUUGAUCCCAUUUCUCACUCGAGUCCUUCUUUAAUAAAGAUGCUUUAUUAAAAAAGGUAAAAAGACAAAAGCAUUGAUUAUUUUGAUCAUACUUUUCCUUACACAACUCAAAGCUAAAAAAGGUAGAGCACCUUAACAUUUAGAGAUGCUAGUCUAUAUUUUCAUUUUCCAUGAGAUCCUUAUUAAAAUAUCUGUUUCGAGGAAAGCAACCAUACAUUAUCACUAGAAUCCCAUAAUUAAAGAUGCAAUAAUUUGAAUAGACAUUAGUUAGUGGGGUGUCCCAUCUCCCUCUCGAGUCCACCUUUAAUAAAGCUUCUUUAUGACAAAGUCGAAAAGACCAAGCGUUGAUUAUUCAUAAAUGGCUUAACGCAAGUGACAUGACAUGUGAGAUGUUUGCUACAAUGUGGAAAUAAAGCAAUAGAUUAAUGAUAAGCCAAGUUGGUUACUGUUGGGACAAAAGGGUGCAAUUUUUAUUUUUGCCGUUGAAAUCGCUUAUGUUUUGUUCCAUGCCUCUUUUGUGGUGAGUUUGUUUUGGCUUACUUGUGUAAUAGUCUUGUUUCAGACAGGUCGUGUUGCUUGCUGGUGGGGGUGUUGGGGCUUAUUCGCUGCUAUAUACCGUUGACCUUUUGUUUAAGUCGAAUAUUAGAGCUACAGAUUUGGUGAUUUUGGGCUUUAGCCGCUUGACCAAGCACUGAAGCCGUUUAUCUAAGAACAAACAGCAUCGUUUCAUGUAAUUGUAGUCCACAUUACACAAUCUUCCUUACAUGUAGGACAAUCGAACAUGACUGGACUGAUACGUAAGAUAAAUUAGGCAAAACUUGACCAUAAGCACUUGAUUACACUUUCCUCAAAGAGUUAAUUCUGUACAAUAUGUUCGAUAAUGAUUGUGUGAUUUCCUCGCAAUACUAUAACACUAGCAUCCCAAACUUUGAUAAGAAUAGAAGAUUCUUGUGUAUAUCUCAAAUUGAUCGUAACGGGAUUCGUCGAGUAAGUUGAUUAUUUCUUACUUGUCAAUUUUGAACAUCUAAUUUUGUCAACUGCCCUCAUUGUGAAAUUCUAUUUACACGUUAAAAACUACACACUAUUAAAUUAAUUAGAUUGUAUUUGGGACAUAUUUGGGUUUAACACAUAUCAUUUUGGUCUUAAGUGAAAAUCUUCUAUUAAAAAGGGUGAUAUUAUUUGGGCUCAUGAGGACUGGGUUCAUGCGAUUAAAAAAACCAUUUUGUUUCUUCAAAAUUUGGCUCGAUGGCAACAAGGAACAUCCUUCCCGGAUGCAUGAUGAUUUUCGUAAAGCCAUGGUUAUGAUCAAAGGUCAAGCCGAUCUUUUCUGUACUUUUUAUUUUUACAAUUGUUUGAGUCGAAAUAACUCAUCUUUUUCGAGUACUCUUAUUUUUGAAGUUGUAAUGUCUUCUCGAUCUAGAGUUUAGAGUAAGCUUGUUAGGCACCAAUCACGGUAAAACUUUUUAAUAUUUUUACAUAUAUAGUUUGAAUAUUAUCAAGAAAGAGUAGUGCCACAAAAAUAAGAAUUAAUUCAUAAAAUUGAUCUAUAAAAGUGAUGUGAAUAAGCCAGUUAGACUAUCACAUUGUUUCGCCAAUGAUUUCCAAACAUAUUACUCUUAGUAUGAUUCAAUUAGCCAACAAAUUUGAAUCGAAGCAUUGAUUUUUCUGAACUGGUGAUGUGGCCAUAUGAUAUGAAGAGAUUCAUGGAAAGGUCCCAAGCUUAACUAAUUAGUGGCAUGUCUUCAAAUUGGAAAGCUUGCCUCGAAUUUUUAGUUUAUUUUUGAGUUUUCACUUUGUUUGCUUUAUCCCUUAUAUCUCUGGCUAUGACUUGAGAUUAUGAUAUGUACCCUAUGUAUAGUUUAAGAGCACCAAUUUUUGAAAGGUUAAGAUUGAUUUCUUUCAAAUUUUGCACCAUAUGAUAUAGCAAACUAGCAAAUACUAUCAAGUGCCACGAUUAUACAUCUUGUGUCUUCUCUCAUUUUGUUUGUUUAUAUUGUGGUCUCUCAUAUUCAUACAUUCUUUGUUCAUAUUUGUAUGCGGGCAAAUAAUUCCCCUUGGAUUCUUCAAGGAAUAUAUUGAGGGAGAUAAUCAAAUCGCAACUUUUAGUCAUUUAGACGGAUUGUGCACAAUGUAGUUGAGGAUCCAUCACAUCUUAUUAAGAAAAGAAAAUGAGGAUUAAAUUACAUUCACUUGUUCUUUGCAAGUUCGAACUACAAUACAAGAGUUUGAUGGUGGUGUCAUUUGUAGUUUUGCAAGCCAUGUUUUGCUCACAUCAUGAUCUUUUAAUUGGUAUUUAAUUUGAUCACAUGUUUUACAAAUGGGAGGUUCUUGAAAAUAUGAGUUCCUAUUAACGAUAAGCAUUACCUAGCGAAUAAUCUAAUGAUAGCAUUCAAAACUCUUAGUCAAUACUUUCAUUUUUUAUGACAUCCAUAUUAAAAGUUAUUAUCUCCAAGAAAGUAGUCAUGCAUUAUUACCACAAUCCUAUGAUUGAGCCAUGUAUGUAAAAGUUGGGUCCAUAUGUACUCUUUUUGUUUGAUAGAGCUUUGUCGUUGGUAACAAAAGUUAUGACAAUGCUCAGGCUUGCCUGAGGUCGUUCGCUCUUAAAAGGGUUAAUAAUAAGAGAGUGACAAAACCAAGCCCCAAAGAUGCAAUAAUUUGACUAGACAUUAAAUAGUGAAAACUCCUAUCUCCAUCUUGAGUUCACUAUUAAUAAAGAUGCCCUUGAAAAAAGCUAAAAGACAAAAGCCUUGAUUAUUCAAAAAAGGCUUAGCAUAUAACAAAGAAUCAAACACGAGAUUUUGGCCACAACGCGGAAGUAAAUCAAAAAACAAAUGAUAAGCCAAGUGGUCAUAAUGGAAUCUUGACAAUUUUUGUUCCCUAAGUAGGGGAAUGAUUUGACAAUAACACUCAAAACUCUUAGUCUUACUUUCAUUUUCUAUGACAUCCUUGUUAAAAUUAGUAUUUUUUUUUUUUUAAAAAGCAGCCAUGCAUUAUUACCCCCAUCCCAUGAUUGAACCAAUUGUGCAAAAGUGGGGCUACGUGUCGUGAAUUUUUUUGUCGGUCAUUGGAAAAAAGCUAUGCACAUGGCUCAGAUCGACAAGAUGGAAAAUUUGACUAGACCUUAGAUAUUGGGGUGUCCCCACUCCCUGUCAAGUCCACAUUUGAUAAAGACAUGGCUGGAGCUAUUACUACAUAUCCAUUGAUAAUUUGGGGCUUUUAGCCACUCAACCAAAAGCGAUAACGUUUAUGUAAGACCAAAUAGCAUCGUUUCAUAUAAUUUUAUUUCACAUUACACUAUUGUCCUUACAUAUAGGAUAAUAGGGUAAAAUUAAACUGACACGUCAAAUAAAUGAGACAAAAUGAUUUGAAUACACUAUUCCUCAAAGAGUUAAGACUAUUUAAUUGAAAGGUUUAGAGCUCGAUUAUAUUAUGUACAAUAUGUUUAAUACCGAUUGUGCAAUUUUCCCAACAAUACUGAAACACCAAUACCUCUAACUUUGAUGAAAAUAGAAGAUUCUUUUCCUAUGAUCAUGACACAAUUUUAACCUUGUAGAUUUUGUAAUUUAUCAAGUAAAUCGAUAAUUUUCUCUUGUUGCUUUUGAUCGUCUAAUUUGAUGUCCUUCUUUCAUUGUGAAAUUCUCUUUUCACAUGUUAAAAACUCUCCACUAUUAAAGUAAUUGGAUAGAGUGAUAGUUGGAAGAUAUUUGGGUUUCAACGUUUAUUAUUUGGAUCUCAAGUCAAAAUCAGAUGAUACAAAGAGUGAGAUCAUUUGGGCUCACGUGGAUUGGGUUCAUGCAAUUAAAAAAUAAUUUUUUUUAUUCAAAUUUGGCUCCGAUGGCAACAACAAAUAUCCUCCACUCAUCAAUGAUGGGUUUCCCUAAGCCAUGUUUAUAGUCAAGGUGAAGCUGAUCUUUUCUAUUUUUCUUACCUUUACAAUUGUUUAAGUCGAAAUAGCUAAUCUUUUGUAUCUUUUCUUAUUUUUCUCAUUCUAUGUAAUGAUGGUCUUUCAUAUUUAUACAUUCCUUCGUCAAAUAUGCAUCCAGGCAGACAAUUCUCUUUGCACUCUUCAAGGGAUAUAUUGAGGGACAGAAUCUAAUUACAACUCUUAGGCAUUCGGAUAGAUUGUGCAUGGUGAAGCCGAAGAUCCAUCACAUCUUGCUAAAAAGAUGAGGACUAAAUUACAUUUACUUUGUUCUCUGUGUAGUUCAAACUACAAUCACAGGAAUUAGGUGGUCUCGCUUGUAGUUUUAUAAGCCGUGUUUAAUCUCGCAUCGCUAUCUUUUAAGUGGUGCUUAAUUAAUUUACAUCUUUUAUAAAUAACAAAUACUUAAAAAAUAUGAGUCUAUGUUAAAAUUAUGAGCCUAUAUUAACAAUAAGUAUUACAUGGCAAAUGAUUUGAUGAUAGGAUUCAUAACUCUUAGCCUAUACUUUCAUUUUCCAUUGCAUCAUUAUUAAAGUUAUUAUUUCAAAGAAGGCCGCGUUGCAUUAUUACCGUAAUCUCAUGAUUGCAUUCAAAAAUGGGUUCCAUAUGUACUAAUUUGUCUUAUAGAGCUCUGUCGGUGGAAAAGAGCUAUGCAAGUAAGGCUUGAAAGAUGCAGUAAUUUCACUGAACACUGGAUGGUGAAAUAUCCCAUCUCCCUCUCAAGUCCACCUUCAACAAAGAUGCUUUUCGAAAAAUGCUAAUUAGACAAAAGCGGAGUAUCAAACCAAGAGAUUCUGCCUAAAAAUGUGGAAAUAAAUCAAUAGACUAAUGAUAAGCAGAGAAAUCUUGAUUGUUACCAACUGUUUCCAACAAAAAGUUUCUGUAUUUUGACGCUGCCCUUCCUUCAUUCUUUUUUGCUCUAAAAUCUUUUAACCUUUGCCUUUCAUUUUCUCGUUCUUUCUUUUUCAGAAGAAAAAUCAAAGAAACUUGUCGAUUGAUGUUGGAGUUUGAGAAUAACAGGAAAAAUUUACACUAAACUCAUCUCAUUAAGUAAUUUUUAAAAGAGCAAGAACAAAGAGACACUAACAAAUCAUCAUACGGCAAUUUUAUGAUAAUUAUUUCACAUUCUAAUAUGAUAAUUAUGGUUGGUAUAAAAAUUAAACAACAUCAAUUUUAUUUUGUGAACCGAUUUUUUUUUUCACUUAAAGGAAAAUCUAGAGGGGCUUUUUGUCAACAAAUCUGAGAAAUAUAUGAAAUGUCAAGGCUUAUUUUCCUCUAAUGGUUAAUAUUAAUUAGUUAUAGGAGUCCAAGUUAGCCCAAACUCAACGUGUCAGUAAGGUGAACAUUAUAAAAAAUUGCCAUUUGAUACAUAAUAAAUACAUUAGCAAGUCAUCGAGAUCACCCAUCCUUUCAACUCACUUAAUGGGAUAUCACAUAUUCUCACGCAGCAAGCAAGGGUAACUGAAGUGAGGGGAAUGUUUGUUCAUUUGGGCCUAGUCAAUUUAUUGGCGAUUCUUUUGCUUAAUGGAUCGUUGCCUGGGGCAAAGUGGGAAAGCAAUGUUUCUCGACAGUAAAAGGAAAGAGGCCAGACAAGCGAGGGCACUUAGAUCUUUGUCCAAUAAUGAUGGACAAAAGGACGUGGAGAUAGACAUAAGCGAUGGUGACUGGUCAAGUAAAGGAAUGGUAAAAUGCAGAAAAUCCAUCCACUUCUAGAAGAGGGAGCUGUCAUGUUAGAAUGCGAAUUAUAACCAUUCUAUUCCAAAAAUCAAAUUUUAACUAGAAAUUGAUUUUUCUAUUUCUAUAUUUUUGACAAGUUUCCAAGAAAAAAUACGUAUUUAAUGAUGAUAAAAAAUUUCUAUUGCUAGAAUAGAAAUUCGUUAGAUAACAACAUAAAAUUUCUUCCGCAACCAAUGGACGGAAGGUGGGCGGCCACCAACCGAUGGUUGGCAAGGGGCAAACGGUGAGGGGCGACCGACGGCCAAUAGCCAAUGUGGGGUGACCAGCAAAUGACAACAAAGGCGGGCACUCGACAGUGGGCAAGGGGCGAAGAUAGGUGGGCGGUGGGCAGUGCCAAGAGUAAACUAUGAUAAUGGUUUUUAUUUCUCACUUUUGUUUAAAAAAUUGAAAUGUUAAAAAAAAAAAAUUUCUAAUUUCUGUUCUAAACCUAUUGCUAGAGAAAAAAGUUCCUCCAGAAAUAGAAAAAUGAAAAUUGCGUUAUCAAAUGGAUCUCUAUUCCAAAUCUAUUCUCGAUAAUAGAAAAAAAAAAUAGAGAAACAAAAUAGUAUCAUGUGCGCCCUUAAAGGCUGUAACUUUGCUUAUCAAUAAUUGUAUAUUUGCAAAAACUUUUAAAAUCAAUUUGUGAUGACCACAACUUUGAAAAAUAAAUGUUUAGAGAACAAGACUCAAAACAGGCCCAAGUAUUUGAAAGAGAAUGGGGAAACUCUAGUUGGAACGAGAGACCAUGAAACAAUGUUAAUGGCGACUUGAAAUGUUUCCCAUAUUGUUUUUGUCAUGUAAAGAGUGUCAAUAAUCAACAAAGUAAUGUUAAUAAAGAAUGGCAAAAGUUUAAUUUACUCAUAAGUUUUGAUCUAACAAUUCUAAUUGAAGUUACGACUAAUGUAACAAUUACAGGCGACAUUCUAAUGUAACAACUUGCUUAAUUAUAAUGUUUUUUCUAUGUUUUAGAUAUGAUUUCAUUGACUUGCGCAAGGAGCGGGUUUAGGAUUAGUACCAAUCGGUUUGUCCAUUAACGGUAGAGAAAAUGAUGAAAGGGUGGAUUAGGACUAAUACAUUAGCGUUGGAAAAGGAUGAAAGGACCACUAGCGGUGGCAAAAGAUGAAAGGAUGGAUGACUCAUCAAUGUCUGCCUAUUAGGGGUGGAGGAAAGGAUGGCAUUGGUGAUGGUAACUGGUCCACUAAAGGAACAAUACCGUGGAAAAUCAUCCAUUUUCUAUGCCCAAGGAAUUGACUGGUGUCGAGUUAAGGCCCAAACUAAGGUUAGUUUAACAAGCUUCAUAGUAUAUGUCCAUCUUCUCUUUUUUCCUCGAGGUUUAGGUCUUUGAUAUAAAAUUCAUCCAUUUGCAGAUCUAUUUACUGGUGUUUACAUUUAAAAAUUAUUCACUUGAAUGUCAUAACUUUCAAUUGAUCAUUUAUUGAUAGGGUUUUGGGGCUUGUUUCGAUCGGCCCAUUUGUUUAAGUCAAACAUAGAGUUCAAGAUUUGGUGAUCGGAGCUUUAGCCUCUCAACUAAGCACCGACACUGUUUAUCUAAGAAUGAUGCUUGUUGUUUAUCUAAGAACAAAUAGCAUCAUUUUAUGUAAUUUCAGUCCAUGUGACACCAUCUUCCUCACACGUAGGACAACCGGCCAUGAUUGGACUAAUGCAAUAGAUAAAUCAAUCAAAACUUGACCAAGAGCACUUAAUUACACUUUUCCUCAAAGUGUUAAUUCUAUACGUUUUUUUAUUGAUUGUGUAAUUUUUCAGCAAUAUUACAAAGCUUUAAUGAGAAUAGAAGAUUCUUAUGUAUAUAUAUAUAUAUAUUAAUCAUGACAGAAUCUUAAUCUUGCAUGUUUCGUAAUUUGUCGAGUGAAUUGCUAUUUUGCAAUUGUCAAUUUUGAUUGCCUAAUUGUAUCUCCUCUCUUCUUAGUAAAACUCUAUUUUCACAUGUUAAAAACUCCACGCUGUUGCCAGGUGAGGCUCAUGCUCGCUAUGGCCAAAUCUAGUGAUGUAGCGGGGUGGGGUCCUCACCGGCCUUGCCUUUGGUCAAUGACAAGAGGAAGGAUGAAGAAGGGGAAAAAAAGAAAAAGGAAAAGAAAAAUAAAAGAAAAAAAAAUUCAAAAAUUGCCAUGUUAGUGCCGGACAACCAAAUUUUACCGAAUCGAUUGAAUUAGCACAAUUGUAAAAGGUGUAGGACUGAAUUAGCAAAAAAAAAAGGUUUAUGUUUUAAUUGACAUAAUUAUAAUAGGUUUAUAAGUUUUUUAAUAAUUACCCCUUAUUAUGCAACAAACUAAAGUUCAAAGAGAACAUUCUCAUGACUUUAAUAAUUCAUAACCAUCAUUUUUGUUAGAAAUCAAUCAUAAAAAUUCAAAAGGUCAUAAUAAAUAAAAGUAUUUAGGAGUAAUUUGACAUUAUAAUCUGACAACUAUGGUUGGCAAAAAAAAUUAAACAACUUCAAUUUUCCUUAUGAACCGAGCUUUUUCUUUUCUCUUUCACUUAAAGGGAUGGUUAUGAGGUGCUUCCUAUCAACAAAUUUAUGAAAAUUUGAAAGACAAUGCAGGAAAAGUCAAGACUUAUUUUUGACUAAUGGUCCACAUUAAUUGGGUAGAAGGGUCUAAAUUGGCCCAAGUCAGACAUGUCAAUAAGGGGGAUAUUAUCAAUAAUUGCUAUUUAAUAUGUAAAUCAAUAACACAUCCAAUUUACAUUUUAGAGCUAUUUCCAUUUAUAUACUUCUUCGAAAACAAAAUUCAAUUUUUCCCCAUUCAAUUAUCUUAAUUAUAAUGUUAACUUCUAUAUUUUUAAAAUGCUUUCACGAUCCCCACAAGGAACGGGUUUAUGAGUAGUACCUAAUUCUUUUUUGCACUCAAAUCUCUUUGCUUUCUUUGUCUCUCGUCAUUCUUGCUCUGAUAUGCUCAUUUAUCAUUCUCUUUAUAUCUUUCUGUAUUUUAGCCCUUUUUUCUCCAAAAAAAGAAUCAAAGAAACAUGUUACAUCAAUCUUGUUGUUAAGAAAAACUGGAAAAAAAUCACAUUAAACUCAUAUGAAUAAGUAAAUUGUUGAUGGAAGGAUCUUAGUUACGGUUGAAUGAGCAAGAACAGACAAACAUUAGAAAAAUUCCAACCAUAUCAUCAUAUGUUAAUUUUUAUAAUCUUCCACUUGGGAUAUGAGUAUAUAUGCUUCAAACAACCCACCUCUCUGGGGGCUCCGUCAAUUUAUCUUUUGACUCCUUUUCUUUAAAGUGGAAAUGAUGGGUUUUCUUUGGAUUACAACAAAAUUUAAUGGUAAAUAUUUUGACCGCCGACGCAUAAUCAAUGAUGAUAUUGACAUGCUUCUCUAAUCUUUCAUCCAUGCAUAAUCAACAUUAUCAACAGUAAAUACUUCUUUAAAGCGGAAGUCAUGAUAGGGUUUUCCUGCAUUGAAAGGUGAAAUUCACAAUACUUAAAAAAAAAGAAAAAAGAUUCCUCUAGUGGGCCUUCUGUUCCACCAAAACCUUUGAAAAUUGGUUAGGAAGAUCUUCGAAGGUGAUGAUUUGGUGCAUGCACAUGCACAUUGGGUGGGAGUAAUUUACGAGGGGUGAUUGGGUCCAGAGUGGGUAGGGUUUAGACCUAUAUCCAACUCUGUUAUAACCGGUUCACCUUUUUUAGACCAUAUACCCGAUCAUGUUUGUAUUUGACCUUGUACCCGACCCACCCUAUUUUUCCGGUCCGACUCUAGGGUCAACCCUGUUUCCAUUGGAAUUUGUUUUGCAAUCUUUCGAUAUCCUAUACGACUUCAAAUUUUAUAUUAAUACGUGAGAAAAUAACAUAAUCCUCCUAAUUUAUAUCGAAACAUUAAGCACUUGUAAUAAAUAAAUACAUGAACUUUUUGACUAAAUAAAAAAUUAAGGAUCCACGGGGCUAAUUAUAAUAAAUAAAAUUAUAAGGCAAAGAAUUAGCAACAAACAUGGGUUUAAUAUUAAUCUUAUUCCCACAACUACUACAUGAAGCUACUCAUUUAUGUAAGCAUAUCUCCUCCUACAAAAGAGAAAUUAGGCAAGCCAAUCCACGUGGUACACAAGAAUUUGGCGGCGAUGAACACCAUCCAUCCGUCAGACAGUGCCAGAGGGAGUCGAUGAGGGAGGAAAGCAAGUGAGGAAGAGGAACGAUGAAAGAGGAGUUUCAAGAGGAAAAACGUCGUGUGAUUGCAGGAGUAAGAAUAGAACUAAAAGGAAAAAAAUAGAGUUUUGAACCUACAUUUACAAAACCGGUUCCUGAACCUGUUCCAAAACCGGUUGGGGAACCAGUUUCUAGGUUGGUAAUCAAUCGAACCCGGUUCCUAGACCGGUUUAAAUCGGUUCCAAAUUUUGGGAACCUAUUCCUGGACCGGUUUUAAUGGGAACCAGUUCUUUUACCUUGUUUUCCGGGUGGGCCGGUCCGGUUGCACACUCCUACAAUUUACGCACCCAAUUUAGCUUAAAUCACAUCCUUUUAAGUAAACUCAAUCGGCAAUGGACCCAACUUUUAUUUCAAAAAGAAUAAUAAAUUUGCCUUUUUCAUUUUCUCUCUCAUCUUUUGUCUUGUGUAUUUUCUUAUUUACUAUAGACAUUUGAUAAGAGAUUCUGGUUUGAAUCUUGUCACCUACUCUUCUGAUUCCACAAAUUUGUUUAUGCAAUAAUUUAUCUGAAAGACGUCUUCAGCCUUUGAAUCAUAGGAAAAAAAAUGCUGAUUUGUUUAAAAGACUGGAGCAUAAGCACGUUCUGAAAUAUUAAAUUUACACUUAUGCUUUCAUCAAGCUUUAGCUAUAAUUUUUUCAAAAUAUCAUGAUCAAAUGUCCAUUUCUUUUUAUUAUUUCUAGAAGAGAUCGUUUCAACAAGUUAAUUUGGCAGUAGAUUUUAUCUAGGUGAGUCCAUAUGUUAGUGAACUAACAAAUGAUUCUCUUUAUUUAAAUAAUUACAGAUAAAAAGUUGUUUUUUUUUUAUAGCUAAUUCGUUAUUCUGCAUUGAUAAUGCUAGAAAGAUCUGGAGAUUAGUGGGUGAGAGUUUCAUUUUGUGCAUAUUAAUUCCUUUUGUUUCGCUGCAUCUCUAUAGUUAUUUUAAGAGUAAUAGUUGUUGCUAAACAGAAGAAAGAAAUAUGGAAGUCCGUCCAUGGAUUCAACUUGUUGACGAUCCAGAAAACAAUUUUGUGUUAGAGUAAAGAGAGAUUUUAAGAAUCGAUUUGAGAGAACUGCACUAAGUUCGAAGGAUCGACUUGGGCUUUCUACCUUGGUAUAUGGUGCACAUGAGAGCACGAAUGAUAACUACUAUAGCUAGAAAAGAAAUAGAUUAUUUUAUUUCUAUUUUUGGAAGAAUAUCUAAGUAAAAAUAUGUAUUUGAUAACAAUACAAAAAUUCUCUCUCUUAGUAGUGGCCAAUGAUCGGCGACCGGCGAUCAAUGAGGCAGCGGCGGGCAACAGCAACUGGCAAGUGGUGGCAGGUGGCAGCGGUGACUAGUGAGCAAUAGCGGUGAUUGGUGAGCGACAACAAUAGUGGUAGCGGCAACCAGUGAUCGCCAACGGCACCGAUGACCAACAACCAACAAUCGAUGACGAUCGGCGGCGAGUGGUGAAGGCAAUUGGUGACUGGUGACCAGCGAUGCAGGCAGCAGAUGAGAGCAAUGACUAAUGGCAAACGGGGGGUAGCGACUAUUGAGGCAGAGAGAAUUUGCACAUUAAUGAUAUCUGAAUAAACAUUUGUAAAACCAUUCUUAUUAGUCAUGAUUUUCAAGUAAAUAAUUCUCUUUAAAAAAUUAAGAAUUAAUUUUCCAAAUAUGAUAAAGUAUCGGGGCUUGGAUUAGAAAGUCCAUGCUUGGGUAAUAUCCUAAUGUUCAUCCUUCAGUCCUCGGCAACGAGGUUAGGUCCUUUGAGGGUGGAUUCUAGACCUCGACGCCCAAAUGCCCGAGCCCCCGACUUAUGAGCCUAGAUCUAUCAAGGCGGGGCCCCCCGCUCCCGUGCUUUCUGCCUUGGUAUGUAGGUGUCAUAUACAUUUCAAAUUCAAAUUCACGCAAGCGAGCGCAUGCAAAUAUCGAUGAAAAUGUCUACUAUCAUGAGGAAGAAUAAAGGUACCCUUUAAUGAAUUUUCUUAAGUACUCUGCAAGUUCCGAGGGUCGACUCCUGCUUUCUUUCUGCCUCCGCCUUGGCAUGGUCCACAUACUAAAAUUAAGUUGAUGACAGACUGGGUAAAGUUACACGUCACGUGUUCUCUUGUCUUGGGCAAACGGUGCAAUGAUCGCCAUUCUACGCCACGUCACCUGGAUGGUUUAAGACGAAUCGUUUGUUUACUAUUUAACAGCUGAUAAUCGUCUCUCUCUCUCUCCAUUCGAUUGCUAUUCUACGCUCCCCUUCAUCCGUUUCUUGCGCUCGAAUCUCUUCGCCUCGGUCGUCUCUCACUCUGUUUCGCUCUUUCUUCAUCUCGGCACACCCAUUCUUCCUCAUCCUCUUCCUCCUCUUCAGUAUCUGCUGCUCUUUUUCAUCGUUCGAUUGCCUGUUCUACGCUCCCCUUCCUUCUUCCUUUUUUGGCGCUCGAAUCUCUCCGCCUUGUUUAUCUCGCGCUCUGUUUCGCUCUUUCUUCUCCUUGGCACACCCAUUCUUCCUCAUCCUCUUCCUCCUCUUCAGUAUCUGCUGCUCUUUUUCAUCAUUUUCUCUUUCUCCGUCUCUCUGUUUUCUGACUCUUUGUUUCUCAAAAAAAAAAAAAAAAAAACAAAGAGAAAUGUCGAUUCAGUGGUGCAUUCCCACUGUUCGUGAUAUCUUGGAGGGGGCAGUUAUUUUGAUCAAGGAUCCAGUGAAAUACGCGAUGUCCUCCGAGAGCUUUGCCAACGAUCUACGGGAAGAAGUCCGGAAACUGGAUAACGAGGCUCGGAGGGUCGGCGAUUUGGCACAAGUGGCCAGAAACAAUUGUCGGAAUUUCAACGAUGUCUUCACCGAUUGGCAGCAGAGUGCCAACAAGGCCUUGGACGAUGCGCAAAAACUGUUGCCAACAAGGCCUCGGCCUUGGAGCACCACUUGCUGCUACGUGACUCUUCCCAACCCCUACCGUCGCUAUCGGUUCAGCACGAAGGCCGAGGCCGAGAUCCAGGUCAUUCGGGGACUCGUUGACAAGUGCACCGGAUUCAGGGCAUCGGACGACAUUUGCUUCAUCAAUACUGCUUCGGGAAAUGUCACUGCUCCGACUCCAGCCAGGAGAGACGGCAAAGACGCCGUCCAGUCGACCACCGCCACGGCCUCCGUUUGUUCUGCCUCGACGUCGAUUAAGAUUAGGAACGAUGACGUCUUCGAAUCCAGAGCUUUGAUGAUACGGGAGAUCAUGGACGCUCUUGCCAAUAACAGCAAUAGUGUGGUCGGGGUCUAUGGGAUGGGCGGGAUCGGCAAGUCCACUCUUUUAGUGGAUGUUGAAAGGAAAAUAAGAGAAGAGAAGUCGUUUGAUUGGGUCGCUAAGGCAGACGUGUCGGAAAAUCCAGACGUCAAGAAGAUUCAAGGAGAGAUUGCGCACGCCUUGGGCCUCACUGAGAUAAAGAGCGAAGAGAUUGUCAGCGUGCGAGCGGGGCUUUUGCGCAAGAGGUUGGAAAAUGAGGAGAGGAUGAAAAAGAAGGCCCUUAUAAUACUGGACAACCUGUGGAAGGGGCUUGACUUAAACGAAGUCGGCAUUCCUUGCGGACACGACAACAGAGUCAUAGGAUGCAAGUUAUUGUUAACGUCAAGAGAUCGUAAUGUUUUGCGAAUUGCAAUGGGCUGCGACAAGGUCUUCCCCCUUGGUGAGCUGGAGGAGGAAGAGGCAAGAAGUUUGUUUGAGAAGAUUGUGGGAGACAAAGUUCAUGAUGACAAGUUCAAACCCUUGGUGGAUGAAGCGCUCCACAAAUGUUUUGGUAUGCCUUUCCUAAUUGUCCAUAUGGCAAAAGUUUUUAAACAUGCUGAUUUACCUGAAUGGACGAUUGUUUUGAAACAAAUCAAGCUGUCUAAAAAUGACAGAAUCGGGGAAGUGAUAAAUGAGAGGUUGCAAUUGAGUUAUAAAAAUUUAAAAGCUGCGGAGAAGUCAUUGUUAGCACUCUGUGUUGCUUGUGGGACCUCUAAGCCCUCUUUCGAAAACUUGGUGAGGUAUGGUGUGGGUUACGGGCUAUUUCGAGAAGAUGACAACGUGGACGAAGCUAGAGAGAGUUUGAAAUCAGGGAUUUGUAGUCUUCAAGCCUCCUCCCUUUUGUUAGAGGAUGAAGACGCUUAUGGUUUCAAGAUACAUGACUUGGUUCAUGAGUUUGUUGCUUCGGUCGCUUCAAGAGAUCACCCUCUUCUUGUUUUGAAAGAUAAAGAUAAGUCAAUAACAGGAUUGUUGAAGGACAAGCUCAAAAGUUGUAGGGCAGUAUGCUUUCCAUACGUUGACAUGAAGGAGCUUCCCCAAGAAUUAGAUUGCCCUGAAUUGCAGAUCUUUUUGUUGUUCACAAACAAUGAAUCUCUCGAGGUCCCAUAUUCAUUAUUUCGCUCUAUGAGGAAACUCAUGGUCUUAAAUCUCACCGGGAUAAGUCUCACUUACUCUCCUUCAUCAUCGUUUCAAUUCUUGGAGAACUUACACACUUUGUGUCUUGAUAGUUGUUCGUUAGAUAAUGUAGCCAUUCUUGGCGAGCUGAAAGGGCUUCAAAUUCUCAGUUUUGUAAACUCCAAUAUUCAUCGAUUGCCAAGAGAAAUUGGGCAACUAUUAGAGCUGAGGUUGUUAGACUUGAACCGGUGUGAACAACUUGAGAUAAUUGAACCGGGGGUACUUCAAAGCUUGAUCAAGUUGGAGGAGUUGUACAUGAAGAAUAGCUUUCACCAGUGGGAUACUAUGGACCAAACUCCACCAACUAAUGCUAGUCUGAUUGAGUUGAAUCACAUGAAUAAUCUCCGCACUCUGCAUGUUUCCAUUCUUAAUCCGAGUGUGCUUCCAGGGGAUCUAAACCUCGAGAAAUUAAUCAAGUAUGAAAUCCGAAUAGGUAUUGUGUGGCACUGGUGGAGUAUGUGGAGUGGGUGCAAAGGAAAGAGGACAUUGAAGCUCAAGUUGGAUCCAUUAGGCAAUGUUCUUCGGAAAGGAUGCAUUCAAAGUAUCUUUGGCAAAACUGACUAUCUGUCUCUAGACAACUUGGUUAGAAAUGAGCAAAGUAUUUGCGCGUUGUCCCAAAAAGAUUUUCCAGAAUUGAAGCAUCUAAAAGUCAAGAAUAGUCCCUCUAUCCAUUACAUCCACCAAUCACCAUCCCAUACACAUUUUAAGAUGUUGGAGUCAUUACGUCUCAAAAAUCUCAUCAACUUGGAGAAAUUAUGCAACAGCCAUAUCUCCUCCAAGUCCUUUAGUACAUUGAAAGUGAUACAAGUCGAAAGGUGUGAUAAGAUGGAAGUAUUGUUUCCUCUUUCAAUUGUGAGAGGACUUCCACAGCUAGAAGAGAUUAAUGUUGUUGAUUGCAAGCGAAUGCGGGGGAUUGUAGAUGCUGAUGACGGUGGCAAAGUUGAGUUGCAUAAUUUGCUUGGAUUGAAAUUGUGUGACUUGCCAGAUAUUAAGAGCUUUUUCACUAUAGGGAUGGCUCCUUUGAGUAGCACAUCACACGACAAAGUUGGCACUCAAAUUGCAUUCUUCAAUGAGCAACAGGUAACUUUCCAUCAAAAUAAUAUAAUACUUAUUACUAUUUCCUACCUUUGCUUAUUAGAUGUAACACAGAUUAUGAUGCUUAUUUAUUUUGUUAUUUUCAGUUUAUUAUCUUCCUAAUUACCUUAUUUCACCCCUUCUCUGUAAUUAGUUAAAGUAAUCUUCCGUUUCACUUAACUGUGUAGAAAUCCAACUAUUUGUAUGAAAUCCAUGUAAAAAUUUAGUUUGUGAUAGGUUUUGAAUUAUUUUCAACUAACAUGGUGCAAGUAUAUCUAUAUUUACAGGGUUUCAUAAAGCAAAAUUGAAGAGAAUUUCAGCACUAAAGUAUUCCAUGAGUACUUUAUUUUUAAUCUUUCAAAUGAAUUCCACUGAAUUUAGUUAUCAAACUUUGUUAUUAUCCACAAAAUGUAUAAAAUAGGUGACUUUCUUGAAAACCAGUAUGAAGAAUGGGAAGGAGGACUGGUUUUUUAAAUAAAAGCAACUAUACUAAUCUAAUUGAUGCGCAUCUUUUUUUGUAUCGUGUUUAAAUAAGCAAUUAGCCAUUGCAUAGGCCCCAAAAUUAUAAGAAUACAGACUUUUGUUCAUAGUUUUUUUUUUUUUUUAAGUUAAAGUAGUCCUUGGCAAUUGUAUGACUUUUUGUGCAUAGUUUUUUUUUUUUUUUUACAGACUUUUGUGCAUAGUUUUUUAGGCCUUGGCAAUUGUAUGAUUUUUAUUAUGCCACACAAAAGUCGUUAUUACAAAUUUGAAAUUCUUGCCGUUGGAUUUCCAAAGUGAUCUUUACAUUUCUCUACCCCAUACGGCAGAAUCAAGGCCAAGUUGUUACAAUAUCAAAUGAUGGAACUUGAUGACUUGAUGGAAAAUCCAUUGUCUGAAAGUCCAAGUAAUUUUAUAGAGACUUACUUCAAAUGUUUUGACUGGCCUAGUAUUUUAAUUUGGCUACUUGUUAUGUCUUUGUUUAAUUUCCAAAGCUUCAAGUGCUCCACAAUUUAAUCUUCAAGAAAUAUUGGCGAAAUUUGAGGUUUCUUUUUGUUGAGUCCAUCCAAUUUAGAUUGUGAAUAUUAUGUAGCUUUGAUAUCUUACCAAGAAAAACCGGUGGUUGCCCAGUCUCGUGGGACCAUAUUUGGUCAUUGCAAUUUCUCUCCAUGGCAAUUUACAAAUCUAAAUACCAAAUGCUUUAACUAAAUGUCUUCACAUUUGGCCUUUAAAGUACGUAUGGAUACAUUUGUACACAAAUCCACAGUUUGUGUUUGAUAUCCUGUUAAAUUGGUUAUUGAUAGCAAUUUAUUAACAUUAAAAGAAGUUGAGUGAACUAAGGAUAAAUAAUUGUCCAAUUAAGAAAAGCGCAUGGGUAUUUUGUAUGGGAAGUAGUUGCUGCCGGUGGAGCCUUUUGGCUCAUUGCAUAAGAUUGCCCUUUAUUUGUGGCGCGAUUAUAGCUGAAGUUGAUGGUGGGUCCCUUAAGGUAGCGUGUCUAAGUUUCUCCACUUCAACCUCGUGUCUAAGUAUCUCCACUUCAACCUCAACUUUUCUACUUCGCAUGCAAGAGAGGAAUUAGAUUGGGAGGGUUUGCAAAGAGGCUUUGGGGUUUUUAACUUUCAAGGGGUUCUAAAUCUUCAUUAAAGAAAUUUACUCUUGCCUUGAUGCCUUCUCAUUUUGGGCGUAGAAACUAGGGCUGCAUAAAUCUAUGGGAAUAUAAUGAAAAUUUUCUAAUAACUGUAAUAAAUCUCAUCCAACGUUGUAAGGAGGUCGAGUCGAUGAAAGCAGCAGUGGAAGGUUGGAUUGUCGGGGAUCACAGUAGUUGAACAAAGAAACACACAGAAGUUAAACUUGUCGUAAUAGAUGGGAGCAACAGGUGAUGGCAAGGUAGAUGGGAGAUUUCAAGUAAUGUUGCGGAAAGGAUUUUCUCAAGUUAAGUGGCGAACUUUUGAAGAAGACUAGUUACAGUUUGCCAAAAAUAAAAAUGAGAAAAGAAAAUAAGGAUUUCCAUUGUAAGUUAUUGUUAAGAAGGAAUAAAACUCGCUCACUAAUCAAAAUUAUGUCCGCAAUAAUUUUCCAAGUAAAGAUUGGGGAAAGACUCAUUAUACCGUUUAGCAACGACACUAGUAUGGAGAUUUUCUUACUCCUUUUGUUUUUUUAUUUUAUUCUCUUUUUUCCCCUUUUGUGCGACUUAAUAAUGCCCCUCUCUUCUUGGCACAUGUAUAUAUUAACAUUUCGGAAGUUCCUAAAUUCGUGAUUUAACUAAAUCACCAAUUCCAUGAGAGAACAUUGCAGGUUGCCUUUUCGAAAUUGGAGACAUUAGAAGUCAAGGGCUUGGAUAAUGUCGAGUUUUUGUUUCCCCCAUCCAUGAUUAAAUCUCUCGCACAACUGAGAGAUCUACGGGUAUCUUCUUGCAAGAAGAUGGAGGCGAUCAUUACGGAGGAAGAAGGAUUGGGAUUAGAAAUAUCAGAAACUCUGGCAUUCCCAAUGUUAACUAGCUUAAACUUAAAUGAUUUGGAAAGUUUGAUGUGCUUCUCUCGCAAAAAGUGUAAGAUUGAUUUUUUGUUUUUAUCACUAAAUAUCUUCCUGUAGAUAUGCUCAUCCUUGUAAUACAAAUGGCAACAUUCUUUUCAUCCAUUGAAAAACUGAUGACAGGUUCACGAGAAGCUCGGAGUCAGGACCGCAUCAAAUCAUACCGCACUACACUCUUCAGUCAAGAGGUACGUGAUUAACAUUAUGUCAAAAUAUUAUAUAUAACAAAAGUAUUAAAUAGGCAAAAGACAAAGCAUAGCCAACGUACGAACUAACUAAAUAAGGCUUUCCAUUGUAAGUUAUUGUUAAGAAGGAAUAAAACUCUCUCACUAAUCAAAUUUAUGUCCGCAAUCAUUUUCCAAGUAAAGAUCGGCGAAAGAUUCAUUAUACUGUUUAGCAACGACACUAGUAUGGAGCUUUUCUUACUCCUUUUGUUUUUUUUUUUUUUUAUUCUCUUUUUUCCCCUUUUGUGCGACUUAAUAAUGCCCCUCUCUUCUUGGCACAUGUAUAUAUUAACAUUUCGGAAGUUCCUAAAUUCGUGAUUUAACUAAAUCACCAAUUCCAUGAGAGAACAUUGCAGGUUGCCUUUUCGAAAUUGGAGACAUUAGAAGUCAAGGGCUUGGAUAAUGUCGAGUUUUUGUUUCCCCCAUCCAUGAUUAAAUCUCUCGCACAACUGAGAGAUCUACGGGUAUCUUCUUGCAAGAAGAUGGAGGCGAUCAUGACGGAGGAAGAAGGGUUGGGAUUGGAAAUAUCAGAAACUCAGGCAUUCCCAAUGUUAACUAGCUUAAAAUUAAAUUAUUUGGAAAGUUUGAUGUGCUUCUCUCGCAAAAAGUGUAAGAUUGAUUUUUUUUUUUAUCACUAAAUAUCUUCCUGUAGAUAUGCUCAUCCUUGCAAUACAAAUGGCAACAUUCUUUUCAUCCAUUGAAAAACUGAUGACAGGUUCACGAGAAGCUCGGAAUCAGGACCGAAUCAAAUCAUACCGCACUACACUCUUCAGUCAAGAGGUACAUGAUUAACGUUAUGUCAAAAUAUUAAAUAUAACAAAAGUAUUAAAUAUGCAAAAGACAAAGCAUAGCCAACAUAAGAACUAACUAAAUAAGGCUUUCCAUUGUAAGUUAUUGUUAAGAAGGAAUAAAACUCUCUCACUAAUCAAAUUUAUGUCCGCAAUCAUUUUCCAAGUAAAUAUCGGGGAAAGAUUCAUUAUACUGUUUAGCAACGACACUAGUAUGGAGAUUUUCUUACUCCUUCUGUUUUUUUUUUUUUAUUCUCAUUUUUUCCCCUUUUGUGUGACUUAAUAAUGCCUCUCUUCUUGGCACACGUAUAUAUUAACAUUUUGAAAGUUCCUAAAUUCGUGAUUUAACUAAAUCACCAAUUCCAUGUGUGAACAUUGCAGGUUGCCUUUUCAAAAUUGGAGACAUUAGAAGUCGAGGGCUUGGAUAACGUCGAGUUUUUGUUUUCCCCAUCCAUGAUUAUAUUUUCGCACAACUGAGAGAUCUACAAGUUUUGGCUUGAGGACGAUGGAGGCGAUCAUUACGGAUGAAGAAGGGUUGGGAUUGGAGAUAUCAAAAACUCCAGCAUUCCCAAUGUUAACGAGCUUAAACUUAAAUUAUUUGGAAAGUUUGAUGUGCUUCUUUCGCAAAAAGUGUAAGAUUGAAUUUUUGUAUUUAUCACUAAAUAUCUUCUUGUAGAUAUGUUCAUUCCUUCAAUACAAAUGGCAACAUUCUUUUCAUCCAUUGAAAAACUAAUGACAGGUUCACGAGAAGCUCGGAGUCAGGACCGCAUCAAAUCAUACCACACUACACUCUUCAGUCAAGAGGUAUGUGAUUAACAUUAUGUCAAAAUAUUAUAUAUAAAAAAAGUAUUAAAUAUGCAAAAGACAUAGCAUAGCCAACAUACGAACUAACUAAAUAAGGCUUUCCAUUGUAAGUUUUUGUUAAGAAGGAAUAAAACUCGCUCACUAAUCAAAUUUAUGUCCGCAAUCAUUUUCCAAGUAAAGAUCGGGGAAAGAUUCAUUAUACUGUUUAGCAACGACACUAGUAUGGAGAUUUUCUUACUCCUUAUGUUUUUUUUUUUUUAUUCUCUUUUUUCCCCUUUUGUGCGACUUAAUAAUGCCCCUCUCUUCUUGGCACACGUAUAUAUUAACAUUUUGGAAGUUCCUAAAUUCGUGAUUUAACUAAAUCACCAAUUCCAUGUGUGAACAUUGCAGGUUGCCUUUUCAAAAUUGGAGACAUUAGAAGUCAAGGGCUUGGAUAACGUCGAGUUUUUGUUUUUCCCAUCCAUGAUUAAAUCUCUCGCACAACUAAGAGAUCUACAAGUUUCUUAUUGCAAGAAGAUGGAGGCGAUCAUUACGGAGGAAGAAGGGUUGGGAUUGGAAAUAUCAGAAACUCCAGCAUUCCCAAUGUUAACUAGCUUAAACUUAAAUUAUUUGGAAAGUUUGAUGUGCUUCUCUCGCAAAAAGUGUAAGAUUGAAUUUUUGUUUUUAUCACUAAAUAUCUUCCUGUAGAUAUGCUCAUCCUUGUAAUACAAAUGGCAACAUUCUUUUCAUCCAUUGAAAAACUCAUGACAGGUUCACGAGAAGCUCGGAGUCAGGAGCGCAUCAAAUCAUACCGCACUACACUCUUCAGUCAAGAGGUACGUGAUUAACACUAUGUCAAAAUAUUAUAUAUAACAAAAGUAUUAAAUAUGCAAAAGACACAGCAUAGCCAACAUACGAACUAACUAAAUAAGGCUUUCCAUUAUAAGUUAUUGUUAAGAAGGAAUAAAACUCGCUCACUAAUCAAAUUUAUGUCCGCAAUCAUUUUCCAAGUAAAGAUGGGGGAAAGAUUCAUUAUACUGUUUAGCAACGACACUAGUAUGGAGAUUUUCUUACUCCUUUUUUUUUAUGAUUCUCUUUUUUCCCCUUUUGUGUGACUUAAUAAUGCCCCUCUCUUCUUGGCACAUGUAUAUAUUAACAUUUUGGAAGUUCCUAAAUUCGUGAUUUAACUAAAUCACCAAUUCCAUGUGUGAACAUUGCAGGUUGCCUUUUUGAAAUUGGAGACAUUAGAAGUCGAGGGCUUGGAUAACGUCGAGUUUUUGUUUUCCCCAUCCAUGAUUAAAUCUCUCGCACAACUGAGAGAUCUACGGGUAUCUUCUUGCAAGAAGAUGGAGGCGAUCAUUACGGAGGAAGAAGGGUUGGGAUUGGAAAUAUCAGAAACUCUGGUAUUCCCAAUGUUAACUAGCUUAAACUUAAAUGAUUUGGAAAGUUUGAUGUGCUUCUCUCGCAAAAAGUGUAAGAUUGAAUUUUUGUUUUUAUCACUAAAUAUCUUCCUGUAGAUAUGUUCAUCCUUGCAAUACAAAUGGCAACAUUCUUUUCAUCCAUUGAAAAACUGAUGACAGGUUCACGAGAAGCUUGGAAUCAGGAGCGCAUCAAAGCAUACCGCACUACACUCUUCAUUCAAGAGGUACCUGAUUAACGUUAUGUCAAAAUAUUAUAUAUAACAAAAGUAUUAAAUAUGCAAAAGACAAAGCAUAGCCAACAUAAGAACUAACUAAAUAAGGCUUUCCAUUGUAAGUUAUUGUUAAGAAGGAAUAAAACUCGCUCACUAGUCAAAUUUAUGUCCGCAAUCAUUUUCCAAGUAAAGAUCGGGGAAAGAUUCAUUAUACUAUUUAGCAACGACACUAGUAUGGAGAUUUUCUUACUCCUUUUGUUUUUUUUUUUAUUCUCUUUUUUCCCCUUUUGUGCGACUUAAUAAUGCCCCUGUCUUCUUGGCACACGUAUAUAUUAAUAUUUUGGAAGUUCCUAUGAUUUAAUUAAAUCACCAAAUCCAUGAGUGAACAUUGCAGGUUGCCUUUUCGAAAUUGGAGACAUUAGAAGUCAAGGGCUUGGAUAACGUCGAGUUUUUGUUUUCCCCAUCCAUGAUUAAAUCUCUCUUACAACUGAGAGAUCUACGGGUAUCUUUUUGCAAGAAGAUGGAGGCGAUCAUUACGGAGGAAGAAGGGUUGGGAUUGGAAAUAUUAGAAACUCUGGCAUUCCCAAUGUUAACUAGCUUAAACUUAAAUUAUUUGGAAAGUUUGAUGUGCUUCUCUCGCAAAAAGUGUAAGAUUGAAUUUUUGUUUUUAUCACUAAAUAUCUUCCUGUAGAUAUGCUCAUCCUUAUAAUACAAAUGGCAACAUUCUUUUCAUCCAUUGAAAAACUCAUGACAGGUUCACGAGAAGCUCGGAGUCAGGAGCGCAUCAAAUCAUACCGCACUACACUCUUCAGUCAAGAGGUACGUGAUUAACACUAUGUCAAAAUAUUAUAUAUAACAAAAGUAUUAAAUAUGCAAAAGACACAGCAUAGCCAACAUACGAACUAACUAAAUAAGGCUUUCCAUUAUAAGUUAUUGUUAAGAAGGAAUAAAACUCGCUCACUAAUCAAAUUUAUGUCCGCAAUCAUUUUCCAAGUAAAGAUCGGGGAAAGAUUCAUUAUACUGUUUAGCAACGACACUAGUAUGGAGAUUUUCUUACUCCUUUUUUUUUUUAUGAUUCUCUUUUUUCCCCUUUUGUGUGACUUAAUAUUGCCCCUCUCUUCUUGGCACAUGUAUAUAUUAACAUUUUGGAAGUUCCUAAAUUCGUGAUUUAACUAAAUCACCAAUUCCAUGUGUGAACAUUGCAGGUUGCCUUUUUGAAAUUGGAGACAUUAGAAGUCGAGGGCUUGGAUAACGUCGAGUUUUUGUUUUCCCCAUCCAUGAUUAAAUCUCUCGCACAACUGAGAGAUCUACGGGUAUCUUCUUGCAAGAAGAUGGAGGCGAUCAUUACGGAGGAAGAAGGGUUGGGAUUGGAAAUAUCAGAAACUCUGGUAUUCCCAAUGUUAACUAGCUUAAACUUAAAUGAUUUGGAAAGUUUGAUGUGCUUCUCUCGCAAAAAGUGUAAGAUUGAAUUUUUGUUUUUAUCACUAAAUAUCUUCCUGUAGAUAUGUUCAUCCUUGCAAUACAAAUGGCAACAUUCUUUUCAUCCAUUGAAAAACUGAUGACAGGUUCACGAGAAGCUUGGAAUCAGGAGCGCAUCAAAGCAUACCGCACUACACUCUUCAUUCAAGAGGUACCUGAUUAACGUUAUGUCAAAAUAUUAUAUAUAACAAAAGUAUUAAAUAUGCAAAAGACAAAGCAUAGCCAACAUAAGAACUAACUAAAUAAGGCUUUCCAUUGUAAGUUAUUGUUAAGAAGGAAUAAAACUCGCUCACUAGUCAAAUUUAUGUCCGCAAUCAUUUUCCAAGUAAAGAUCGGGGAAAGAUUCAUUAUACUGUUUAGCAACGACACUAGUAUGGAGAUUUUCUUACUCCUCUGUUUUUUUUUUUUUAUUCUCAUUUUUUCCCCUUUUGUGUGACUUAAUAAUGCCUCUCUUCUUGGCACACGUAUAUAUUAACAUUUUGAAAGUUCCUAAAUUCGUGAUUUAACUAAAUCACCAAUUCCAUGUGUGAACAUUGCAGGUUGCCUUUUCAAAAUUGGAGACAUUAGAAGUCGAGGGCUUGGAUAACGUCGAGUUUUUGUUUUCCCCAUCCAUGAUUAUAUCUCUCGCACAACUAAGAGAUCUACAAGUUUCUUUUUGCAGAAGAUGGAGGCGAUCAUUACGGAGGAAGAAGGGUUGGGAUUGGAAAUAUCAGAAACUCCAGCAUUCCCAAUGUUAACUAGCUUAAGCUUAAAUUAUUUGGAAAGUUUGAUGUGCUUCUCUCGCAAAAAGUGUAAGAUUGAAUUUUUGUAUUUAUCACUAAAUAUCUUCCUGUAGAUAUGUUCAUCCUUGUAAUACAAAUGGCAACAUUCUUUUCAUCCAUUCAAAAACUGAUGACAGGUUCACGAGAAGCUCGGAGUCAGGAGCGCAUCAAAUCAUACCGCACUACACUCUUCAUUCAAGAGGUACCUGAUUAACGUUAUGUCACAAUAUUAUAUAUAACAAAAGUAUUAAAUAUGCCAAAGACAAAGCAUAGCCAACAUAAGAACUAACUAAAUAAGGCUUUCCAUUGUAAGUUAUUGUUAAGAAGGAGUAAAACUCGCUCACUAAUCAAAUUUAUGUCCGCAAUCAUUUUCCAAGUAAAGAUCGGGGAAAGAUUCAUUAUACUGUUUAGCAACGACACUAGUAUGGAGAUUUUCUUACUCCUUUUGUUUUUUUUUUUUUUAUUUCAUUCUCUUUUUUCCCCUUUUGUGUGACUUAAUAAUGCCCCUCUCUUCUUGGCACAUGUAUAUAUUAACAUUUCGGAAGUUCCUAAAUUCGUGAUUUAACUAAAUCACCAAUUCCAUGUGUGAACAUUGCAGGUUGCCUUUUUGAAAUUGGAGACAUUAGAAGUCGAGGGCUUGGAUAACGUCGAGUUUUUGUUUUCCCCAUCCAUGAUUAAAUCUCUCGCACAACUGAGAGAUCUACGGGUAUCUUCUUGCAAGAAGAUGGAGGCGAUCAUUACGAAGGAAGAAGGGCUGGCAUUGGAAAUAUCAGAAACUCUGGCAUUCCCGAUGUUAACUAAAUUAGACUUAAAUUGUUUGAAAAGUUUGAUGAGCUUCUCUCGCGAAAAUUGUAAGAUUGAUUUUUUGUUUUCAUCACUAAAGAUCUUCUUGUGGAUAAAUUCAUCCUUGCAAUACAAAUGGUGACAUUCUUUUCAUCCAUCGAAAAACUUAUGAUAGGUUCACGAGAAGCUCGAAGUCAGGACCGCAUCAAAUCUUGCUCCACUGCACUCUUCAGUCAAGAGGUACAUGAUUAACGUUAUGUCAAAAUAUCUUAGAUAUAACAAAAGUAUUAAAUAUGCAAAAGAAAAAGCAUAGCCAAAAUAAGAACUAACUAAAUAACUUACAAAGUGUACUCUGGUUAAAAAUAUUUUAAAGAAAAUGAGUGGUGUACAAACAUAAGUAUUGAGAGUUGCCGACAUGUAUGAGUUGCAUUUUUUUAAUUUUAAUUUCUCCAGAAAUAGUUUCCAUAAAGAUGGUUAAACAUCUCUUAUGGUACCUACACAAAGCAUGAACGAGUAAUACGACUGCCAAACAAGAUCUCUAAAAGCUUUUUGAUGUUCAUAGGAAACUCAAAGCUCUUAGCAACCUCGCAUGUAUGGCAUUGACAUUGCACGCAUGCACAUUGAAAGCAAUUUAAGAAACAAUGGAGAGGAAAGUGAUAGUAAUGUUCAAGAAGCUGUAGAUGAAGGGCCUUUAAGAUACUCACUUGACUUCAUUUGCUCUUAAAAGAUCGCCUUUUUUGAGCAUAUGAAGGACGCUUUAGUCUCCCUUAAUUGCACCAGCAAAAGGUAUUGAGCCCUCUCCGUCACCAAACUGAACGAGAAUCUAGGGUCCAGGGCAUUCGAAUCACUCUUUUAAGUUUUAACAUGAAUUGGAAGACCAAAGUGAUCAUUUGGUGACUUCUCUAAGUGCAUUGCAAUUCCAUUUAAUUAUUUCAUCCAUAUUGUAACUUAAAUUACCGUUUCUAAGUGAUUUAACAAAAGCCACGUAUACUAGCUAUUUCAUUCUUGGGUUAGCAAAAAGAAAAAAAAAGCACAAAUUGUGAUUUGAUUAUUCUGGGAAAUUGAUUCAAUUCAAGAGAGGGAGUGAUUUCAUUUAAAUUUGAGAUUAUGAGAGAUAAAUGUGAUUAUAUGAUAGUUAAGGAGCAUAUCCAAAUUACCAUUUUGCCAUUGUCAACAAAAUCCGAUCAGAAUUCCCACUUUUUGUUUUGUCUGUAGUAAUUCCACAAGUCUUCUAGAUCAACAUUCUUUUUUUUUUUUUUGGUCAGAGAGUCGUCGACAUAUUUAUAUGGACAUUUGUGCAACUUAAGACAGAAUCACCAAUUUCAUGAUUUCGAAUUUUACAUAUUGACACUCAUCUAUCAUGGAAGUUCAUGACUAACUCAAUCAUCAAUUCCGUGAGCGAAUAUCGCAGGUUGCAUUUCCUAAAUUGGAGGCAUUAGAUAUUAGUGACUUGGAUAAUUUUGAGAUGAUAUGGGACAAUAAAGUUGCUAUGGAUUCUUUCUCCAAGCUAAAAACCCUUCGUGUGGUUGAUUGCAAUAAGCUUGUGAGCAUAGUUCAUUCUAUCAUUCUGAGACAGCUCUUGAGCUUGGAAAGAUUGGAUGCAAGAAGAUGUGGUUCGCUUGAUAUUAUUUUUGAACUUCAAACCCUGAAUCAUCUAGAUGGACAUCCUAUUGCUCUUCCAUUAACAGAAUUGACGGUAUCAAGAUUACCAAAGCUGAAGUGCAUAUGGGAUAAAGAACUCCAUUGUCAAAUUAAAUUCCAGUGUCUACGUUCUAUUAGCGUUUCAGGAUGUGAGAGCCUCACCUCUUUGUUUCCACCCUCAAUAACCAGAGAUCUAAUACAACUUGAGAAGUUGGCGAUCGAUGAAUGUGGCAUUGUAGAAAUCAUCAAGAGUGAAGAAGGACUAGUUCCCAAGUUUGUAUUCCCAAUGUUAACCUCCCUUGAGCUUGAGUGUUUGAGAGAGUUGAAGUGCCUCUACAAAGGAACACAUACUUCCCAUUGGCCGGCAUUGAAGACCUUGAAGGUGCACGGCUGUGACAAAGUGGAGAUACUUGCAUCGCACCUUGAGAAUGAGAUGUCACUUGAUAAACAGCCUCUCUUCUUGAUAGAAAAGGUAUGACCCAAGAUUACUUGUUUUGCUUUGAUGGUGAUUAUUUGAAGUGGUGAUUAUGGUCACAACCAAGCAUCUCAUACAAGUAGCUCUACAUAGAAGAUGGACACUAUAUGACUCACCUUCAAUCUAUGAAAAUAUUUCAACAUCGAAACAUCACAUGUUCUUCAAGUGCUGACUGAACAUUCUUGUUAGAAGUAUCCAAUGCAUUGUUGUUGGUCCACUUUUAAUAAAGGUUUAGGCUAAUUCCAAUAGUUUUGCUCUCUCCUAAGUGCCAUGAAGAUGAAAACACGUGGCACAUGUUGUGAUCUUUGCAUGGUACAAAUGUGUUGUCCGACUUGAAUCCUUUAAUGAUUACUAAUGUUUUGCUAAAAACAGAAAGAUGUGAUAUUAUUGUUGAUAUUAAUCACUGAAAUUGGUGCAACUGUAAUUGACAUAGAAGUUAUUUUCACAAGGGAUUUAUCUUUAGAAUCAUGAAUGUAACGAGUAACUUAAGCUCAAAUAUGGAUACAAGUUGAAUAUAAAGAUUAUUGAUGAUGUUUAUUUGAUGUAGGCACAUUUCCUUUUAUUGAAUCACGUGAGACUAAACAUUUUAUAAAUGUAAUUAUUGCGCACAACAUGCAGGACUUAUAUCAUAAUACAUGAAUGCUAUUUUAACCAAUCUGGCUUUAAAUUCUAAUUUGACUAUUUUCUCAGGGCGCAUUCCCUAAUCUCCAAGAGUUAAAGUUGGAUUUAUCGAAACGGAUGGAGAUAUGGCAUGGGCAUUUUCAUGAUGGAGAAUUCUUUUGCAAGCUUAGUUUGCUUAAGCUUCGUCAUCUCUCCCAAGAGUCUUCAAUAUCCACAUGUCGCUUCGUUGAGAGUUUAACCAACUUGGAAGAGCUUGUUGUAUGUGAAUCUUAUCUAGAAGACCCAAGCAGCAAUGAGGAAGCCAUAGAAGGCACAAGUCGUGAGAUGAAAGUAAUAUUACCCUUUUCAAGAUAUAUUCGACAUCUGCAAACUCUAGAUGUGUCACAUUGUGAUGGGUUAUCAAAAAUGUUCACACCGACAAUUGCUGAAAAUUUGGUGGCACUCACAAAAUUGAGGAUAAGUAAUUGUAGAAUAUUGACAGAAGUUAUUAAUGAUGAGAAAGGUGGGGAUGGCCGUGUGGUGGCUUUCAAUCAACUGAAGUAUAUGGAGCUUGAUGGGUUGAUAGGGUUGAGAAGUUUCAGCUCGGGUGGAUACACUUUGAUGUUCCCGCUCUUGGAAGAUAUCAUUGUGACUAGAUGUCCCAACAUGAAGUUUUUCUCUCAAGGACCGACGGAGGCAUCAAAGUUAAAGAGAGUUCAAGUAUCAAAGGAAGCGUGGUUUUGGGCAGGAAACCUCAACAUCACCAUCCAUAAUAUGUUUGAAGAAAUGGUACGCACUAGUUACCAAAUUCCAUGUAUUUGGAUGGUUUUGAUCACUAAAUGAAUAAUAGCUUUUUGCUAGCUAGAGUUUAUGCUUAACGAUGCAUUUUUUUGAUAGGGCACGUUUGCUGGAGUAGAGAAAAUGCUACUAUCUGAGUUCCCUGUGUUGAUUGGAAAAUGGCACAACGAACUUAAUCCCAUCAAGUCGUAUUGGCAACUAAAAUCAGUGGUGGUAGAUAAAUGUCCAUCAUUUAUUAACGCUAUUCCAUCCAAAUUGAUGCUUGUCUUAGACAAUUUGGGCUAUUUGCAAGUGCGUGAUUGUGAGUUGCUUGAAGAAAUAUUUGAUUUGGAAGGGCUGGAAGUUGUGGAAAGCACUCGAGUACUGCCUCAACUAAGGGAAUUGAACUUGGUCAAUCUACCAAAAUUAAGGCGACUGUGGAACAAAGAUCUUCAAGAAUCGCUAUGCUUCAAUUCUCUAGAACGUCUCAUCCUUUAUAAUUGCAACAACUUGGGACAUGCUUUCUCUCCAUCAAUGGUUCAGUGCCUUGCCAAUCUUGAACUAAUGGAAAUAAAGGAGUGUGGUCAAAUGGAAGGAGUGAUCGUAGAGGAAGAAGCAGAGGGAAGUGCAAUGAAGAAGAUUACAUUCCCAAAGCUCCAACGGAUGACGAUGGAAUACUUGCCCAAUUUGACUUGUUUCCUCUUGGGAAAAAAUCAUAUGCUGGAAUGCCCCAUAUUAGAAAUGAUGAUAAUUGCCCAUUGCCCCAAGAUGGAAAGUUUGAUUGGGCAAUCUCAGAUGGAGGAUGACCACAGCACCCCUUCAUUUUUCACUUCCCAGGUCAGUCUUUCAAAUAAAUGCAUCUUUGGUGUUUCAUUGGGACUUGUUCUCGUAGUAUUGGACAAUGCACAGUAUGAUGCAAAUUUUGUGCUUGUGCCAAUUUAUACAUAAUCUUCUAAUAUUUAAGAUGAAGAUUAAAAGUAUUCUAAUCCUCAAUAAAUAUUACUAUUAUAUGUACAUCUCCAUAUCCUAUUAGAAGUGUUAAGUUGGUGUAAGUUUAUGAAAUCAUAUCAUACGCAGUACUUUAGAAUUAAUUAGCGAGGUUCCUAAAAAAGUUAUCACAAUAACCAUAUAAAAACAUUUACUUUUUGCAAUUUCAAUUAUAAAGAACUAAAACAGAAAACAUAGAAUAGCAUCUAAAAAUGGCAGAAAAAAUAUUAAGUAUCGCCCCUUCAUAUUUAUUUGCGUGGAAGCAAACUAUUGUCAUUCUAUUAAACAUGAAGACAAGGGAAAAGUAAAACUUCAUAAUUGUAAAAGCCAAUUUCACAAAUUGCUUAACUAUUACAGCUCAUUAUACCAUAAUUAGUGGAGCCAACUUUUGUAUUUCUUAAUAAUCAUCUAUGCUUGAGCUAGGUCCUUGAUAAUAAAAAAAAAAUGUCAAUAUGCAUGAAGUGGUUCGCCUUCCUUGUUCGUAAAUCAUAUUUGAAUAGCUAUAGUCCAACAACCUAUCAAAUAAAGCAAUUGUAUUAUACAAUAAAAUUAAGUUUGGUUUAUUAUAUUGAGUGAUAAUUAGUGUGAUAUUGCGCACAAUCUAUAUUUAGAAGGAGAAAAUGCAGAUUACUUUUUCCAGAAAAAGAAAUGGCUUAAAAAAGGAAAAAAAUAAAAGAGAAAAAAAGACAUCUGGAUAAUAAAUAGUAGCAAUUCCGAGGGCGGUUGCCAACAUUGCAAGUCUUAUUUCAUAACUAGAUGAUAAUAUUUAGUCAAUGUCCUAGCUAAAAUAAAAAUUUUAAAAAUCAGAAUAAAUUAUCCAACCAACAACACCACCAAAGAGAAAAUAUUAGGUGCAUUAAAUACACUGCGUAGGAUUCGUAUUGAAUCAUCCGCAGACUGACACGUGGCAAUGCCGGACCCACUUGUCAAUUGAACCAUUAAAAUUUUUGCUCCCCCUCUCUCUUCAAUAACGGCCCAUCACUAGAAAGCUCUACUCUCCUCUUCCUGGUAUGGCUCUGCUCCCUCUCUCUCUUUCCUCCGCGAAGGUGCAUCUCUAUACGUGAACCACACCAUCGCUUAGGCCUCCAUCAGUUGCGGUGCGCUCACUGGACAAAGGAAAAAAAAAAUAGAAAAAGGAAGAAAUUAGACAAAGUCUAUUUGGUGUUUUAGACUUCUCCCCCCCUUAAGAAUUGUUCUCUCUCAGCCAUUUCGGUUCACCUUGAUCCUCCUUUCUGCAACGAGGAAAAAAAAAGUGAACCAAAUCUACAGAGUCAAGUAAUAGUAACUCUUCUUUCUUCCCCUCGCCCCCCUUCCUCUACUUUCUUUCUUUGGGGCGAUUGAUUGGGUGGUCCGUCCAAUGCUUGAAUCGGAAGCUUCAGAAUCGCUUCUCUGAAGCUCGCCUCCUCUCUGUGCGCGUGCAUGCAUGGGUUUCAAGCGAUUACGCGAACCGGAGCUUGUUGGUUAUGGUGGAUUGAGGUGGAUCUCCGAUGUGGAAGCGAUUUCGGCAUCGAUUCGGUCGGGCCGUUGAUUCCGACGUAGAAAAAUUAAAAAAAAUCUUCUCUUCAGCCCUCUCUUCCUCCUCCUUCGUCCACAACCGCCUAACCUCCGCCCCUCCUCCAUUGUCGCCAACGGCGGAGUCACCGGCGCCUUGAUUAGGCUGACCCCCGCUAUGUCCAAGCCGAGCAUGGCUGGCUUCCUCUGUUUUGUUCGUCUUGUCGUUCUACAGAUCUCGAAAUCUGGUCGUCCAUAGUGGCGAAGUUGCAGAUCUAGAAAUCGACCUCCGUCGCUCGUAGCCUUGGACGAGCCACUGUCGCUGGAGCCAUGGUUGCAGAUCUGGAAGUCCUGUCGCGAGCAACGACGGCUUAUGGAUUGUUGUUGUCCCCUCCGUCGUCGCCCGCGGUCAGCUCGUGGUCGGCCUCGUCCAUGGCCAGGCCCCCUCCAUCGUCACAGCCUCUCGUGGUCAUUGUCCGUCUAGAUCUAGACUGGAGUCGUCCCUCCAGAUCUGGUAUCUUCCAUCGACGCAAGCCUAGCUCGUCCAUGGCUUGCGAGGAGGCUCCUCCAUAGAUCUGGCGACCGCAGCUUGUCCAUGGCCAUGAGCCUUGCGGCAAGUUUGAGAUCCCGAUGGCCAUGGACUGCGAGGUCAAACAGCGAAAGGAAAAACAGAGGAAAAGAUGUCGGGGAAGAGUGGCCAUGGACGAGACCACCGGAGCUUGAACGCUGCCAUGGACGAGACGGCGUCAUGAACGGGCAGACCACAAAGACAACGGAGAGGGUUGGACGCCCUGUAAUGGUCAACUUGGAUGCGGCGGCAACUCCGCCGGUGGCGACGGCGGAGGGAGGCGGAAGGUUGGGUUCAAUAUGGCUGGAAAUGGAGGAGAAAGCGUAGAUGGAGGAGGAAAGUGAGGUGGAUUGAGAUUUUUUAUAUUAAGUCAUCUGACAAAAAUUAAAAAAGCCCCAAUAUUUAGUCAAUGUCGUAGCUACAUAAAAAAUUAAAAAUAAUAGGAAUCAAUCAUCGAGUAAACACUUCCGUUCUGUCUCAUGAAGUUCUCCUCACGUGAAUACUGAAGGCAAUAAAUAACGACCUCCUCCGUUACUUCCUUUUUUGGGUAGAAUCCUAAGGCUCUUGAAAAUGCGCGAUAUUGGCCCAAAUACAAUUUUUUGGCCUUUUCUAUUAUAGAUUCCAUGCAAGUUUCGGUUAUUGCUUCUUUUUUUCCAUGACGGAGGAAAUGCUAGUGUUUUUCCUUAUUCUAAUACUUUUGCGUAAUUCUUUUUAGUGUUGCCUGCGAGUAGAAUGUUUAAUCAUGAGGAGUAUCUAUACAUUUUGUUUACUUUUUUAUCGUAAGAGUUAUCGCUAAUUAUUUAUUUACUUGUAAUUUCAUUUGCAUGUAUAAGUUGUCAUGUAAUAAUAGAUAUCUCCAUAUUUUGAGGAUAUUUCAAAAAGUCAUUAUGACAUUGAAUCAAGAAUACAAAUAAAUUUGGGGAAGCAUAAAAUAGUCAUAUGGUUAUUCAGUAGUGACAAGUUGUGAUAGCGUUAAUAUAAUUUUUGUGUCAAAUAUAGCUAUCUGUAAUAAUAGGUUUCUCCCACAUUGCUAGAUAAUUUUAAGUACUCAUCAAAAUCCUCAAUUAAGAAUAUUAGUAGAUUAAGGGAAGUGUGGAAAGUCAUUUUGUUUUUUUUGGCUGAGACUAAUCAUAGUUGCGUUAAUUUUAUUGUAACCAAAAUAUCAAUACUUUGCUUCUUAGUGGACACGGUAAAAAAAAAAAAAAAAACAUGGUUGAUUUUCUCCAAACAAACAUAUUGUGGUCAUCCACUUCUUCAAUAAAACUCCAAAAUCCUCAAUAAAGGAUAAGAAAAUGGUUACCGGUUUUUGCGAGCAGUUGGACCGCUGGUCCACCGCAAGAUUCUACCACAAAAGUGAAUAAAUAAUAUUUCAAGCAAAGUUAUUAAUGGUCCAAUGUAGAACUAGUAAGUUGACCCAACUUGUUUUUUUAUGAAAUCAUAAUAUAUGUUAAUUAUUCCAAUCAUUAUAUUGCUCGUGCCUAUUACAUAUUUAUUUUCUUUCAAUACGAAAAUUUUUCUGCACAUAAUAAAGAAAAACCUUGUAAACAAUUGAAGUUAUUAUUUUUUUUAUCCAGUUCGCCAUCUAAUUUGCAUGCCGCUUUUCAUUAGUGAACUUUAUUAAUUGAAUAUUCAUAAGUAAUGUUCGCAAUUGGUAUUAGUGUUGAAUAAGUAGCGGUGCUCAUAGUAAAUAGAGGAAAUAAUCUCUGUCAUAGGAAGACACAUUUGAAUAGUGUCGGACUUGAGUUGCCAAUCAAUUGUAAGCGAAGAUGCACAAAUCUCACUUGUGCUCCCAUUCCGUGGCUUAUUGAUCCCAGCCAUUGAUCUAUUUAAUAAAAUUAUUUAUGGAAUUUAUCACUCAAUGCAUCAAUAAUUGAUGAUGAUUGAGGCACCAUAUGGCAAAAAAAUGGGGGUAGUUUAUCUUCAUCCUUUCCAUAUAUAUAUAUGGACAUGCUUAUAUGAUCAUCUUCCAAGUCCAUGCUAUUAAAAAGCAAACAAGCAUCACUGUGCAAGAUUUCUUACUCUGUACAAAUAAACAUCAAUGUCCAUGCUACCGAUUCACUUUUGCUAAUAACUUUUGGAUUAUUCUAAAUCUACUAGAGAUGAAAAUGGGAAGUUAAUUUCUUUUAAUUGAUAAGAAAUAUCUGUAGAACCAACUUAUAACUAUCGCUGGAGCAUCAUAAUCUUGCACCCAUUAGCGUGGCAUUGGAGCCAACGUAAGGAAGGGAGAAGAAUGAUAGUAUGUAUAUCCCGAUCAGAUUGCCAUAUGAAGCACAUGCAUCAAAGCUUCUUUGAAUUGUGCUUCAGCUACAUUCAUUCCUUGAACCAAAUAAAUUUAAGAAAUUCUUACCUUAUCUAAUGUCGCAUUAUCAAAAGAUCAGUGCAAGCAACUUUGAUAAUGAUCAAUGUGAACAAAUUUGAAAGUUGGAGAAUCCAAGUAUUCAUCAUUGAACUUUCCAAAAAUUAUAGGGAUAAGGCGUUGCUAGUAUUAAAUGUCAAUUAAGGCACUUAAAAUUCGAUGCUCAAUGUACUAUUGAUUAUAAAUGCAUUUAUAAUUUCAUGCUUGUUGCAAUGCAACAUACUUGGCCUUAGUCAUUAGUUAACGUAAAUGAAAGGGUGCAUCAAUUAGCCGCUCCCUUUUUUUUUGUCACUAACAAGCUCUCGCAUUCUCAUGAUUUGUGAGAGUGAGGGAAGUUUAGAAAUUCUUUCUUUGAGAUCAUAACUCAAUGUAAUCACAUUUAUUACGUCAUUUUUCUCAAUAUGCCAGGUACAAUGUCCCAAGCUUGAGCAGAUGGAUCUCUCCCAUAUGGACAAUUUAAGCAAAAUAUGGAGUGACACUCCUCAAGAAACUCUCACUUUUGACAAUUUAUGGAAAAUGCGGGUUCAGAAUUGUAGGAGCCUUGAAAAUGUGUUCCCGCAUUGGGUGGCUACAAGUCUAACCCAAAUUAAGGAACUUCAAGUGGAAUCUUGUGGGAUUGAGGAAAUAGUCGCUAGUAGGAAUGAGACUCCACAUUCCAAUACUACCCAAGAUCUUUUCCCAAAACUAGCUUCUUUGGUGUUACAUGAUAUGCCAAAACUCAAGAACUUCUAUGCCAACUUGCCCACUUUGAAUUGGCCAUUCUUGAAGGAAUUGCGAGUGACUCACUGUGAUAAAGCGAACAUGCUGUCUUUUGUAGCAUCUAUGAGCAAUUGGGCUAAAAAAGAUUAUCAACAGGGCCUUUCAGACCAAGAAGCUCACUCUUUAUUUGAGAGGGUAUGAUUUCAGCUGCUCUCCCUCAGUUUCUAUUUUGUUCUUUAAAGCACUCACUGAUCUCAUACCCACUACCACUACAUAAUCAAGCCACAUUAUAUUGCUAUAGAAAACGUGAUCUCCAUCACUUAUUAGUUUGUUGACAGCAUUAAAAUAUUUCUAAUAUCUUAAGUAUACUUUUAAUUUGUGGACACCUAUAAGAUAUUUCAUUACCUAUAAUUACAAAAAAAUUACAGAUUUUUUUUGAAAGCGUAAUAUAUUCCUAAUCUAGUCUAGUGGUGCUCCUUGGGGAAAUUAAUGAAAUUUUGACAUGAGGUCCUCUUCAUUGUUGACAUGUGUUGCACAUUUGAACUUUUCUUCUCUAUUUCAUCUUCUAAAAACUCUUUAAAAAAUCAAUACAAACAAUUUUAACAAAAAUGACAUUAGUACCUUAAUGCACUAUCUUCUACUGUGUUCCUUAAUUGAUCUUGUCUUAUACAUAGUCAUCUUGUUGUAUUACCAUAGACAACCCGAAAUUCCUUACCUAUGAAUUUGAAGACAACAUAAGAUAUUUAUUAUAUCUUAAGCACACUUUUAAGUUUGUGGACCCAUACAUUUUAGUAAUUUCAUCUGUGCAUCCCAUUACAUAAGUUUCCAAAGAUGACUAAUUUUAGUUGACGAGAUAAGAUAUUUCUAAUAAAAGAUGAAUUUGUUGAGCUUUGAGAGAUGUUGAAUUUAGAUUCACUCUACAAACUUAACCAUACCAACCUCUAUUUGAGACUUUUAAAAGCUUGAGACUUGAAUGUAGGGCUCUUGAGAUAUAAUGAACUUUAAGAAGACGGCCACCUUCCAUGCGAAUCAUCUUAAUAGGUUUACUUUUUACAGCACAUGAUUUAUUGUUGAAACUUUGUUGAAUUUACUUCUCUUGUUGUAUUGGCAAUUCGAUAGGACUUUCCCAACUUGGAGAGACUUUUAUUAUUCGAUAACAAUAUUCGGAUGAUACAAGACGGAAAUUUUCCAGAGGACAUCUUUGGCAAGCCAAAAGCACUAACAUUGGCAUGCUUUCAUGAUGAAAAUGCCAUUUUUCCUCUCAAAUUCCUCCUAGAGAGAUUUCAGAAUCUACAAAGCCUUGAGGUCUUUUGUAGCUCCUUUGAAGAUUUAUUCCUGGACGAAGGACUUGUUGACAAUGGUAAACAUUCGGUGCUUGAAAGUUUAAGAGAACUUAAGUUAAACAAGUUACACAACCUAAAGAGUGUAUGGAGAGAAGGCUCUUUAGUGUUGAAAAUUCUUCAGAGCCUCGAAACAUUUGAGGUUUGGGAUUGUCCUUGUUUGACAACAAUAUUUCCGACUGUGACAUCCUUCAAGAAUCUAACAACAUUAGUGGUGAAGAAUUCCUCUGGAUUGGUAUAUCUAUUAACUGCUUCAAUGGUCACAAAUUUGGUGAAUCUCGAUGACAUGACUAUAAUAGGAUGUGAAAUAAUGAAAGAAAUAGUGGCAAACGAUGGAGAUGGAGAAGGAAAAGUGAUUUCUUUUGAGAAUCUUGAUAAGUUGACACUCCAAAAUCUGCCAAACCUAGAAUGCUUCUCUUCCAUCCCGAGUUGCAUAUUGAGGUUUCCAAACUUAUGGACUAUUGAAGUAGAAGAGUGCUCGAAGAUGAAAACAUUUUCUAAGGGUAUGCUAAGCACACCAAUACUACAUCAUGUGUCACUAUUUAAAUACAAGUGGGAUUAUAAGUGGGGGGAGGUUGAUGAUCUCAAUGCGACCAUACAAAAGUUAUCAGCAUAAACAAAUGCACAUAGAAUCGGUAAAGAUUCAAUUGAUGUCCUUUUUUCAUCCAUUCUUUUUUCUGUUCUCUUUUUUUGGUAGCACCAUAAAUUUUUAAAUUUUUUUUUUUUUUUUUAACUUUUCUAGUAUUGAUUACAUCCGAUCAGCGCAUCAUCAACUCUGUCUAUCGAUGGAUCUCGCCUCCUCCUUCGCUGAACAGUAGGAAGCAAAGCAGGGAUCUCCUUCUCCUUCUUGACACCAUAGGCGUCAAACGAAGCAUCGGGAAUGCCAGGACUGAGAGAAGCGAAGCUGCUGCACUUAGCGGAGCGGAGCCAAGUAGGGGAGAGAGGGGGAGAUUCAACCAGAUGGGGUGUUAUCGUCGUCGCCGUCACUGGAGAGAAGAUCGUACUCUCUCUCUCUCUCCUCCGCCCUUGAACCAAGCAAACUCGUAAGUUUCUUCCGAUUUUGGUGUCUUAUUGCGCGUGAAUUAGUUUGAAGCCGGAAGUUGGUUUCGUAGACCUUCCUCAAUCCUCGCCUUCUUCUUCUUCUUCGGCUAGGGCUCUGUUCUUCAAACUAGCAAUUUUAUUGCCCCUAAAUCCACAUCUUCCGUGCUUCCCUCGCGAGCAUUGGCGAGAGAAACGCGUCUGCGUAGGACAUUUCUGCGUGUUUGAGCUGUCAUCGAUGGAGAUGAUAUAGGGAGAGAUAUCUCUCGAGCAUCAUGAAACUUGAAAAUAUUCAGAGAGAAUUUCACGCCUUGUCAAAAAUAUGAGGGGAUCACUUUUACGCCUUGUUCUCAAUGUACUCUAGACUGCUUAUCCUUACGAGAAUUUCUUGCGGUUUAACGUGUCUUUGUUUUUGCUUGCGUCUUUCCCGUUGUUCUUUUCAAAUUCUAGAAUAAUUUUUUAGAAGCCCUUUUUCUUUUGCCUUGAUUGGUUACGAGAUGCUGCAAUGAUAAAAUUUGUUUCCAAUUUAUGCUAAAUAUUUUCAUAGCCAGUCAAACUAAUGAAGUGUGCUUAAAUUGCCUCUUCACAGAACUGUCCCUCUCGCUGCUUUGCUUGCCAUCCUCUUGUGGUCCAAUCCAGGUACGGUUGAGGCGCUAUUGUUGUCUCGCAUUUCUUUUAUGUAGAGCAAUAACAUGGAUUUAGCUUCAGUUUUUGUUCGGUUCCUUUCGAAGAGUAGUUUCUGCUGAGCAUAUUUGAAUUUGAUUUGUACCUAUUCCGCUUCUGCAUUCCACAUGUCUGGUCAAUGAGAGGGAACUCCCGGUGUUCGUCUUUUUUGUUGGGGGAAUGGUUAUUGGAAAAAGCGAAGGGUGUCAUCAAGCUUCUACCAUUGAGAAGGAUAAGGUUGUGUUUUUAGAUGUGCAUCCAUUACACAAGGCUUUUGCGGCCUGCAGUACUUGUUAUGAUAAGCUUUUGGAUAGUGGAUGCAUCUAGAGUUAGGUGGUCCUAUUGGUCAAUCGUUCGCCCUUUUUGAAGUCGACGCAACUAGGAUGGUCAUGUAAGGUGUGUGCUUCAUUUCAUUGGCUACGGAAGAAGAUGUCAAUGCAAGUAGAACAAUGUCGACAGUCUUUUUGACGCCUUGUUCUCCAUAAACUCCGGACUGCUCAUCAUCAUGAGAAUUUGGAGGGGUGACUUGCGGUUUAACAUGUCUUGUUUCUACAUGCCUAACUCUCUUUCUGUCGUUCUCUUCAAAUUCUAGAACAGUUUCUGAGAAGCUCUUGUUUAAAUCUUGAUUGAUUACGUAACGAUGUGGGGGAUACUUUUGACUUCUGAUCUAUGCUGAAUUUUUCCGUGGCAAGUCAAAUAAUAGUUGCCAUUUUUCAGGUACUGGGAGGACCAAACAGUUAGCAGAUUAAGGCAUCGUGAGCUGGUUUUUUUAUGGUCCCACACACCCAAGGCCUCUCACUGUUUUUAAAUCGGCCGAUAAAUUUCCCAACGGAGUAUCCCUUUUUCGAGGUGGUGAUGAGGCCCUCUUAUGUUAAAUAUGACUUGGUAUGAUCCCAAGCUUAUUGACUCAGACUGGCAAUGUCUGAAAAUCAAAUAUAUCAAUGCUCUUUAGGUCUUUGCUUAUAAUCUAGUGUAUUUCCAAGUUUACUUCAUUGUGUAGUAUACCACAUGAUAUGUUAUUUCCUUGAAGUGUUCGCGGGUGUAUGUUUAAAACCAGGUAUAAAUAUCUUAACACUGGAGUAAUUGGACGUAAGCUGGUGAUUGGAGGUUCGAAAAGAUAACAAUCAUCUUCUUUUUUUUUUUUUUGGAUAGAUGUUGUUGGGAAAGCAAUUGCUGAGGCGUCUUAAGAAUAGAAUCCAAAUUCUCUAAUAUGGAGCAAUUGGACAAUGUUAUUCAAUGCUGUAAAUUUAGAAUAUAUAUGUAAAUCACACCAGGAGACUAGUUGAUAUGGACAAGCAAAUUGCAAAGAAUGUUGCUGCCUCCAUAACUAAAGAGAAACACCUAGUAGAUAAGGGGGUGGCUUGUUGUGAUACUAAAAUUUCAUUGUAGAUCUAAUGACUGAUAAUUUUGUUUUCAAAUGGGAGAUACUGUUGUACUUCGUUAUAUUAAUCAAUUUUUUUUUGGGGGGAGAGGGGAAGAUGAUUUUGCUUCGUCAAACUGAACCAACAGUUUGAUAAAAACCUUGUUUGAGCUGCGCUUGAAAGAAUCAAAUAACUUAGGUUUAAAUUUUCAAUUCUAUCAAUGAUCUAGUUAUCAGUGUAUUUGCUUUUUCCCCUGUGAUUGUGAUUUGUGUGGCUGAAAUUGAUAUGUUUUAAAUAUAUAUAGGAUCUGGAAGGCUUCUUCUGAAUGUAUACCCUAUUGCAUUCUCGGAGAAUAGAUUUGGCCUUAACUUUGGAUUGAUGGCUUUCAUUAUAUGGUUUACUGUCUAUUAAACUCCUGAAACUAGCAAGUAAUGCCUUAAACUCACGACAUGUACGAUUUGAUUCUCUCAUUAGGGUAUGCUUAUGUCUUGGUCUGUUCUUCACUAUAUGUUGGUUUUUCAACCAUGUAGAUGGGCAGUGUGCUCCUGUUCAAUCCAUCGCGCAACAUAUUCAGGACAUUAAGCAAAUUGCAACUCUCACGUAUUUAGACAGUUCAUGGAUGGUCAAAGUAAGGAGUUGUCGAUGAGAUUUUUUUUGGGGGGGGGGGGGGGUUCUUUUCCACUGGUUGGCCCACAUUUGCAAGAGAAAGUCAUCUGCAUGUAGAAACUCAUCUAUAGAGAUGAUUUUGUGUUCAGAGUCUACAUAUUCACUAGUGCUGGUUAGGACUUGAUUUACAUUGAUCGAGAUGAACUCUGGACUUGUCACUUUUGCUGGUCUAAAAUGAAUUCAGUAGUCCAAAUAAUAACUCCUUUAUAUAGUCUUGAGGAAUCAAGGAAGUGUACUUCUAUGCUGAUUGGGUUUUAUGAGGUUGAUCAUAAUCCAGAUGCACACUCAUUAAUGCCACAUUCCAAAUUUGAAUGAACCGAAAAGUAUGUGCUUCAAGAUGUCCUUUUUGGUUUAUGCAUUCUUGUUAUGUUGUUCUUCGUUCUGAAUUUGAAAUCAGGAGUCAUAGGCUUAUUAAGAUUAUGUGUUUUAUUCUUCCCACAGGGAAUACCAGAAAGGUUCAAGAGGAUGCUUUUGAGAGAAUGGUGCAAUUAUUUGGCUUGUGGAAUUGGAAAAAUGUGAUGAGAUGGUUUAGCUAGCAAUGGGUGGGAAUGAAUUUGCAGAGCAUUACUCUAUCUAUGAGGGCCAAUUUUUGGUCUUCUAAUCUGAAGGGGACUCCAUUUUCCAUGUCACCAUAAUUGAUGAAAGGAUGUCUGAGAUAGAAUAUCCGUCAAUCGAUGUCAAUGUGAGGAGCCGAGCCUCAGCAAUUGUGGAAUUGUCUUGCUGAAAGUGGAAGAUGCCUUUGCUUGCUGUGAUGUUUCAGUCUAGCUUCGAGUCUGGGGGGAUGAAUUGCAUAUAGCCAAGUGUCCUCAGUUUUGUAUGGAAAUGGAAUUUGAUCAGGUUUGCAAAGUUCAUGGCGAUUCCUAUGCAUAUUCAUCAGCAGAGUUUGCGGAGAGACAAAAGUUCAAACUGCUCAUCACAAGAUUUUCCAGCUGUGAAUCUUAAUUUAUUAGCUAAUUCUCCCUUGACUGUGUUGUUCUCAUGUUUGAUUCAAAUACUGUACAAGAACUGUCCAUGUUGUUAGGCUAAGAGAAACUGCGUUAGAGUUAAUGCUAAGAGAAACUGUGUUAGAGCUAAUUCAUUCUCUUAGUGUUUCUCUGUCUCUAGAUCUCCCGUGUGUGCAUAUGUAUGUGUUGGGACUAAAUGUGCCGGCGAUUGCCAUGAUGUUUUGGUUGAGCUUGAAGCCUUGGGGGAUGAACUGCAUUCAGCCAAGUGUCCUCAGCUUUGUAUGCCAAUGGAAUUUGAUCAGGUUUGCAAAGUUCAUUGCAGUUCCCAUGCACAUUUGUUACCAAAAAGUUUGGGGAGGGAUAGAAGUUCAAACUGCUCAUCAUGAGAUUUUCCGGGUGUGAAUCUGAAUAUAUUAGCAAAUUCUCCCCUCGAUUGUGUUGUUCUUGUGUUUGAUUCGAAUUCCAUCAGGAACUCUCCACAUCAUUAGGCUAAGAGAAACUGUGUUAGAGCUAAUUCACUCUCGUAGUGUUUCUCUGUCUAUAGUUCUCCCCUGUGUGAAUAUGCAUGUGUUGGGGGAUCUCAUAAAUAAUAAAAACAAGCCAAGCCGGUCAUAUCAGAUUUGAUUGUGCUGUGAAUCAUAUUGGUGUGCAUAUAGGCCUUGGGAAGCUAGACCAUUAGUAAGACUCAGAUCGAUUUGGGGUUGCUGUGUCGGCAGAUAUGAGUUUUACAUAACAAGAAUAGAAUACACCUAAAAAGCAAAUGCUUUCUUCAUGUUCUGUUUGUGACUGCUGCAGGUGAGCUGAAAAAGUGGCGCUUAUGCAGAGCUCUCGAAUCAACCAGCAAAUUUAUACUCGAUUAUCCUUUCUCUGAAAUUGCAGUGAGGUUAAUACAUUUGAAGAAAAACAAUGUGGUAAGAUCCUUGUAAUAAUGACAACCCUUGGAUUUAAAUCACAUAAAGCAACCUCAUACUGUCUUCCUCAGAAAUCAUUAGUUGUUUUCUUCUUUGUAAUGACAAAAUUGCACAAUGUCUACUUGAGCAGAGAGUUCCUGGUUCAUUCCCAAAGACACGUUAAGAAAAGCCCGCAGACCAUGGCUCUCAUAUUUCAAGAUAAAUCGUGGCCGUCGAAGCUCAUCAGCCACGAGCAUUAUGGAAAGUCAUCUGCCCAUUGGACCGCAUUUACAAGAGAAACUUCUCUGAAGGUGGAAGAUGUGUGUGUUCGAGCUUUUAUUGAAAGGGACAAAUCUCGUGUUCAGAGUAGAGUAUCCAUCUUCAGAACCAUUGAUAGGACUUGGGUGUAUAAUAAUACUAUGCAAUACGAUAAAGCAAGGAAGCAUCACUUUAGCUCACUUUGGGUGAGAACAGAACUUACAGGAUUGCUAGGCUGAAUUCUGCUUCCGGUUCGGCAAAAUGGAUGAAAGCAUGAGUUUUGUUCCGAUGGAUGGAAUGGUCCUGAGCGUGUACGUUGCCUUUCCUUGAUCCUGGACUUAGUGAUCAGCAUGAGGGCAAGAGUCGUGAGUUGGAGGGAGCCGAUAACUAAUGUCGCUUCUGUAACUUCCAUUUCUAGAGAUGAUCUUUCAAAUUCGGUGCUUCUUUCUCAACCUGACCUUUAAAAUUGUAAAUUGAAGUAAUGAUGAUUUUACAAGCUCCGGUGAACUUACAUCAAAUUCUUUUCAUCGUCUCUUUUCGAUUUUUCGAAGAUUUCGUGAUCAGUCUUUUCACAUGUGGGCGCAAAUUGAAGUUUGACAGUUUCUUCUCAUGUGAAGGGCUUUCGGAAUCUUCUAAUUUUUUUUUUCAUAUUGACUGGAUGUUGAUAUGCAUGACAAAGCAAAUACGCUAGUGUCUUUGCGUCGCUGCGGCAUGACUCUUCCGGAGGCUCUCUCUCUCGACACAGCAUCCGAGCCUCCAACAGUGGCUGUUCGUCUUAGAAUAUUAGCAAUGGCUCGGCACUCUUGAACUCGCUCUCGCCACCGGAUAGGGCUAGCCAAUUCUCUCUCUCUCUCUCUCUCUCUCUUCCUUGCAAGAGCUCAAUACCUCCUCCAAAGUGCAACCUACGGCAAUGGAAAUUCGGGAGACGACAAGAGGAUGGGAGAAAACAAAAGCGCAACGUCUCGGAGAUGGAACGUCCCGGCAAUUGUGACUGUUGAUCAAGGAAACUCCGUGGUCAAGUUUCGCUGUCGUGGCAGCAAGGUGACUGGUAUCUUCGAAUCGGUAGCCACACUGUUUGUGCUUCAGUCGGUGCUGGAAGCAACAAUCGGUAGAGAACUCAAUCUCGAUGAAUCGCUAGUGGGUGCUCCGUUCACGGUUGGACUCUCUCUAGAUUUUCUCUGACUAGAUAUUUUUUUGCAUCUUCUCUCUCCUUCUCUCUCUCGCUGGCUCGGAUUCCUUGAUUCAUCUCCUUUGCGCGGCUCGGACUCUCUCUAGAAUACGUUCUGUUGACUCUUGCUUCGUUCUGUUCCGCUCCCACUUCAUCGCCAUCUUUCAAAUUCCAUCGUUUUGCCUAUCCACGCCGCGCAAAGGGGAUAUGGGGUGGUGUGUUCACUGUUUACAAGAGCUUUAUCCAAUUGCCAAGGCUAAGGUCGGAUGGAUCAUCGUCAUCUGGAUACAAUCCGCUGAUUCGAAGGAUGAGAUUCUUCGAGUUUCGCUCUCGGCACUCUCGCCUGUCCGGUGUCGCUUUAGCAACAGCGGCAGCCAAGGCCAAUCUGAGUCGUUGUCAUCAUCUGAGACGAUAUGCCAAGCGUGACGAUUGGCAACGGCCAGCAUGAAGAGAAAACAACGAAGAAUGAAAAGGCACGAAGUGAAGGUGAAGCUGGUGGGGGCUGCUGGAUGAGAAGGAAGUAAAGUGUUAAAAUUUCUUUAAAAAAAUAAAGGAAAAAGAAAAGGAAAAAAAGAGACAAAAGGAAAAUAUAGAGAGCCCACGAGAAGUCGGUCAAAAGGAAGACUUGUCCAAAAGACGUAAUUCAUCGUUCCAUCGAACAUAGUGCAAUUGGCGGCAAUGGGAAUUCGGAAGACGGUGAGAGAAUUGGAGAAACAAGAGAUGAAACGAUAUCAACAGAUGAAGUCGGAACGUAUGGAAAUCAAUUCUAGAGUCGAAUCAGAGAUGGAAAUCAUCAUCCCCCGAAUGUCGAUUUGAUAGAGAUCAUCAUCCCCCGAAUGUCAGCGAGGAACCGGCUGUCCGUGGAUUAUUUCUUAUGGCACGAACUUCCUUCCUCUGCUUUUUGUUACAGAAUCGUCUCACUCUCUGUUUCUCUAUUGCGCAAUUCAACAAACAGGUUCUGCUCAGAGGAUGCAGCACAUUCAACGACCAGGGUCAAGUUCUUCACCAUGCAUCGUUUUCUCUGUCCAUCUUCAUUUUUCACCAAGUCUUUCUCCAUCGGGAUCCUUUCCUAUCCGAUUGAACUUCCGAGUCCAAUUCCGAUUCGUUCCAGUAUACGUUCUGUCGAUUCUUGCUUCCUUCUGUUCUCUUCCACUUCAUCGCCGCCUUUCGGAUUCCAAAUGCAGUCGCUCCCAUCCUUCGUUUCACCCUCCUACGCCGCGCAUGAAGGGGAUGUCGGGCUAGUGUGUAGGAUCCGCCAAUUCGAAGGAUGAAAUCUUCGAGUUCACUCUCGGGCCUCCCACCAGUCCGAGAAGCCCGUCAAAAGGAAGACUUGCACAAAAGAUGGAAUUCCUUGAGAAGAAGAUUCAUCCCAUAACUCAGCCAUCAUUUUCUUUUUCUUUUCCUUGAAAAAGGCAUCACAAACUCCAAACGACGCCAUCAACGACGCCAUUGCAGCAUUUCUUGGCUUCAGGUACCUUUAUCGGAUCUCUCCCUCCAUCUCGAUGCGCUCCCCCUCUCAGUGAGUUCCGAGUUGAUCCACCAUCACCCUCACUGUCUACUACUCCCUUGAAACCGAGUUGCACUCGCCUCGUGAUUGAUUCCAUCGGCGGCCGUCUAGAAACUUCGGUGAUCUUCUAUGUUUUUUUUUUUUUUUUUUCUUUCUUCCAGUUUGAAUCGCGUUUUCGUUUUGUGGAUUCUUACUUGUUUUGACAGAGGUUUGAAUCUAGUGGCCUCGAGCGAUGUUUAAUGCUCGUGUCGUUUUGCUCAUCAAAGGAGUUCAUGUCGGAUUUUUUUUUUUCUUUUUUCCCUGUUUCCAAUCAUGAAUCCGAGACCACUUGGAAACGAGCGAAAAUUGAACUGAAAACGUCGUGAGAAAUCGCUGCAGCGAGCGAGACUUGUGCGGAGUUAAGCUCGGUCUAACAGUGGUUAGGUUUUCCUCUAUUUUUUGGUAUUCUCUAGUCGCUUCUGCAUUCAGCUGUGGUGCGAGGGUGACUCGCCAGCCAUUCUUGAUCGGUCGCUUCAGUUAACACUUUCUCUCUGUAUAGAUUUCCGAGCGGCUUGGGACUUGGAGAUGGGAGUAGCACCGAUGAGUUAUGACAUGGAAGAGGGGACUCUGGAGGUUGGCAUGGGUAAGCUUUUCUCUGCUUUUUGAUUUCUUUUUUUUUUGAGCUACGGACAAUAGAAAUCUGCUGGGAUGCUUGAAUCUCGUAAUUAAGCUUUGAUUAUACUGUGGGGAGUAGCUUUAUCUCCUUGUUUGUGGCUUAUUGUGUCUUUCGCCAUCUAAAUUUCAGCGUGCUUGGAAUCAGAACUUUAAUCAUGGGGUAUUUUUGUCGAGGCUUUUCCAUGUAGCUUUCUCGUCUCUGAAAAGUUUAUGUUGCCCCUGUUAUGACCACGGUUAAGACACUUAUUACCUAGAUCUACACAAUGUCUAUCAUUUCACAUGUAUUGGUCCAGAGGUGAGGAAUUAGUCAGCUCUCGUCCAAGUCAAAUUUUUAGCAUGCCUUAGUUGCUGGGCCUUAGUUAUCGGCUGUUCAGACAAUUGCUUCGCUGCUUGCAAAGUAUAGGACCGUCUCUGGUGGAGCUGGGCCAUUGGUUAUACCCGACAUAGUCGAGGAAAAUUUCACUGGUUAUGAUUUUAAGAGGUUCAACUGACAUGUUCGAUUAAUUUUAUUGCAUAUCAGGGACCAAAGUAUCAACAGAUAGUAAAUAUUCGCUUGGGAGAUGGAACGACUAGAUUUGGGAAAGUCCUUGAAGUUGAUGGAGAGAAAGCUAUUGUGUAGGUUCAGUAUAAGCAGCCAGCCUCUUCUUUGUUCCUUUAGUUCUCUUGAUACUCUGUAUUUUUUGGUUGGGCUGCAUUAGUUGGGUCACUUUUGUGUGCAAUACUUUUCAGCUAAUGACAUAGUGAAAUCUCUAUCAUUCAUUGCAAGCAUAAGAAAAAGCAAAACAUGAAGAAUAUUUCCUUGGGUAUAUGUGAUGAGAUGUGAGAAAAUCAUAUGAAAUAAUAAUUCAAAAAAUUGUAAUUCUUGAGAAGAACAAUGUUAGGAAUCUAAUCAACAUUUGUGUAGGCAAUUAUAGAUCCCCUCCGCUCUUGAGUGAUGGAAAUCUAGUCUCAGUAUGGGUUAUUUUGGCUUUGAAAAAGACUAGUAAUCUUUCCUAUGUCUCUUAUUGUUCUCAAACUUUCAUCGGUUAUGUUAUUCACUAGUUUUUGUGUCAAUAAAAUUUAGAUAUGAGUAUUCUACUCAUGCUUGUGUGACUAGGGGUCAUUCAUCUUAGAUUUCCAGUAUGUAAAGCUUUCUGGUCAUUCGUGUUUCACUUCCUUGUCACUAGGUUUUUGAAGGGACUUCUGGGAUUGAUAAUAAAUACACCACUAUGCAAUUCACUAGCGAUGAAAGUUGUUGUGCAAGUUCAGUUUAAGCUACUAGCCUCUUCUUUGUUCCUUUAGCUCUCUUGAUAUUGCAUUUUUUUUUUCCAGUUGGACUACAUUAGUUAGGUCACUUUGUGUGCAAUAAUUUUUAGCUAAUGACCUAAUGAAAUCUCUAUCGUUCAUUGCAAGCAUCAGAAAAAACAGAACAUAAAGAAUAUUUUUUUGGGUAUAUGUGAUGAAAUGUGAGAAAAGCACAUGGGAUAAUAAUUCAAAAAAUUGUGAUUCUUGAGGAGAACAAUGUUAAGAGUCUAGUCAGCAUUCCAUUUAGCCCAUUAUAGAUCCUCUCCACUCUCGAGUGAUGGAAGUCCAGUCACAGUGUGGGUUAUUUUGGCUCUAAAAAAGGCUAAUAAUCUUUCCUAUAUGUCUCUUAUUGUUCUCAAACUUUUGUUGGUUACGUUAUUCACUAUUUUUUCUAUCAAUAAAAUUUAGAUAUGAGUAUUCUAGUCAUGCUUGUUUGACUGGGGGUCAUUCAUCUUAGAUUUCCAGUAUGUAAAGCUUUAUGGUCAUCCAUGUUUCACUCCCUUGUCGCUAGGUUUCUGAAGGGACUUUUGGGAUUGAGAACAAAUACACCACUGUACAAUUCAUUGCCGAUGUAAUUAUGCAUGUUGUUUGUUUUUGUUUUCCUAAUAAAACAAUGUUUCAUCAUCCUGUAGAGAGAAAGAGUUAUAUUUCUUUUUCCGUAUAAUACUGCUACAUGUUGGCAGCAAGAUUUCACUUGUAGCAUGAUAAAUAAUUUGGGAUAUGUCAUGGCCUUGGCUACAUAAAAGGCUUUCAAAAGUGCUUUGUUUUUCUGCCUUCACAAAUCCCUUCAGUUGUAUUAGCAUUUACUCUCUUUGAUCAUGGAUAAAUAAAAUAACCUUUAGAAAUUUAUUGUGGAGUUAUCACACCAUUUGUCCUUUCCAUUGACUAUGUAGGUAGAUUUAAUCAAAAAUACAGUCUAUCUGCUUGCUAUCUAUGGCUGCCGUCGAGCCACCACCAUGCUCCUACGGCCCUAUCCCUCAUAGACGUCCUUGGCAUGGAGCCCCAUUUGAGGUUCCUAAUCCUUGUAGGAAUAGCAUUACUUUUAUUGAUACAUGUGAUUGGAUGAGAUAAUCGCUUUGCCAUGCCUUCUUAUGUCACGAUGAGCCAUUUUCAUGCUAUUAUUUCACGUUGAGGCUUUGCUUGUUGAGUAUCCUUCUCGAAUUCGACUCAAUCUCGAAUCAUUCGUCUCUUAUUGUUUUCGUUGCUCAUAUUGAUUAGUUACAAAUUCUAUUUAUAUCUAGAUGUCUAGUCUAAAAAAAGAAAGAUUAACCUACUUAAAGACAGUGCCUCGUGACCUGGUCGGUCGGCCAUUGUUGGAGUGUCGGCGUUGAUAUAGGCGGUCAUUCAUUGGUAAGUUGCCAGCAAAAGAAUCUUUACCGUCCCGGCUUCUCUGGUGGUCUUUGCCGCGAAAGAUGGGCCUGCCACUAACAAUUUUGUUUGGGCCUAGGCCUCCCAUUAACAUCUUCAGUGAGCAUGUUACAAUUCUCAAGCGAAGCGAAGUUUGUCAAACUGACCCAUCAAGAAAGAAAGGAAGUGGUCAAAGGUUGGGCUGGUUCAGAGGAACCCUAACUCGAAACCAAUCGCCAUUAUACAAGUCUUGUCACGCACCAUGAACUACUUCUCUGAACUCCAUCUUCUUCACGAGAAUGAGCCGAAAUAUGUUUACUUCUCUCAAUCCCAAUUGUCGAUUACCUAUGCUAAUGCAACUAUUCUGUCAUUAAAUUAGUAAUAAGGCUCGAGGACCCUGUUUCUGAAGAAGGACCAAUCAAAUACGCCAGGACAAAAAUAUGUUUUUCAUUGCUACAAGCCUCUUCCGGCUUUUGUGCUGUGAUUUAGAGGCUGUGUUACGUGGAUCAGUCUGGUGAAAUCGUGGAGGUCGCCUUCGCGAUGCAUGUUCAUGUUCCCUUUCUGCUGCCUUGCGAACUUGGUCCGCGCAGAGUUUGGUUUGAAGUAGACAAGCUCCUCGAGGCGCAUGCCUGUGAGCACGAUUGGCUUAUUCCAAACUGAGAUGCGUGCGUGACUCAGAGUCCAAGCCUUCUCGUGGAUGAUCCAGAUUCUACGCAGACCGAGUAGUUGUCUAACUAACGUACGACAUCUGCCGUCUUCGGAAUUAACGUUGGGAAUCCCAUCCAGCAAUGUGCAUUCUAUAGAGUUUGAGCUUCGUGGAUUUCUUCGCCAAUCUCACGUAUGAUGACGUUUGCUUAAAGACUUUUUUUUUUUUACUCUUUUGAACAAUAUUAUAUGUUUGUUAUUUUAUUUUCACUCAAGGACUCCAAGAGACAAAGAUCUACACUUUAGGAAUCCUCAGAACAUGAGGUUUUGCAUUUUGUCAAGUAACUUCAGCAGUUUGUCUCGACAUUUUCCGUGCUAAGCUAGUUUCACGUUCAAUAUGGAAUCCAUCUAGAAUUUAAUAAUCCCUCCUACUAUAUAUGGGAAUAUCUUAGAGUUGCAUUGUACUAGAUGGUCAAUGUGGUGGGUGAUACGAAAAGUGAUAGGUAUAAACAACUAGUCUACCGAAUUAGUGUGCAAAUGAGAUUUUUCUAUAUGUCGGGUAAAUAUCAUAUCGAGUUAUUUUGUAUAAUCAAGUCACUAAACUUUAAUUUAAUUUCAAUUGCUCGAUGCACUAACGCUAUUUUCUUUUCCCAUAUGCAAUCAAUGCAUUAUGAAGACUUUUUCGAACAAUUUUUCAAGGCAAUAUUGACAUGGUAGUCUUAUAUGUCUAAUUGGAGAUGUCGUAAUGAUCAUAGGAUGCCACACGAGUCUCAAUUAAGAAAAAGGCAAAAACAAAAAAGAGAGAGAGGAUUACAUGGCCCUUGUGUAACGAGGAGAGGUUCUCAAGACAUAAUUGGAUCGGCAAGAAGCUAAAGUGAUGAUGAGUAUCUAAAUCAUUUUUUAUCCCCAUUGGAUUUUCUAAAAAUCUAUAUAAUCAAGAAUGUAAUGACUUUUCAAUUCUAUUUUUCCUCACAAUUUGAUAAGACUCAAUAAGCAAUUGUAGAAUCAUGAAAAAUCUAGUUGCCAUAAAUGAACCAAACUAACCCAACGGUAAUUUCAUUACAUACUUUUACGCUCAAAAGCGUUGUUUUACUUGCUGAAAUAAUCAUUAUUUACCGAAGCUUGCCCCCACUAAGAAAAAUUUCUAGAUACAUUCAUGGAUUGGCCAUAAUUUGGUUGGAUUUCGAUUAGUUACAAAUUCUGGAGCCCAUUCACCAAUUGAAAUAAAAAAAUUCAAUGAUCCAAUUGCAAAAAUGUGCUAUAUAAUUCAGUCAUCGCUACUGAUUUCUCAUCUAUCAUUCCCUAUAACAAAUUUGAAUGCCUAGCCUCACCCGAUCAAACAUCCACAAAAUUCCCAUCAAUCCAUCUCCUUUUUCCCUUCAACCGAGCGGGCCACUCGUAACCGCAAUCUCCGCAAUGAAAAGCUGCUGAAUGGCGUUAUGCGAUCUUUUGAGGCCAUUUUGGCUCGGUCUUUGAAGGUUGAGCUGAAACCUUUCGGAAAUAAAUAUCUGAAAUCAUUUGAUAUAGAACUGCAAGGUCUGCUUCUACUUUGGAAUCGUAGGUAACUGUUAGUUUUUGAAUUUUUUCGCCGGAGAGAUGAGCUACUCAUCUAUCCAUCUUUAACUAUGGUAGUUUCUACUACAGGCAAAGGGAAGAGACUAGACUGAUGAGCUACAUCUAUCCAUCUUUAACUAUGGUAGUUGUUGUUGUUAUUAUUAUUAUUGUAAGUGGAACCAAGAGUUAAUCAUGUGCAAGUGUCAUGCAUGAGCAUGUCAUGUGAAAUCCAGGCGGGCCAAACAACCUCAGUGUUAGCUUUAAUUUCUCCUACUAUUGGGGAUGCUCUUGUUAUAAGAGAAAAUAGAAUAAACGACAGCGUAAAAUGGUUUCUUUUUUCUUUUCUUUUCUUUUGGGUGUUUCGAGAAAUUACUCGAAAAAGCUCUAUCUUUUAACUGGGGGUUGAAAGUCUGUUUUUUUAACUUGUGUGCAAUCACAGAUUUUCUAAUAGAACCGAGAUAUAGGAUGCGGUUGCUUCUCAAAGGGGCUUCUCAAAGGAGUUGUAGCACUUCUUGGUGUUCUCAUUUUGACAUCUAUCAAGCUAAAGAAGAACGUGAGGAAUGGAGAUUCGCUAAUUUGAUACAAUGCAAGAAGUGAAGCGACACUAAAAAUUGAAGAGUAACCAUUCAGCAAGUCCAAAAUAUUUAAGCACGCAACAUUGCAGCUGUAUCAACACAGCAGAAGACGGCAUUCUGAUACAGCCAAAAUAGGAUGAGAAAACAAAAUGAAUCCGUCCACAGCAGUUCAUGCAACAUAAAAGAGACAUUGAUCAGAAAUAGGGAUACAAACAUAAUCACAGAAACUAAUCAUGAUGAAGGAGUUUAAAAUGAUAUAGAAAGAAACGAAAACUGUAGGUACAAGUAUCUACUGUUCAUGCCUAUUGAUUUAGUAAAUUUUAAUUUUGUCGCAACACAAGGGCCAUAUAUGCUAGUACUUCAUUCUCUCUUUAUUUGGUUCUUGUAUGUGUGGAUGGCUGCUUGUAUUGGUGCCUUUUUCUUUGCAUAGACGAAAGUGAUACACACUUACUUCCAUUAGCUCCCACUUGAAGUAUCCUUCCCCCUCCGCACACCCGCCCCAUUCUCUGCUUCAUGUUUCUUUCAAUUUAUAUCAGUUUCUCAAUUAAGAGUAUUUGAAAUUGAGCAAGAAGAGACCUGGAAGCAUGAAGGAAAUGAUAGCGCUUGGGGUGGGCUCUUUUGAUGAUAUUUUCUCUAAUCCAUGUCAUACCCACAUUGUUAGUACACUCGGUACUUCCUUAUGAAGCAAUCAAAAACUGCAUAUAAAAGAGACAUCCUCAUUAAAGAAGGAAGCACAAAGGCACUUCAAGGCCAGGAUUGUCAGUGCCUGCAAAGCAGAAGGAAGAGAACUAAGAAGAUAUAUCUAGGAAAUGCUGCGAUAUUCAAUGAGGUAAAACCAACAUGGCUGAGAAGCUCACCCAGAAUGCAAACCUAGAACAUCUGAAAUGCCAUGAAUGAUAUGUAACCAAGCCUUCAUAAAAUGUAGCGUUCAGCACAAAAGCCAUUUCUGGAAAUGAGAGACUUUGCUCCAAGGAUUGGAAUUGCAUAGAAAACUGCUUUUUCAAACAUGCCUUGGAUGGACAGCAAAGCUGAAUGAUUACCUUAGCUUAGUAGAACAUGCUCCUAUCAUUUGAUUCCAAUCAAAGUGAUCAAAACACAUUUAUAACUUCCACAAUGCCAUGUUAGGAGGGUAAAAACUCAUGUAUGCACAGGAGUUAGAUGCCCAACGCAUACACUUAAAAUGUUUAGUGGACCGGUGAACCUCCCUCUCUAUCAUGAUUCCAAUCCGACUACAUCAGCAGUUGAACACACAUAAAUAUAUAAGUAAAUGACAUUGUAUGAAACAAACUCAUGGUUGAUGUGAUUCAUGUAGAACCAAAACAUGCCCUCCAAGUUCUCUAUCUGUUCCUGUUUGUAAUGCCUAGCAUUGCAAUUAUUAAAAUGGUGACUACAUUCCCACCAAAUACCACAACUGUGGACAUCAUUAAGGAGAAGCAAAUCCAAGAAAUGUGAAACUACCAUACUAUUCCAUUUAUACCAAAAAGACAAUGUAUCAGAUUUAAAGGAUAUAUUACUAAGGAACUCAGACAAUUUAUUUCCAUCCUGCACUUGAAAAACCACAAACAGAGAUGCUCAAUCAAAAUCCCCUAAAACAACAGAUGCUCCAUUAACUAGUUAACGAACGAAUGAAACUAUGUAAACAUUAAUCAUCAGAUUACUUAUUUCCACAAAGAUUGGACCCAAAAUGGGGCAUAGGGACGAGAGAGAAGUGUGCAGUGAAAGCUUGUUUAAGUGGAGUCCUUUGAUCAUUACUUUUCUCUACAGUUGUAGUGGAACUUAGGCACUUGUUGAGAUAUAUCAAAACCGGUCAGUGGGAAGGACAACUCAAUGAUCCCCAAGUUAAACUAGAAAGGGCUUAACUAGAAACUCGAAAAGCAAAACCAUCACAUGAUUCGUUCUAAAGCUAGCUCCAAAAAAAGUGAUUGCAUCACUGAACAUUUCUAAAUAUACAAAAUUUACAUAUCGAGAACUGAUGAUGAAUAUAUGUAGCUAGAAGCCUAGAUCAAGACAAUGAGACACGAGCUGGUUAAAGGCUAGAAAGUGAAAACACUAUGAGAUUUCAUUUCCACUAUGGACACGAUUCCUUCCUUGGUGGGUAGUAGAAGAAUUCAAGAGUUACAGAUACCACGUCAAGUAGAAUUAAAUAAUCCAGCCCUAGACAUAAGAUCAGGAGCCACUAUGGUUCACGUGUGAAGCCACUGGAACGAGCUAAAGACCGAUUCUCAUCCACCUGAUCUGAUCUGACACUUCGGUUUCGCAGCAACCCUGAUGUCGAAUCCUGCGGCAACAACAUCAUCACCAUUGAAUCUAGCAUCGAUUAAAAGUGAAUCGACAAGUGUCAAAUUCCAAGACCUCAACUUCGCAUCAGAAGCGGCUUAAGAAAACUUACGGGAGGAGAAGGAGGGGGGAGAAGCCGUGUGGUGAAAAGAGGAGGAACGGUCUGCCGUUGGGACUGAGGUGUCGUUGCCGGGGUGGCUCCCUAUCCUCGGGUGUGUCAGAGAUCGGACUUCCCAACGGCGGCAACGGUGGUGUCGAGGGCACCGGCGAUCGCUUGGCGCGAGAGGAAGGAGAUGAAGCGAUGAAGGUGUUCCCGAGAAUUGCAAUGGAAGGGACUAGAAAACCGUGAAAUUGGAAAGGGAAACCUGAUCCCGAUUCGUUGGGGAAUUUUCUUUAUUUUUUGGCCAAUCACAAAUUUCGGAAAAAAUUGCCUCAAUUUAAAUCGCUGAAAAAUGUGGUGUAAAUAUUUGACCUGGCCAGUGAGAUCAAAUUUUUAUUUAAUACUGAUUAGGCAAUUUCAUAUUCUUAUUUGGCUGGCCAGUGAGAAUGUGACAGGAGAGAGGAGAGAGAAAUGAAGGAGUUUCCAAGUAGGAUGACGGGAGGGAACAAAAAACGUGAAAUUGGAAAAGAAAACCUAAUCCCAAUUUAUUCUUAUUUUUUUGCCAAAUUACAAAUUUCGGACAAAAUUAUCCUUUUUUAAGUCGCCGGCUUAGACCUUUAUUUGAGCCUAUUUUGGCCAUUUUAUGCUUUAAUCUAUAGCAAAAUCCAUACUAUUCUUUUUCUCCAUGGAAGAACUUGCUAUAUGAAAAUGAAGGAGCUGGACUUGAACGAUUUGCAUGAAGACUUCGGACUUUGACUUAGAAAAACUUUUGGAGUAUUGUCACAGGAAAAUUUGUUAGAUGAUGAUUGUUGAUCUUUCGUCAUUUCAAUUUUGAAGAGCUUCGAUGCUUUAGGAUCAUUUUCUCUUGAAUUCUUUCUGCUUUACGACCACAAUUAUCUUGUAAAGAGCAUUCAUGAUAUGCAUGGCAAAGCAAUUACCCAUAUAUGCUACAUCUCUUCGCAGUUAGUCAAUUAAACAAAUUUUUACAUCAAUGUCUACUAAGACUCUAUUCGUUUCACGGAAAAUAUUACGUUUUUAGAAAAAAAAAUUCAAUAAUUCAUUUUCCAAGAAAAUGAUUAUUUUUCAGUAUUUACUUGAAAUUUGAAAAUGAAUCAAAAAAUAUUUUCUGUUGUUCUGUUUGGAAAAUUUGAUUUGAUUUCCCUUCGUGCACUCCCUUUAACAAUUUUCUUAUUUUUUUUAAAAAUAUAUAUUUUUAAAAUUUUAAAAUUUUAAAAUUUUAUUUUUCUUAUACUUUUUUAUUUUACUUAUUUUAUUUUAUUUUUUCAUUCUAUUUUUUCUUUUCCUCCUCCUUCUUCACUCAGUCGCCGUGGCCAAUGGAAUACUAGAACAAUACUCAUUUAAUGACAUGUGUUAAAAACAAGAUUUAGCUAUAGCAAGUUUUUUCAUCCUCGAACACUUUCAAAAGGAUAAAUUUAUCAUUGGAUUUCUACAACUUCAAAUGGUUACCUCCUUACUCUUUGCCCUCCAAAUUUAUCCUUGGAUUUCUCAUUCCACUUCAACAAUUUCAUAGCCCGCUCGUUCAAACAUGUACCCGUGCAGAUUAUUCCAAGCGAAUUCAUCAAGCACCAUAAGCAAAGAACAACUCUUAGAUAUUCUGGUGACUGUGCUUUUUCUCCCCCCCCCCCAUGUCGCAUCGACAAAUGCAAGAUGAUACUUCCUUGGAUCUCCAUGAUCUGUAUAUUCAGAGAGUUUUUAUGCUAAUCUGCUGUCGCUAAAUACAUGUAUACAAGAGAUACAAAUGCUGCAAAUGGCCUAUAAUCAACUAGGACGUUGCCUGGGUGGGAGCUUGAGAAGUUCACCAAUUUCCUACACCGCAUUAUAACAGAAUGAAACAACAUUUAAUAUUGAUGCUAACAACCAUGAAGCAAAGCAGAUCCAUAUAAAAAUUCAUUCAACUGCUAGAACACCAAAGCACGUAAUUAACAAAUCGAAUUCAACACGACUGAAUCAUUAACUAAUUUAAAGAAUAGCAAUAAAGCUAUGCAACAAUACGUCCCGGAUCAAUGUUUAUGAGAGCAAAGAGUGUCAUUGAAUAGUGUAAGCAAAUUACUACUUUGAAAUGAGACAAGCAUGUCCAGAAUUUGCGAAUGAUUGCUCACCCUUUCGAACAAAAGAAGACGAAGGAGACACGAAGCUUUCUGAUGCUAAUACCAAACAUUACAAGCUGAUGAAAUUAGUGUAAUAACAAUGGUCCCAUCCUGCACCACACAUAAAAACAAUGCAACACACUGCAUUAGAAAUCGAUGACCGCAAAUCUGAAAAGGCAGAGGACAAGGAAGAACUUUGGUUGGAGGAACGUACUGGAGAUGUUACAUGGUUCAUGAGCAAUCUCAUUUCGCAUGCCACGGACGAUUCUCUUGUCCAAUAGAUCCUGAGGGCGAUGGCUGAUCUAGUGAGGCCAGAUCUAGUAAAGCUUCCUCUACGUGGGAUGGCGACUUCUCCGCAGGGCUUGGGAGUGAUGGGCACUGACUCCUGCUGCAACUCCUCUUAAAACUAUAGGGACUGACAUAUCAUCAGCUAACAUGUACUUCAUCUUUUCAACAGAAUUUAUAACUUGUUCGGUCGCCUGCAUGGCGAAAUUGAAUGUCAGAAACUCCACCACAGGCCUCAAACCAUAGAAAGCACCGUCGAAUUCAACUCCAACGAAACCAGCCUCUGUGAUUGCAGUAUCAACAACCCUCUCGGGUUCAUGCUUCUGCCAAAAAAAAGAAACCCGAAGUAGCAUUCGAGCCUCUCUCAUAGUCAUCUCUUUCCUGUAGUAGCAUAACUACGUAACGGUAUUUCUGCGGCGCAACUCUUCCGCAGCCUUUCUGUCAACAUCAUAGCAUCCAAGCCUCUGGCAUUGGCUUUUCGUAUUAUAAUCGACAACAUCAUGCGCCGUCGAACUCGAACUUGCUCUCUCUCUCUCUCUCUCUCUCCGGAAUGGGUAUCCUUGGAAAGAGAGUCCAGUUUCGUCAUUCCAUCAAACACCUUCCUUGCAAACUCGAUUCCCUCCUCCACAGCACAACCGACGACAAUUGAAUUCCAGGAGACAGCGAGAGAAUUGGGAGAAAAACAAAAUCGAAACAGAAAUCAAUAGACAAAUCUGGAACGAAUCGAAAUUAAUCCUACAGUUCAACGGGAGAUGACGAAUUUCGUCAUCUCUUCAAUAUCACGAGGAACCGGCGUCUCUGGAGAUAUCUCGAGGCAACGAUCGUUAGAGAUUCCAGUCAACAGCUUCACUCCUUCAUGUCUUUGUAGAGAGAGAGAGAGAUUCUUCUCUGAACUUUAGACACUUCUUUUCUCCUCUCUCUCUCUUUUCUUUUAUUUGUACUUUUGUUAUUUCUUUUUAUUUUAUUUUAUAUGUCUUUGAUUUGUAUUUUAUAAAUAACAGAAGUACAAAUAAAAGUCAGCUUCUUCAAUGAAGGAACUGAAUUUUAAUAUUUUAUCCCCUCUCUUUUCUUUUAUUUGUAUUUUUGUUAUUUUUAUUUUAUUUUAUACAUCUUUAAUAUGCCGAGAAAAUUAAUGAUUCAGCAUCGAGCCCCGUCAGUCACCGUAUGCUCUCUCUCUCUCUCUCUCUACGCUUGCUCUUGCAAUCUUUCUUCUCGUGUCUCACACUAACGCCAACGAGUUACAAAGCGAGUGAUGGGACGGACUCAUUCUUUUGCUCGUGUCAUGGUCUCCCUCCUGCUCCCCCUUCCUCUAGCAAGUAGCAAAACAAGUUUUUACUAGCCUGUUCUGAUGUCUUCAAGGCUUUUGGUUUUAGGACGUGCUAUUUGAAUUUCUCAUGGAGAGUAAAAAAAAAAAAAUAAAAUAAAAUAUACACAUUUUUAAAUUUCGGGCCGUGGCAGAUCCUUUUGGGUCUGGGCCAAAUGGCAUUGGCUUCAGUUUGGGCCAGGCCCUCAUUCACGUAUUCUCCCCCCACCCCCUCCAAAAAAAAGAAAAAAAGUUUCGCUCUGGUCCUUGGCCACGACGCUUCAUCGGCUUCCACAGCUAAUUGAUGGUCCAGCGAAUGACUGCAUAGCCGUUGGAGAUGAAUAGGGGACGCUAUUCUUCCAUAUUAGCCAACCUCACAAGUUUUCGGAGAAUGAUUUUAUUUUGCCUCUUCUCUUUACGUUUUUCCCUUUUCUGGGGUUCGUUUUUUCUCUCCCCUUUCUAUCAGCAUUGUGUGAUAUUAGCACAUGCGAGCAAGCCAAUUGUGGGAAUUGCUUGUAAUUUUCUUUUUCUUUCCUUGGCAAAUGGAGCAACUAUUGCGACCCAUCUAAAGUUCCAAUCGCAUUUCAUUAAAACGGGUAUCAUUCAUCCGGCCAAACCUACAACUUGAGGUGAGUUGUUUUCUGUUGUGACAAAAGUAGGAACACUGCGUCUUCCUAGUCAAAAGUUAAAAAGACUUACAUCAAUAUACGAUAGCCGGAGCUAUAUAAUUCGUGAUAAGAUAUCGUGCUUUUCAAUUUCCUAUCGAUCGAGCGACAUGAAAUGACUAAUAUAAUUUCUGAAACAAAAGGUUCUUUGUUAUUACCCUGUGAUAAAAUCUAGGAAAAGGGCGAAACAAGAAUUGAAAACGUGAAGAGAACAAAGGAAGAGCAAAUUCUUAUCUGGAUGCGGGGAAUCAUGAGCAAAGGGGUUCUUGUCAUCAUCGUUAGUCAUUGGAGCCCCGUACGUGAUUAAUGGCUCGAUCAAAUCAGGCACACGAAUCCGGAUCCGAGGCGAAAAGAGGGAAAGGGCCCCGUCCUGAAGAUGAUCGAGCAGGGGAGGAGGCAGGGAACACGGUAAGAGCGGUGGGGUGGCAGGGCAAGAGAGUACACAAGCAGACUGCUCCUAUUCAAUUCUAAUUGGGUUUGUGAGGUUCAUAAUAAUCCAGACGCACACUCAUUAAUGGCACAUUCCAAACUUAGAUGAACUGAAAAAGGACGUGCUUCAGGAUUUAUGUUCCCUUUCGUCCUCUUCCAUGCUCAGCCGUCAUCCACACUGUACAACGCCAUUGUUGCCGCUUGUCAUUUGCUAUGAGGCCAUCACCGUGCCGUUGUUGUCGUCCACUGCAAUGGGGCUUGCAACUAUCUCUCUCACUAUCCCGAACCUCCAGAGACCUCCGCUUGAGGUUGCUGCCUUGAGUCUGAGGUCUCACAACCUCGAAUCUAAGGUAACGUCCUCUGAUUCAAGGUUAUGAGACCCCGAUCUGAGAUGUACGCCUCAGCUAGCCCCAGAGAGAGACGACGAACAAUGAGUUUGAGGUCAGUGGCGGUGCUGGUGGUUGCGGUGGUCGCGUUUGCUAAUGGCUGUUGAAGGUUGUGGGUGUCGGUUGUGAUUGCAGUGGCGGUGGACAGUGGUGGCCGUACUGGUGGGCAAAGGUGAUGGCAUGAUGUUUCAAGAGAGAGACGGAGAUGGAUUCCGCAGUGGUUUUACUGCCACUUGAAAAAAGUUUUCCUUGUAAGCGCCACGUUAACAUAUUUAACGGUUUUUCAACAGUGUUAGUGGUACAUCCAUAAUUUUAAUAAUGUAGUAAACGCAAGGUUGACAUUGUGCGCAAAUUUGAAAAAUUUGUGGUGUUAUUGUAUGCUUGCAUUCCCAUGUCUUAUCAUAUGUAUUGGUUGGUCAAAUGUUUUCAUGGACAGAACGUCACUUGGGAAUUCAUUUAGACAUACGGUCAAGAAAACCAGAGAAUUGCAACUCUUAAGUAUUCGGACACAUUGUGGCGGGUGAUGGAAUAUGGAUAGACUAUUCUUGAAGCAAUGAUGAGAUAUUAAAUCCAGAGAGCGAAUUUCUCUCAGAGAAAAUGGGAAGAUUCUGAAGAUGUCAUGGACCUUGAAGAUUCAGAAGGUUUGUCGCCAUGUAGGAAACUAGAGGCUAAAUUGCGUUUACCUUCUUACCAGCCUUCCAAGAUGUUGAAUUCCCUUUACAAUUUGUGAGUUUCAUAGUAAUUAAUUUGCACACUCAUUGAUGCGACCUUUUAAAUAAAUAUGCUUGAAAUCAAAAAGGACUAAGCUUCGAACGUCAAAGAUUAACAGAAGUUCCAAGUUGCUCCCUAGGAUAAUUGGGAGGCGUGACUUGUCAUUUUUAUAAGUUUUGUAUGUGUAGAUGACAUGCUUUUCCUAGUCACUUUUCAAAUUCUCAAGAAUUUGAUAAUAAGCUUUUGGCACGUUGAUUGAUGGCAUUGAUAAGGGUGGCCUAAAUUGUAGUUAAUACUUAUGUCUAAUACAAAGAGUGGGCUAAAUCAUUUUGUAGUAACUCAAAAAAUUUCACAUAGAUAUUUCUCCUUUUUCUUACUGUCAAUCAAACCAAACAGCCUAAAUGUCAUGUGAGUCCUACUGAGCUACUUUUUCAUUGUUCUACUCAUCUAAGGCCUCUCACUGCCCUUGAAAAGACUACAAUAUUUGAAUUGGAGUGUCUUUUUUCCAAAAUGGCGAUUUGACAAUCUCUUGUUAUGAAAGAAAAAAGAUAUACCACCCCGAUCUCCAUUCAUCACCAGCAUAUCUCAAAUAUGAAAUCACACGACAGGCUAUAGUAAGGAAAUUAAUCAAAAGGUAAUCGGAAUAGUAAUGGUAAUAUAACCUUAUGUUUGCACGUGCAAUGAUUCAAGUGAUUAAUAUGAAACCACUGGACUGAAUUGAACUGAUACAUGCCGAUGGAAAAUUAUCCAAACUACCCACUAAGCUGGAAAAUUAUUUCGAUGGGCAGAUUGUUCGUUGACGAAUUCAUAGAGAGACACGUGUCAAAAAUUGACGAAUUCUGGCUCUUAGAAUUCAAACAAAUUGGGGCUGAAGCAGCUCAGCACCUAUCAGCAAUAACGCCCCCUGAACUUCUCCGGUGGUUGGUCAACGUCUGCGAGAGAAACUCUCAUAAAGGAGAUAUUCGUUUGAGCUCAUUGAAAGGGAGCAAUGCAGUGUUCAAAGUCUCCAUCUUUAGCAAUGUUGGUAAGGACCCGAUUCAGGUUGGAUUGAGAUGAACAAAGGAAGCAUCGCUUUAUGCCAUAUUUAGUUCAAACCAACAUACCGCAUAUGUCAUUUUGUCUUUGUUCUCUUUUUGGAGCUAGUUGCAAUCUUAUCAUUUUUAGAUUGUCUGUAAACAUAACUAGUUGCCGUGAGUCAGUUGCUAAGAUCACUCCUGUGCCUCUACAAUUGAAGAAUGCAAUUCUGCUCUAAUUGUUUGAGAUCGAGGAUUCGUUCUUCAAACAUAUGUCAAGCCAAGCCUGUAAUUUAUAUAGCCAUGAAGCUCAGGUGCAAGCUCAUUCUUGUUGAUGAUGUCGAAUAAUUGCUGCAGCUGCAGCAAGACCGUCCACUGCAAUUUAUGUUUAAAUAUAUCUGUAAACCUGAGAUUACUCGUUUUAUCUCAGCUACUAGGUGAUUGUGAUCUUGUUGAUGUUGAAACAUAAGCAUUUAAUUAACCAAUCCAAUAUAUAUGAGCAUUUACUAUAUCAAAUUUUUACUUUGAUAUAUUAUUCACGUUUACCUUGCUUUGACUGGAAAUUACCUUGUUAACAUAGCCGCAGCAUUAAAUACAGUGUUAAUAUAACUAUCAAUAAUGAUAAUUCGAUCCAAAUUAGUUAAAAAGAGAAAUAAUUCCGUGAUUCCUUAUUCUCAAUUCUCAACUCAACAUGCUAAACCCUGAAAUGUCGGGAAUUCAUCUCGUGAAUGGUUUGCCACGUGAUACUUUUAUAUUCUGUUUGAAUCAGGCUUAACAACAAAUAUGGAUUCACGAAAUUGUAGAAUAUGCAUUAAAUAUCCAUUCCAAGCUAUCUGACUCCGUCAACGAGUCAUCUAAGUAUGGGAUACGAAAUGAAAACCACAGCAUCAGAAAAGUCACAUUUUCAGAAAUUUUCCACCUCUUGUGCACGCAUCAAGAGACAAUGAGGAAGAGAACAACACGCAAGGAAGAUCGAUGGCAAUUCUGACGCUCCAUUCUUUGCACGCGACCACGCAGAUCUCGCACUCCUUCACCACAGAAUUCACAUUUUAAAAAUUGACUCUGUUCAUAUAGAACCCUUUAACUCGAACCAGAGAGAUCAGCAAACCACAAGACCGUAAUUUUCGCAUCAUUUGUUGAGCACACGAAGGAAGUCGGCCAUAAUAAGGGUUCAAUAAGUCGAGAACAAAUUGAAUUGAUGCAAUAUGAUUUUGUGGUUCAAGGAUUGAAUCAAAGGUACAUACUAAUCUAGUUCGAACGUUUCAUCCAACAAGUGAUAGGCAUUUCGAUCAAGGUGUUCGUAUGCAAAUACAAGGCAAAGAUUCACUUUCAGAUCAUCACGAAAAUAACAUUGUGAGUUCGAGUUGCUAAUCGAGCUUCAAUCGCAACUGAUUUACUCACACAAACAUUAGCUAAAGCUCACUGGCUCUCUUUCGUUCAGUGACAAAGUUCCCGGCGGUGUACACAUCGAUAAUCGGGGCUGGUGAAGGGGGAACGACCAAGGGUUCAUGCCCUUUCGGGCGUCCUGACCAGAAAACAGAGCAGAGCGAGAGCUAGCCUUGCUGCAGCGAAACCUGCGAUGGCGGAGCGACUACGGCGGCGGCUAACGGUUUCUGAAGGACGACGGAGAAGGAGAACUGAUGAAGAAGCCUCGAGAAUUCCCAAGAAAAAGAUGGCGGACGGUGGCUUUCUGGUAUCGAUUAGUGGUGGAGAAUCUUCUGCAACUCGGCCGAUCGAAUGAGAGAGAGCUGUGGAUCGUGGGCUGCGGUGAGGGAAAUUGUCUGGGCCGAGGCUUACUCUGAUGGGCCUGUCACGCGCAUUCGGGAAGAGGAAUCCACGAACGGGAGCUCAGCAAGAGAGAAUUUCUCCAUUGGGUCAACCCAUUUCUAGAAGCGUCUCCAUCUUCACUCCCUCUCCGUCGCCUUAGUCCCCCCGGCAGCCACCGCCGCUCGUCCUCCAUCGCCGGCCACGACAACACUCAUGUGCUCAGCACAGAUCACACAAGGUGGGGAGGCUCAAAGAUUUCUAAACGUCCAGAGAAUCAUCUCUCUUGGCUUCUUGCUUCGUCUGGUGACCUCCAACUGACCUCCCGGAUCGCUCCACCACCAGGCCGUAGCUCUGUUAGCACCGUUCUCCCGUCAGUUUGCUUUGGCUGCUCUGAAUUUGUUCGUUUCUCCUUCGCUGGCUCCGAUCUUCAACGUCAUUGUCUCGCACAACCUCUUCCUCUAAUCCGAUCGUCCUUCAUGCAUCGGAUAAAAUAAACACUACAAUCUUCCUUCUUCGUUCUUAGCUUCGUGAAGAGAGACCCAGGCAUAUUUGUGUGAUUUUCGUUGUUCAAAUUCACUGCUAGCGCGUCAAUGCACGUGCUAUAAGUGCUUUGUAUAAUCCAUUGCAUGAAGUGCUCACUGUGACAUGUUCAUAUUAAUAAUCUGAAUCACAAAUCAACGUUCACUGCAAUGCGUGUUUGUCUGCUAGAUGGUCGAUACUUGUUUAGUUCUCCCUACCAAAAAUCUUGCAAAGAUGAUUCCGUCUACAUCUAUGUUACUUUGGCGGUUUCUGGAUUAAUGUUCUGUAAACUGUACUAUAUCUUCUACUAGGAGGAGAAAGAAAUUCUCAGCAUUAUCUCCCGCUUGCUUAAAAUUUAUUCUCAUGUUGUUUACAUUAGAUCGCCUAACCAUUGAGAUUAAUAUGAUUUCUUUUCUACUGAUUGUGUGUUUGAUGAAUCCAAGUAACAAUCCAAGGUAAGUUUCGAUUGUUUGCAAUGUGAAUUUGGUGGCUGGGGAGGUUCCGCUGUGAAACGUUGGCCUCAGUUGUUCUGAAUGAAAGAAUACAUUUGCUUGAAUUGUCAGCUUGAUAAGGAAGAGAGUGAUGCAAGCUACGGUUUGUUGUGAAAAAGAAACAAGCAACAGUUGCUGAAUUUCUAUUCUGCAGGAAAUGGAAGCGAAUUAGAAUAACUAAUGUGCUUUUGAGCAAUGAUGCUGAUUUCUGGAUUAUCUUUGUGAACAUAUGGUAUCUUUAUUUCUAUUUUGAACGUUUGGUAUUUGCCCCACUCUCUGACUGAUAACCAAUGCCAUGAACUUCUUGAUUGAUUAAUUCCUCUUUCUGCAAAUGACUUUCGCCCCAGUAAUGGUCCACUUUCAGUAUACGAGUCCUCAUUGUAAUUUGAGUACCAGGUGAUGUGAUACAGUCUUUUUGAUUCAUUUCUCAAUAUGUUUCCCAAAAGUUGCCUGUUGUAAAAAAUUUCAAAUAUUAAGCUCCAUCAGCCUCAUUUUUUUUUUUUUAAUUAGAAUUUCGUGUUUGAAAGAGUGGUUGGUAUGAACUUGAUCUUUGCACUGGAUUAACUCAAACGAUAUUUCAUCAUAGAUAUUCAGAACGGAGUAUUUCUUUAGUUGGCUUUUUAUGACCUUUGCUGCUGAUAAAGUAGAUUGACUUGCUAUAAGGAAUUAGUGCUCUGUAAGUGCAGCCAAUUUUGUUAAUUUUGCUGCUGGGUAUUAAUUAGUUCAUGGAAUGAUGCUUAUUAGAUUUGGUAGAUUCAAACAAUGGUAAAUAGCCCAAGCAACAUCAGGAAAAGAUGAAAAAGCAUUUCUUAUUUGUUGGGAAUCAUCAUCAUUCUUUCUCUUAGUAGUGAGAGAUACUGCAAAUAUCGUAGAGUACAAAUUGAAUGAAGAGGUAUUGCAGCUUUGGACUUGUAUGCCAAUCUUGGCUUAUCUCAUCAAUAGCCAAUGUUAUGCUGAUCUUUGAAUGAAUCCAAGCACUUAUCUUUAGUAGGCUUUGGAAUUUUCACAAUCUAUGGAUCUAACAAGUCUUAACAAUCGAUGUGUCGGGGAAUUUCUAACCUGUAUCGGGUACAUUGAGUGGAGUCUACGUCAGUGGUUGAUCAUUUAAGCCCCAUAUGCAACAUUCAUGUGAGAUUCACUUGAACGACUAUUGAAAUCGACCCUAUCUAAGUGAGCACAGGCACCACCUUGUGGAAGCUAUUCUUUGGCUGAUGGUAUAAGACGUGAAAAUUCUUAAAUCUCCGCCUUCUUUGUGCUUUUGCACGUUGGAUUUAGGUUGCGACAAAUAAGUGCCCUGGACUUACUUUAAGUUAUGUUAAUGGGGGAUUAUGAAAAUGUUCUUAAGGAUAUACGGAAAUACUCUCCCGAAUUCGAUGCUUCCAAAGGUCAAAGUAGUUCAACCUGGGCAACUAGAAAAGAGUAACAACAAGGUCAGAAUGUUAUGGAGCAUUACCCCAUUGGUCAUUUUCAUCUCAACCUUUUCAAAUGUGGAGACAAUUCCCUUUUUCGGGCGAUAAUACUUGAUGAAGGUGCUUCCGAGAUAGAUUAUUCCUCAGGAUCACUGUCUUGGAUGAUCUCUUCCUCUAAUCUGUUCAUCCUUCAUGCGUCGGUAAAAUAAACACUAUAUUCUUCCUUCUUCAUUCUUAGCUUCAUGAAGAGAGACUUCAGGCGUUUUUGUGUGAUUUUUGUUGUCAAAUUUACUGCUGGUGUGUCUAUAUGCGCGCUAUAAGUGCUUUAUAUGAUCAUUGCCUGAAGUGCUUACCGUGAAGUGUUCAUAUUAACAAUCUGAAUCACAAAUCAACUUUCACUGCAAUGUGUGUUUGCCUGUUAGAUGGUCGAUACUUGUUUAGUUCUUCCUGCCAAAAGUCUUGCAAAGAUGAUUUGUUCUUCAUCUAUGUUACUUUGAGAUUGCUGUGUAGGUUAAUGUCUUUGGCAGUUUCUGGAUUAAUGUUUUAUAAAUUGGACAAUCUGUUCCACUAAGAGGUGAAAGAAAUCCUCAGCAUUAUCUCCUGCAUGCUUAAAAUUUAUUCUCAUGUUUUUGACAUCGGAUCACCUGACCAUUGAGAUUAAUAUGAUUUCUUUUGUGUCUGAUGAAUCCAACUAACCAUCCAAGGUAAGUUUCGAUUGUUUGGAAUGUGAAUUUGGUGGCUGGGUAGGUUCCUCUGUGAAACGUUGGCCUCUGUUGUUCUGAAUGAAGGAAUACGAUUGCUUGAAUUGUUAGCUUAAUAAGGAAGAGUGAUGCAGGCUACAAUUUGUAUUGUAAAAGACACAAGCAACAAUUGCUGAAUAUCUAUUCUGCAGGAAAUGGAAGCGAAGUAGCGUAACAAGUAUGCUUUUGAGCAAUGAUGCUGAUUUCUGGAUUAUCUUUGUGAACAUAUGGUAUCUUUAUUUCUCUUUUGAACGUUUGGUAUUUGCUCUACUCUCUUUCUGGUAAACAGUAGUGUGGACUUCUCAGUUGAUUAAUCCUUCUUUCUGCAAUUGACUUUGGCCCCUGCUAUGGUCCGCUUUCAGUAUACGAGUCACGUUGUAAUUUGUGUACCUGGUGAUGUGAUAUGGUCUUGUUGAUUCAUUUCUCAAUAUGUUUCCCAAACGUUGCUUGUUGUAAAAAAAUUUAAAUAUUAAAUUUGAUCAGCCUCAGUUUUUUUCCCUUUUUUUGUUGAUCAGAAUUCUGUGUUUGUAUGAACUUGAUCUUUGCACUAGAUUAACUCGAACGAUAUUUCAUCAUAGAUAUUUAGGACAGGGUAUUUCCUUAGUUGGCUACUUUGUGGCAUUUGCUGCUGAAAGUACAUUGACUUGCUAGAAGGAAUUAAUGUUCUGUAAGUGCAGCCAAUUUUUUGUUAAUUUCGCUGCUGGGUAUGAUGAUGUUCAUGGAAUGAAUGCUUAUCAGAUUUGGUAGAUUCAAACAAUGGUAAAUAGCCCAAGCAACAUCAGGAAAAGAUAAAAAAAGCAUUUCUCAUUUGUUGAGUCAUCAUUAUUCUUUCUCUCAGUAGCGAGAGACGCUGCAAAUAUCGUAAAGUAAGAAUUGAAUGAAGCGGUGCCGUAGUUUUGGACUUGUAUGUCAAUCUUGGCUUAUCUCAUCAAUAGCCAAUGUCAUGCCGAUAUUUGAAUGAAUUCAAGCACUUAUUUUAAGUAGGUUUUGGGAUUUCACAAUUUAUGGAUCCAAUGAAUCUUAACAAUUGAUGUGUUGGGGAAUUUCUUACCUAUACCGGGUACAUUGGGCGGACUCUAUGUUAGUGGUUGAUCGUCUAAGCCCUAUAUGCAACAUUAAUGUGAGACUCACAUGAACAGCUAUAGGAAUGGACCCAAUCUACACGUGCAUAGACACUACCUUGAGGAAGCUAUAUUUUGGCUGACGGCAUAAAAUGUAAGAAUUCUCAAAUUUCUGCCUUUUUUGUGCUUUUGCACUUUGGAUUUAGCUUGCGAUUAAUUAGGGCCCUGAACUUACUUUAAGUUGUGUUGUUAAUGGGGGAUUACGAAAAAGUUCUUGAGGAGAUAUGGCUAUUCUCUCCCGAAUUCGAUACUUCCAGUCACAAGUAGUUCAACCUGGGCAACUAGAAAAGAGUAACGACGAGGUCGAAAUGUCAUGGAGCAUUAGCCCAUUGGUCAUUUUCAUCUCAACCUUUUCAAAUGUCUCCACUUUUCAGGUGUUAAUCCUUGAUAAAGGUGCUUCCGAGAUAGAUUAUUCCUUGAGCAAUGGCCAAAUAUCAAACCCCGAGGAUCAAUUUCUCUAACAAGGAAGGAAUGACAUUGUCGAACUUGAAGAUUUAGAGGGUUUCCUGCAAUGUCGAUCACUUUUACCCUGUUCUAGCGAAGUAUCUAACUGUCCAUUACUCACUCAUCAUGAGAAUUUGAUGGUAAUGAAUGGUAGCUUUAUUAGUCAUGUUUCUGCCUUUAUCAGUGCCUUGUCUUCGUUCUUUCAAUAUUAUUUAAUUCUUUUUUACCAGCGUUUCGGAUGUUGAUAUAUACGGUAAUAUUCGGGAAGUGCAGAUUGUAAUUAAUUGGUGGGGUAACUAGCUCUAAUGUUAAAGGGAUGUAAAAUUAUUUCAUCAAUUUUAUUUUUCUGAUUUUCCAUGGAAAUACUAACUACCAAUGUAUGCUAAAUCAUUUCAUACUAGGUCAAUGCUCAGUAAUUUCUGUAAAUGGAAUCGCCAUAAUCUGAAACUUUACACAGACAAGUCUCAAUCGGCAAAGAGUUGAACCCACCGAAGCCGCGAACUUUGAAAAUCAAUGACGGCAGAGCUUUUCUUGAAGGUGAAACAGUUGGAGCUAUUUUGGGAAUUCUUCCCAACGAAGCGGGAGCUCUACUGGGUGGCUCUACUACGAAAGUUGCAGCAUUGCCGGCGUUUUAGACGGAAGCCAUUUCCCCUGCUCGAAGCUUUGAAACGUUUUCAGUCAAGGAGAGAGAGUGUGUUGGAGCUCGAGUCUGGCUGGGAAGAGCUGGUCAGCGCAGUGCUGAUGAAGACAGCUCUAAUGGAGAAAGCCCAGCUAUCUUCGGCCCAAUUUCAGUUUCUCUCCUUGGCCCAUUGUCACCGGUCCGCAAACAAAAUGGCUGAUUGGGUCGUGAAAACCUAACGUACGAAUGCUCUCCCUCCCUCUUGACUGACCCAUCCCUCCAGUCUUUAUGGAAUUAUUUACGUUUGGAUGCCCCUUUGCUGGGCUUUUGUUUUAAAGACCCCAGGGUUUUAAUUCAUGGCAUGUCCUCAAAUUUGAAAGCUUGCCUCGUAUAUUAGUUUGUCUUAAGCUCGAAUUGGUCGACGGUCAAAACCCAAGUUCAAAAUUACAUGGAAAGUAGAUGAUCAAGCAAGUCUUAAGAGCUAGAAUCUGGAGGAAUUGGACAAUUCUAAUUGAGGUUGUUCACGCAAUUUGACUUGAAAAACUAGAAAACUGAAAUUAGAAUGGAAAGAUUAAUUAAACUGGAUUUUCAUCCCUAUCCUGUUGGGGAAAAGACAAAUAAUUAGUGCUUGAGUCUUUUCCAGCUACUCCACACCAUGCCACCAAGUUGUCGAAGCAGUGUUUCUUUAUAACUCAGUCUCUAUAUGAUUGAUUUUUGGUUGAAAUAACCUCGUAAGCAUGAUCAUUUCUCCAAUCUAAUGAAGUAAAGUAACCUUCACUCCAAUCUUUAUUUCUCUUUUGAACGUUUGAUAUUUGCUCUGCUCUCUUUCUGGUAAACAGUAGUGUGGACUUCUCAGUUGAUUAAUCCUUCUUUCUACAAUUGACUUUGGUCCCUGUUAUGGUCCACUUUCAGUAUACGAGUCACGUUGUAAUUUGGGUACCUGGUGAUGUGAUACGGUUUUGUUGAUUCAUUUCUCAAUAUGUUUCCCAAACGUUGCUUGUUGUAAACAAUUUUAAAUAUUAAAUUCCAUCAGCCUAAGUUUUUUUUUCCCUUUUUUUGUUGAUCAGAAUUAUGUGUUUGUAUGAACUUGAUCUUUGCACUGGAUUAACUCGAACGAUAUUUCAUCAUAGAUAUUUAGGACAGAGUAUUUCCUUAGUUGGCUACUUUGUGGCAUUUGCUGCUGAAAGUACAUUGACUUGCUAGAAGGAAUUAAUGUUCUGUAAGUGCAGCCAACUUUUUGUUAAUUUCGCUGCUGGGUAUGAUGAUGUUCGCGGAAUGAAUGCUCAUCAAAUUCGGUAGACUCAAACAAUGGUAAAUAAAUAGCCCAAGCAACAUCAGGAAAAGAUAAAAAAAAAAAAAAAAGCAUUUCUCAUUUGUUGAGCCAUCAUCAUUCUUUCUCUCGGUAGCGAGAGAUGCUGCAAAUAUCGUAGAGUAAGAAUUGAAUGAAGCGGUGUCUUAAUUUUGGACUUGCAUGUCAAUCUUGACUUAUCUCAUCAAUAGCCAAUGUCAUGCUGAUAUUUGAAUGAAUUCAAGCACUUAUUUUAAGUAGGCUUUGGGAUUUUCACCAUUUACGGAUCCAAUGAGGCUUAACAACUGAUGUGUUGGGGAAUUUCUUACCUAUACUGGGUCCAUUGGGCGGAGUCUAUGUUAGUGGUUGAUCGUCUAAGCCCCAUAUACAACAUUAAUGUGAGACUUACAUGAACAACUAUAGGAAUGGACCCAAUCUAUACAUGCACAGACACCACCUUGAGGAAGCUAUUCUUUGGCUGAUGGCAUAAAAUGUAUAAAUUCUCAAAUCUCUGGCUUCUUUGCGCUUUUGCACUUUGGAUUUAGCUUGCGAUUAAUAAGGGCCUUGGACUUACUUUACGUUGUUUGUUAAUGGGGGAUUAUGAAAAAGUUUUUGAGGAGAUCUUGAUAUACUCUUCCGAAUUCGAUGCUUCGAAAGGUCACGAGCAGUUCAACCUAGGCAACUAGAAAAGAGUAACAACGAGGUCGGAAUGUUAUGGAGCAUUAGCCCAUGGGUCAUUUUCAUCUCAACCUUUCUAAAUGUGGAGACAACUCUACUUUUCAAGUGUUAAAGCUCGAUAAAGGUGCUUUUGAGAUAGAUUAUUCCUCAAGCAAUGGCCAAAUAUCAAAACCCUGAUAAUUGAUUUUUUUAACAAGAAAGGGAUGACGUUGUUGAACUUGAAGAUUUAGAGGUUUCCUGCAAUGUCGAUCGCUUUUACCCUGUUCUAGCGAAGUAUCUGAUUGCCUAUCACUCACUCAUCAUGAGAAUUUGAUGGUAAUGAAUGGUAGUCUUAUUAGUCAUGUUUAUGCCUUUAUAAGUGCCUUUUCUUCGUUCUUUCCAAAUUCUUCAAUGCUUUUUGACAAGCGGAUGUUGAUUUAUACAGUAAUAUCUGGAAAGUGAAGAUUGUAAUUAAUUGGUGAGGUAACUAGCUCUAAUGUGAAGGGGAUGUAAAAUUAUUUGAUCAAUUUUAUUUUUCUGAUUUUCCAUGGAAAUACUAACUACCAAUGUAUGCUGAAUCAUUUCAUACUAAGUCAAUGCUCAGUAAUUUCUGGAAAUGGAAUCACCAUAAUCUGAAACUUUACAGAGACAAGUCUCAAUCAGCAAAGAAUUGGAACCCACCGAAGUUGCGACCUUGAAAAUCAGUGACGGCAGAGCUUUUCUUGAAGGUGAAAAAGUUGAAGCUAUUUUGAGAAUUCUUUGCAACGGAACGGGAGCUCUACUGGAUGGCUCUACUACGAAUGUUCCAGCAUUGUCGGCGUUUUAGACGGAAGCCAUUCCCCUGCUCGAAGCAUUGAAACGUUUUCGGUCAAGGAGAGAGAGUGUGUUGGAGCUCAAGUCUGACUGCGAAGAGCUGGUCAACUUAGUGCUGAUGAAGACAGCUCUAAUAGAGAAAGCCCAGCUCUCUUUGGCCCAAUUUUAUUUUCUCUCCUUGGCCCAUUGUCACCGGUCCGCAAACAAAAUGGCUGAUUGGGUCGUGAAAACCUAAUGUACGAAUGCUCUCCGUCCCUCUUGAUUGGCCCACCCCUCCAAUCUUUAUGGAAUUAUUUACUUUUGGAUGCCCCUUGGCUGGGCUUUUGUUUUAAAGACCCCAGGGUUUUAAUUCAUGGCAUGUCUUCAAAUUUGAAAGCUUGCCUCGUAUAUUAGUUUGUCUUAAGCUCGAAUUGGUCGACGGUCAAAACACAAGUUCAAAAUUACAUGGAAAGUAGAUGGUCAAGCAAGUCUUAAGAGCUAGAAUCUUGAGAAAUUGGACAAAUUCCAACCGAGGUUGUUCACGCAAUUUGACUUGAAAAACUAGAAAACUGAAAUUGGACCAGCAAGUGAAUGGAAAGAUUAAUUAAACUGGAUUUUCAUCCCUAUCCUGUUGGGAAAAGACAAAUAAUUAGUGCUCGAGUCUUUUCCAACUACUCCGCACCACGCUGAUGUCGAAUCAUUGUUUCUUUAUAACUCAGUAUCUAUAUGAUUGAUUUUUGGUUGAAAUAGCUACGUAAGUAUGAUCAUUACUCCAAUCUAAUGAAGUAAAAUAACCUUCACUCCAAUCAUGACGCCUCCUUCAAUAUAAAAAAGAAUAUCCCAUCCAUGUCAAGGUGAAGCAACAUGAUGACUAUAUAACUAAAUAAGUUAGCCGACUCUUUUCAUUUAUAAUAUUCAAUUGUUUGUAAGUUACCAUUCUUGUCUUAGUUGAGGUGGCCGACAACGGUCUUUUUCUUUUUUCUUUUUUAGAUUGACCAGUUUCGACUUGUAGCAAUGUGCUACCAAGUUUUCAACUUCACAAGGAAUCUAUUUGUGUUUAGUUGAGGCCUUAACUAAUGUUAGGUUAUCGUCCACACCCAAGGAGGUCACUGGUAUUUUUAAUUGAUUAGUCUAAACAUUUUUAAUUUUCUCACUAUUUCUUUUCAUAUGUAAUAGUUGUGCUCUUUUUCUAGUAUUAAGUAAACAAAUAACAAUUGAAAAUGUAAAUAAAAUUGCUAAAAAAAAAAAAACCGAUAUAUGCAACAUCUAGGCUGUACCAUAGGUCUCUAGGUUGUCGCGCUUCAACUUUUGUGCCCCUUGAUCAUUAAAAGAAGUGGACUAAAAAAGAGAUGAUUUCUUCAUCGUAGCUUUUUUUUUUUUUUUUUGGUCUGACUUAAUCGUAGCUUACUAACAUAAAAAUUGAACAUGCCCUUCAUUUUUAGUUAAAUUUGCUUAUUAGUCAAAAAUAAACUCUCGUGUGUCAUGUAAGCCACCAGAGGGUGUCUCAAUUAGCAAAGAUUAUUAAAUCAUUCCAAAGCAUGAGAGAACAAUGUAACAUUAUCACUUGCUACAUUAGAUAAUUAUGUUCUUGUCUAUUUUCCCUUCACCUAACCUAUAAAAAAUGAAAGGAGUAAUCGAAUAUCCCCUGCAUCUAUAUUACUUAUAUUCUCUUUGUGUGUACCUGCACCGCAAUAGCAUUAAGAUAUAGCAAAUACGUGAUUGGCUCUGUUUAAAAAUAUCGCAAUGGGAGUUCACAUCCACAUCAAUCAUAUGCUAAUCAAUCAUCAAAACAAGUAAAACUAACCAUUUAACUGGAGAUUAUCCUUUAUUAAGAAAUUUUGCAAAAUGCGACAUACAUUUAUUCUUUAAAUUUUUUUUAAAAAAAUCAUGUUUACGUGGCAUCUCUAUCUUGCAAUUAUUGAACAAUAGUAAUAUGAUAAUGUUAUGUUAACAUUGAUAUUUUCAAAAUGACACAUAAUGCAAAUGACAUUAUUCUUUAGAAUAAAAAGUUAUGCUUGAUUAAUCCCAUGAUUGAUAAUGUUGGGUGGGGAGUUGGUUUCUAGCUUAGGAACCGGAGCUCCUCCAUUAGAAUCCCACAAAUGCAUGCAAACUGUCUCAAUUAACGAAGAUUAUUGAAUCAUUCCAAAUCAUAAGAGACAGUGUGACCUUAUCACUUGCCACGUCAAAUAAUUUUGGCCUUGUGGGUUCACAUCCACGUCAAUCAUAAGCAAAUCAAUCAUCAAAACUAGCAAAACUAACCAGAGAUUAUCCUUUCUUAAGAAAUUUUGCAAAACGUGACAUACAUUUAGUCUUUAAAAUUUUUUUUAAAAAAAUCAUGUUUACGUGGCAUCUCUAUCUUGCAAUUAUUGAACAAUAGUAAUACGAUAAUGUUAUGUUAACAUUGAUAUUUUCAAAUGACACAUAAUGCAAAUGACAUUAUUCUUUAGAAUGAAAAGUUAUGCUUAAUUAAUCCCAUGAUCGAUAAUGUUGGUUGGAGAGUUGGUUUCUAGCUUAGGAACCGGAGAUCCUCCAUUAGAAUCUCACAAAUGCAUGCAAACUGUCUCAAUUAACAAAGAUUAUUGAAUUAUUCCAGAUCAUAAGAGACAGUGUGACCUUAUCACUUGCCACGUCAAAUAAUUUUGUCAUUGUCUCUUUGUCCUUCCCUUAACCUAUAAAAAAACGAAACGAGUAAUCGAAUAUCCCCUAUAUCUAUGUCACUUAUAAUACUCUUUGUGUGUAUCUGCACCGUACUAUCAUUAAGAUAUAGCAUAUACGUGAUUGGCUCUAUUUAAAAUAUCACAAUGGGGGUUUCCAUCCACAUCAAUCAUAUGUAAAUCAAUCGCAAAGAAGCAAAACCUACCAUUUUACUGGGAUUAUCUUUUCUUAAAAAAUUCUGCAAAAUGUGACACACUCUUAAUCUUUAUGAUAAAAAAAAUAAUGUUUUCGUGGCAUCACUAUCUUGCAAUUACUAAACAAUGGUAAAAUGUGAAUAUAGUCAUUUUCAAAAUGAUGCAGAAUGCAAAUGACUAUUACUUUUAAAAUAAAAAUUAUGCUUAAUUAAUCCUAUAAUUCAUAAUGGUGGUUGAGGAAUAGGGGAUUUCCAGCUAAAAAAAUUAGAAAUCCCCCAUUAGAAUCCCACAAAUGCAUGCAAAUUGCUUUGGAUUAGAGUCACCUACAUAGCCGAAGGCUUAAGCUUAACCAAUUCACGAUACUUGUAAGAUAUUUCAUAAGUUUCUAGGUAGACGGGUGUCCACGCCUAUGCUCCUAGAUAAUACAAAAAAAAUGCUUACUUUAGGAGAAUCCAAAUUUUAUAUGCUAAUUAUUUUAGUAUAUACUUAUUCCUCAUAAACUAGGUAGUUUUUAUGCAAAAGGUCCUUAUCAACUAAAUUGCGAAGAGUACAUCCCCCAUGACUUUAAUUAGUAAUAACACUUUUAUUCGUUAGAAAUUAGUCAUAACCUUUUCAAAUACUCCUCCUAAUAAAUAUACAUAUUUAGGACUAAUAUGACAUUCUAAUCUAAAAAUUAUGGUUGGUAAAAAAUUACAUAACCUCAAUAUUUCCUUCUAAACUGAGUUUUUUUUUUUUUUUUGAACUACCCUUCUCAUGUGCAAGGCAAAUCAGGAGUAGCACGUGAAAUUUGACAACUGGGAGUGAACUCACACAUGAAAGGGGCAAGUAGAACUUGACUAUGAUACCAUGUUAGAAAAUCCAAUCCAAAGAUAUGUAAAGAGCAUAUAAACUUCAUUAUCAUGCAAUGUGGGAUAUUUCAAUACAUGCCAACCAAGGAUAGAGCAGAGCCCCUCUAAUGCGUUUAUAGCUCCUAAUGAGCUUUGCCAAUCAUGAUAUGCCGAAAUGCCUAUGAGUUGCUCUUUGCUUUUCCUCAAUAUGUUCCUUGAUGAAACCACCUAGAAUAGUCUGCAAGCAUACAUGUGUGAAUGACCCAGAUGUGAAUUUGCUUAAGUGGAAUGAGAAAUCCAAGGAUAAAUUUGAAGGCAAAGAGCAAGAAAAUAAUGAUAUGAGGUCAAAGAAAUCUAAUGAUAAAUUUAUUCUUUUGAAAGUGCUCGAGGAUGAAAGAAAUUGUUGGCUGGCAUUGUCUCCUAAUACAUGUCAUUAGGAGAUAGUAUGUAGAUGGAAGAAAACCUGCAACAAGUGGACAUCAAAAGCUAUGACAUGGUAACGCUAGCGUAGAGCCGCUCGUGGAGAUUAUUCAAGUGACUAUCUUUACUCCAUUUUUUAUUUACUCCAAUUAGGAUACCCUAUGGACACAUUGAAAAAAAAAAAAACCAUGUCAUAUGAUUUCCCACACAAACCAAAUCAUUUUUUUUUUUGUCGGUCAUACUCUAUUUCUAUUCUACACUCACUCUCAAACUUUUGCCUUGACUCUUGCAGGGCGUGAGAGUCGAAACCCACUCCUGAAAUUUACGCGUCCCCACCCCAUCCCCCCUGAGAAGGUGGAGAUUUAAACCCCUCACUUCCCCCUUUCAUGUUGGAAAGGUGGCCACUGAGGCGAAUCCCAGUGAUUAACCAAAUCAACUUGAAAAGCACAAUAUUGAGUCAUAACAAUUAAUGCAUUGGGGAACUCCUUGCCUGUAUCAGAUCCAUUGGGCAGAGGAAGGAUCCAGGUGGACCCUCCCUUAUUUCCAGGUGCGACAGCCUCCCCAUCACUUCGUUGGCCGGCAAGAUUGGCCGCGCUUGCCCCCGGUCAACAGCCUCCAGACACUGUAGCCCCAGAUCAAGCAGGUGGUCCAGCAGUAGCAUCCGAUCAAGGCCCCUUCGCAAAAAGAAUAAAAAUAAAAACUCUUAAUGUAAAGCUUGUCUGUUCAAAAAAAAAAAAAAAUGUAAAGCUUGUGAUUAUAUAUGUUUCUAAUUUGUGAUAUCACGUCAUUGUAUCAUGACUGGAUUACCUGUGAGUUUCUUUUCAUUCAAUAGGUAAAGGUGUCGUGUCAGGGAAAUUGAAAAAAAAUUGAAGAGACUCUUCUUUUUGGUGACAAAACGCGAGAUGGUUCUCUACUGCCUUUGUUUCCUUUGAUUUUGGUCCUUGUUGGAUAGGUCUAAGGACAAUUUAGGAGUUCUAAUUUCAAUGGAAAGCUGUUCUUCUUAGCACAUUUUGCCAAGUCGUUCUCUUCUCAAGGUUUGUCAUCUUUUUGGCACUUUGGGUGAGAUUGAAUCAUUCACUUAGAAAGUUUAGGUGACAGCAUCUCAUUUAGAAUGAGUAGUGCAUUAUCAGUAAACAGAUACAAGGGUCUAAGUUAGUCCAAAUAUAAUAUGUCAAGAAGAUUAACAUUAUCAAAAUUUGGUAUUUACUCCACAAAUCAAUAAUACGGCCAGCGAAUCAAUGUUUGUCCACUAGCGAUCAAGGAAAGGAUGGAGAAUUAAUAAAUAUUUGUCCACCAGCCGUGGAGGAAAGGAAGAUUUACCAAAUCAAAGUUUGUCUAAUCACUAAUUGUCUUGGAGCAGUACAGGACAGAAUGAAUACCUAAUCAAUGUUCGUCCAUUAGCAGUGGAGGAAAGGAUGGUUUACCUAAUCAAUGUUUGUCUAAUCACCGUUUGUCUCUGAGCGGUGCAGGAAAGAUUGGAUAUCUAAUCAAUGUUUGGUCAUUAGCAGUGGAGUAAAGGAUGGAGACAUAGACAUCCUAACCAAUGUUUGCAUCACUCAAUUGUUUAUGUGUCCACAUUAUUGUCUUGAUUGAGGCAACCGAGAGUGGUAUUUUUCCUUUCUUUUUUUUUUUUGGCUGGUAACGACUUGGCGCAUUUUGCAGUCGAUUUUUCAGCUACUUGAGGAACUGACUCGUGUUUAGAUUAAAAAUGGGUUUGUAACACGUAUUGAGACAAUUAUUACACGAAAGGUGAUUACAACAAGCUAAAAUUAAGUUUCAAAUCAUAAUAGCUAAAAUUAAGUUUCAAAUCAUAAUCUCAUUUUGACGAUGACAGACUAUAUGAAGUACUUAUUACACGGGAGAUGAUUCAAGUCAAAUCAUUUUGGUACUUUAACGGUUGGUAAUCAUAUGAUUUUUACUUUCUCUUUAAGCCACUCGGUGUUAAAAAAUGCAAAGAAACCAAGCUAAGAGCUUGCAUACCAUGUAGAUAUUACUUGAUUGUUGAUAAGCUGUGGGUUGAAGGGUCUAAACAUAAGUUAUCGAAUUGCUGGAAAAGCAAAUGCUGAGGCAAGUCUUAAAAAUUAUAAUCCAAGCCCUCUUAUAUGGAGAAAUGUAACAAAGUCAUUCAAGAAGAAUAUACGUGUAAAUCAUACAUACUAUGUUAAUAUGGACCAGCAAAUUAUAAAGAAAUUCGCUGCUUCCAUAACUAAGGAAAAAAACCCAAAAGAUAAGGGGGUGGCUAGCUAUGAUUCUGAAAUUUCAUUGGAGAUCUAAUGACUAAUAAUUUUAAUAUUAAAUAGGAGAUACUGUUGUAUUUUGUUAUAUUAAUCAGAUAUUUGAACAAAGAAGAUUGCUUUACUUUGUCAAAUUGAACCGGUAGUAUGAUAAAACAUUAUUUGAGCUAUGGUCUUGACGAAGGCGACUGGUCUUUUUCAUCUUUAAAUUUUGGCCUAUGACAACCCUUAAUUUUCAGUAAAUGCAAUCACAUCAAGUGCAAUGUCAUUGGGCGCCACAUGCUCAUUCACAUUAGGAGUCAAACCAUAGUUUGUCAAAUAUUUGAGAGUUCCAAGGCCACUCACUUCUCUUGCAAUAGCCGAUAAUCUCAAGCUAGUGGCAGAACUUAAAUCUUUUCGGACUACUCCACACCAUAUCACCAAGUCGUCAAAUUAGUGUUUAUUUACAACUCAAUUUCUGUAUGAUCGAUUUUCGGUUGAAAUAGUAUCGUAAGCAUUCAUCAUGUCUCCAAUUUAAGGAAGAAACAUAACCGUCAUUCCAAUCACUACUCAAGUAUUUUCCAACUACUCUACAUAAUGCCACCAAGUCGUCGAAUCGGUGUUUCUUAACAACUUAGUAUCUAUAUGAUCGACUUUAAGCUAAAAUAGCCUCAUAAGCAUGAUCAGUUCUUGAAUCUAAUGAAGUGGGAUAACUUUCACUCAAAUAAUUGCUCAAGUCUUUUCUAACUACUCCGUACCAUGACAACAAGUCGUUGAAUUAAUGCUUCUCUAGAACUCAAUAUCUAUAUGAUCGACUUUAAGUUGAAAUAGCCUUGCAAGCAUGAUCAUUUCUCCAAUCUAAUGAAGUAAAGUAACCUUCACUCUGAUCAUUGCUCAAGGCUUUUCCAACUACUUUGUACCAUGCCACCAAGUCAUCGAAUUAGUGUUUCUUUACAACUCAGUAUCCAUAUAAUCGACUUUCCCUUAAAGUAGCCUUGCAAGCAUCCGAUCAAGGCUCUGCGACACCCCCCCCCCCCCUUCAAACGAAAAAAACAAAAAAAACAAAGCCUUCCCAUCACUUCGUUGACCGGCAAGAUUGGCCGGGCUUGCUCCCUGCUCAACGGCCUCCAGAAAACGUAGCCUCAGGUUAAAAAACCAAAAUAAAAUAAAAUAAAAUAAAAAUUUUAAUGUAAAACUUGUGAUACUUUAUAUUUUUUAUUUAUGAUGUCACGUCACUAUAUCUUGAUUGGAUUACUUGCGAGAAUCUUUACAAUAAAUAGGUAAAGGUGUCGUGUCAAGGAAAAUUUUAAAAAGAUGGAAGACGGUCUUCUUUUUUAUGAGAAAACGUGAGAUGGUUCUCUACCGCCUUUGUUUCCUUUUGUUUUGGUCCAUGUUGGACAGGAAUAAGGACAAUCUAGGAGUUUUAAUUUCAAUGGAAAGCACAUUUUGCCGGGUCGUUCUCUUCUCAAGGUUUGUCAUCUUUUUGGCACUUUGGGUGAGAUUGAAUCAUUCACUUAGCAAGUUCAGGUGAUGCUAUCUCAUUUGGAAUGAGUAAUGCAUUGUCGGUAAAUAGUUUUAAGGGUCUAAGUUACUCCAAGUAUAAUAUAUCAACAAAAUCAACAUUAUCGACAUUUGGUAUUUACUCCACAAAUCAAUAACACAGCCAGCGAAUCAAUGUUUGUCCAUUAGCGAUUGAGGAAAGGAUGGAGAAUUAAUAAAUAUAUGUCCACUAGCCAUGGAGGAAAGGAUGGUUUACCAAAUCAAAGUUUGUCUAAUCACUAAUUGUCUAUGAGCGGUACAGGAAAGAAUGAAUACCUAAUCAAUGUUCGUCCAUUAGUGGUGGAGGAAAGGAUGAAGACUUAACAAGCAUUUGUCCAUUAGCGGUGGAGGAAAGGAUGGUUUACCUAAUCAGUAUUUGUCUAACCACUAUUUGUCUCCGAGUGGUGCAUGAAAGAAUGAAUAUCUAAUCAAUGGUUGGUCAUUAGUAGGGGAGCAAAGGAUGGAGACAUAGACACUGGUGAUGGUUACUGGUUAAGAAAUCAUCCAUUUCUAUAUGCGUAUUAGAUGGUGACUAGGACAUUAGGACUAGUAACUAACCAAUGUUUGUAUCACUCGAUUGUUUAUGUGUCCACAUUGUUGUCUUGAUUAAGGCAACCGAGUGUUAUUUUUAUUUUUUUUUGGCCGGUAACAACUUGGCGCAUUUUGCUGCCAAGUUUUCAGCUACCCAAGGAACUGACUCGUGUUUAGAUUAAAAAUGGUUUUCUAACAUGUAUUGAGACAAUUAUUACACGAGCGGUGUUUACAGCAAGCUAAAAUUAACUUUAACAUCGUAAUCUCAUUUUGACGAUGACAGACUAUAUGAAGUACUUAUUACACGGGCGACGAUUCAAGUCAAAUCAUUUCGGCACUUUAACAGUCGGUAAUCAUAUGAGUUUAUUUUCUCUUUAAGCCACUUGGUGUUAAAAAAUGCAAAGAAAUCAAGCAAAGAGCUUGCAUGCCAUGUAGAUAUUACUUGAUUGUUGAUAAGCUACGGGUCGAAGGGUCUAAAGAUAAUGUCUCGAAUUGCUGGAAAAGCAAAUUCUAAGGCAAGUCUUAAGAAUUAUAAUCCAAGCCCUCCUAUAUGGAGAAAUUUGACAAAGUCAUUCAAGAGGAAUAUACCUGUAAAAAUCACACAGACUAUGUUAAUAUACACUAGCAAAUUGUAAAGAAAGUCGCUGCUUCCAUAACUAAAGGGAAAAACCCAAAAGAUAAGGGGGCGGCUAGCUAUGAUUAUGAAAUUUCGUUGUAGAUCUAAUGACUAAUAAUUUUAAUAUUAAAUAGGAGGUAUUGUUGUAUUUUGUUAUAUUAAUCAUAUAUUUAAACAAAGAAGAGUGCUUUACUUUGCCAAAUUAAACCGAUAGUUUGAUAAAACAUCAUUUGAGCAGGAGAAUUAAACCUCUCUCUGUUCUAUUCUUUCUUUCUUUUUUCUCCAUAUAGUUACAUUUCGAGCUUGAGCUAGUAAUCGAAAUGAGUUGAAUAUAGAUUUGGUGCAACCUACAAAGACCCACAUAAUAUAUUAAGUGGCUUAGUAGAGUUAGGCACAUUCCAACCAAAAAAAAAAAGAAAAAAAAAGGACGUACAUGUCAUGUGGGUGUGGCCUGUCCUUAUGUGUAUGUUAUCUUUUAAGAAUUACACUUUGUUCUUUUGAUUAUAACAAAUUGUAUGAAGCACUUAUUCCACGACAGAUGAUAUAAGUCGAAUCAUUUUGGCACUUUUAACAGCUGGCAAUCAUUCGUUUUCCAUAUUUUCAAGUCACUUGAUGUGCGUGCAAUAUUUCUGGAUAGUUUAUAAUUCCACUUUGCGGUCUUGAUUGAGGCGAUUGAUCUUUUUUUUUUCUUUAAUAUUUGGCAAGUGACGACUUGUGCUACUAAGGAAGAAGAUUCCGCAUUUCACGGUUAACGUAGCAGUGGAACCAUACCUUAAAUUUUAAAAUGCAAUGAAAUCCUGCAAACAGUCUACCUGCAGUAGUACUCCGAUUGUUUAUAAUUCCACGUUGUGGUCUUGAUCAAGGCGAUUGGUCUUUUUCUACUUUAAUUUUUGGCCUACAAUUAUCCGCAAUUCAUGGUAAACGGAAUUACAUAAGAGCCAUAUCAUUGGGCACCACACUUUUAUUCACAUUAGGAGUGAAACCAUAGUUUGUCAACUAUUUGUAAGUCCUGGGGCCAUUCACUACUCUUGCAAUUGCCAAAAGUCUCAGGCCAAUUGUAGAACUUAAAUCUUUUCCAACUACUCCGCACCAUGCCACCAAGUCGUCGAAUCAAUGUUCUUUACAACUCAGUUUCUAUAUGAUCGACUUUCGGUUGAAAUAGUCUCGUAAGCAUGAUCAUUUCUCCAAUUCAAUGAAGUAAAAUAAUCUUCACUCCCAUCAUUGCUCGUAUCUUUUCCAACUACUUCACAUAAUGCCACCAAGUCGUCGAGUCGGUGUUUCUUUAUAAUCCAGUAUCUCUAUGAUUGAUUUUUGACUAAAAGAGCCUCGUAAGCAUGACCAUGUCUCCAACUUAAUGAAGUAAAAUAAUCUCCAUGCAGAUCAUUGCUCCAGUCUUUUCCAACUACUUUGUAUACCACCAAAUCAUCAAAUCGGUGUUUCUUUACAAUUUCGUAUCUUUGGUUACAUUUCGGAUCUCCAUAGUCAAUAUCUAUCACCUCCCCCUUCCAAGUAAUUUGGAUCUUUAAUAAGAUUUUAGAUUGUUGAAUCGCUUGUACUAAAUCUCGAGCGUUAUCAAAUUGAACAUUAUCAACAGUUGUUAUUCAAUCUAUAAAUCAAUAAUACAGCCAUUUUAUGUUUUAGAAAUGUUUUGAUCUAUAUACUAUUUUAUAUUGACUGUGGACUAAAAAAAGCCUACAAAUGUAUUAAAAUUAAUUUGUUGUUCAAAUAUUAAAUUUAAUGUGAGUAAUGCUUUUCUAGUAAAAUUAUAAACUCAGUCUGAAAUUUAGAUCAAUUCUAAAUAUGUUGACCUAAUGUUAUGUGGGGGGGGGGGGGGGGGGCGCAAACAUUUCAGAAGUCCUGAAAAAUAAAUUGGGCUAUUAUGGACACUUAAUUGAGAUGGUGGUCCAACUGUAAUCUUAAGGUAUUCUCAUACAACUCCUUUUGCUUUUCAUUUAGGUUUUUGGCCCGCUCGGAUUUUAGAGAAAAAUAAGCACGGCGACUCUUUACUUUCUAAUAAGAGCCUCGAAAUCGGGUAAACUAAGACGCCAAAAGGAAUCUUUCAUUUAAUUACAAUCAUUACGGUUUUCGAAGAAGAAUUUAAUAAACAAAAACCCUUAAAAGGCACAAAGAUACAUAGAUCGAAGCAGGAUUGGCAAACAACAUAAAAUUUAAGCAAAGUUAACGAUAAAGAGAAUCACGUGAAAGGUCAUAUCAUUGGAUACCACACACACUCACAUGGCUAUGUUAUAUAUAUACAUACAUAUAUAGAUAUAUAUAUAUAUAUAUAUAUAUAUAUAUAUAUAUACUACUUUAAAUAUGAGGUUUAAUCUAUUUUGCCAUUGCUCGUACUUCAACUUAAUUAUUCACAUUUUUAUUGAAGGUGUUUAAUAAAUUUGAAACCCCAAUCGUCACCUCGUCUCGAUUCCCACAAGUACCCAUAUGCACAAAUCGAUGCAUAUAUUAAUAUUGUGAGAAGGAUUAAAGAUGCCACUUAUUACAUGCGCAUGGGGGUGUGGGCAGUCCUUGUCCGUUUGUUCUCUUUAUUAACUACAUUUUGUUAUAUCGAUAAUGGCAAACUAUAAAAAGUACUUAUUAAACUGGCGAUAACCCUAGUCGAAUCAUUUUCUUACUUUAAAUUUUUUAUAUUUUUUCUAAGCCACUUGAUGGAACUGCAAUGCAAAAAAAUAUAUUGAAGUUCGCAAUUUUUUGUCUUGAUUGAGGAGACGAAAGAGCAGUCAUUUUUUAUAUUUAUUUUUGGGCAAUGACAAACUUGAACAGUGUGCUGGCAAAUUUUCAGCUUCCCAAAAAUGAUGCUUAGUUAACUUAACUACAGUUAUGUUACAGAUCUCCGUAAUCGACACCCAUAUCCUUCUUCUUUCGAGUGGUUUGGAUUUUUGUUAAAAUUAUGAAUUGUUGGAUCUCUAGUACUAAAUCUUGGCCGUCAAUAGGUAGAAUAUUAUCAACAACUGCUAUUCAAUAUACAAAUCUAUAACACAAGCCCCCACAUACAUAUAUCGAUGAAAAUAUUAAUAUAAUGAAGGGAUUAAAGAUGCUACUUACAACGUGCGUGUGUGGGUGUGGCCUGUCCUUGACCAUUUGCGCUAUUAAUUAAGUUUUGUUAUAUAGACAGUGACAGACUAUAAAAUGUCCUUAUUAAAUAAUGGAUGAUCCAAGUCGAAUCAUUUUCUUACUUGAACAGCUCGUAGUCAAUUUCUUUAACCCACUUGAUGGAGCGGCAACUCAAUUUUUAUAGUGAGAAGAAAUCAAUUCAAGUCCUCAAUGGAUUGAGGAGGACUAAGAGCAGUCAAUUAUUUUUUAAUAAAUAUCACUAAAAUCUUCAAAUUGAUACUUCUAUGAUAAUUUAUCCCUAAACUAAUUUUUUUUACCACCAAAAUCUAAAACUAAUAUAUUUGUAAUAAAUUUAAUUCCAAAUUAAACUUUAAAUUAAAACAUUUGUGACAAUUUUGUCAUCCGUUAGUUUCUAUUAAAUGGGAUUAAUAUCGCGAAAAGACACAAACCAAUACACUUGUAACAAAUGAAUCAUAGAAUUCCAAAUUAGUAUAUCCGUCAACUACUAUAUGUUAUCCAACAUAGUGAUUUAACGGUAAAAUUUAAUGAAAACUAAUAUAUAGUAAAUUUAUUACAUACGUACAAGUGAUAGAUUUUUUAUAGUCCAAAAAUUAAUUUAGAAUAAAUUUAUCAUAGAUAUACUAAUUUGAAAUUUUUUAUGAUAUUAAUCUCUAUUUUUUUUUUUUUUAAUGUGCUCCUUACAGUUUCCCUAAGAUUUGACCGGUGCUUAUUAACUAAAGUGAGAUUACCGAGUUGCAUGGUCCUUGCCGAUCUUCCCUUUCUUUCUCGCGGUUUGAGUCCUUGUCGAGGUUUCGAAUCCUUGAAUCUAUAGCAAAUAUUAUUGUAGCCGCUUCAUUUGAAUAAAUCUGGAAUGAGACCCCUUAGUAGAGGCUUGGUGUUCAGAAAACACAUCAUAAUACUAUCCCCCAUUAAUAUUCACUGCAUAGGAAGAGUGUAAAAAAGACUUCCAAGUCACCGCCGAUACAAGUAGCGUCUCACACCUAGGGCCCCGUUCUACUUCAUAUCAAUGUGUCCAUCAUCACUUGUCAUUACUAGACUUUGGCUCUAUAAAAAUAUGAUUCAACAAGCGCCUCCCCCCCCCCCACCCUUCCUCCUCCCCCCAAGAAAAAAAAAAGACCCAAAGCUGACUUAAUGGAAAAAAGCGAUGGUAAUGCUCCGGUCUAAAGACUCAUCACAUAUCUCUCUACCGCCCUCGAUUGAAAAAAUAGCAAACAUUAUUGUAGCCCCUUCAUUUGAAUAAAUCUGAAAUGAGACCCCUUAGUAGAGGUUUGAUGUUCAGAAAACAUAUAAUACUAUCCCCCAUUAAUAUUCAAUUGGUUUGACCACAAAAAUUGCCCCAUGCCCCAAGAUAUGUUUUUGUCCUAAUAUAUUUUUAUUCAUCUCUUUUGAUUAACCAUUAUUCGAUUUGGGCAAUUGAAUUUUAUUGAUUUUACACUGAUGAAAAGGAAAUAUUCUCAAAAUAACACAUUACUGCUUAUCAAUGAUUUUUUAACAUGGAUAUUUUACUAUGAAAUCCGUUCACAUAUGAUAGUUAACAUUUACUCGAUACAAGAUAAAGGGUAACGUGCAAUCUCAUGAAUAGGUUAAAAAAUGAACAGUACAUAUUAGUUUUAACAUUUUUCAAUAGUAAGAAAUCUUACGUUAUUGUUAAGUCACUUGAGGAUAGAAGCCCUUUUGAAAAAAAAAUAAAAAAUCUUGAGGAGGUAGUGACCAAUUAUAAAGGGGCCUUGCUUUUUCUGGAUGCCAUGAGAAAAUUGAAUUUUAUACGUGAUACUUUGUUGGGGUUGUUCCAAAUCUAUCCCUAGAAAAUUGAAUUUUGUAAGCGAAUAAAAAGCACAAAAUGCUAAAAUACCCAUUCUGUUGUAGUUGUCUUCCUACAUUCCAUAUUUUUAGAUUGUCAUUACCUUUCUUGUCUUCUUUAUUUUUCUAUUAAUACCUACAUAAUCUCUCUGUGUGGAAUGAGCUCUGAAUUGAACCAUGCUUAUGAAUCUGUUUGUUGGGUGUAGAUUUUUUUUUUUUUUGACAAGUUAUACUUGUUGAAACAAAAUUAUAGACUCACUUCACCCAUGCAAUUAAUGUGAGGAUCUAUAUCUAUAGAAUGACAUGAGAACAGUCUUUCACUUAAGAGCUGCCUUUAAGGUUAAUACAUAGCACUCUAGAUAACUAGAAAGGAUUUUUCCUUCUUCCAAGAAUUGGAUUUGCUACAUUCUCCAUUAAAAAAAAUGUAGCCCCCUGGUCUCCACCUAAGCUAAUCUUAUGCAAAACCGACUAGAAAAAGUCCACUAUCUAAACCACAAAUUGUCCGCAAUGUGAGAGUCCAAUGCCACUCACUACUCUUGAAAGUGCGGGCAAACUUGUAUAUUAAACAAAAUAGUUGGCUGUAAUUGUAGAUGAAUUUCUAUAAAACUAGCAAGAUUCGCACAGGGGCUGAGGUAAUUUUUUAUAUUAUUUUAAAUGUUAUUUUUAAUCUAUUUCGCUUUUGUUCCCACUUCAAGUUAGUUAUUUUUCAUGAAUUUUUAAUUUUAAGUUUGUUGUAUCGUGAUUAUUAUUUGUCAAUAUAUUUUAACUUAUGUUAAUAUUUUUAACAAACAACAUAGACAUUCAUGCCAAAAUAGAGAAAUAUUUGACGGCCAAUACUUUAACAUCCCUACGAGGGAAAAUGGUAUAAAAUUAGAAAGAGUAUGAGAUAUUGUUUAGAAGUUAAAAAAAAGUUUGGAUAAAAUAUAAUGUAGAUAACACUUAAAACUUGAUGUUGCCAUAAAAAUAUGCUUUGGAAUAUUAAUCUACACUAUAAAUUAAAUGAACGACCACUUCAACAUCACAGUUUUACAAAUAAUUCCAUGAAAACAUCCAUGCAUAUACUAAAAAAAGAAGUUCGGAAGUAUCCAGUGAAUCUCCUACGUUUUAAAUUAUGAUGAUAUUGAUAUGCAUCUCCUAUCUUCCGCUGACGAUUGCUUCCUUGCACCGAAAGGUGAAAUUGUCAAGACUAAAACAACAAGAUUUCUCUGGUUGACAAAUAGCUGUUGGGAUGAUUGGUGUGCGCACACAUUUGGUGGAGCUAAUUAUGCACCCAUUUUACACGUGAUACUUUGUUAGGGUCAUUCCAAAUUUGUCUCUACGUAAUAUUUCCUUAAGAGAAUCCAAGGACAAAAUGCUGGAAUAGCCAACCUCUUAUAUUUCCCCUUAUUUCACAUUUUUAGCUUGCCAUCACCUAUCUUUUUGUCUCCUUAAUUUUUCCGUUUUCACAUGUAGUAUCUCUCUGUUGGAAAGGGCUUUGAAUUUGAUUAUGCUUGUCAUUGUGUAUGUUGGAUGUAAAUUUUCAUUUUUGAGAAAUUAUACUUUUGAUACAAAAUUAUUCACUAAUUCACGUACAAAAAUCAACAUGAGAGUCAAUAUCUAUAUAAUUAUGCAAUAACAGUCUCUUCUCUAUGCCCUGCCUCUAAGGUUGACACAUAGCAUUCUAAAAUAGCUAGAAAAGACUUCUCCUUAUUUUAAGAACUGGAUCCGCCACGUUCUCCAUUAAAACAAUGUGCCCACUUGGACUCCACCUAGGCUAAUAUUUUGCUCUACUGACUAGAUAGAUUAUUCAUAUAUCAUGAUGUACUUAUAGGCACUAAUCCCUUAUUAGCUACGUGAGUUCUACUCAAUCUAAUUACAAGGACAAUGUCUCUCAUGACUUUAAAUUGUUUCUAUCUAGUCAAAAUGUUUUCAAACGGUCAUAAUUCAUAUAUGGGAUUAGGGGUACAUUGACAUUUCCAACACAACAAUUUUUUAUGGGCAAGUUUGUCAUGUGAAACUAAUAAAGAGAAUUUCAGCCAGUUUAAUAUUCAAAACAGAUCAGAGACCAAUAUUAUGCCUAUCUAUCAUAUGAUACUAUUAAUUUUUAACGUUAUACUUACUUAGCGUCUCUAUCUUGCACUUAUUGAUAUUACUAUAUGAUAAUUUUAUGUUAACCUUGUCAUUUUCUUAAGAAAGGUUCAGAAUAGAAAAUACAAUACUCUUUACUAUAAAAAUUAUGCUUACAUAGCCCAGAGUUGGCACAAUUAGUUGGGUCAUUAGGGAUUUCCAACUUAGGAACUAGAGAUCGCCGGUUCGAAUCCCACAAACUACAUGCAAACUGUUUUGGGUUAUAGUCACCUACAUAGACCAAAGAUCUGAGUUUAAUUGGUUCCUGGAAUUGGCAUGAUAUUUCAUGAGCUUCUAGGUAAAUGGCUCUCCACACUCCUACCCCUAUAUCGCACAAGCGCGCAUACACACACACUCACUUUAGGAGAAUGCUAACUUUACAUGGUAUUACACUUUAGGAGAAUGCUAAUUUUACAUGGGAUUUUUUAUAUGCACUUAUUCCUCAUAAAUUAGGUAGUCAUUAUACAUAAGAUCUUUGUCAACUUAAUUGCAAAGAGAACAUUCCCAUGACUUUGAGGAAUAUUACCAAUCGAUCUUAAACAUAUUGUACGAAUACCAAUUUAGUUCUAAACUUUUUGAUUUUGCCAAUUUAGUGAUAAACCUUUGUGCAAAAUUCCAAUAUAGUCUUUUUGGCCAAUUUCCGAUGUUGAAAUGGUCAUGUGUUGCUUAGAAUGGUCAGCAAUGACUGGACUGUGACAUCAAUAAUUUCAAGCAAAAAUUCAUCAAAAGGGUUAUAUUGAAAUUUUCCGUAAAGGUGUAAAACUAAAUUGACAAAAAAUUGAAAUGAUUAAAACUAAAUUAGCAUAUGUAUAAUAGAUUUUAGGAUUGAUUAGAUAAUUUUCCCCAUGACUUUAAUUAGUCAUAAUAUUUUCUUUGUUAUAAAUUAGUCAUAACAUUUUUAAAUAGUCAAUACAAAUAUAAGGUUUAUGACGUAAUUUGAUAUUCUAAUCUAACAAUUAUGGUUGAGUUUGAGAAAAGGAGCGAGGAAGUUAAGGUCUUGUUUGGCAAAAAGUGUUUCUGUUCCCCGGAACACAAAUUUUUGUUCUUUUGUUCUGGGGAACAAAAAAAGAACAUAAACGUGUUUUGUAAAACUUUUGUUUUCCCAGAAAUAGAUUUGGAAAAAAAAAAAACAAGAAGUAGAAAAAAAGUAGUUUCUUAUUCUUGGGAACAAUUCCGAAAGACAAUUUUUCUCUCUCUUCUUUUUUCUUCUCUUUUUUAUUUUUAUUUUUUCUUUCCUUCUUCUUUCUUUUGGCCGGUCAUCGGCCUUGGCCAUGGUCGAUGAUCAGCCAAUGAGGACCAGCAACCUCACCGGAGCGUCCCCGACCCCCAGCGAUUCCUCACCUUGCCUUGGCUGGGCGAGCUUGAGCUCGCCUAGAUUUGGCGAGGCCAAGCUCGCUCAACCACCGACGAGGCUCGACUUCGCCAGAUUUGGGCAAGUGCAAGUUCGCCUAGCCAAGGCGAGGCCGACCUCUUGUCGCCUGGGCGAGGUCGAGCCUCGCUAGUGACCUGGGGAGGCUUCGACGAGCUCCCCGGCCGUCGCGGUGGCUUGGCGAGGCUCCAGCGAGCUCGCCGAACCUCGCCCAGCUAAUCGCCAGCCACCGCUGUGGCUGACAAUCAGCCACAAAGGAGAAAGAAGGAAAAAAAAAGGAAAAAAAUAAUAAAAAUAUUAAAAAAUUAAAAGAAACAAUAAAAUUAUACAAGUUUACGAAAUGCAUUUAUAUUAUUGGAACAUGAAUUUUUUGCAGUUACCAAGUAUGUUCUUAUAUUCAGAAAUUAUUCCCUGAAAAAAAAUUAUUUAUGUUUAAAAAUUAUUUCUUAAAAUAGAAUAGUUACCAAACGCGCCCUAAGCAACCACUUGGUGUUCCGGUUGAGCAAGCCAGUGAAGAAGACGCGUGAGUUUACUUUUUGCUUUUGUCCGAGUAUACGAGUAGUUAAAGAAAACCAAUGUCGGAAUGCACUCAUUCGAGGAGCUAUGCGUAAUGACUCAGCAAGUUGCAUAUGAAGGAAACGCCUUCAUAGUUAGUGGAAUAUGCCCUUUCAACGAGAUUCACAUGGCACUCGGCAUAACAUUUUGUUGUUGUCCCAUAUGAUUGUGUCAUGAAAUAUGAAUACGCAAGAGUGAUUUUAAAAAAAUUCCGCGAGUUCCAUGGUCACUUUGGUCGACAUCUAGUUCUAUUUGCUUACACUUAUAUAUAAAAAAAAAAAAAAAAAAAAAAAAAAUUCUGCAUUUUGCUCUCCCUCGAGAAAAUUAAAAAUGGGAAAAAAAUAGGUUUCAUAAAUUAUGAAAAACCAUAUAAUAACUCUACUUGUCAAUAAAUGUGUGUUCUUGAAAAUUCUAAAAAUCAAUAUUUGAUAAUUGCAAUUUUUGAAAAAUAAAUGCGAAAGGAAAAGCUCUGGACAGAACCAAGCAUUUGGGAAAGAAAAGAAAAAGAAAAAGAGGGUUUUGUCCUGUGGGAGGGGGAGGGGGGAGACUUUAAUAUGAAUGAGAGCCCACCGAGCAAUGGCAAUGAUUUUGCGUGUUAACUUUAUCAUGUAAAGAGUACCAGUGGUCGCUAUGAUUUUGCAUAUUAAUAUUAUCAUCUAAAGGGUAGUAGUGUUCGAGAUAGUAAACUAGUUGAAAAAUGUUAAGAGAAUAGCAAAAAUUUAAUUUCCUAAGAAGUUCUAAUCUAACAAUUACAACUGUAGUUAAAUCUAACCUAGCAAUCAUAAUUGGCUUUAUAAUCUAACAAUCAACCUAUUUAUCAUGUUAAUUCUAAAUUAUUAAUGUGACUUCAUGGACCAGCACAAUGAGCGGGGGGUAGGACUAUACCUAACCUUAUGUUUUGUCCAUCAGGCGUGGAGGAAAAACUACAUGCCUAAAUUAUGUUUCUCUAAAGCGGUGAAUGAAAGAUGAUAUCUAUCAUGUCAUUGGCAUGGAGGAAAGGAAGGUGAUUUCGCCAUUGGCAUUGGUGACCCUGCUCCCCGUAUUAAUAGAUUAUUUAUUAGACUACCAUCCAUUUUCUUGAUUGCCGCGACUGACAGCAAUCUUUUUUAAUUUUUUUUAACUCUUGGCCAGUGGAGUCUCUAAGGACUUGGAGCCCCUUUGCUCCCAACUUUUUAGGCCCCUGCCAUGGAAAAUGUUUCAAAAAAAAUGUUUCUGGAACACUUUUUGUUACUUUUUUUUGUUCCCGGAAAACAAAAAAGGAAUAGAAACGCGUUCGGUGCGUUUCUGUUCUUUUUUGUUUUUUUUUUUCCCGGAACAAAAUUGGAGCAAAAAAAAGAAACACAAAAAAGUUGCUUCUGGAGAAAAGAAACACUUCUUCAAAGCCAAAAAGAAACGCUUAUCUUCUUCUCUCUCCUCUUUUCUUCUUCUCUCUCUUCUCUUUUCUUCUUCUUUUCUUCUUCUUUUUUUCUUCUUUUUUCUUUGGCCGGCGAUGCCGUCGAGGGUCGGCGACCUCGCCGGAGCGUCGCCGACCCCCGGCGAGGCCGAGCUCGCCCAGCCAAGGCGAGGCUCGGCCUCGCUCGAGGGGAGAUCUUCGGCUAGGGUUCCGGCGAGGGGCUCCGGAGGACGGUGCGACGGCGGCGCGGCACUAGAGGUUUCGGGAUCGACACGGGGCGACACGGGCAAAGACUGGCGGACGGCGUCGCGAAUGGCGUGGUGAGAUCGGGACGGUGUCGAGUUGCAGGCUUCGGGGCGCAGGUGCUAAGCUCCGACGGCAGGGCGGCGAGGCUCGGCCUCGCCCGCGCCGGCGACGCCGAGCCUUGCCUUGGCUGGGCGAGCUCGGGCUCGCCCAAAUCCGGCGAUGCCGAGCCUCACCAUGGCUGGGCGAGCUCGAGCUCGCCCAGAUUCGGCGAGGCCGAGCCUCGCCGGGGGCCGAGCCAUGCCCAACCACGGCGAGGCUCGGCCUUGUCGGGGGCCGGUCGCCGGCCUCCGGCGACUGGCCAAAAGAAGAAAGAAAUAAAAAAGAAAGAAAAAAAUGGAAAAUAAAAUAAAAAUAUUAAAAAAUUAAAAGAAACAAUAAAAGAAUAAAAUUUACCAAACAUGUUUCUAUUCAUUUUUUAUUCCCGGAACAAACGUUACCAAACGCGUUCUUUUGUUCAAAAACCGUUCCUCGGAACAGAAACACUUUUUUUUAUUUCUGUUCCCGGGAACAGAAAAUGAACAAAAACGUUUCCAUGCAGGGCCUUAGUUUCCGAAGGAAUUGAGUGGGGUUUAGUUAAAGUCUUAACUGAGGUUAGAUUUCCGAGCUCCAUAGUCCAUACUCAUCCCAUCUUUCUUCUCGUGAUUUGGGCCUUUGUUAAGAUCUUAAAUCAUUGGAACAAUAGUAGUACAUCUCAAUCGUUUUUUUUUUUUUUUGACCUAGGAAAUUUCGUAUGGCUAGCAACUGGAAGUAAACCACUGAGGGCGAAACGUGCUAGUCACCACACACGUGCUACCAGGUAAGUCGUCAAAAGUCUCAAAACUAGCUUUCCUGCAAGGCGUAGGAGCUUUGAACACUAGAUCUCUUCGAUGGAAGUCUAGCGCCUACCCAGCUGAGCCACCAUGGCGGGUGGUUUAUCUCAAUCGCUCUUGAUCAAAUAUUCCAGCAAAAAGUUACCAUGUCUCUUUCUCCAUUGAUUCUCUUUGACGCUCCCCUUCCUUCAUCUUUUCUCGCACUCAUGUCUCUUUGCCUUUUCGUCUUUCAUCAUUCUUGCUCUGUUCCACUUUUUCUUCUCCUUGCUACAGCCCUACUUCAUCCUCUUUUUCUUAAGUACGUACGGCCCUUUUUCAUCGUCCUCUCUCUCCCUCUCUAUGUCCCUCUGCCUUUCCUUUCGAGGGGUUUUUAUCCGAACGUUUUCUCGCUCUUUCUUUUUCGGAAUACAAAUCAAAGAAAAUGUCAGAUCGAUGUUGCUUUUGAGAAAAAUAGAAAAUUAUUAAAUUCAUAUUGAUAUGUAAUUGUUGAUACAAGUGUUAUGAAUACGUAGCAAAAGUUCAAUCCGAGAGGUUAUCAAGAGAAAGCUUGAGCCCAUUAACAUAUUAAGUUAACUCAUCUUUAUUAAAAACAUGAGCUAAAAAGUUAUUGAUCAAUUAUAAUAUAUUAGCUGCUUAAUACUAUAUUAAUUCUCUAUUGUGAAACUUUUCUAACCCAACUCACACACAUCUUAACAUUCACCUCUCGCGUGUUGGCUUAGUAUUAUGUCUGCUUCCCCUUGAUUCAAGUAUCGUUCUCCAUUAACAUGACUCAAUUAGAAUCUUCGCUUUGGUGCGUCUCCUAACUAAAAUAACAACAAUGCCCAUCUUCAUCCCUAGUCUCUUUCUUCAAAUUGAAUCAUGAAGGUUACCAUCAGAACCACAUUGUUACACAAUAAUGCCCACCUCCAUUCCAAGUCUCUUGUGCUAGAAUGAACUAUGAAGGCUGCCCAAAAAUUGCGUUGAUCACGAGAUUCCUUUCCUAAGAUAUUCUCCAAACAUCGGUAUACAUUCAAAUUGGCCAUUACCUAUCAAUCAUCGGCCCUGAAUCAUCGGCCCUGGCAUCAUUUCUUAGGAGUGUCUAGCAAAAAUUUGAUACCUUUAACCAAAGAGAUCACCAAAGAAAAGCACAUGUCCGAGCUGGCCAAUAUGUUUUAUUGAAGCCAAAUUCACUCAAAAACUAGGAUAUAUUAAUUGCUCCAUACCAUACUAAUUCUUCGGUAUAAGACUUUCUAACAUAACUUACAUAUAUCUCAAUAAGAAGUAUCUAAGUAAUGGUUAAAAGAGUGAGAACGGAGAGAUAUUGGGAAAAGUGCCAAAAAAGUCCUAAACCUUUUGCUUUUGUGCCAAUUUAGUCAUAAACCUUUUUUUGGUGCCGAUUCAGUCAUAAACCUUUUUAAGUUGUGCCAAUUCAGUCAUUUCUGGCCAAUUUUGCUGACUGGACGCUGGCCGGCUGACGUGGCAUGAUUGGUGCUGAUGUGGACAACUUUUAAUAAUAUUUUUUUUUUAAUUUUUUAAAUAUUUUUUAAAUACUUUUAAUAUUUUUUUAUUUUUUUAUUUUUCCUCCAGCCGGUCGCCGAGGUUCGCCGACCGGCCAGAAGCGACCGCCGGCGAGAGCGAGGCCGACCUCGCCGGCGAUCACCUCUGGCCGGUCGCCGGGGGUCCAGCGACCGGCUAGAGGAAAAAGACAAAAAUAAAAAUAAAAUAAAAUAAUAAAAAUAUAUUAAAAUAUUAUUAAAAAUUGUCCACGUCAGCCGCUCGGCGUCCAGUCAGCAAAAUCCGGUCAAAAUUGCCAGAAAUGACUGAAUUGACACAACUUAAAAAUGUUUAGGACUGAAUUGGCACAAAGACAAAAAGUUUAUGACUUUUUUGGCACUUUUCCCGAGAGAUAUUAGAUGAAUUCCAACCACAUUAUCAUAUGGCAAUUUUUGAUAAUGUUCCACACGGAGUAUGAAUGUGUCUACCUUAAAUAAUUCACUUCUGUAGUGGUUCCAUCAAUUUGUCAUUUGACUCCUUUUUUGAGUGGAAGUCAUGAUGGGGUUUUUUGGGAUUUGACAAACUUUAACAGUAACUGCUUUUAGCCUCUAGCGCAUGAUCAAUGUCGAUACUGAUAUGCAACUCCAAUUUUCCAACGAGAAUAUUUUCAUCAAGUGACUAGUGUGGGAUGUUAACAAAGAAGAGUUCCGCUAUUCCCUUCCAAUAGCGACGGCGCAAAUGGGACCACGAGUUAUAUUAUGCUUGUAAUGCGCAACCGGAUUACAACUUUAAAAUGGGAAAUCUUUACUAAUAUCCUUAAAAUAACUUUUAUCCCUUUCUGAAUGAAAUGUCAGUCAAAAUGCCCUCCCUCCAAAUUGAGCACCAAGUAAAGUCAUCAAUCAUUUCUUUUCGUUACUCUUGAAAGCAUAAAACAUUCAAUAUAUAUACUAGCGUGCAACUAACGUAUAACCGCACACAAUCUCGUCAUAAUUAUAAAUAUACAUACGUAUGUAUGUAUGCAAGCACACAUGAAUAUGUCUAAAAGUAUAUGUAUUUUAAUUACCUCUUAUUUAGUUAGAUAUACAUCUUGAUCACAAAAAACUUUUUUUUUCAAAGAAUUGGCAACCGGAUGAGUUUUGAAAUGACUUGCACUUGCACUUCUGCGUUCUCUUUCAAAUGUUUUUUUUUUUUAAAACUUUAUUAACAAAGAAAAAGCUUCACCACGUAUUGUUGCAACUGUUUCUUCCUACUUCCUCAUUAAUUGAAGAAUUAUUGUGUACAGCGGACUUAAAUAACAACGGCUCUAUACUUGGUUACCGCGAAAUACUAUACAGCCUAUUAACAUAUCGUAAAAUAAAAAAAUCACCUUUAACCUCUUUCAGUUAAUUAAUACAGUAAAAAUAAAAUGGGGGAUAUCCAAUCAUUGCAAAAUAACGUAAUAUAAGGUGUUGACUUGCAUAUUGAUUUUUUCUUUUUUGAGAAACCCCUUUUCAGAUAGGUGAAGUUCAUAUUAAAGGUAAAGUGAUUGAUGAAAAUAAUGCCAAUACCAAAACGAGACCAAAAAUAUGAUAGAGAAGAAAGACUUUUAACACCAAAAGAAAUGGAAGUUGGGUUGUAUCGAAUAAGUAUGUAGCUUUUUUCUUUUUUUCACUAAGCAGAGAGGAGAAUCAAAAUACCUAUCAUGGGCAGGGGUGUGGAGUUUAACUCUUAGGAGGAGGCUUAUGAAUUUUAUAACAAUUAUGAGAAAGAAGUAAGAUUUUGUAGUAGAGUUUCAAAAUUGUAGAAAAGGAAGAGUAGAGAGGCAAAGUGAAGCACAGUUUUUUGGGGCUAGCUCCAAAAAAAUAAAGCAUCAACUUUAGUUUGAGGGACAAAUCUGACCGAAACUUCUUUUUUGUCUUGUAAAAAAGCACAAAUUUUAGGUUAAGGGACAAAUCCGGCCUAAACUAUUUUUUUGUCUCGUAAAAAAAUGUCAAUUUUAGGUCAAGUGACAAUUCUAGCCCAAUUUUUUUUUUCUCGUAAAAAAUUACAAACUUUCACCAUUAUUCAACUUUCUAUUUGAAGUUAAUCUUGUUUCAAGAAAAAAGUUUCUAGCCGUGAGCUUGGCAAAUCUUGUUCAUGGGGUCUCUCGAUGGGCGGUGGUCCAUAGCUUCAUUUUAAGACAAAUUGAAUUAUUCAAUUUACCAUUAUUCUCCAACUUGUGGCUCAAACAAGAAGAUCAUGAAUAGUGUUUUAAAUCUGGCCAGCAAGUGCACAUGGAUUUAUCGCUAAAAACAAUCAAUGGAUCUAAAUUAAAGGGGGCUAAAUUUAGGAUUUAAGUGAAAAUUGGUGAUUUUUUUUAGACAAAAAAACUUAGGAUCAUAAUUGUAGCUCAUCCCAAAGUCAGUGUUUUUUUAUGUGACAAAAAAAAAGUUUGAGCCAAAUUUGUCACUCGACUUAAAAUUAGUGUUUUUUUAUGAGACAAAAAAUAGUUUUGGUUAGAUUUGUCCCUUAACCUAAAAUUUGUGCUUAUUUUUGGAAUUAGCCGCAGUUUUUUGCUGCAUUUGUCAAAGGCUCAAGAAAAAAAAUGGUUCAGUUAAGUCGAUUCAUUUGAAAAGGUUAGAAUUCAAUAUUUUUUUUAAUCACUCAAGCACAAAGAAUGAGAAGCCCCAAAAAUGUACAAAAAUAUCUUUAUUAGUCUAAAAACAACCGUUCUGGUGUUUUUCUUUUCUAUUUUAGCAAUAUAAGUCAUAUUUAUAAUAAAAUUAAUAAUAUCUUUUUAGUGAUAAUUUUCGUACUUGUGAUUCUUAUAUUGUAGCAUUCAAUUUCCUUCAAGUCAUUUUUCCCUUGCUUUCGUAAGGAUGGAAAUUCAAGAAAUUAAUUGGUGUUUAGUUGAGGCCUUAAUCAAGGUUAGGUUAUAGACAAGAAAAUCGAACAUGCACUCUAUUUUUAGCUAAAUUUCCAUAUUGGUUAUGUCCAUAGUUUUAACCCACCAAUCAAAGAAUUGGUAAGGAUGGAAAUAAAUAAACUCUGACUUAAUAUAAACUCGCAUACAUUAAGGAAGCCAUUGCUCUCAAUUAACAAAGAAAUCCAAUGAGAUGUAAAUACUAAAUCAUUCCAAAGCAUGAGAAGAAAAUGUAACCUUAUCACUGCUGCGUCAAAUAAAUUUGUCCUUGUCUCUUUCACUUUUCCCAACCUAUAACAGUUGAAACGAGUAAUCUAAUAUCCGCCAACCUUUGUAUCACUUAUAUUAUGUUUGUGUAUAUGGGGCAGCACACUAUCAUUAAGAUAUAGGAAAUGUGUGAUUAGCUCUAUUUAAAAUCAAUUAAAUGGGAUUCCUAUCCACGUCAAUAGUAUGCGAAUCAAUCACCAAAAGAAGCAAAUCCAGACCAUGUAACUAGAGACAAUUUUUUUUUAAGAACCUCUGCGGAAUGCAAAAUACACUUGUACUUUACAAGAAAAAAAUUUUAUGCUUACUUAACAUCACCAUCUUGCAAUUAUCAAACAUCAAUAAUAUUAUAAUUUUAUGUUAACACAGUCAUUUUCAAAAUGAUAUAGAAUGCAAAAUACACUCAUUCUUUAGAAUAAAAAAAAAAAAAAAACAUGCUUACUAAAUCCUAGGAGUAACAUAGCUGAUUGGGAUGCUAGGGGAUUUCCAACUCACGAACAAGAGGUUGCUUGUUAGGAUCCCACAAACUGCUUUAGGUUGGAGCCAACUACACAGGCCAAAGCCCUGAGCUUAACCAAUUCAUAAAGCCUACAGGAUAUUUCAUAGAAUUAUGGGUAGAGAGGUCUCCAUACCCAUGCCCCCAUAUCAUAAGUAAAAUUAUAUGCUUACAUUAAUAGUAUCCCAAAUUUAUAUGGUACUCUUUUUAUAUGCACUUAUUUCUCAUAAACUAGGUAGUUAUUAUGCAAAAGGUCCUGAUCAUAUUAAUUACAAAUAGAACUUCCCUCAUGACUUUAAUUAGUCAUAACAUUUUUUUUUUGUUAAAAAAUUAGUCAUAAUAGUUAUAAAUAUAUGGACUUAGGCCUAAUUUGAAAUUCUAAUCUACCAAUUAUGUUGGUAAAAAUGGAAACAACUUCAAUUUUUUUUUCUUUAAAACAGAGUUCUUUUUCCCUUAAACGGAUGAUUCAAGGGGCUUUCUGUCAACAAAUAUGUGAAAAUUUUGAAUACUACAUAAAGACUCAAGAAUUAUUUUCAUCCAAUGGGCAAUAUCAAUUAGAUAUGAGGGUCUAAAUUAGCCCAAGUCUAUUUUGUCAAUAAGUAGAAAACUUGCAAAAAAUUGCAAUUCAACUUACAAGUGAAUAUCAAUAAUAUAAUAAUUUUACGUUAAAAUUGUCAUUUCUUAAAAAUGAUAGAUAAUACAAAAUAUACUUAAUCUUUACAAUAAAAAUUUAUGCCUACUUAACCCCAGGAUUGGUUCAACUAGUUGGGACAUUAUGGGAUUUUCAGCUCAAGAACUGAAGAUCCAUUGGAACCUCACAAAUUGCGAGCAAACUACUCUAAGUUACAGUCUCUUACAUAGGUCAAAACCCUAAGCUUAAUUGAUUCAAGGACUAUAGGAUAUUUUCUAGGCUUCUAAAUAGAUAGGUUUCUGCACCUAUGCACUUAGAUUAUUAAAAAGAAAAUGCUUACUUUGGGAGGAUGCUAAUUUUAUAUGAGAAAUUUUUCAUGUGCACUUAUUCCUCAUAAACUAGGUAGUUUUUAUGAGAAAAGGUCGUUAUCAACUUAAUUACAAAGAAUAUGUCCCUCAUCAUUUUAAAUAGUUAUAACCCUUUUUUUUUGUUAGAAAUUAGUCAUGGUUGGCAAAACAAUUAAACAACUUAAAUUUUUUCCCUAUGAACUGAGGUUUUUUUUUUUAAUUAUAAAUUUAAGACAUGAUUUGAGGGGCUUUCUGUCAGCAAAUUUAUGAAAAUUUGAAAGAUAACACAUGAAAUUAAGACUCAUUUUCAACUAAUGUUCAACAUCAAUUAGAUAUUAUGGUCUAAGUCAGCCCGAUUCUAAUAUGUCACUAAGUAGAACAUUAUCAAAAAUUGAUCUUCAAUAUAUAAAUCAAUAACGCAGCCGGUGAAUCCAUUUUUGUGUUUAGCCGUGGAGGAAAGGAUGGUCCCUAAUGAAUGUCCAUGAGCGGUGGAGGAAAGGAUGGAGACAUAGACAUUGGUGUGGUGGCCGGUCAAUUAAUUAAAAAAAUCAUCCAUUUCUCUUUAUAUAAAUGUUUUUUUUUUAAAUAGUUCAGCCAUUUCUUUAUAUUGCUCGAUUGUUUCAUUCAUAGUUCAUUGCCUUAGUGACAAGAGGAUUAUGCAAGAGUCUUGGCAGUUGGGUAUUCCUUCCCAGUAAAAAUUAAUUCAUAAAAUGACAAAUAAAUUCUUAUUAAUUAUUGAUACGACGAGUGAUGACUCUUGCAGCUUCUCAUAUCUCUUUAAAAAUAAUCUUAUAAAUGAACCAAAUGUCUAAGGAUUAGUUGACAUCCAAUAUCAUCAAUCAUGUUAGAAACUAUCAUCGAUAAAUUGUAUUAUACAUUUGGCUGAACAAAAUCGUGUUCUAUAAUUAAAAUACUAUUUUUGUACAAUCUUUGUUGGAACAUUUAUGGUACAGCAAAUUAUAUAAAAACUGCCGAUUAGUAAGGAUUUACACAUUGAAUGAUAUAUUUCCCUCUACUUUUUUGUAUGGUUGCCAGUAUAGAAAGUAAAGUUUAUGUAAGUAUCUCAGUUGGCUAAAUUCUCAUCAUGAAAGCACAAGGUCAUCAUAAUGUUUCGUGUGUUACUUGACUUUCACUGUUAUAAUGACUAAAAUGCUUAGUAGCCUGCAACAACUAAUUUCAUAUAUGUAUAUGUGUAGGCUAACCUCUUCCUGUGGAAGGUUAUAAAAGUGAAAAAAAAUUAGGGUUAUAAAUUAUCAAAAGCCACAUGACUUUAUUUGUCAAUAAUUGUAUAUUUUUGAAUAUUUUAGAACCGAUUUGUGAUAAUUGCAAUAUUUAAAAAAAACAUUAAAUGUAAAAUACUCCAAACAGACCCAAGCAUUUGAAAGAAAGGGGGGAAACUUCAAUAGGAACAAGAGAGACGCAAAAUAAUGUUAGCGGUGACUCGGGAUCGUUCCCCGUAUUAAUUUUAUCUUGGAAAGAGUAGCACUACUCAAGAAAAUAAAUUGAUUUAAAAUGUUAAUAAAGAAUGGCAAAAGUUUAAUUUACUUAGAAGUUUUGAUCUACAAUUCCAAUUCAAGUUACGUCUAAGGUAACAAUUACAAUUGACAUUAUAAUCUAACAAUUUGCUUAAUUACAAUGUUACUUCUGCAUUUUAAAUANNNNNNNNNNNNNNNNNNNNNNNNNNNNNNNNNNNNNNNNNNNNNNNNNNNNNNNNNNNNNNNNNNNNNNNNNNNNNNNNNNNNNNNNNNNNNNNNNNNNUGUUUGUCCAUUAAUGGUGGAGCUAAAGGAUGCGGAAACUUACCCAUUGGUGAUGAUGAUUGGUCAAGUUAAGAAAUAAGAAAGCCAUUUCUAUUACCAUAUUCAACUUUUAAUUAAGAAGUAUUGAGGGACACUGAAAGGAGAUAUCACCCAUGAUAGUAGUAAUAAUUUAUUUGCUUAUUUUGCUAGACUCAAAUUGGUUGAAAAUGAGUCUGGUGCAGACCCACGUAGGCUCACGUGGAAUUGGUGAUGCUUUUUUCAUAUCAUUUCAACUGGCUUAAAAAUUUCAAGUGUCGCACCAAAAUUUUGAUAAUGGGUUACAUACUGCCACCUCUAGAUGAAACUACAUGUCACGUGAGUUUUGAUCCGUCCUCGUCCUUUUGUUCUCUUUAUUAAUUACAUUUGCUAUAGCGAAGAAUGACAAACUACAUAAAGUACCUUUUAUACAUGAGCGAUGAUUUAAAUCCAAUCAUUUUAAUAAUUGCAUUUUGAUCGAAGGUGUUAUAUUCGAUUCGGAUUCUAAUCGUCACUCCAUGUUGAUUCACAAAAGUGCCCACAUACAAAUAUUGAUGAAAAUAUUAAUAUUAUGAACAAGAUUAAGGAAUAAUAUUAGGAAAAAUCUUAAACUGAUACACAUGCGACAAUUUACUUCACAUUAAUUUUUUUAUCACAAAAAACUCCCAAACUUAUACAAUUAUGAUAAAUUUAUUCUAAACUAAUUUUUUAACAAUGAAAAAUCUCAACCUAGUACACAUGUGAUAAAUUUACUUCAAACUAAUUUUUUUACCGUCAAAAACCAUAAAUUGAUACAUUUCUGACAAAUAUACCCCCCGUUAAAUUAUAUUAAUACCAGAAAAAAUUACAAAACCGAUACACUAUAACAAAUAGAGGGCAAAAUCUCAAAUUGGUAUACAAGUUAAUUACCACAUGUCAUCUAAAUCAGCAAUCUAACUAGAAAAUUUAACAAAAACUAACAGAUAGUAAAUUUCUCAUAGAUUUAUCAGUUUAGAGUAUUUUAUAGUCAAAAAAUUAGUUUUUUUUGUAAAUUUAUUAUAAGUGUACAAAUUUAAGAUUUUUUGUAGUAAACAAAAUUAGUUUGUGAUUAAUUUAUCAUGUGUACCAGAUUAAAGAUGAUAUUUGUCAAGUGCAUGGGUUGGUGUGACCUCUCCUUAUCAAGUGGGCGCCACCUAUUUUGUUAUUUGUUGCUCUUUCUUAAUUACAUUUUGUUAUAUCAAUUUGACAGGGUAUAAAGUAUUCAUAUAAUUUUAGUCAAAUCAUUUUGUUACUUUAGAAAUUGGUAAUCAUUCGUAUUUUAUUUUUUUAAUCCACUUCGACGAGCGUGCAAUUCAAAUAAUGCAAAGAAAUCAAUUUACUCCACAACUGUGGCGCGACGGACAGCUGCCGUAAUUAAGGUACAUAUUGGUGUUUAGUUAUGGCCUCAACUAAGAUUAGAUUUUUCUAAGAUCUAAAGUCUGUUGUCCACGUGACUAGUGGAUCAUGCAUGAGUCUUGUGAGUUGGGUUUUCCUUCCCAAUGAAAAACUACUUCACAAAAUGAUAUAUGAACUCAUAUUUAUGACUCUUGUGGCUUCUCAUGUAUUUUUAAAAAUCAAUUUUAUAAAAUGAACCGUGUAUCCUAGGCUCAGUCUACAUCCAAUAUCAUCAAUCAUGUUAGAAUUAUCAUCCACAGAUUGUAUUGUUGUUUAACUCAGAAAUGGAUUCCAACCUGAGUAGUGAACUAUCUUCAACCAAAAGAUAUAUCUUUUAUUUUUAUGAAAGGGGUUUAGUGGCGAUUUUUAAACAUGAGUUGCAAUUGGCAUGAUAAUGAAGAUGAACAACGAAUUUAAAGGUAAAAGGUGAUAGUAAAUGUUGGAAAUUAACAUGACAUUUAAACUGAUAAAAGUAUAUCAAAAAAUAUUAGUAAUCAUGAUGAUCCUUGCAAUAAUUAUAUGUUGCCAUUUUAUACUCCGCCAAUCAUAACUGCUUAUUAAGACGUAACCAUACUAGAUGCAGUUGUAACUGCAUUCCCGAGAUUUUAGGACUCCUAUCUGCACAUCGAUGCUAUCCACAAGCUGUUACGACUCUUUAAGUGUCACUAGGUUAACCGUUGCUUGGUGCCCUUAUCUUUAGUCGACAUUUUCACUAUCUCCUUUCUUCUUAGUUGAUAAUUGUCGACCAGUCAUCGUGGUACAUCGACAAUGGUAUCCUCAAUCGUCUAUAAUUACUGUCCAUUGUCAUUGAUAUGUGCUUCUAUUGUCCUUAACUUACCAAAAACCAUAUCAAUUGUCACAAACUCUAUACCCAUUUAUAUCAACAUUACGUCGUUCACAAAAAACUUCAUCAUUUUUCGGUGUAAACAAUUAUACAUCUGGCUAAAGAAAAUCUAAUUAAGCGACUAUCAUGUGAUUUAAAUACAAUCUUUAUUCUAACAAUUAUGGUACAACAUAUUACAUAAAAUGUACAACCAAUCAUAUGGGAUUUACACAUUGAAUGAUAUGUUCUUGGCUACUUAUUUGUGUGGUUGCCAAUUUAGAAAGUUAACUUUACAUGAGUAUAUCUGUUGGCUAAAUUCUCAACGUGAAAGCACAAGGUCAUGGACUCAAUUUUGUAUUGCAUGCUACUCAACUUUCACUACUAUUGUGACUAAAAUGCUUAGUAUCCUGCAACAACUAAGUUUGUUUACAUAUUUACAUAAGCCAAACUCUCGUCAUGGAAGGUUGUAGACCUGUCAUGCAUAGCAUGUUGUGAUGCAACUUGACUUCUGCACCAUAUUUAUAGUGUCAUUAAUUAUAUGUAUUUAGUCAUAUUUACUUAUGAUAAAUACAUACCUGCAUAAUAUAACCCUCUAAAAAUUUAUAGUUUUCAUUCCAUAGAAAUUUUGUAACAAGGGAUAGUUUUUUCUCUUAUUGAUUUGCUAUCAAUUGUUUCUUUUAAUUUUUAAUAUUUAUUGCAAAGCAUGUACUGUAAUUUCGUUUUUAUGAUGAUAGAUAAUUUUUUGAAUUCUCUAAGAUCAUAUAUUUGUCAAAUAUAGACAAUCAUGGAAUAAAAGAUGUUUCAACAUUAAGCAUCUUAUUUAUCACAUACAUGAUAAAUAUUUAUAUUGUCGAUUUGUUAUAUAUAUUGGCUAUCACAUCACGUAUUUUUUCUAAAAGUUUGUCAAUGAUAUACCUGAAGAAGGGGUGCCCAACGUCGAUCGAGCGAUCAAAAAAGAUUCCCAAGCAUCUUCAUAGCACGACCCAGCAAUCAUCUUCUUUGGGGGUCCUCAGGCUAUAAAGCCGAUUUCCUUCCUUUUGGUCCCUCUGUAAAAGGCAACCAUACAUUUACUUAAUUAUAAAAUUCGAAAGUUAUUGUACACUUAGUUAUAUCUUAUUUUUGAAAUAUCUAAAGUCAUGUAGUGAAUCCUAUAUAUAUAAAGUGGGUAUCCAUGCAUUAUUGAACUCCUUCGAGAGAUUGUCAAAAUUUGUAAAUCAAAAUAUUAACGGGGAUAUGUUAAAGUGGUCCUCAAAACCAAUUUGCUAAAGUGCAAAAUAGAACUGAUAUUCAAAUAUACAACAUAUGUUUAGGAAUUUGGGAUUUGUUAAAGUGACCAUCGAUAUCAAAUUGUUGAAUAAAGCUUACACAUGAUUGUGCUUGCUCAACCCUCAAGAGAGUUUUACCAUAUAUAUAUAUAGAUAUAUAGAUGCUUUUCUAGGUAAAUCAAUUUAUUAAAAUGACUCAAUUUGUCUACCAUUUAAAUACAAUGAGGAAAAAAAACAUUAAUUUAUCCAGGUCAAUCACAUGUUUUGAACAUUAUGAGUCUCACGUAUGACCGAAAUAAUUUAUUAGUGAGAUUGGGUAAGUCCAAGCAAGAACUUGCAUGGUAAAAGAUUUUACCAUCAUUUAGGAAAGAGAUAUUAUCAGGUAGAGAGUAUUAUUGUACUGCAUAUUAGUCGGAAAAUAGUUGUUUUCCGGGGCAUUUUUCCUGACAUUAAAAGCUUACCUAAUUGCCAUCGCACAAUCCUCCCCCCCCCCCCCCAAAAAAAAAAAAAAAAAAAAACCAUUAGGAGGACUUAUUCUGAGAAAGAAUAUAGAUGCCGUUUUCAUGUAUUUUCUGAAGUACUCUGGAAUUUCCGAGGGACCACUUGUGCUUUUCUGCCUUGGCCAUAUGGUCCACAUUAAAAAUUGAGUUGCUGGCAGACUGUAAAGUCACGUGGGUGUGGCCAGUCCUUGUCCAUUCAUUUUCUUUAUUCAUUACCUUUUAUUAUAUCAGUGCUGACCCACACUGUUUAAGUCGACUCAUUUGUUUACUGCUACUUGAACAGCUGAUGAUCAUCUCUUUCUUCCUCGAUUCAUCGCUAUUCGACGCUCCCCUUCCUUCGUCCUUCUUUCGCGCUCGAAUCUCUUCGCCUCGUUCGUCUCUCGAUCUGUUUCACUCUUUCUUCUCCUCAGCACAAUCAUUCUUCCUUUUCCUCCUCUUCUUCAGUAUCUUCUCCUUCUUUUCAUCAUUCUCUCUCUGUAUCUCUCUUUCUUUCUUGGAAAAAAAAAAAAAUCAAAGAAAAAAUGUCGGUCGAUUCUGUCGUUGCUAUUGCGUAUGAUGUCUUCAAGAGCUAUGUAGUUGAUCCCGUCAAGCGUCGAUUCAGAUACGUGAUCUCCUCCAAGAAUUUCGCCGACGAUCUUCGGGAGGAAGUCCGGAGCCUGGAGAAGGAGGCUCAGAGGGUCCGUAUUUUGGCAGAAGUGGCCCGAAACAACCUUCGGAAUUUCUAUGGUUACUUCCCAGAGUGGCAGCAAAGUACUGACAAGGCCUUGGAGGAGGCGGGAGACCUGUUGGGCGACAUGGGUGAGGCGAGCAAGACUUGCUGCCACGGGACUCUUCCCGACGCCAAAAGUCGCUAUCAGUUCAGCAGGAAGGCCGAGGACAAGAUCAAGGUCAUUAAGCAACUCGCUCAAAAAGGCAGCGGAUUCAAGGAAUUGAACGACAUCUCCUUCACAGAUCCUGCUCCGGGAAAUGUCACUGCUACGAAUCCAGCCAGGAGAGAAGGCGAAGAAUUCGUCCAGCCGACCACCGCAACGGCCUCCGCUUCUCCUGCCUCGACGUCAAAUGAGCUUAGUAAGGAUGGCGUCUUCGAAUCCAGAACUGCGAUCAUAGGGGACAUAAUGGGCGCUCUUGCCGAUAACAGCAAUAGUGUGGUCGGGGUUUACGGGAUGGGUGGGGUCGGCAAGUCCACCCUUUUGGACGACGUGGUAAGCAGAAUAAGAGAAGAGAAGCGGUUCGAUCUGGUCGCCAAGGCCGACGUGUCACAAAAUCCUGACAUCAAGAGAAUUCAAGGUGUGAUUGCCCAUGUGUUGGGCCUGGACAUGAAGGAUUAUGAGUAUGAGAGCUUGCGAGCGGAUCGUCUGCGCGAGAGGUUGGGAAAUGAGGAAAAGAAGGUCCUCAUAAUACUGGACAACCUAUGGAAAGGGCUUGACUUGAAAUCUGUUGGAAUUCCUUGCGGGCAUGACAACAAAGUCAUGGGAUGCAAGUUGUUAUUGACGUCGAGAGACCGAAAUGUUUUGCAAAGGGAAAUGGGCUGUGACAAGGACUUCUUUCUUGAUAGGCUGGAGGAGAAAGAGGCAAAAAUAUUGUUUGAGAGGAUGGUGGGAGAUAAAGUUCAUGAUGAUGAGUUCAGAUCCAUGGUGAAUGAAGCACUCCGCAAAUGUGCAGGUUUGCCUUUGUUAAUUGUCACAAUGGCGAAACAUUUGAAAUACGGCCGUUUGCCUGAAUGGAGGAAUGCUUUAAAUCAAAUUGAGCGGUGUUCAAACAAAGGGUUAAGUGCAGUGAUCAAUACGAUGUUGCAAUUAAGUUAUGAUCAUUUAGAAAGCGAGGAAACGAAAAAUUUGUUACAACUCUGUGUUGCUUGUGGCGUCUCUAAUCCCUCCGUUGAAGACUUGGUGAGGUAUGGCUAUGGUUUAGGGAUAUUUCAAAAAGAUAUCAGCAUAAAAGAAGCUAGAGAUGAAGUGAGUACACUCAUCCACACUCUUCAAGCCUCCUCCCUUCUGGUGGACAAUGGAGAUGACAAUGCUUUCAAGAUACAUGACUUGGUUCGUGACUUUGUUGCUCAGUUCAUUUUAAAAGAUCAGCCUCUUCUCGUGUUGGAAAAUGAAGAAAUGUUGGCAACACAAUUGCGGAGGGAGAGGCUCGAAAAUUGUAAGGCGAUAUGCUUUCCCUAUAUUGACAUGAAGGAGCUUCCCAAAGAAUUAGAUUGCCCUGAAUUGCACAUCUUUUUGCUUUUCAACAACAAUAUAUCUCUUGAAAUUCCAGAUUCGUAUUUCAACUCUAUGAAGAAACUUGCAGUUCUAAAUCUAACUAGCGUACGUCUCACUCGUUCACCGACGCCAUUUCAGUUCUUGGAGAACUUAUCUACUCUGUGUCUUCAAAAUUGUUCACUAGAGGAUGUGGCCAUUCUGGGCAAGCUAAAAAGGUUACAAGUUCUCAGUUGUGUGAAUUCCAACUUUCAACAAUUGCCGGAAGAAAUUGGGCAACUAACAGAGUUGAGGAUGUUGGAUUUGAACUAUUGUUGGCAUCUUCAGAUAAUUGAACCGGGUGUUCUUGGAAGAUUGAUCAAAUUGGAGGAGUUGUAUAUGGACAACAGCUUUAAUCAAUGGAAUUUCGUGGAGCAAACUCAACCAACUAAUGCUAGUCUGAUUGAGUUGAAUCACUUGAAGUAUCUUUGCACUCUACAUGUCUCCAUUCUCGAUCCAAGUAUGCUCCCAGAGGACCUAGAUGUCAAGAAAUUAACCAAGUACAAAAUCCGAAUAGGUAAUACAAGACGCUGGAUCAAUGACCAAGGAUCGAGGAUUUUGGACCUCAAGUUGGAUCCAAUAAGUGAUGUUCUUCGAAAAAGAUGCAUGCAAAGUCUCCUAAGCAAAACAGACGAUCUGUUUUUGGCCGGGUUGAACGGAAGCGAGCAAAGCAUUUGUGCAUUAUAUCAAGAAGGCUUUCCAAAAUUAAAGCAUCUACUGGUCUACAAUAGUCUUUAUAUCCAACACAUCCUCCGAUGGCAUUCCUCCAAGUCCUUCAGUACAUUAAAAGUAAUUCGAGUCCAAAGUUGUGACAAGAUGGAAUUUUUGUUUCCUCUUUCAUUACUAAGAGGACUUUCACAACUGGAAGAGAUUGAAGUUGUCUCUUGCAAGUUAAUGCGUGGGAUUGUAGAUGCUGAUGAUUGUGGAAAAGUGGAGUUGCAAAAUUUGCGUGUAAUGAAAUUGCACGACUUACCAAAUAUCAAGAAUUUUUUCACCGUCGGGACAGCUCCUUUGAGUAAUACAUCAAAGGACCAAGUUGGCACUCAAAUUACAUUUUUCAAUGGGCAGCAGGUAACUUUCUAUCAAAAGAAUAUAAUAUUGAUUACUUUUUCCUACGUAUGCUAAUUAGAUGCAACACAUAUUAUGUUGCUUAUUCAUUUUGUUAUUUUCAUUUCAAUUUUUUUUCCUAAUAACGUUAUCCGUUCAUGCCUUCUCUGCAAUUCUUUUUAUUGUGUAGAAAUCCAAUGAAAUCCAUGUACAUUUAGUUUGUGAUAGGCUUUGAGUUAAUUUCAAUUUAAAUGCUGCAAGCAUAUCUAUAUUAAUAAGGUUUCAUAAAGCAAAUUUGAAGGGAAUUUCGGCACUAAAGUAAUAUCACAAGUAAUUUUAAAUCUUUUGAAAUAGAUUCUAUUGAAUUUACUUAUCAUAAUAUAGGUGACUCUCCUAAAAACUGAUACGAAAAAUGGGAAAGAGGACUGGGUUUUUUAAAUAAAAGCAACUAUGCUAAUCUAAUUGAUGCAUUAUAAGAGUAUGGAGUUUUGUGCAUGUUCAUGCAUACAUAGAUAUCUUUGUACGUACUUUUGAUAUCACAAAAACAAAUUCACAAUUUGUGUUUAAUAUCCUAUUAAAUUGGUUAUUGACAGUGAUUUACUAAAGGUAAAGAGAAGUUAGUAAACUAAGGAUGAUCAAUUGCCCAAUUAAAAAAAGCACAUGGCUAUUUUAUAUGGGGAAGAAUUGCUGCGAAUAGUGCCUUCUAGUUGACUAGAUAAGAUUGCCCUUUUAUAGUGGCACAAUAUCCCUGAAGUUGAUCAUGAGGCCUAAGACUCACACAGUACAUUAGCUUUCUCGUCAGUAAAGAGUCUUAGAAAUUUAGGUCGUAGGUCCCACACGCUGGUGUGUGACUUAUCUUCUUCCCCUGAUUUGAGCUUCCAUGGAGAGAGUGCUUUCAAAGAUAAUGGAACUAAGGAUAAACAAUUGUUAAAACUAAGGAUAGUAAUUUACUAACAUGAAAGAGAAUAAUUAAAACUAAGGAUAAACAAUUGCCCAAUUAAAGAAAGCUCACGGCCAUAUUUUAUACCCCCACACACAGUUUUAUUUAAUUAGACAAGAUUGCUCUUUUGUAUUGGCGCGGGCCUAAGGCUCAAGCCAUACGUAGCUUCCCUAUUAAUAAAGAGCGGUGGAGAUAUAACUGGUGGGUUCCGCAAGGUUGUGAUGUCAGAGUGUCUCUUGUUCAACCCAUGCUUUGAGCUCCCACGGACAGAGCUUGCUUUCAAAUAUAAACUAGAUCGGGAAAUUUUGCCUUGUGGCUUUGUUUUUUUUGUCUUUUGUUUUUUUUUUUUGCGUGGUAGUCUUUGAGGCUUUUAAUUUUUUGGGAUUCUAAUUCCUCACAAAAGAGUUACUCUUGCCUUGGUACUUCUUUUUAUUUUUAUAUUUUUUUGUGUAAAACCUAUAUUUGCAAAGAUCCAUGGAUUUAUAAUGAAAUACUUCUUAAAACUGUAAUAAAUCUCCUCCAACAUUAUAAAGCGGCGGUAGCAUACAAAGUAGUAGUUAAGGUUUGUCACGGAUGACAAUAGACUAAUGAACGAGGCACAAAAGUUAAACUUGUUGUAUAGGUGGGAGUGAGGGGUGAUGGCGAGAUAUAUGGAGAUUGAGAGUAACUUGGCAUAUGAAAGCUUUCUUAGAGUUGCAGCGAUGAACUUUCGGAAAAAAAAAAAAAAAAAACUAGUUACUCUUCGCGGAAAAAAGAAGAAGAGUAAAUAAAGCUUUCCAUUGUCAUGGGGACCAUGGGUCUCUUCACCUUUCAGACAUGUUGAUUAAUGAAAUUAUGACGACAAGGAUGACUAAUUAGGAUAGGCCAUAUAUGCAUCCGACUUGAAAGGAAUACUCAAGAUAAUUUACAAAUGAUAGGGAAAAGGAAGUUCAAAUAAUCUCAAGUAAUUUACUAUUUUUCAAGGAUAGUUGGGAUCUCAACCGGUGGUGAUGACUAAUGACUACUAAGUUAUUGUGAUAACCCAAUUGUUGACGUGUCUAAUUUCAUGUUAUUUUGUGGGUAAAUUAGUCCUUUUUUGCCUAAUAAAUUUGGAGAAAUCGAAGACAUCUGAGAAGGAAAAGACAAUAAAAUGCUCAUCUUGUUAGAUUUUAUCAAGGAAGCAGGCAAUAAUAGUGUGUGAAAAGUCCUCCUGACCUAAAUGAGAAUGAUGUCACGUUCAGCUAUCAACUCCCUAUGUCCGUAAGUCACGCUCAUACCAUUGCUCGCCCAAGAUUUAAUUUUUGAGUUAGGCUCAUAACUAGAUGAUAUAUAGUAGGACCAAUCUCACCUGAGACUAAUGGGACAUAAGCUGUGUAUAUCUCCAUCUAAUCGAUAUAAUUUGACAGUUAGAAAAAUAUUUCAUGCAUAAAUUGAUUGUUAUUAGUAACCGGAAUGAGAGCGAAUUCUUGAUGAUUGAAAUUCCUGAUAUUGCUAGUAAAAUACAAACAAAAUCCAAUCAUAAUAGCAUCCCUUUUUAUGUCGUAAAGAAAAGGUAAAGUUCAUUAGUUGUCUUUUAAGUCAUAAAUUAGCUUUUGUUUAUCAUAGAUUUUCAUACGUGUGAAAAUUAUCCUAAAGGUUGUACACUAUCUUGCUUAUAAAUUUCUUCGGCAACCAUUUAUAAUACCUGCUAUAUACGUAAAUUUCCUAACUGUCCUUUGUAAUUGUAAAUGCUAUGUUGAUGGAUUUGUCCGUUACAUUUCAAUCCUGUCCUUGUAGUCCUUGACAAUGGGAGGACUUCCCAAUCCAAAAGAAAUAUGCUAUCAAACUAAUUGUAUGAAAUCCUUAGUUUGUGAUAGGUUAUGAAUUAUCUCAAUUUACAUGUUGCAAGUAUAUUUAUAUCAAUAGGGUUUCAUCAAAACAAAAUGAAGGGAAUUUUGGCAUUAAAGUAAUUCCAUAAGUAAAGUAAUAUAUAAUCUUUUGAAAUAUGUUCCCUUGAAUUUAGUUAUCAAAAUUUAUUAUUAUCCACAAAAUGUAUAAUAUAGGUGACUCUCUUAAAAAACAAUACAAAGAAUGAGGAGGAGGACUGAAUUUUCAAACAAAAGCAGCUACACUAAUCUAAUUGAUGCAUGCCUUUUGUGUAUGGUGUUUAAAUAAGCACUUAAUCAUUGCAUAGGCCCAUAACUAUAAGAGUACAGAAUUUUGUGCAUAGUUUUUUAUAGUAAAAGUAGGCCUUGGCAAUUGUAUGAUUUUCAUUAUGUCACAACAAACUCGUCAUUGCAAAUUCAGAAUUGUUGUUCUUGGAAUUCCUAAGUGAUGUUCACCAUUUCUUUACUCCACACAGCAGAAUUUGAAAUCCCCUGUGGUAAAAUAAAUUAAUGUCUCGCUAUAUAAUUCAUGCGCAAGAUUCACCUUAAAGAUCAUCUUAUUUGGCGAUCACCCUUAGAUGCUCCUUUGGCGAGAUUGGGUCACGUGAAUAAGGCCAUGUCUGUAACAGCAUCAAAUAAUGGAACUUGAUGCCUUAAUGGAUAAUUCAAUAUCUUGAAGUCCAAAAAAAAUUAUAGAGACUUACUUCAUAAGUUUUGACGGGUUUUGUUUUUCAAUUCAGCUACUUAGUAUGUGUUAGUUUAAUUUCCAAAGCUUCAAGUGUUCCAUAUUAUAAUCUUCAAGAAAUUUGUGCCGAAUUUUCAGUUUUCUUAUUGUUGAGUCCAUCCAACUUAGAUUGUAACUUUUAUGUGGCUUCAAUAUUUUAUCAAGAAAAACCAAUGGUUGCCUAGUCUCGCAGGACCAUAUGUGGUCAUUGUGGUUUCUCUCCGCGGCAAUCUACAAAUCUAAAUAUCAAGUCCGUUCAACUAAAUGUCUUUGCACUUGGCUUUCAUAGUAUGUAUAGAUAUAAUUGAAUGCACUUUUAGCAUCAUGAACACAAAUCUACAUAUUUAUGUUUGAUAUCCUAUUAAAUUGGUUAUUGAUAAUGAUUUACUAACAUUAAACUAAGGACAAAAAAUUGCCCGGUUAAGAAAAGCGCACGACGAUUUUGUCCAGCAAAUGUUGAGGCGGCUAUUUUGUUGACCAGAAAAGAUUGCACCUUCGUAAGGGCGAUUAGCGCGAAAGUUGAUGGUGGGGCCCAAAUACUAUUGCAAUGUAUUAAUUUCCCCUUAGUCAGUAGAGGGUCCUGGACCUAUUUGUUGUGGGUCCCAUAAGGCAGUGUGUGUGAGCCUUUAGGUCUUCGCUUUUUCAUAAUCGCCUUAGUCUUUGGGGCUUUUAAGUUUUGUCGUAGUUCUCAUCACCGGCCAUGGAUAUCAAUUGAACUUCUUUUGGGUUGAAAUUUGCGGUGGAAAGUGUUGUUAAGUUUGCUUUAUUACACAGAGAGAUAAAUAAUGCUCCACUCGCUAAUCCAUUUCCGAAUGAGAAAUUCUUCUGAUGGAAUAAAACUAGCUCACUCAUAAGAUUAAGCUCAGUAUCGCAAGUUUUUUUUUUUUUUUGAAGGAAAGACUUGAAAUUAGAAAUGAAGUUAGUAUGGAGAUUUUUUUACUCCAUUUUUCGGUUUUAUUAUUCUUCUUUUUUUCCUUUUGUGCAACUUAAUAAUCCCCCUCUUCCCUUGGCACUCUUCUAUAUUUACAUCUUGAAAGUUCAUGAAUUCGAGAUUUAAAUUAAUUACCAUUUUCAUGAGUAAAUUCCGCAGGUUGCCUUUAAGAGAUUGGAGAAAUUAGAAAUCGAUGGCUUGGCUAACCUCAGGUAUAUAUUUUUCCCAUCCAUGGUUAAAUCUCUCACACAGCUGAAAGAAUUGACUAUAUCGAAUUGUGAGAAGAUGGAGGCGAUCAUUAUGGAGGAAGAAGGGUUGGGAAUGGAAACAUCAGAAAUUUUGGCAUAUCCUAUGUUAAUCGAUUUACGCUUAAAACGAUUGAAAAGUUGGAGGUGCUUUUCUCGUGGAAAGUGUAAGAUAAUUUUUUGUUUUUAUCACUAAAGAUUGUCUUGUAGAUAUAUUCAUCUUUGCAAUACAAAUGGUGAUAUUCUUUUCAUCCAAUGAAAUACCAAUUACAGGUGCACGAGAAAGUCAAAGUCAGGAUUGCGUCAGAUCACGCGCCACUGCACUCUUCAAUCAUGAGGUAUGUGAUUAACAUUAUGUCAAGAUAUGAAAUAUAUCGGAGACCAGCAUAGUCAAGAUAAAAACUAAGGAAGUUACUUAUAAUGUAUAAUUCGGUUAAAAUUUUUUAAUAGAAAAUGAGUGGGUUACAAACAUAAGUGUUCAGAGACAUGUAUGAGUUGCAAUUUCUCACUUUUAAAUUCUCUAGACAUAGUUUCCAUAAAGAUGGUUGAACAUCUCUUAUGGUACCUACACAAAGCAUUAACGGGUAAUACAACUAUUGAAUAGGAUCUCUAAAAGCUUUCCAAUAUUCACAAGAAACUUAAAACUCUGAACAACCUUACAUGUGUGGCUUAGACAUUGCACGCAUGUACAUUGAAAGCAACUGAAAAAAACAAUCAAGAGGAAAGUGAGCUGUAAGGUUCAAGAGGCUGGAGAUGAAGGACCUUCAAGACACUCACUUGAUUUCAUUUGCACUUACAAUAUCUCAUUUUCUCUCCUAGUUGAAGGAAGUUUUACUCUUUCAUACCUACACCAGCAAAGGGAAUCGAAGCCUUCUCCGUCGCCUAACUGAGCAAGACCUCUUGAGUCUUGGGCUUCAGUUAUUACCCCCUCUUAGUUUUUACAUGAACCACAGGACUAUUCUUAUAAAAAUUUUAUUAAAGAAAUAAAAUAAUUUUGCAAAUCAGCCAUUUCAGUUGAGUCAUUUGAAUUGUCAACCACAUAGCGGAAGAAUGUUUCCGUGGAAAAUGAAAUAGAGCAGCGUGUGGGUUGUUUGACUUUGACUAAACUAAAAGCAAUAUAGGCCGUUCACCUAAAAUGUUGUUUAUGCAGCCAAAAUAGGCUGUACAAAUGGGCCCUCCCAUGGGAUUAAUACGUCAACCUUCUUAGAUAUUUGUAAUCUAUUAUAACGAGAUAUUUAGCGCUGUUUUUCUAUAAUUUGACUCGAGAAUAUGUAUAUGAUCUAUCGUUUUCAUAUGAGUAUUGGACCUUCCAGCAUUACCAGAAAAUCAACUUUAAAAGGAAAAUUCAAUCGAUUAAGUAUAAAUAGUCAUUUCAAGUGUGGAAUGAUGCGAGUAGGAUUUGUUCAUUUGACCCAAGCAAUUCUUUUUUUAAUUGCUUUCUCUUAGCCUAACUAUGUAAUUGCUUUAGAGUGAUGUAAUAUUGAUUUGGGGCAUUUGGUAUUAGAUAAAAUCAUACCUCCUACUGUAAGGUACCAUUUGAUGGUUGAUUGAUUGCCUUUUUAAUCUCAGUCUCUCCAUCAUUUUCUUUCUAAUGGCUGAUAUUCUUCUUCAAGCAAUCCCUCAGUUGCAUUCUUCUUUUACUACAUCAAUUCAGUGACUUCUUUAAGGGUGAUUACUGUUUGACUUGCUUCUCGUCUCUUUAAACAAAUUCUUCCUCAUUCUUAAUUAAUUUACAAAGUGGUGCAAUUUCACUGAAGAAUUUCAUCCAUAUUGUAACUUAAAUGACCUUCUCUAAGUGGUUUAACAAUUGCUAUGUAUAGUAGCUAUUUCACUCUUGGGCUAGCAAGAAAAGCACAAAGGGAGAGAUUUUAUUUGAGUUUGGGAUCUAUGAAACAAUAACUCAUUAGAUGAUUGUUACAUGAGCAUAUCCAAAUUACCAUUUUGCCAAUAAACACAUUAUGGUUAGAAUUCCUACUUAGCACUUUUUGUUUUGUCUCUAGUGUACUCCAAUAGCCUUCCCAUUUUAGAGUCAUUGACAUUAGUAGUGAGAUUUUUUUUUUAAAAUUAUUUUCAUUUUAUUCUUUUUUUCUUUCGUGCAACUUAAGAUGGAAUUAUCAAUUCCAUGAAUUCGUAAUUUACAUCUUGGAAGUUCAUGAAUUCGUAAUCUAACUGAAUCAACAAUUCUAUGAGUAUUGCAGGUUACGUUUCCUAACUUGGAGAAUUUAUAUAUCGAGGGUAUGGAGAAUAUCGAGAUGAUAUGGGAUGGUCAAAUUCCUGCGAAUUCUUUCUCUAAACUAAAAUUACUUUCAGUGAAUGAAUGCAACACGCUUGUGAACAUUGUGCCUUCUUUCAUUCUAGGACAGCUUUUGAGCCUAGAAACUUUGAUGGCAAGAGCGUGUGAUUCCCUUGAAGUUGUUUUAAAAUUUCAACCACUAAAUCCUCUAUAUGGUAAUAGUGUUGCUCGUUCUCCAUUAAAAGAGCUAAAGUUAGAUGACUUAUCAAUGCUAAACUGUGUAUGGGAUAAGGAACUCUACCAUCAUAUUAAAUUCCAACGUCUACACUUGUCCUUUCGAGGAUGCACUAGGCUCGCCUGUUUGUUUUCGACCUCAAUAGCCAGAGAUCUAAUCCAACUUGAGGAGUUGGAGAUCAAUCAAUGCAACAUUGUGGAACUCAUUGAGAAGGAAGGACUAGAUGGGCUGAGCAUCAAUGUGGAAGCCAUAGAAGGCCCAAGUCAUGAGCUAAAAGUAGCAUCAUCCUUUCCAAGUUAUUUUCAACAUUUGAAGACUCUAGAUGUGUCACAUUGUCAUGGGCUGUCAAAUAUGUUCACAUCAACAAUGGCUACAAAUUUGGUGGAACUCACAAAAUUGAGGAUUAGUAAAUGUGAAAUGUUGACAGAAGUCAUUAGUAAUGAGGGAGGAAAGGAAGGGCAUGUAGUGGCUUUUAAUCAAUUGAAGUAUAUGGAGCUCGAUGGGUUGACUAGGUUGAGAUGUUUCAGUACAAGUGGAUACACUUUGAUGUUCCCUCUCUUGAAAGAUAUCAUUGUGAGUAGAUGUCCCAAGAUGAAGUUCUUCUACGAGGGACCAAUGGAGGUGCCAAAGAUGGAGAGAGUACAAGUAGGUUCGAAAAAAAGGUAUGGAGUGAAAAAGUGCGAGUAUUUUUGGAAGGGAAACCUCAACAUGACCAUCCAAAAUAUGUUUGAAGAAAUGGUACGCUUCACUAAAUUCUAUGCAAUUUGAUUUUUUUUUAAUCACCGAUAAAGUAAUUGCUUUUUUUUAUAACUAGAAUUUUACAUUUAAUGAUGCAUUUUCUAAUAGGCUACAUUUGCUGGGACUAUGUUUAUGUGGUUGUCUGAGUUCCCGGAGCUGAUUGGAAAAUGGCAUGGUGAACUUAAUCCUGUCACGUCAUCUUGGCAAUUAAAAACACUAGUGGUGGAUAAAUGUCCAUCAUUUGUUAACGCUAUUCCAUCCAGCUUUAUGCUUGUUUUAGAGAGAAUGACAGGAUUGCAAGUGCAUGAUUGCGAGGCUCUGGAAGAAAUAUUCGAUCUUGAAGGGCUUGAGGUUGUGGAUUGCAAUCAGAUGCUACCUCAGCUACAAUAUCUGUACUUGGUCAAUCUACCAAAGUUGAGGCAACUAUGGAAUAGAGAUCUUCAAGGAACGAUGUGUUUCAAUUCUCUAGCGCAUCUUAGCCUUUAUAAAUGUAGCAACUUGAGACAUGCUUUUGUUCCAUCAAUGGCUCGAUGCCUUCCCCAUCUAUGGAAGAUGGAAAUAAAGGACUGUGAUCAAAUGGAAGGAGUGAUCACAGAUGAAGAAGGGCAAGGAAGCGCGGUGGAGGAGAUUACAUUCCCAAAACUUAUGUAUAUAACUUUGGAAUGCUUGCCCAAUUUGACUAGUUUUCUCUUGUGGAAGAAUCAUAUGCUAGAAUGCCCUAAGUUGUCAAUGUUGAGCAUUGCCCAUUGCCCCAAGAUGAGAAGUCUAACUUGGCAAUCUUCGAUGGAGAUCGACAAUGGCACUCCUUCCCUUUUCCCUCCACAGGUCAGUCUCUCAAACAAAUGCAUUUUUGGCAUUUCAUUUGAACAUAUUUGUUUGCGUAUAAUUGGACAAUGCAUGAUGUGUAGACAAAAGUGCUAGAUAUAAUUGUUUGUAAUAUCAAUAAUCAUGCUUUGCUCAAAUUUGACCUGAUCUCAUGUUUCAUACCUUAACAAAGAUGAUCAGAAUAUUUGCCUCACCACAAUAAUCCAUGAUCACAUCCAUAAAAGUAUUAAUGCAAAAAAAUUCAGACAUUGAUAACCAUGUGCGGUUUUAAUAUCAUUUAAUUAUACAGAUCUAUGUACAUAAUCUAGUAAUAUUUACUUAACAGAUUAAAAUUUUUAUAAUCCUCAGCAAAUAUAAGUAUCAAUUGUACAUCUCCAUAUAUCUUUAGAAGUGUUAUUUAUGUAAGCUCAUAAAAUCAUAUUGUGUGUAGUACUUCAAAAUUGAUUAUAGAGGGAUUUUAAAAAAGUUAUGACAAUAAACAUAUGAAAACAUUUACUUUUUGCAAUUUCAACUAUAAAGAACAAAACUGAAAACAUAGAAUAACAUAUAAAAAUGGCAAAAAAAUAUGAAGUAUAGCCCACUUCAUAUUUUCUUACGUAGAAACAAACUGGCGUCGUUCCAUUAAACAUGAAGAAAAGGGGAAGAGAAACUUCAUAAUUAGAAAAGCCUAAUUCACAAAUUGCGUAGCUAUUAUAGCUCAUUGUACCAUGAUCAUCUUCCCACAUCAACAAAACUGGAGGAAUUAGAGAGAAUUGCUCUUUUAAUCGGAGUGCUCUAAACUUCAAUAAUGAUUAGUGCAAUGAACUUUUUUAUAUCUUAAUAAUAUUCAAUCCUCGAACUGGGUCUUGAUAAUAAAAUAAAUAAAAAUAAAAAGGCCAAUAUGCAUGAAGUUGUUCGUCUUCUUUGUUUGCAAAUUGUACUUGAAUCACUAUACUCCAACAACCUAUCAAAUUACGAACUUGUAUCAUAUAAUAAAUAUUAACUCUGGAUUAUCAUAUUGAGUGAGAAUUAGUGUGAUAUUGCGCACAAUUUAUGUUUGGCAAGAGAAAAUGCAGAUUGUUUUUUCCAGAAAAGAAAUGGCAAAAAAAAAGGAAAAAAUAAAAGAGAGAAUAGGACAGCUGGACAAUAAAUAGUAGCAAUUCCGUGGGUGGUUGCCGGCAUUGUGAGUCAUAUUUCAUAACUAGAUGAUAAUAUUUAGUCAAAUGUCCUAGCUAAAAUAAAAAUUAAAAAAUUUCGGAAUAAAUUAUCCAAUCAACAACACUACUGAAGAGAAAAUAUUAGGUGCAUUAAAUACACCAUGUUGGAUCCGUAUUAAAUCAUCUACAAAUGGACAUGUGCUAAAGCUGGGCCCACCUAUCAGUUGAACGAUCAAAAUAUUUGCUCCCCCUCCCUCCCUCCCUCCCUCCCUCUCUCUCUCUCUCUCUCUCUCUCUCUCUCUCUCUCUCUUUCCUUCUUUGGUGGCCUUGGGCUCUGUCUGUUGCAGUGCUGUUACGGUGCGCUCACUAGACAAAGGAAAACAAGAAAAAAGAAAACAAAAAAAGGAAGAAAUUAGACAAAGUCUAUUCGAUGAUUUUAGCUUCUCCCACUCUAAGAAAUGUUCGCUCUGAGUCAUUUCGUUUCACCUUGAUCCUCCUCUUCGCGACGAUGGGAAAAAAGAAAGUGAACCAAAUCUACAGAGUCAAGUAACCAGUAACUCUUCUUUCUCCCCCUCAUCCUCUUACCUUCUGUUUUUUUGGGGCGAUUGAUUGGGUGGUCUGUCCAAUGGUUGAAUCGGAAGCUUCGGAAUCGCUUCUCUAAAGCUCGCCUCCUCUCUGUGCGCGUGCUUCCAUGGGUUCCGAGUGAUUACAUGAACCGGAGCUUGUUGGUUAUGGUGGGUUGAAGUGGAUCUCCGAUGCAGAAGCGAUUUCGGCGUCGAUUUAAAAAAAUCUUAUCUUCAGCCCUCUCUCCCUCCUCCUUCGUCCACAGCUGCCCGACCUCUGCCCCUCCUCUGCUGUCGCCAACGGUGGAGUUACCGGCGCCUUGAUUAGGCUGACCCUCGCUAUGUCCAAGCCGAGCAUGGCCGGCUUCCUCUGUUUUCUCCGUCUCAUCAUUCUACAGAUCUCGAAAUCUGGCCGUCCAUAGUGACGGAGUUGCAGAUCUGGAAAUCGAUCACCGUCGCUCGUAGCCAUGGACGAGCCGCUGUCGCUGUAGCCAUGGUUGCAGAUCUGGAAGUCCUGUCGCGAGUAACGAUGGCUUAUGGACUGCCAUUGUCCCCUCCGUUGACGCCCACAGUCGGCUCGUGGUCGGCCUCGUCCAUGGCCGGUCACAACUGCUCGUGGUCGUUGCCCGUCCUGAUCUGGACUGGAGUCGUGCCUCCAGAUCUGGUUUCGCCCAUGGACGCAAGCCUAGCUCAUCCAUGGCUCACGAGGAGACUCCCGCACAGAUCUGGCGACCACUGCUUGUCCAUGGCUAUGAGCCUUGACGGCGAGUUUGAGAUCUCGACGGCUAUGGACUGCGAGAUCAAACAGCGAAAGAAAAAACAGAGAAACAGAUGUCAGGGAAGAAUGGCCAUGGAUGAGAGGGCCGGAGCUUGAAUGCGGCCAUGGAUGAGCGGCAUCAUGAACGGGCAGACCACAAAGACGACGGAGAGGGUUGGACGCCAAGCAAUGGUCGCCUUGGACGCGGCGCCGGGAACUCCGCCGGUGGCGACGGCGGAGGGAGGCGGGAAGGUUGGGCUCAAUGUGGAUGGAGAUGGAGAUGGAGAAGGAAAGUGAGGUGGAUUGAGAUUUUUAAUAUUUAGUCAAUGUCCUGGCUACAUAAAAAAUUAAAAAUAAUAGGAAUUGAUCAUCCAGUCAACACUUUCAUUCCGUCUCAUGAAGUUCUCCUCAUGUGAAGACUAAACGCAAUGAAUGACAACCUCCUCCCGGCACUUCUCUUUUAUGGGUCGAAUCCUCAGGCACUUGAAAAUGCACGAUGUCGACCCAAAUAUGAUUGUUUUGACCUUCUUCUUUUUUUUAUUACAGCUUCCAUGCAAGUUUUGUUUUGUUUUUUUUUUUUCCUGACGGAGGGAAUUUUUUUUUUUAUUCUCAUAAUUCUGCGCAAUUCUUUCUAUUGUUUUAUGUGAGUAGAAUGUUUAAUUAUAACAAGUAUCUACACAUUUGUUUACUUUUUAAUUGUAAGAAUUAUCAUUAAUUAUUUAUUUAUACUGUCAUUUGCAUGUAUAAGUUAUAUUUUAAUACCAAGCCCCGCAUUCUAAGAAUAUUUCAAAAAGUCAUUAUAACACUCAAUCAACAAUACUAAUAAAUUUGGGAAAGUAUGAAAAUAAUCAUCUAAUCUUUUGGUAGUGAUAAGUUGUAAUAGCGUUAAUUUCAUUUUAAUAUCAAAUAUGAGCUGUCAUAUACUAAUUGAUAGAUUUAAGGAAGUGUGGAAAGUCAAUUCUUUUUUUUUUUUUGGUGACAGGUCAUAAUUGCAUUAAUUAUAUUGUAACCAAAUGAAAAAUAUCAAUACUUACUUUUCAAUGAAUAAUUCAUUGGAGGUCAUGAUGUAUUAAAAAAAAAUCUUGAUUUUCUCCAUACAAACAAAAUGCGAUCAGCGGGUGCACACCCACUUUUUGUCAAGGGGUGGAUCACUCGGUACACUGCAAGGUUCUAUUUUAUUUUUCCACCUCAAAUUUGAAUAAAUAUUAUUUCAAGGAUGUUAUUAAUGGUCCAAUGUAAAACUAGUAAAUUGACCCAACUUGUGUUUGCUGAGAUCAUAACAUUAUGUUAUUUAUUCAAGUCGUUAUGUUGCCCAUGCCUAUUAAGAAAUUAUUUUCUUUCAAUACAAAAAAUUUCCAUGCAUAAAAAAGAAAAAGGUUGUGAACAAUUGAAGUUACUAUAAUUUUUUUUUUUAUAUCGGGUUCGCCAUAUAAAUUUCAUGACUCUUCUCUGCAGUGAAUUGUAUUAAUUUGAAGAUUCAUAAGUACUGUUCGCAAUUUAGUAUGAAUAAUUAGCAGUGCUCAUGGUAAAUAGAGGAAAUAAUGUUGAGCCAAGCAUUAGUUUCAUCCAUUCCUUAUUCAAUACAUACACUGCUUAAGUUCUUCGCACCCACUAUUCAUAUCCUUAGUUGACUAGCUCAUCAUCACCAUGCCCUUGCUUUUUCUCUAAUUGUUAUGCAUGUUCACCUUGAAGCAAACAAAUCUAAAACAUAACUGAUCUUUGCCAACUAACAUAACGGAAAUUUUCAGCUUGUAUCACUGAAUCUAAAUGUUGCUCUUUUCAAUAGUUCUAUCGGACUGCCUAGCAAGCUCCCUAAAAUUUUUGCCAGUCUUCGUGCUUAUUCAUUACAAAAAUACAACUUGUCAUGCCUCCAUGGAACCAACAUUGUUUUGCGGGAUUCAUAUUAUGUUCUUCUUCGUCUUUGUCCUCAUUUAAUUGCAUAGAGAAACAGUUGAGUGAGUUAUCAUUGAUGUUUAGUCAACGGCUCCAUUCAUGCAUUAGCAUAAAUAGGAGGGCUCUCAUUUCUUUCUCUUUCAAUUUUGCAUUGUAGGUUUUCUUAUGCUUUAGAUGCUCUUGCAUUCAACUGGAAAUAGCGCCUCUCUCUCUCUCUGUGAUUGUGACAUAAGAGCUACUAUAAAAAAGAAAAAGAAAAAUGAGGACUUAGGAGGAGGGGGAUUAGGAUGAAGUUGAAAGGUACAGAACCAGUCUUAGCAACCAUUUGAACGAACCCAAGUUCCAUGUGCAUAAGGCCUAUCAGCCUAAUUCCCGGACUUUUAAGUUAUCGCUAUGAUUUGCCAAGUAAUUAAGAAAAGUCAACAUUGUCUGGUCACUCCAAAAUCUUAUAAAUGCAUUUAUAAUUUCAUGUUUGUUGCAAUGCAUUAUCUCUAGCCUUAGUCUUCAAUCAACUUGUAUAAAGGCAUCAAUCAACCCCUCUCUAUUUAUGUCACUAAUGAGAUCUUGACUUCUCAUGAUUUGUGAGAAUGAGGGAAGUCUGGAAAUUUCUUCUUUACGGUCAUAACUCAAUGCAAUCACAUUCAUUGUGUCAUUUUUUUUCUCAAUAUGGCAGGUACAAUUUCCUCAACUUAUGCAGAUGGAUCUUUCCCACAUGGACAAUUUAAGCAAAAUAUGGACUGACGGUCCUCUAGAAACUCUGACUUUUGAUUGUUUAUGGGAAGUGAAGGUUCUGAAUUGUAAGAGCCUUGAAAAUUUGUUUCCAUAUUGGGUGGCUACAAGUUUAACCAAACUUGGAAAACUUCAAGUGGAGUCUUGUGAGAUUGAGGAAAUAGUCGCUAGUGGGGAUGACACUCCACGCUCCAAUACUACUCAAGAUCUUUUCCCAAAACUAACCUCUCUGGUGUUACAUGACAUGCCACGACUCAAGAGCUUUUGUCCUAACUUGCCUUUGAAUUUGCCAUUAUUGAAGGAAUUACAAGUGACUCAUUGUGAAAAACUGAGCAUGUUAUCCUUUGUGGCAUCCAUGAACAGAUGGGCUCAAAGAGAUGAUCAACAAGACCUUUCAGAUCAAGAAGCACACUCUUCAUUUGAGAGGGUAUGAUUAUAGUUGCUCUCCCUUAGUUUCUACUUUGUUCUUUAAAGCAGUCACUAAUAUCAUAUCCAUUGCAUAUCAUGUCGCGUUAUGAUGUUAUAGAAAACAUGAUCUCCCCUACCUAUUAGUUUGUCGACAACAUUAAGAUAUUUCUAAUAUCUUACGUACACUUCCAUUUGUGGACAUGCAUAAGAUAUUCCAUUACCUAGAGUUACAAAAAAAAAUUUACAGUAUUCUAUUGAUAACAGAAUAUAUUCCUAAUCUAACCUAAUGGUGCUCUUGGGCAACAUCAAUAAGGAUUUGACAAGAGGCCCUCUCCAUUAUUGACACGUGUUGCACACUUGAACUUUUCUUCUCUAUUUCAUCUUCUACAAACUCUAAAAAAAUUAAUUCAAACAAUUUUUUUUUAUAACACAAAUAACAUUAGUACCUUAGUGCACUAUUUUCUACUGUAUAUUUUAAUACACUAGUCGUCGUGUUAUCCUGUUAUAAUACUAUAGAAAACUAGAAUCCCUUUCCUAUAAGUUUGCAGACAACAUAAGAUAUUUCUUAUAUCUUAAGCAUACUUCUGAAUUUGUGGACCCCGUAUGUUUUAGUGACAUCUUGAGUGCAUCCCAUUACAUAAGAUUCCAAAGAAGAUAAAUUUUUGUCAACAAGAUAAGAUAUUCCUUACAAAAGAUGAAUUUAGUGAGUGCAGGGAUCUUGAAUUUAGAUUCACUCUAUCCACUUGACCAGACCAACCUCUACAUGAGACUUUUAAAAGCUUGAGUCUUGAACACAAGGUUCUUGAGAUAUAAUGAACUUUAAGAAGAGGACCACCUUCCAUGCGAAUCAUCUUAAUAGGUUUACCUUUUACAGCACAUGAUUUAUUGUCGAAACUUUGUUGAAUUUACUUCUCUUGUUGUAUUGGCAAUUCGACAGGACUUUCCCAACUUGGAGAGACUUUUAUUAGUCAAUAACAAUAUUCAGAUGAUACAAGAUGGAAAUUUUCCGGAUGACAUGUUUAGCAAGCUAGAAGCACUAACACUAGCAUGCUUUCAUGAUAAAAAGGCCGCCUUUCCUUCCAUAUUCCUCCUAGAGAGAUUUCAGAAUUUACAAAGCCUUGAAGUCUUAUGUAGCUCCUUUGAAGAUUUAUUCCCGAACGAAGGGCUUGUUGAAGAAAGGAAACAUCCGGUGCUUGAAAAUUUAAGAGAACUUAAGUUGAACAAGCUACACAACUUAAAGUGUGUGUGGAGAGAAGACUCUUUAGUGUCGAAAAUUCUUCAGAGCAUCGAAACAUUUGAGGUUUGGGAUUGUCCCUGUUUGACAACAAUAUUUCCAACCGAGACAUCCUUCCAGAAUCUGAGAGAUUUAGUGGUGAAGAAUUCCUCUAGAUUGGUACAUCUAGUAACGAUUUCGGCAGUCACAAAUUUGGUACAUCUCAAUUUUAUGACUAUAAUAGGAUGUGAAAGAAUGAAAGAAGUAGUGACCGACGAUGGAAGCAGAGAAGGAAAAGUGAUUUCUUUUGAAAAGCUAAUAUGGUUGACACUUGAACAUCUGCCAAACUUAGAAUGCUUCUCUUCCAUCCCAAGUUGCAUAUUUAGGUUCCCAUCUUUAAGGAGAAUUAAAGUGGAAGAGUGCCCGAAAAUGAAGAUCUUUUCUAAGGGUACACUAAGCACACCAAAACUAAAUUCCGUGACACUAUUCAGAUACAAGUGGAAAGGGAAUUGGGAGAAGGGUGAUGAUCUCAAUACAACCAUACAGAAGUUAUCAGCAUAAAUCAAUGCACAUAGAAUUGGUAAGAUCCAAUAGAUGUCAUUCUCUCAUCCAUUUUUUUUUCUUUAGUCUUUCGGCAGCGCCGCAACUUUUUAAUAUUUUUUUUUUGUGACUUUUCUAUUAUUGAUUUCGUCAAAUCAACGUCACCGUCAACCCUAUCGAUGAUCUCGGCUCAUCCUUAACUGAACAGUAGGAAGCAAAGCGGGUCUCUCCUUCUCCUUCUUGACGCCAAAGGCUCUUUCUCCAUCUUUCUUCUUCUUCUUCCUCCUCCGUGGAGCGAAAUUGGGGGAAGCCUCUGCUGCCUUCACAACGGACGGAGCAAAAAUGAAGCAUCAGGAAUUGCCAGGACUGCGAGAAGCGAAGCUGCAAUUAGCGGAGCGGAGCCAAGUAGAUUCAACCAGACGCUGUCGUUGUCGCCGUCGUCACCGCCGGAGGUGGCACAACCGAGUCUGGACAGUUAGUCGUCCACUCACUUCAUCAAAGAAGAAGAAGAUCACACUCUCUCUCCGCAUCUGUAUCCGACAAAUGGUAAGUUCAUGUUUCUUCCGAUUUCGGUGUAUUAUUGUGCGUGAAUUAGGGCUCUCUUCUUCAAAUUCGUUCCACAUUCGAGUCUAAAAGCAGGAGUUCCUCAAACUAGCAAUUUAUUGCCCUUAAAUCUACAUCUUCUGUGCUGCCCUCCCGAGCAUUGGCGAGAUUUCUGCGUGUUUGACCUCUCAUAGAUGGAGAUGAUAUAUUGUGUUCAAGGUCUCAUGUUGAAAUUUCUUUAGGGAGAGAUAUCUCUGUAACAUCAUAUACAAAUUUCUAUCAGGAAAAAGGGAGAAAUCAUGGAACUUGAAAAUAUUCCGAGAAUUCCAUGCCUUGUCAAAAAUCUGAAAUGUCACUUUUGCGCCUUGAUCGCAAUAUAGUUUGGAUUGUCUGAAGAAUCACCUGUAAUCUUGAUUGGUUAAGUGAUGCUGGAAGGAUAAAUUUAUCUCCAAUUUAUACUAAAAUCUUUUCAUAGCAAGUCAAAUUAAUGAAGUGUACUUAAACUGUCUCUAAAGUUAUCGUUUAAGUACAGGCUGGUCCAAACAUUUGAGCAAAUUGAGGCAUCCUGAGCUGAUUUUUUAAGGUCCCAUGCCCCCAAGGCCUCUCACUUCUUACAUCGGCCAACAAAUUUCAAAUGGAGCAUCCCAAUGGAGCAUCCCUUUUUCAAAGGUGGUGAGGAGGCCCUCUUAUGUUGACUUUGGCUUGGUAUGAUCCCACGCUCAUUGACCCAAACUCGCAUGUCUGAAAAUCAAACAUAUGGAUGCUGUUUAUAUCUUUGCUUAUACUCUAGUGUAUUUCCAAGUUGACUUAAUGCAGUAAACAACAUGACAUGUUAUAUUCCUUGAAUUGUUCAUGGGUAUAUGUUUGAAACCAGGUAUAUGUCUUAACAAUGGAGUAAUUGAAGCAGGGGAAACAAUGAAAGGACGGUUAGUGGGACUUAAACUGGUGGUUGAGGUUUGAAAGAAUAACAUUUGUCCCCUUUUUGUCAAUACACGUGUUGGAAAGCAAUUGCUGAGGCAAGUCCAAAGAAUUAGAAUCCAAUUCCUCUUAUAUGGAGGAACUUGACAAUGUUAUUCAAUGCUGUAAAAGUAGAAUAUAUAUGUAAAUCACACGAGGAGACUAGUUGAUACGGACAAGCAAAUUGCAAAGAAUGUCACUAUCUCCAUAACUAGAGGGAAAGACCUGAAAGAUAAGGGGGUGGCUAGUUAUGGUUCUGAAAUUUCAUUGUAGAUCUAAUGACUGAUAAUUUUGUUUCCAAAUAGGGGAUACUAUUUUAUUUUGUUACAUUAAUCGGAAAUUUGAGAAAAAAAGAUGAGUUUACUCUGUCAAAUUGAUUCAGUAUUUUGAUAAAAUUUGAGUUGCGCUUGAAAUAAUUGAACAGCUUAGAUUAAAAUUUUUCACUUCCAUCCGUGUUCCGGUCAUUGAUGUCUUUGCCUUUUCCCCUGCUCUUGUGGUUUGUGUGGCUUAAAUUCAUCGUUUCAAAUAUAUACGGGACAUGGAAGGCUUUUUCUGGUCAUGUACCCUAUUGCACCUAGGAGCGUAUAUUUUGUCAUUUGACUUUGGGUUGCAGUCUGAGAUUGUCUACUAUCACUAUAAGGUUUAUUGUCAAUUAAAACUCCUAAAAGUAGCAACUACUGCCUUAUAUUCACGCUGUGUGAUUAGAUUCUCUCAUUAGUGUAUGCUUAUGUUUUGGUCUUUCUUCACCAGAAGUUGGUUUUCAACCACAUAAAUGAGGAGACUACUCCUGUUCAAUUCAUCAGGCAACAUAAUCAGGAAAACAAGGUAAUUGCAACUCUCAGGUAUUCAGACAGGUCGUGGACGGUGAAGCUCAGGAGCCGUGGACUUUUUUUUUCGCUGCUUGACACCCAAUUGCUAGAGAAGCUCGUUUGCAUUUAAGAGAUGUUUGUGUGUUUGAGCUCAUUGAUAGGGGGGAUGUGUGUUUAGAGUCUACAUUUCCACUAGUACUGGUAAGGACUUGGUUUACGUUGACAGAAAUGAAUUUUGGAAGUGUCACUUUAGAUAGUCCAAAAUAAAUUCAGUAUUCAUAGUUAUAUCUCUUUGUUUAGUCUUGGUGAAUCAAUGAAGUGUACGUCUUCCAUUCCCAUUGGGUUUGUGAGUUUCACAAUAAUCCAGAUGCACACUCAUUAAUGCUACAUCCCAAGUCUAAAUUAACCAAAAAGAAUGUGCUUCAAUGUCAAAGCGAAAAUUAUAACCUAAACGCUUAGCAUGAGAAUUUAGAGGUGUGACUUGUUGGUUUCUAAGUUGCGCUUUUCUGCACAGUGUUGCAUUCUUUUUCUUGGUCUGUCUCAAAAGUUAUGAAAUUUUCCUGAUAAGAUUUUGUAUAUUGAUGGGUGACAUUACAAUUUAGGAGAUGCCAAGUGUAGCUAAUGUGUUUUGUCUAACGUGAAAAACAUGUAAACGUUAGUAACAUGAUUGGAUGCAUUGAUUUGUAGAUCGUUGUAACUUGACAGAAGAUUUACAGCAGUACCUAUGAAAACUCUCCUUUUUCUUUUGGACCAAACAAUCUAAAUGUCAAGUGAGCCCCCAUGAGCAGUUUUGCAUGGUUCCAUGUUUCUGUGGCCUCCCCUGCUCUUGAAAAAACUAGAAAAUUUGAAUCGAAGUAUCCAUCUCUGAAAUUGGUGAUGCGGCCACUAUUAUCAAGGAUAGAACUGUGGUGUGGCCCCUAUGUCCUUUCAUAAUUGGCAUAGCUCAACCAUGAUGCCUUCUACAUCUUUCCCUUUAGUUGACUCUUUUCCCAAGUCGUUUUAAAUUUUUCAUAGGAAUCACAUUAGAUGUUAUUUUCUUUGGAGUGUUCAUGGCUUUAUCUGUAAAACCGGGGCAGUUUUGAUUUUGAAAUUUUAUUUUUUAAAUUUAUGGAUUCAUAAGAUGACCAAUUCUAAAAUGAAAGAUUCUAUUCUCGUUUUUUUUUUCCAGUAAUCAGUUGUAAAGAAGAUUACAUUAUAUAUAGACUAAGAGGAUGUGGUGGGGACGAUCAGUGUUAGCAACUCUUGAACUUUUGUCAUGAGAGUUAAAAAAUUAUGUACACUACUGUAGAGUCUACAAGCACUGUAUUGUGAAAUCUUAACUUCAAGUUGCAGGUUGGGAUUGAAGACUUCUAUUACCCAGUUAACACUAUUAAUUGAACUCCCUGAAACUAGUAAAUACUAGCAUAAAUUUACAUUUGUUUGCGUUUUCCAUUUAUUAUUUCUUUGUAUUUAUUCUUUUCCUCAUUAUACUACAUUGGUAGUGUUCCUUGUGAAUUCAUAAAGAAACAUUCAGAAGAACUAGCAAAUUGCAACUCUUAGGUAUUUGAACAAAUUAUGGCUGGUGCAGCUCGAGACCUAUCAACUCCAUUAUGUAGCUGGUCGGGCCGCAUUUGUGAAAGAAGCUUGUCUGGAUGAAGGGGAUGUCCGCAUGUUUGAGCUCAUUGAUAGGGACGAUUUUAUGGUCAAUCUCCAUCUCCAAUUAUGCUAGUAAGGACCUCAUUUAGGUUGAUUGAGAUGGACAUUGGAAGUGUCGCCUGCAAGCUAUGACAAAUCAAUUGGAAGUGCACUUACUUUUAGCUUUGCGUCUCUUUCUUGACCUGCUUACAGUCUUACCAGAAUUCUCCUCUUUUUUUUUUCUUUGUGCAGGUCAGAACAGAUAGUCUAAAUGUCCAGUGAGCCCUCUUGAGCAGCCUUUUCAUGGUUUCAAUUGUCCGAGGCCUCUCACUGCCCUUUAGAAUGCUGGAGAAUUCAAGUUAGAGUAUCCCUUUUUCCAGAUGGUGACAUGGCCAUCUUUUCUUAAGAAAGAAAUAAUGGUGAGGCCCAGAUCUCCAUUCAUAACUGGCAUAUCUCAAUUAUGAAUGCCACCUAUUUUAUAUAUGUGCCCUAUUGUGCAAUUUUUUCCUGCAUUAAUUUGCUUUCUAUAGAAACACAGGAUAUAUUAUCUUCCUUGAAGUGGUCAUGGUUAUAUGUUUAAAACAGGCUCCUUAACAACUAAAGGGACUAGGGAAAAACAAUAAGUCAGACAGUAAUCAGGAAAUUACCUAGUGAUAGGUGGGUGUGGAGACAAGGUCAGAGGGUUGAGACAGGCAAUAACAACCAUAAAUUAGGAAUUUAAUGAUUUCUAAUUGAAGUAUAAAUUCUUCCCAAAGAUUACUACUUGGCACUUUCUCUGUCUUCUAGUUUAAGUAUAAAUUCCUUCCAAAAAUGACUACUUGGUACUUUCUUUGGCUGCCUAGGCUUGGGAAGAAGAGGCGACACGAAAUGUCCAGCUUAAGCAAUAGCUAUUGCAACAGGCCUAGGCUUGGCAUGACUAGGCUCACUGCAACAGCACGGCAACACUAAUCGGGAUAUUGCUUCCUGGCAACAAAUGGUUUACAAGAGCUACUAUUGCAAGCAAGUUCAAACUUGCGAUCAGAAAUGAAGUGAAGGUAGUGUGACCCUAGACCUCGAAAAUGAGUCCCACCACCUCCGUAGUAUGAAAAAAAGAAAGGCAGCUAAUUUUUUUUUUUGCCAGGCGAAUGAAGAUCACUUUUUGUGUAUAUGUAUCCAUCUAGGAUGCUAGGCGUAGCUUUUCAUGUUUGUUCAAUGCGUAUCGCAAUGUGAGAUUGGUGACUUGGAAAUCCACCAGAUUUGUGCAUGUCUCUAUAUUGAUCACACAUACUUAGCGUAGAGUCUAAGAGCACAGGAUUGUGAUAUUUUGAUUUCAGAUUGCAAGUUGUGACUAAAGACCAUCUCAUCAAGCCUUUUAGACUGCUAAUACGGAUCUCCAGAAAUUCCAAAUACUAUCAUAAAUGUACAUCUUGUUUGCCUUUUCACUUUAGUGUAUGCUUACAUUUCUUUGUCUUAUCAUACAUUGGCUGGUCAAAUGUCUUCAUGGGCAGAGCGUUCCUUAUAAAUUUAUAGAGACAUGCAGUCAAGAAAACCAGCAAAUUGCUAUUCUUAGGUAUUCAGACACAUUGUGGCUGGUGACCAUCAGGAGCUAUCAGCGCUACGCUGCAGUGAACUUCUCUAUUGGUUGGUCCAAGUUUGUGAGAGAAACUUAGUCUUGAAUGAAGGGCAUAUCUGCAUGUUUGAGCUCCUUGAUAGGGAUGAUUUUUAGGUUGAAUUGGGACGUGAACACUGGAAGUGUCACUUUAGGCCAUAUACUAGUUAGAAGCGAUCUAUGCCUCUUUUCUGUUGUGAUGAACCGGAUAAAAGUCCCUUUUAUUUCUGACUGCUUUUUUCUGAACUAGUUACAAUCUUAUAAUUUCUAGGCCUAGCCACUCCAUUUAUCGGAUAUUGUGAUGAAUAGCCUUGCACACAUUUUUUACUUUGGGUAUUUCUCUUGCGCUUGUAACGCUUUUAUCAUUGCCUUCUUGGAAAGGACCUUAGUUCAGCAUUAUCGUGGUUCUGGUUAUUCGACCUGGUUUCGUAGAACAAAUGAAAUUUAUGCAGUAUGCCAUCAGUCAUGGUCGCUUGAUAGUUUUCAAAAAUGGGAGAGAUAGACUCUAUACUCAUGUAAUUAUAUUUGAUUAAAGUGCUUAUAUAGAUACAUUAUCCCCUCAAGCAGGAUGAAAUAUAAAACCCAGAGGGCGAAUUCCUCUCGAGAAAAUGGGAAGAAUCUAAAGACCUCACAGUCCUUGAAGAUUCAGAGGGUUCCUGGCCAUGUUGGAAGCCAUUGGCUAAACUGCAUUUACCUUCUUAUCUGCCUUCUACGGUGAUGAAUUCGUUUUCAAUUUGUGAGUUUCAAAGUGAUUAAAUUGCACACUCAUUCUUUACCAAAAAAAAAAAAAAAUUGCACACUCAUUGAUGCGAGUUUUCAAAAUAAUAUGCUUGGAACCAAAAAGGACUAAGUUUCGAACGUCAAAGAGUGACAGAAGUUCCAAAUUGUUCCUCAAGAUUUGGAGGAGCGAGCACACGACAUAGUUUUCUUAGUCACUCUUCAAAUUUUUAAAAAUUUGAUGAGAAGCUUUUGGUAUGUUAGUUGAUGGCAUUGAUUUGGGUGUUCGAAGUUGUAGUCAAUCAGUUUUAUCUAAUACGAAGAGCGUGCAAACUUCUGUUUUAUGUUCACAUUCGUUGAUUUCCAAACUAUGCUGGAUCUUUUCAUAGUAAAUCGAAAAAAUUCACAUAUGUGCCCAUGAGAGUUCUUUUUUUAACCGGAGGUCAGACCAAACAGCCUAAAUGCCCAGUGAACCCUGUUGAGCCGGUUUUUCAGUGUUUUACUUGUCCAAGGCCUCUCACUGCACUUGAAAAAGCUUAGAGAAUUUGAGUCAGAAUAUCCCUUUUUCAAAAUGGUGAUAUGGCAAUUUCUUGUCAUGAAAGGAAAAGAACUGUACAUUCCUCAUCUCCAUUCAUCAUUGGCAUACUUCAAAUAUGAGACAACGUGACAUGUUAUUUUCGUUGAAGUGUUUGGGGCCAACCGACCAUCCUAAUGGCCGAGUAAUGGAACUUGGUAAAAUGGCAAUCAAAAUGGUAAUUGUGAUACAACCUUCAUGGUUGUGUGUGUCGAUUCAGAUUAUUAACUAGUUCGUCUACCUUGAAACAAUCUACUUCUCUAGUUGCUCCAUCAAGUUGUCUUUUGCUCCCUUUUUACAAGUGGAAAUCAAGAUGUGGAUUUUUUUAAAUAAUAUUUCAAUAUUUUUUGAAUUUUUUUUAUAAUUUUGUUAUUUUCUUUUCUUCUUUUUUUCUUGCCCUUAGGGUCGGCCUGGAUGUAGGCGCGCAGCACCUCACCCAGACCAAGUGAGGGCUGGUGAGGGUGUGCAAGGAAAAAAAAGCAACUAAAAGAACCAAAAGAAAAAGAAGAUAAAAAAUUCAAAAAAAUUAAAAUAUUAUAAAAUGUCCACAUCACUUUCAGCAGUGUCAUGUCAGCGCCAGCUGAUCAAUAUUAGUAGAAUGGACUUAACUGGCACAAAUGCGAAAAGUUUAGAAUUGUAUUGACAAAAAAAAGAAAGAUUCAAUUAGCACAAUUAUAAUAAGUUUAUGAGUUUUUUGAUAAUUCUCCCGACAUUGUUUUCUUAUUAGUGAAUUUUUUCUCGCAAUUCAAGGUACAAAACGGCAUUGUUCUUCAGAAAAGCUUGAAAACGUAUAUAUAUUAAAAUAAUUUUGUGAGAACGAAAUAUCUUUUUUAUCAAGGAAUAGAAAAGGAAAAGGAAAGAAAAGCAAACAAGAAAAUAAAAAUAAGAAAAAUUACUCUUUGCCAUGCCAACCCUAACCUAAAGGUAACAAACUGUCAACACGAUACAACUUUUAUUUAUAUCACAAGAUUUUAUAUGCUCUUCGUCCAUUUAUUACUUGUCAACUUUUCCGGACUUGAUACAUCAUGACCCUUUUCCUCUUUCUUUCUUGAUUCAACAAUAGGGGAAGAAAAAAACACAUUGGACCCUUUUCUGCAAAGAUGGACUCGCGGUCUUGUCCAAAUAUGAACUAAUCGAUUAAUUGCUCAUUGAAUUCAUGUUGCUCGCAUCUAAUUCUAUAGUCAAAAAACUGAAGCUAUGCUUCGGCAUUGAGCGUGCACAACUCUUUAAUUUGACCACAAGCGAAAUCCAUGCAAGUAGUACGGUCCGACUACCCCAGCACGGUAGCACACUUUCCACGGCCGAAGCAUCUGGCGUUGCUGUAAGAGGCACUGGUGCAUUAGUUGAAUCCCCCGAUCGCGGUGUCAAACCUAAGAUCGGUCAAGACUUGACCCGAAGCUUGUGCAUAAUCGUUCGGGUAUUGCAUGCCGUUGCAUAUCUUGCAUAACUUGUACAUAAGCAUCACAUCCAGGUCACUUCUUACAAGUCAGACCCCCACAGAAGCCCCAUGAACAUAAGUGUGAGUGUAAUGAGGUGGACAAGGUCAUCCUAGAGCCCGUUUCCUCCCGUUUGGUUCUCUUUGGUUUGCCACGAGGAAACACACAACACACAAUUGAGUUUGGCUAUAAAAAGGGUUUGUCUCCAUAGUGCUAUCCAUCAUUUAUUCUUUGUUAUUAGGCUAAGCCAUUACCAAGUUUAGUCAUUUAUGACGUCACAUGGAUUUUAAUUGAUAAAUUUCAGAGCUUUUUCUAUGAAUUAUUUGUUCUUUAGUGUAAUAUGUCGUUGCCGUCCUUGCAAACCCUAAUCUCAUAAUUUUUAAUGAAAUUUCCCCCCUCUCUCUUACUAUGCAUGAAAAAUUUAAAAUUGGGAUCCUUUUAAGUCUACGAAAUAAAUUCACAUUAUGAUAAAUGACUCACUUCUUCUUUGUCUGUCCUCUUUCUCCUCUUAUUUUGCAUAGACUUGUCAGCCUCAUGUACUAGUCUUGAAUAUAUUUCUAUAUGUGACAUUGUAAAUUUUAGGUCAUGUAAUUAAUGGAGUUCAUGAAUUUUUUUUUUUUUGAACAGAGAGUUCAUGAUAGUUAUAUAACCCAAAUAACACAAUACUUCUACUACUGCUAAUACUACUACUAGGAGUGUAUUAAAAAAAGAAAAAAGAAAAAAAAAGUCCGAAAACCCGGAUCGAAUCAUCCAAAUUGGCCUGAUAAAUUUGGGCUCAAAUAGUCUUGGGCCGGCCCACUGGCCUCAAACUAUCCUUGAGUUUGGGACUUGAAUGAUUGCCAAACUAGCCCAAUUCAUAGAUCAGAAACUGUACAUAUAUAUGGCCCCUAUGUCAAUUCCCAUUCCUGCUGGUUGAGUGCUUGACUUCUCUCGUUCUCCCAUCUCCCACGCUGGUUGAGAUCCGGUCACUGUUGAGCUGCCAUUGCCACCACCGUCAAGCCCCAUUUUUGUGGCCAUCAAUCCCCACACUCACCAUAUGCCCUCCGUCCAAGACAUCUCGCUCACUCCGUCAGUCCCUCUUCUGCUUGCUCACGUCUUAGUCUUCCUUACGCUCCCUCACUCUCUACCAGUAGAAAACAAGUACUUACCAGUUACUAGCUUGUUUUGAUGUCUUAAGGUUUUUUUUUUUUUUAAUUUUCGUACAUGCUAUUUGAAUUUUUUAUUUUAAAUUUUAAAAUGAUAGUUAGUCUCUCUUUAAAAAGAUGCAAUUAUCUCACGAUAAACUCUAAACUGGUACACAUGUGAUAAAUUUACAUUCUAUUAAAUUUUAUUAUCAAAUUAUUAAGUUAGAUGACACAUGCUAAUUGAUGGAGAUACCAAUUUGGGGUUUUCUCCUCCAUUUGUUACAAUCGUACUAGUUUGUGAUUUUUUGUAGUAUUAAUCCAUUUUAACGAAAACCAACAAAUAUUAAAUUAUCACAAAUGUAUCAGUUUAUGAUUUUUAAUAGUCAAAAUAUUAAUUUGCGGUAAAUGUGUGAUGUACCAAUUUGGGGUUUUGGUUAGUCAAAAAAUUAACUUGAGAUAAAUUUAUCGCGUGUAUACCAAUUUUAGAUUUUUUGUGACAUUAAUUCUUUAUUAUUAUUUUUUUGUUUAACAGUUUAUUAGUUACAUUUAGAUAGUAGAUGGUAGUGGAAAGUGGCCGUUAAUGACGAUUGGCACUUUUUAAGUGCUAAAUGACGAAAAUCGCCUCUGAAUUCGUCUAAAAUCUAACCCGAGCUAUCAUCAUAAUUUGGUUUUUAAGGCAAUCUAGAUCGAGAUAUCAAAAGAGGAACCUCUCCCUUAAAGAAUCUACAAACGUGGUAAUGCUAUUUUAUAAACCAUAUUCUCUAAUAUCUUUAUGUUCAAAUGAAAAUUUACGUAGAAUAAUAAUCGAGUUGGGAGAAUCAUUACCUACACCCAGUGCAAACUCUAUUCCUCUCACAGCAAGCAUGUAUGAAGGCCUAAUAAGAGUGAAAGUCAAAUUAUUCGUAAGUUGUUCGAGCUUGGGUUGAUGAUCAUUUGAGAAGUAAUAUUUAGUCGAGCUCUAACUCGAGCUACUUGAGUAUCUUGCAGAUUGAAAGCUCGAGCUCAUCAACACUCAGCUCAAUAAACUUUGUAAGCCUGAUUAAAAAAAGCAAUUGUUAAUAAAAUUAAAUAUUAACAUCCUCAUCUGCGCACAUGUAAUAUAUAGUAUAUCAUCUUUUUGUUUGAAUCAAGCUCCAGCAUUAAACUAAUGUUUGGGUGAGCUCAAAUCUUGUUUUAAACAUCGAGUAUGAAGUUGAGUGGAUCUCGAGUUUGGCAUUGUAGUGGCUCGGGUGGCUCAAUCAGAGAUCCCUAGGCCCCAGCCGUGUUGACAUCCAAUUCGAUUAAUAAGAGUCUAUGUGUCCAUUGAAGCAAUUAAGAAUUCUGACGUGCAAAAUUAUCAAGAAAUCUCAUUGCUCAAGAUUGGGUUGUGAUCUUCGUCACGCAAGUUUUAAAUCCCCUAUAAUUUUCAAUCCCUAUAUUAACCAAUAGCUUAGAUGAUAAAAGUAAGUGAACAUUAAUAAAUGUAGGAAAUCUUCAAAAGUCACCUUUCCUAGGUCCUAGCUGUAAUCUCGUGGGGGACGUAGCUUGGCUUAAAAAAUCCUUGCUGCAACUUUUCUCCGACAAAAUGGCACUCCAGUUCUCUCUCCUCAGUUCUAUGUAUUUGUUUGUUUACUGAAAAGAGGGCUUUUGCGGCAAUUUUUGUCUCAAUAUAAUUUAAUUUCGGAUAACCAUUUGACAAUUGAAAAAAUCCCUCGGCCGAUAAGAAAUCUUUAAUUUCAAAUGUCCGCCUUUGCGUUUUUCAUAUAUUAACUUGGAGUGUACAUAGAGAGAUCCUUGAUAAUUUCAACUUUUUGAAUUAAUUGGUAAAUCACUAAGCUCCGUCAUGCUAGUCUCUCUCAACAAGUACUUCUUAUUAUUAAAAAAAAAAAGAUCCAUUUUUAUUUCUCACAACUUCAAAUCUUAAAAAAUAAUUUUUUUAAUUUUCCUAGGUCUUUAAUUGAAAAAUUAACCCAAUUUCAUUCCGAUUAUCAUUAUAUAUCAUCAACAUAAACUAAACAAUCACGAUAAAUGAAUGUCCUCUCCUUGAAGUAAAUAGGGAAUAAUUAAAAAAAUCAACAAUUGUUAACAUCUGAGAAAUUAAAAAGGGAAGAAGAUCCGUCAGGUUUUCCAGUUCCUGCGUUUCUAGCAUUCGGUCACUCUCUGCUUCCUCUCUCUCUCUCUCUCUCUCUCUCCCUCCAACCCUCGAGCCGAGCUGCACCGCCUGAUAGGGGGCCUUCGACCGCUGCCGCCGCAUCUACGCCGCCGGGCCACCUCGGCGUUCGGCAGCAGCGCCGCCCCUCUCUCCGCCUCCUCCGAACACCCCCCCGCCCAAAAAAAAAAAAAAAAAAACCUAGUUUCCUGGCUUCGGUUCUCCGAGAUUGCUCGAAGAUGGACGAGGACCAGGAGAUGGAGAGGUUUGGGAUGGACAGCGAUUACGACGAUGGGCAGUGGAUCGACGGGGAGUUCUACUACCGGCGGCGGAGGGAGAAGCGCGCCCAGACCAAGGGCGACGUGCUCUACGGCGUCUUCACGUCGGGGGACUCCGAUUCGGACUACGACGACUCCUCUAAGAGGAAGCGGAGGAAGAACAGGGACCUCCUAUGUAAGGCCGAUCUGUCGAAGCCCGUGUAUUUCGUGUCCACCAGCACGAUCAUGCCGAACAGAGAGAUUGACGAGAACUCGAAGACAGAGAAUGAGGAUGACGAGUCCGCUGACGUGGAUGAGGAUAGGCCGGGCAUGGGGGUUGGUGCUGGGGUGGGUCUGGGGUUUAAGAAGCGAGACGAUGGUUUCGAUGAGAACGGCGAGGAGGAGGAUGGUUUCUUGCCGACGGCAUUUGGGCGGAAGAUCAAGGAGGGAGCGGAGAGGAGGAGAGAGCAAUCGAAAUUGGAGAAUAAAGCGCAACAAGGUGGGGCUAAGAGGGAUUCUUAUGAAUCGGGGAACGUGGGCGGCUUCGAGAAGUACACCAAGGGAAUUGGAACGAGGUUGCUCGAGAAAAUGGGUUACAAAGGGGGUGGUCUUGGGAAGAACCAGCAGGGGAUUGUGACACCCAUUGAAGCAAAGUUGCGUCCUAAGAACAUAGGUAUGGAUUUCAACGACUUACAAGGCAACUCCUGCAGAGGCACCUGUUGCCUCGUUGGAGCCAGAGGAAAAGAAGCCAUCACCUAAUGUGCCCGGUCAGGAGAAGCUUUGGUCUAAGCAAGCGACGCAGAAAAACAAAGCGAAAUAUAUUACAGUAGAAGAGCUGUUGGCGAAGAAGUAGGAUCAGGGCGUUGAAGUUGUGCAAAAGGUACUCGACAUGCGUGGACCUCAGGUUAGGGUAUUAGCAAACUUGGAGAAUCUGAAUGCGGAAGAGAAGGCGAGGGAGAGUGAUGUUCCUAUGUCUGAGCUCCAGCACAAUAUAAGGUUGACUCUGGACCUGGCUGAGUUGGAUAUUCAGAAGAUCGAUAGGGACCUUAGGAAUGAGAAGGAGAAGGAGAAGUUGCAAGCUGAGGCAAAACUCUAGAAGAAACAACUGAUUAACGUGAAGGAGACAAUGAAUACGCUAGGCCGGGUUGAGGAGGAAAAGUCAAUGGGACGUGCGAAGAAGGCUUCCUGAUGAUUAUAAACUUCGUAACUUAUCCUGCAUUGCUUGCUUAUUUGCACUCCCUCUUUGGAAUUCCACACAUGGGUUGGAAGUUGUUUCACGGUGGAAAUCUCUAUUGCAAGGACAGGAAUGUCUUGAUAUAUGGGAUUUGGGAUCCCCUUAUACCUAGUUAGUUUCAGAAGUUGUCUUGCCUGCUGUGUGAAUAUCAGGCAUUUGAAACUUGGGAGGCAAGGAAUCCGGAGCCAAUGCUUCGAUUUUUUGAAGAUUUAGUGAUUAGUCUUCUCGCAUGUGGGCGCAAAUUCAAGUUUGUCAAUUUCUUCUCAAGUGAAGGGCAUUUGGAAUUCAUUUAUUUAUUUAUUUUCUUCAUAUUAACUGAAUGUUGAUAUGCAUAACAAAAGCAAGUAUACGGGCAUCUUUGCGUCGCUGCGGCACGACUCUUCUUCAGCCUCUCUCUGUCGACAAACACAGCACCUGAGCCUCCGGCAGUGGCUUUUCGUCUUAGAAUCGGCAACAUCCCGGCGCUCUUGAACUCGAACUUGCUCUCCACGCUGGAUGAAGCUCGCUAAUUCUCUCUUUUUAUCUCUCUUCCUUGCGAGAGCUCGAUACCUCAUCCAAAGUGCAAUCAACGGUAAUGGAAAUUUGGAAGAUGGCGAGAGGAUGGGAGAAAAUAAAAGCAAAACGGAAAUCAAACAGACGAAAUUUGGAAUGAAUUGAAGACAAUUCUAGAGUUCAAUCGGAGAUGGAACGUCCCAGUAAUUGUUUUGACUGUUGAUUGAAGAAACUCCGUGGUCAAAUUCCGCUGCCACGGCAGCAAGGCGAGCGGCAUCUUCAAACCGGUAGCAACGCUUUUUGUGCUUCGAUCGGUGCUGGAAGCAACAAUCGUCAGAGAGCUCAGUCUUGAUGAAUAGUUGGUGGGUACUCCAUUCGCGGUUGGAUUCUCUCUCUCCAGAUUUUCUCCGACCAGAUGUUUUUUAGCAUCUAUUCUCUCUCUCGCUCCGGAUUCUCCUUAUUCAUCUCCACCAAUUCAGAUCUAUCUCGCGUCAGAUUCCCACAGUGAACGACACCAUCAGAUUCCAAAUUUUGAGUCGUGGCCACACUAAUUCCACUCUGAUUCUUGUCGUCGCUUUCCUGUCCUUGCACAUGUCUGGACCAGAUCUAUAUGUGGCCGGGCCAUCUCGAGCUCAUGCUGCCAUCGCCGCCAAACCAUCAUCAAGGGUGUUUCAUAUCCAAUUGAACUUCCGAGUCAAAAUUUCGAUUCACUCCAGAAAAUGUUCUGUCGAUUCUUGCUUCUUUCUGUUCGCUCCCACUUCAUGGCCAUCUUUCGAAUUCCUUUGUUUUGCCCAUUUAUGCCUUGCGCAAAGGGAAAGCGGGGUGUGUUCACUGCUUAAAAGAGCUUUAUCUGAUUGCCAAGGGUGAGGUUGGAUGGAUCAUCAUCAUCUGGACAGGAUCCGCCGAUUCAAAGGAUGAGAUUCUUUGGGUUCACUCUCGGCACUCCUGCCGGUCCGACAUAGUUUCAUCAACCAACCGCAACGGAGGGCAAUCUGAGUCAUCAAAAUCAUCCGAAAAGAUACGCCAAGCAUGAAGAUUGGCGGUGGUGAGCACGGAGAGAAAACAAGGAAGAAUAAAAGUCGCGAAGCAGUGGAUGGAGAUGAUUCGAAUUUUGCGUGGGGACUGGGGAAAACGGGGCAAACAAGGUGAAACCGGCGGUGGUUCUUUGGAUGAGAAGGAAGUAAAGUGUUGAAAUUUUUUUUAAAAAAAGAAAUAAAAGAAAAAGAAAUAAAAGACGAAAGGAAAAUAUAGAGAGCCCAUGAGAAAUCGGUCAAAAGGAAGACUUGCACGAAAAAUGUAAUCCGUCAUUAUAUUGAGCACCUUCAUUGCAAACUCGAUCCCUCCUCCACAGUGCAAUCGACGGCAAUGGGAAUUCGGCGAGAUAAUUGGAGAAAAAUGAAAUGAAAUAGAUAUCAAUAGACGUAGUCAAUAUGUAUCAAAAUUAAUUCUAGAGUCGAAUGGGAUAUGAAAUGACCUGGUGGUGAGUACCAAUAUUGACCUGACAGAUAUCAUCAUUGUUACAGAAUGGUCUCAAUCUCGAUUUCUCUUUGGGGCAACUCAACGAACACCUUCCCUAAUGUCCAUCUUCAUUUUUCAGCAAGUCUUCCUCCAUCAGGGUCGUUUCCUAUCCGAAUGAACUUCCGAGUCCAAUUUCGAUUCAUUCCAGUAUACGUUCUAUCGAUUCUUGCUUUCCUUCAUCUCCGCCUUUCGGAUUUCAAAUGCCGUUGCUCGCGUCCUUCGUUUCGUCUCUCUAUGCCGCACACAAUGGGGAUGUCUGGCUGGUGGAUAGGAUCUGCCGAUUCGAAGGAUGAGAUUCUUUGGGUUCACUCUCGGCCCUCCCGCCGCUUCAAGAAGCAGCAAGGACUUGCACAAAAGAUGGAAUAUCUUGAGAGCAAGAUUCAUCCCUAACUCAACCAUCAUUUUCUUUUUCUUUUCCUUGAAAAAGGCCAUCAAAAACUCCAAACGACGCCAUCAAGGACGCCCAUUGCGUCUCUUCGCUUCAAGUGCCUUUAUUGGAUCUCUCCCUCCAUCCCGACGCGCUCCCCGGCUCAGUGAGUUCCGAGUCGCUCCACCAUCACCCUCGCUAUCAACUCGCCUCGUGAUCGAUUCCGUCGCUCGCUGUCUUUAGAAACUCCGGUGAUCCUCUCUCUCUCUCUCUCUCUCUCUCUCUCUCUCUCUUUUCCUGUCCUUCUUCCGGUUCGAAUCAUGCAUUCGUUUUGUGGAUUCUUAGGUGUUUUGACGGAGGUUUGAAUCUGGUGUCCUUGAGUGAUGUUUAAUGCUAUUGUCGUUUUGCUCAUCGAUGGAGUUCAUGUCGGAUUUUUUUUCUUUUUUCCUUGUUUCGAACCGUGAAUCCGAGACCACUUGGAAACGAGCGAUGAUUGAACUGAAAACGUCCUGAGAAAUCGCCGCAGUGAGCGAAAGUUGUGCAGAGUUAAGCUCGGUCGAACAGUGGUUCGGUUUUCCUCUAUUUUUUGGCAUUAUAUAGUCACUUCUGGAUUCAGUUGUGGUGCGAGGGUGACUCGCUAGCCAUUCCUGAUCGGUCCUUCGGUUAACGCUUUUCUCUGUAUAGAUUUCUGAGCGGCUUGGGACUUGGAGAUGGGAGUAGCACCGAUGAGUUAUAACAUAAAAGAGGGGACGCUGGAGAUCGGCAUGGGUGAGCUUUCGGCCCUCUCCGCUUUCCAAAUUUUUUUUUUUUUUUUUUUGGAGCUACGGACAAUAAAGAUCUGCUGGGAUGCUUAAAUCUCGUAAUUAAGUUUUGUCUGUAUUGUGGGGAGUAGCUUUCUCUCCUUGUUCGUGGCUUAUUAUGUCUUUCGCCAUCUAAAUUUCACCGUGCUUGGAAUCAGAACUUUAGUCAUGGGAUAUUGUUGUUUUCGAGGCUUUCCAUAUAGCUUUCUCGUUUCUGAAAAGUUUAUGCUGCCCCUGUUAUGACAACGGUUAAUACAUUUAUUACUUAGAUCUACACAAUCUCUAUCAUUUCAUAUAUAUUGGCUGAGAGGUGAGGAAUGAUUUAGCUCUUGUCUGAGUCAAAUGUUUAGCAUGCCUUAGUCGCUGGGUCUUGUUAUUGGUUGUUCAAACAAUUGCUUCGCUACUUGCAGAGUAUAGGACCGUCUCUGGUGUUGCUGGGCCGUUGGUUACACUCGACAAAGUCAAGGUAAAUUUCACCAGUUAUAAUUUUAUGAGGUUCAGUGGACUCCUAUACUAACAUGUUGGAUUAAUUUUAUUGUAUAUCAGGGACCAAAUUAUCAAGAGAUAGUAAAUAUCCGCUUGGGUGAUGGAACAACUAGACGUGGACAAGUCCUUGAAGUUGAUGGAGAGAAAGUUGCUGUGCAGGUUCAGUCUCAGUUGCCAGCCUCUUCUUUUUUCCUUUAGCUCUCUUGAUACUGCAUUUUUGUUGUUUGGACUGCAAUACUUGGGUCAACUUUGUGUGCAAUACUUUUCAGCUGAUGACCCAGUGAAUUCUCUGUCAUUCAUUGCAAGCAUUAGAAAAAGCAGAACAUGAAGAGUAUUAUCUUAGGUAUAUGUGAUGAAAUGUGAGAACAUCAUAUGGGAUGAUAAUUGAAAUGUGAUAGAAUUUCUUGAGAACAAUGUUAAGAGUCUAAUUAGCAUUCCGUUUAGGCAAUUAUAGAUCCUCUUUGCUCUCGAGUGAUGGAAGUCUAGUCAUGGUGUGGGUUAUUUUGGCUCUGCAAAAGGCUAAUAAUCUUUCCUAUAUGUCUCUAAUUGUUGUCAAACUUCCGUAGGUUCUGUUAUUCACUAGUUUCUUUGUCAGUAAAAUUUAAAUAUAAGUAUUCUACUCAUGCUUGUGUGAUCGGUGGUUGUUCAUCUUAGACUUCCAGUACGUAAAGCUUUCUGGUCAUCCAUGUUUCACUCUCUUGUCGCUAGGUUUAUGAAGGUACUUCUGGGAUUGAAAACAAAUACACCAUUGUGCAAUUCAUUGGUGAGGUAAUUAUGCAUGCUGUUUGUUUUUGUUUUCCUAAUAAAACAAUGUUUCAUCAUUCUGUAGAAAGAAAGAGUUAGAUUUGUUUUUUUCCGUAUUUGGGAACUAAAUGCUCCUACAUGUUGGCAACAAGAUUUCACUUGUAGCAUGAGAAAUAAUUUGGCAUAUGUCUUGGGCUUGGCCUCAUGAAAGGCUGUCAAAAGUGCAUUGUUUUCCUACCUUUACAAAUCUUUUUAGCUGUGUCAGCAUUUACUCUCUUUAAUCUUGGAUAAAUAAAAAAACCUUUAGAAAUUUAUUGUGGAGUUCUCACAUUUUUCUUUUAAUGCAGGUUCUAGAAAGCCCAUUGAUAAUGGCUCUCCAAUUCUGCCAGAGGCUUACCUGGAUAUUUCUGGUGAGUUGUGUCAUUGUGAUAGUAAUUUUGAUUGGCCAUGGAGCCAUUUAUACUUCAUGGCACCUAUGGCAAUCCCAAGAUCCCAGUGAAAGAACCUUCCUGGAAGAGAUGAUACAAACAGGAAUUUCCUCCAUUGAUGUAACGAAUUCCAUAGCUCGUGGACAAAAGAUCCCACCUUUCUUUGCUGCUGGUCUUCCUCAUAACAAAAUAGCUACUCAGAUUUCCGCCAGGCUAGUCUUGUGAAGCGAUUGGAGAAGGCUGAUGGUAUUACCAAGAUAUAUGUUGCAUCUUUGUUGUAUACCAAUGUUAUAAUACCCUGCUCUAUGAGUUUUAUUGCCUCGAUAAUUUAAGGAACUACCAUUAGUUUUACAGAAUUUUCCUACGGUUUUGGAGUUCAGGUUCAGAAUUCACCUACAAUGUAUUUUAUCCUUUGACUAACUAGCUCCACUAUUAUAUGCUAGACUUCUCAAUUGCUAAAUGCAUUCUUUGUGAAGAUUUUUGAUCUUAUUUUAUUUGUUGUUUUUUUGAGAAUUCGAUGUUAUGAGCCUUCAUCUUUCUAUUCCAAACACUCUCUUUCAAUAUCAUUUAUGAAAAUGUGCUGCAAAUUUAUGUAGGAUGACAAAGAGGACAAUUUUGCCAACAAUGUUGCCAUAGUAUUUGCUGCUAUGGGAGUGUACAUGGAAACUGCACAAUAUCUCAAACGUGACUUGGAGGAAAAUGGGUCAAUGGAGAGAGUGGCCCUUUUUCCUUAAUCUGGUAAUAUCUAAUGAGCUAAUAGUUAAUUGUCUCGCAGAUUGUUUCUUUCUGGCAAUUUUUGCAAGUUCGUAGAUUCAGUUCGUGACAUAUAUCCUUGCUGAUUAAAGGGUUGUACGGAUGCCUGUAUUUCAUUUUACGAAGUUUGCUAUUUUCUUUAGGCCAAUGAUCCAACUGUUGAAUGCAUCAUCACUCCACGAGUGGUGGUCACAACUGCUGAGUAUCUGGCUUAAGAAUGUGACACAUCUAUAGUGAUUUUUUUAUUUAUUUAUUGUGAUGUCAGAAUUUCAAAAUUAUAUCCACUAUGGAUGAGGAUAGGCGGGGCUUGGGGGCCUUGGGAAGAACCAGUAGGGGAUUGUGACACCCAUCGAAGCAAAGUUGUGUCCUAAGAAUAUGGGUAUGGGUUUCAACGACUACCAAAGAAACCCCUGCAAAGGCGCCUGCUGCCUCGUUGGAGCCAGAGGAAAAGAAGCCAUCACCUGAUGUGCCUGGUAAGGAGGAGCUUUUGUCUAAGCAAGCGAACAAGACGAUGCUGAAAAACAAAGCGAAACACAUUACAGCAGAAGAGCUGUUGGCGAAGAAGCAGGAACAGGGUGUUGAAGUUGUGCAAAACGUACACAACAUGCGUGGACCUCAGGUUAGGGUAUUAGCAAGCCUGGAGAAUCUGAACGUGGAAGAGAAGGUGAGGGAGAGUGAUAUUCCUAUGUGCGAGCUCCAGCACAAUAUAAGGUCGAUUGUGGACCUAGUUGAGUUGGAUAUUCAGAAGAUCGAUAGGGACCUGAGGAAUGAGAAGGAGAAAGCUCUGAGCUUGCAAGAGGAAAACAGAAGCUACAAGCUGAGGCAGAACUCCAGAAGAAACAAAUGAAUAAUCUAGCAACUAAAUUGUGCACAUGGAACAGCGGAAGCACAAUCACGGUAGAGUCUGAUUCCGUUAGUUUGUACCCCACCUUAUGAUGCCAAAUUGCGCUGAGUUAGCAGCAUGUGAUUGGGGAGGGGUGGCCCAUAGCGCUGGAGGUGUGCAAGAACAUAGCUACAUCCGAGGGAUCGUUGACAACUGUGGACAUCGAGUCGAGGCUCGGCUCGGCUCUACGUCGGUCGAAGAGAGAGUGAUUUGGUAGAGUGAAGAUUGGCGGUUAGGUGGGGGAUGUUGAGCUUGGAAGCAGCGGAUUGAGCCCGUCGGUUUCCUUCUUGCAGUGUCAAUAGGAGCUUCGGUUCUGAGUCGGAAAGGUAGAACUUGAGCACCUUAGCUGUGUAGAAGGGAUUGAGCGGAGCUGCGGUGGCUCAGCAAUGGAUUACCGCUGGAAACAGGAUCACAAACUGCAAAACGAACACAUUUUCCAAUAAGAAAACUAUCACACCAGUCCCUGCGGAUUGGAGAUACACAUACAUAUGCAGGAUAUGCAGACAACUAGUUUGUCAACAUUUAAUUUCAUUAAAACCAUCCAUCUCCUUUUGAUAAGCGUUGACUUUGUUUUACGAUGAAUCGGUGCUUGUACAUCCCAGAAAACAACCCUUGGACCCGACAGAAAAUUCUCUUCAUGCUUUUCCCAUUUCAAUUUGUUCCUGUUCAAUUUGCACCACGCGCUCGCAGAAAUUUCAUGCCUCAGAUGCAAUUUUUUUCAGUAGAAAUCGAUGCCAUUUCCGUCUCUCUGUUCUCGAAGUACUGUAAAACUCCAAGAAACAUCUACCUCUUUCUUUCCCAAGCUAUUUCCCAGUCGAUGUUUCGCAAGUCAUCGAUCUCAUCAUUAGAAAUUCAUCGUCACCGCAAUCUUCCAGAUAUUGUGUUCUCAAAUUUAAACAGCAUCAUCCGUACUUGCGAACAGACCGGGAUGACACAGACAUACCUCGAUGUUGUUGAGGAAAGUAAGCGCGGCGGUGUCGGUGCGAGGCAGUGAUGAGUACGGUGGUGCAAUUGACAAGCUCCUGCAGCCGCAUGUGUGUCAGGUCGAGCUCCUCGCAGGCGGAGACGGCUCUCUUGUUGGGGAAAUCCGAUGUUGCCUUCUUCAAUAGGUCCGUGAGCGUAAGUUCUCCCAUCACUAACCACAGGGAACGAAUCGACGGCAAUCGGCUUCAGCCGAAACCAAUCCCCGAUCAAACUGAAGAGGGGCACCACAAUCGCUUGGCGAGACAAGAAUGAAGGAUCGACAAGAACAGGAAUUCGCACGUAUGCAUAUGAGAUGGAAAUGAGACCAGAGGGAGGAAGGGAAGGAAGUUGAUGCAAUCGAGGUGGCUCCGCGGCCAGUGCGAGCUCGGUUAAGGUGGCGACGGAGACUUAACGGAUCAAAGGCUGUAACUAGUCUCACUAAUGUCUUCGCAAGAAAAUGUUUCAAUAAACUAAUGAUAGCCACGUAAUCAAUACAUUUGUCCAUUCAGUGGACGACAAGUGGCACUAUGGCGGCCCGCUCUAUCAGCAAGUCUGCAAGUCCAUUCUGCACGACAAAAUAAAUGUCGUCCAAGUUUGAGAUAAGAAAUGAAAACCGCAGCAUCAGAAAAGGUCAUCACCAAAGGAUUAAAAUCCAGUCCAAGUUUGGGGCAAUGGCGAUUCUUGCACAGAUUGUAUAUAUGCGAAGAUCAAUGGCGAUUCUGACAGUCCAUUCUUUGCACGCACACACGCAGAUCUCCUGCUCCUUCACAACAAAAUACACAUUCAAAACUCAAUUAUGUUCAUACAGAACACUUUAACUCGAACCAGAGGAAUCAACAAGCCACGAGACAGCAAUUUUCAUGUCAUACGCCGAGCAUACGAGGUGAGAAUACUAACACUAUUUGACAAAUGAGCAUCCUAUUCUGACAAAGUCGGCCAUAAUAAGUAUUCAAAAAGUUGAGAACAAAUCGAAUUUAUGUAAUAUGAUUCUGCGGUUUGAGAAUUGAAUCGAAUUUACAUACUGAUCUAGUUCGAGCAUUUUAUCAAACAAGUAAUGUGCAUUUUAACCAAGGAGCUCAUACGCCAAUGCACAGCAAGGAUUGACUUUCAGAUCAUCACGAAAAUAACAGCACAAGUCCGAGUUGUUAAAUAAAGCUUCAAUCUCAACUGAUUUACUCACAGACAUUAGCUAAAGCUAACCGGCUCUGUUUCGUUCAUGAGCAGCAGAAACAGAGUGCGUGGGAUUUACCUUGAUGAGAGUGAGUUUUUCACUUCGGUCCGUGAUCAGAUCGGAGAAAAGUUACUGGCGCUCUCCACGUCGACGAUUGACCUCUGGCUCGUGCACGUUUGGGCGGCAUGACCAGAAAACAGAGCAGAAGGAGAGGAGGCCUUGCGGCAACGGAACCGGCAAUGGUGGAGCCGCUACGGCAGCGUUUCGACAGUGUCUAAAGGACAAUGGAGAAGGAGAACCGAUGAAGGAUCCUCUAGAAUUCCAAAGAGAGAGAGUUUCUUCGUGAGCUUCGGUGUGUGCGUUCUAUCGUGUCAUCGCUGAGCCUGUGGUGGCCGUCGAUGGUGGUGCGACGGUGGCUGUGGUGAUUGUAGACGGCCGACGGUGGUCUGGGCUUCGCCUUGUGGAUAAGGUCUGGGCUACACGAAUUAAACCAGGCCCAACAAACCGGACCAGGUCCUUUCGAUUAUGAUUUUUUCUUUCUUUCUUUCUUUUCUUUCUUCGUUUGUUAUUUAUUUUUAAUAUUAUUUUUUACUUUUUAUUUAUUUAUAUUUACCCAAAUGCAUGUUCGACUUGUUGGCAAAAAUUCAGGAGUCAAUAGGAGCAAUAUUCCAUCAUUUGGCCUAAGAACAACUUCACACCAAACUCAAUUACAAUUCAUUGUUUGUGCAAUAUUGUGACAUUAUUCCCUUAAAGAUUAGUCCUUGUACUUAACUCUUCCAUCCUUGAGUUGAAUUUGAGCGCUGAUAGCAUGGCUGCACUCGUACUUGAGUUGAUUUCUUGUAGAAUCGAUGCACACAGUACAGUUUGCAUCUCGAAGCGCAUUUUGCACGUUCUGUGCACGCAACACAUCGCGAUGGAAUCAUCAUGCUCCUGUAAUAGUUGUACACAUGACUUGCCAUCUUAAUUUAUCAUCAUAUAGGUGAUGCGUGUACUUUUAAGAUUGCCACUUUAUCUGUGUUCUUAGCACGUAUCUCAGUAUUGAUUUGUGCAAGUGGGUGGCACAUAUUCCGUCCAUGGUCUCCUCUGUUGAAUACUCUUGGCCAAGAGAUUACAAUGUCCUCUUUUGACUAACAUCCUCGUCUGUGCUUUGUCGUAUACGGUUUGUUAGGCAUUUAUACAGGUUAGAUACUUUUUGUGAUCAAGAGCAGUACAUUCCAUCCUAUAACAUCAAUUAUCUUGUGGGAUUGUGACGAACAUCACAUCAGGUCCGUUUUCACGUUCUCGUUCUUUCGCCCUUCGCCCGCCACUUGUAUCCGGCAAACUCAAUAAGAUAGCUCCACCACCCGUCAUUUCUCCGGCCUGCCAGAAUUUCUUCCGAUUUCCGUGUCUUGUUGCGCGCGAAUCAGUUGAAGUCGGAAGACGGUUUCGUAAAAAUCUCCCUUCUCAAUCUUCAUCGUCGUCUUCUUCUUCAGCUAGGGCUUUGUUUUCAAAUUCGUCCCAUGUUCGAGGUUAUCUCAUGUUUUAUUUUUUUGGUUAUGUUUUUCCACUCGCGCUAGUGACUUCAGAUCAUGGUAGGCUACCUUAGAGUGUCAAAAGGAAAAGUUCCGAAACUAGCUGAAAAAGACGAGGAUUGAGAGUGUAUAUAUGGGUCUUUCUUUAUCGAACUGGCUGUUUGAAAAUGCGGAUGAGCAGACCACUCCUUGUGGCUUCAUCAAGAAACAUCUUCAUGACAGCAAAGUAGUUGCCACUCUUCAGGCAUUUAGACAGAUCGCGGCCGGAGAAGUUAAGGAGCUAUGUGCACGUGGCAAUAAUAUCACGUCAAGUGUAGAUGUCUGCGUGUUUUGAGCUCGUCGAUGGAGAUGAUAUCGUGUUCAAAGUCUCAAUUUUCGGCCCUGCUGGUGCGUACCAGAAUUUAUUUGGGCAAAUCAACUGAAUCUUGAUAUGCAUGGCCAAGCAAUUUUCAAUCUAUGCUACAUCUUUUCAUAGUUAGUCAAUUCAAGAAACUUUCACGCCACUGUCUACUAAAUUCCUCAUCAUUUAAUUGGGAGAAAAGGUUAAUCAACUAAAUCUUGACCCUUAUCCCUACCAGUUUUGGAUCUAAGUGCAACUUGGUCUCCUUGUCAUGCAAUCCCCAUCGAUAUUGACGUCCAAGAACCACAUCUGUCGCUAGACGUUAGACGACGUGGGAACGUUAUUGGAGGGGCUUAUGACAUCUCAAAGUUAGAAAUUGGAUGGGAGAGAGGGACUUCAAGAUAAAUAUCCUUGUCCGAAUGAUCAUCACAUUAUACAGUUACUCAAAGUGUUAUUUUCGAGAGUGGGUCGGAUGGUUAAACCAUUGAACGGUACUACGGACAUCCAAUCAACCGAGUUUUAAAAAAGACAGAAAUUGGAGAAAAGGAAGAUAGUUUUAUUAAAUAAAGAGGCAAAGGUUUCGGAAAAUAGCAAAAAGUGGAUAAAAUAGCUAAAGAAGGUCCUACACACGUUCUCUGCCCUAUCGAACGCCAUUGCUCACCUGCUAGCUACAACGGCUACGCGCUUGCACCCUCUCUCUUGGAAAAAUGGGCUCUUGUGGGCACCACAUGCACCCGAGUCCCCAACUAGCCAGGUUGGAAGAGGAAAAAAUAAACAUAAAUGUUUUGAAAAAGCCUUUUUCUUAAAAAUAAUUGAUUAUAUCUCGAAUAGUCAGUCAAAAAAAUGUUUUUAUUACCAAUAACAAUUUAAUCAUUUUCAUUUAUUCAUUUUUGCAAGUGAUAAAAGCAAUUAUUUAUAGAGAAAUAUUUUUCAAAAUGUCAAUUUUUCACGAAACAAAUGAAUCGGUUUUCAUUAUUUUUAUUUAUUUAUUGCCAUCAAGUUCGUCUCACCAUUGACUAAUAAGUCAUAAUCUUACUUGACUCUAUCCUCUGAAACUUGAAAAAAAUACAAUAUUAAUACCCCAAAACUCCGGCAACUUUUUAGAAGCCCACAAACGAUAAUGUUACGAAAGAAAUUGGUAUAGCCUUUUCAUUUCCAGUUUGUUUCAUCUACAACAUUGCGACACCGAAAUCUACUUCCCGAAGUAAAUUGAGAGAUUCACGUGGUCGCAUUGAUGGCAAGCGUGCAGUGUAUCUGAUCCUUUGCGGUUCUUGAACUGCGACAAUUUGGUAUAGUAGAAUGAGGAAUAUUGUCUCUCUAAUAAACAUGAAGAAAAGCAAACCCAAAUAAUAAUCCAUUCAAACCCUAGAGCACCAGAGCAUGUAAUUAACAAAUUGAAUUCGACACGACUGACUAAUUACCCUUGUUGCCAAACGGAAUAACAAUUUAGAGAAUAGCGGUUAAGCUAUACAACAAUAGGUCACCCAUCAAAUUUUAUGAGGGCAAAGAGUGUCAUUGAAUAGCAAAAGCAAUUACUAAUUUACUAUUUCGUAACAAGACGAGCAUGUCCAUAAUCUGCCAAUGAUUGCUUACCCUUUCAAACAAAAUAAGGUAGGAAAAAAGGACGAAGGAGGCGUGAAGCUUUCUAAGGCUAAUACCAAACAUUAGCCUCAGAAAGCUUCACGCAAAUUAUCCACCCCUUGACGACAACGCAUACAAAUAAUGCAACACACUGCAUGUAAAAAUAAGCUGACUGCAAAUCUGAAAAAAGCAGAGGGUGAGGACGAACUUUGGUAGGAGGGACAUAUCGGAUAUGUUAGACAGUUCAUGAGAACCUCUCAUUUUGCACGCCACAGAUGAUUCUCACGUCCGAUAGAUCCUGAGGGUGAUGAGUGAUCUAAUGAGGCAGGAUCCAGUAAAGCUUCCUCUCGGUGGGAUGGCGACGUCUUCACAGGGGUUGGGAGUGUUGGGCACUGAAUCUUGCUACAGCUCUUCUUUAAACUAUAGGGACUGAUAUAUCGCCACAGCCGACACGCAGCGUAGCAAAAUUGAAUGUCGUAAAAUCCAUGACAAACCUGAGGCCAUAGAAAGCAGCGUUGACUUCAACUCCAACGAAACCAGCCUCUGUGAUUGCAGAAUCAACAACCCUCUCAGGUCCAUACUACUAAAAAGAAAAGAAGCUUUAGACACAUUGAAAGACUCUAGGAUCUGCAAACAUUUCCUCAUCAAACGCAGCAUUCAUGGCCUCUCUCACAAUCAUCUCUUUCCCAUAGUAUCAUAACUACGUAAAGGCAUUUCUGCAGCACAACUCUUCCGUGGCCUUUCUCUUGACAACAUAGCAUCCGAGGGCUUUUCGUAUUAGAAUCGAUAACAUCAUGCGCUCUUGAACUCGAACUUGCUCUCUCUCUCUCUCUCUCUCUCGAACGGGUAUCCUUGGAAACAAAGUCCAGCUUCGUCAUUCCAUCGAACACCUUCCUUGCAAACUCGAUUCCCUCCUCCACAGCACAACCAACGGCAAUUGAAUUUCAGAAGACAGCGAGAGAAUUGGGAGAAAAAACAAGAUCGAAACAGAAAUCAACAGACAAAUCUGGAACGAAUCGAAAUUCAUUCUAGAGUUCAACGGGAGACGACGAAUUUCGUCAUCGCUUCAAUGUUACGAGGAACCGGCUGUCUCUGAAGAUCUCUCGAAGCAAUGAUCGUAAGAGAUUCCAGUUGACAGGCUCACUCCCUCAUGGUUUCGUACAGAGAGAAAGAGAGAGAUUCUUCUCUGAAUUUUAGACACCUCGUUCUUUUCUCCUCUCUCUCUCUUUUAUUUUAUUUGCACUCUUGUUAUUUCUUUUUAUUUUGUUUUGUGUCUUUGAUUUGUAUUUUAUAAAUAAAAAAUAUACAAAUAAAAUUCAGCUUCUUCAAUGAAGGAACUGAAUUUUAAUAUUCUAUCCCCUCUUUUCUUUUAUUUGUAUUUUUGUUAUUUAUUUUUUAUUUUUUACAUCUUUAAUUUGCCGGUUAAACUAACGAUACAGUCAAAAAGUUGAAGCUAUGCUCCAAUACUGGAUGAGCAUCACUCUUUAAUUUGGCCAUAAGCGAAAUCCAUGCAAGUAGCACGUACCAACUAUGCCAAUCCAACAAUGCAUGCUCCUUGGCCAAAGCAUUGGACAUCACCAUAAGAACCACCGGCAUAGUGGUCUAAUCAUCGGGUCUCAAUGUCAGAUUUUCAAAAUAUCUUUCAGUUGGGCCCAAUUUAGGAAAUUUGGAUUUUAGUUAAAGCUGAGAUGGCCCAUAUCCGCUUUUUUUGUAAUUUAGAAAUAAUGUCUUAUUUUCCUUCUCACCAAGCCUCUUUCAUUUUCCCCGAUCUCUCGUUCUCUCUUGUCUCAUGAUCAUCGAGUCGUCCAGUCCCCACCAACCCGCCACCGCGCCACCUUCGAGCCCUGAGCUCUGCUUUCUCUCUCUCAGUCUUUCUUCUCGUGUCUCGCCCACAUGUCAGCGAGUUACAAAGCGAGAGAUGGGACGGACUCACUUUUUUGCUCGUGUCAUGGUCUCCCUCCCGCUCCCCCUCUCUCCAGCAAGUGGCAAAACAGGUUUUUACUAGCCUGUUCUGAUGUCUUCAAGGUUUUUGAAUUUAGGACGUGCUAUUUGAAUUUCUCAUGGAGAGUAAAAGCAAAAAAUAAAAUAAAAUAAACACUUUUUUUUUUAAAUAUCGGGCUGUGCCAGACCCUUGGAUCUGGGCCAUAUGGCAUGGCUUCAGUCCGGGCCAGGUCCUCAGUCACACAUUUUUGGACUGACCCUCGAAAUAAGAAAAAGGUUUCGCUCUGGUCCUUUGGCCACGAGGCCUUUAUUGGCUUCCACAGCUAAUAGGUGGUCCAGCGAAUGACCGCAGAGCCGUUGGAUAUGAUAAGGGACGCUAUUCUUCCAUAUCAGCUAACCUCACAAGUUUUCGGAGAACGGUUUGGUUUCGCCUCUUCUCUUUGUGUUUUUCCCCUUUCUGGGGUUCCUUUUUUCUCUCCCCUUUCUCUCAGCAUUGUGUAAUAUCAGCUCAUGCGAGCGAGCCAAUUGUGAGAAUUGCUUGUAAUUUUCUUGUUUUUCGUUUCUUUUCUUGGCAAAUGGAGCAACACCUAAAACUCCAAUCGCAUUUCAUUAAAUUGGGUAUCAUUCAUCCGGCCAAACCUACAACUUGAGGUGAGUUGUUUUCUUUCGUGACAAAAGCAGGAACACUAGCAUCUUACUAGUCAAAAGUUAAAAAGACUUUUAUCAAGAUACGAUAGUUGGAGCUAUAUAAUUCGUGAUAAAAUAUUGUGCUCUUCUAUUUCCUAUUGAUCGAGUGACAUGCAAAGACUAACAUAAUUUCUAAAAUAAAGGGUUUAUUGUUAUUAGCCCGUGAGAAGACCCAGGAAAAGGGCGAAACAAGAAUUGAAAACGUGUCGAAGAGGACAAAGGAAGAGCAAAUUCUUAUCUGGGUGCGGGGAAUCAUGACCAAAGGGGUUCUCAUCGUUGUCGUUAAUCGUUAAACGUGUCGUUAACGGCUCGAUCUCGGGUGCACGAAUCCGGAUCCAAGGCGAAAAGAGGGAAAGGGCCCCGUCCUGAGGAUGAUCGGGCGCGGGAGGAGGGAGGGAACCCGGUAAAAGCGGUAGGGUGGCGGGGCAGGGGAGUGCACCGGCAGACUACUCCUGUUCAAUUUCGAUUGGGUUUGUGAGGUUAAUAAUAAUUCAGACGCACACUCAUUAAUGCCACAUUCCAAGCCUAAAUGAACUGAAAAGGACGUGCUUCUGGAUGUCCUUAUCCUUUCUCGUUAUGUUGUUCUUCAUUUUGAAUUUGAAAUUAAGUGUCAUGACGUAGUUAAAAUUAUGGGUUUUAUUUUUCCCACGGGGAACACCAAAGAGGUUCAUGAGAAAAUGUAAUGAGAAUCUUCCAAUGGCCUGUGGAAUUGGAAAAAAUGUGAUGAGAUGAUUUGGUUAUCAAACGGUUGGGAUGAAUUCGUAGAGCGUUACUCUAUCUGCGAGGGACAAUUUUUGGUCUUCAAAUCUGAAGUGGACUCCAUUUUCCAUGUAAUCAUAUUUGAUAAAAGCAAGUCCAAGAUAGAAUAUCCACCAACAAAUGCCAAUGGUAGGAACCGACCCUCAGCAGUUGGGCAUUUGUCUGGUUGAAAGUGGAAGAUGCCGACGAUUUCCGUGAUGUUUCGGUCAAGCUUGAAGUCUAGGGGGAUGAAUUGCAUUCACCCAAGUGUCCUCGGCUUUGUAAGGCAAUGGAAUCUGAUCGGGUUUGCGAAGUUCAUGACGGUUCCUAUGCACACUCAUCAGCACAGAGUUUGCGAGGAGACGGAAGUUCGAACUACUUAUCAUGAGAUUUUCAAUCCAUUUGAUUGUGUUCUUGUGUUUGAUUCCAAUUCCGUAUUCCGUAUAGGAACUCUCCAUGUGAUUUGGCUAAGAGAGGGAGCGUUAAAGCUAACUCAUUCUUGUAGGGCCCAUUUGGUUCGGCUUUUGGAGAAUGCAUUUGCCAAAAUGCAAAUACCUUUGGGUGAAUAGGGUUUUCCGAAAUGCAAAUAUCGUUUGAUAAAAUUUGCAUUGAGAUAUAACUUUGGCCAAAAUACCGUUUGGUAAAAUUUGCAUCUGUAAAGGACUUUUAUUAAAUUAAAAAAAACAAAAAAAAAACAUUAGUAUUUUUUUUUUUGAAGUCUGGCCAUCGGAUUGCCGGAUCUGGCGGCCGGAUGGUCGGAUCUAGCGGCACGACCCCAGGCGACCUCAUGUGGCCGCUUGGGUCGCGCGACCCAGGCCAUCAAUCGCCUGGGUCACGCGACCCAGGCGUCGCCUGAGGUCUGGCAACGGUCACCGGGGUCGGGCGACCCUCAGGCGGCAGUCACUAGAGCCUCGUCGGCACGCGUGACCCCUUAGCUGAUGACCCGCCGGCCUCCGAUCAGCUUCUUCCGAUGGUGUGCGGUGGUUUUUGAGAAGAUGAACAAUACUGAACUUGCAUUCCAGAGAUGCAACUUCCCAAAAUACCUCCGGAGCUGCAUUAGACUAAAGGCCUUUAGAGCCACUUGGAGAUGCAAUUGCAUCUCGCCAAAGUCACUCAAAAAAACAAAUCAAACACAUUUGCAUUUGACCAAGGGACUUUAGAGUCCCAAAGGGCUUUCCAAAUGCCCAACCAAACAGGGCCGUAGUGUUUAUCUAUCUCUAGCUUUCCCAUGUGUGCAUAUGUAUGUUUUAGGGGAUCUCAUAAAUGUCAAGCCAAUGGAAACAAGCCGAAUGAGUCAUAUCGGAUUUGAUUGUGCUGAAAUUGACAUUGGUGUGCAUAUAGGCCUCGAAAGCUAGACUAUUAGAAAGACCCAGAUCCAUCAAAUUGGGGUUGAUGUGUCCGGAGAUAUGAAUUUCACAUAAUAAGAAUAGCAUAUGCCUAAGCUUUCUUCAUGUUCUAAUUUGUGACUGUUGCAGAUAAACUGAAACAACUGGGUUUGCGCAGAGUUGUCAAAUCAGCCAGCAAAAUUAAACCCGACCACAUUGCGGUGAGGUGAAUAUAUCUAAAGAAAAGCAAUGUGGUAUGAUCCUCAUGACAAUGACAACACUUGAAUUUAAAUCACAGAGUUGCUAGACUAUAUUAGCUCUAGAUUGAUUGUGCAUCAGGUCAUUAAUUUCUGUUUUUAUCCUUGACAUGCUUUGAAAAGGAUCCUCGUACUGUCUUGGUCAGAAAUCGUUGGUUGUCUUCUUCUUUCUGAUGACAAAACUGCAGAAAGUGCACUUGAGUAAAGAGUUCCCGGCCCAUUCCCAAAGAUGCACUUCAAGAAAAGCCUGUGGACUGUGGCUCUCAUAUAUCAGGACAAAUCAUGGCCGGUGAAGCGCAUUAGCCACGAACAUUAUGGAAAGUUAUCUGUUGGUUGGGCUACUUUCUCGAGAGAAACUUCUCUGAAGGAGGGAGGCUUGUGCAUGUUCAAGCUCUAUUAGAAGGGGCAACGUCGUGUUCAGAGUAUACAUCUUCAAGACCACUAGCCAGAGGUAGGUGAAAAAUCCUAUGCAAUAGGACACGGCAAAGGAAGCAUCACUUUAGCUCAGAAUUGCUUGGCUAAAAUCUGCUUCAAAUUUGACAAAUCAGAAAAAAGCAUGAGUUUUAUUCUAAUGAAUGGAAAGAUACCUUUAAUCGAUCCUAGUGUUACAGUCACCACGUGGGGAUGACCGAAUGAGUCAUGAGUCAUGAGACGGAGGAAGCUGAUUGCUUCUAGUACAAGUCACACAGCCUCAUUUCCUUACUCCUCCCAUAGUAGAUUUUCGUCGUCAUCGAACCACUCUCUAUAUUUCAAAACCCAAAAGGAAAUUUAUAUUCAUUUAAGCAAAGAGAGACAAUAAAACGAUGUAAAAGCCGUCCUUCAAGUCUAUAUUAAUCAAAAUAUCCAAUGCUCUCUAGUGAUUAAUACAUAGAUUCUAAUUAUAAUCGGACAUCUACCGAGCACAACCGAAAAAGAGUUCUAUAAGCUAGCAAUGACCUAAAAAAUAGUUCCACAAGAGGGCUCAACCUCCUCGACUUAUUAAAUGAAUCACGAGGCAAGGAAAAGAGAACUUGGGCAAUUAAUGGCAUUAAACGCAAUUAAUGCGAAUCAUGCAGAAAUUAUUAGAAGUAUAGUGAGUUGGGGCUUAGAUGGUGUUCCUUACUCAUGUCAAUUGGCAAUGAUAAAGAAAAGUAACUAACUUGUGUGAAAGUUAUCAAUCAUUUAAAAAUUUAGUGUCACUUUAAAACUUACAAAAUUUAUUAAUCAGAUAAAAAAAUUAAAAAAAAAAUGUACGAUUACAAAUUACUUUCAAUCUGCAGAGCGUUACUUACAAAUUUGAAAAACUCUUUUAUGCAUGUGACACUCCAAAUUCCAUAUGGAUUGGAAGAGGGAUAAUUGACCAAUAGAUAAGUGUGAACACAAACCACCACCGCUAGAUAUUCACCUCCUGAAAAACUUAUUUAGGGGCUUAGAUCAUAACAAAUCGGAUUGUUAAUAUUAGAAAAUUCCAUGCCUAACUUAUAGCUCGAACUUGCACAUUAAUUAAAGAUAUUUAACUUGGUAUUUGGCUCAAAUAAAAGUUGUACUCUACAAUGCUAACCUAAGAAAAGUAUAUAAUUCUCUCAAAUUAAGAUAGGUAAUUUCGCACAAAAAGUGUUAAGCGUGAUUGUGGUUGGUGGAGGAGAAAUACCUAUGUAGAUAAACCAAGAAAGCGAAUCUUUUUAAUACGAAAGUAAGUUAUACUAGCCAUUUAGCUUAAUUCUCCAAAAAAGUAUCAACUUUAUCUGGAGUAUUAAUUCAGGCAUAACCUUUUUUUUGUAACAAAAAAUCAUCAACUUCCAUGCCUAAAUCUGACUCCGAUUAGCUUUCCAUCAACUAAUGGUGUUAAAUGUUUGAUGCAUCAAUUUCACGUCAUUAUCUUUUUCCAAGUCAGAAUUCAUAUAUAUAUGCUGUCUUCUUUUUUCUUUAUUUCUUUUUUCCAUUUCCCUUUUUCUUUCUUCUUCUUCUUCCUUUCACUGGACGAUAACCUGACCACCGUGAGUCAGCCGUACGAUCCAAUCAACGGCCCAGCCCUCCGUCCACCACCACCUCGCCACCUUCCACAACCCCAGCCGUAUUCCUGUUUUUCCCAGCCUCUCGCCACAUAUCUCCACCACCACCGCCUCUACUCUUGGCCGAUGACCCCUGGCUUCCGAUGUCCAGUAGCCUGGCCGUGGCUUGUCCUCGCUGUCGUCGAGCUCGAGCUCGGCCGGCGCUCUCGAGCCUCAAAUUUUGGAUCUAAGCUCAAGCGAGCCCUAGAUUCGAGAUAGGGGGUCAGCUGGACCUCGGACUUGGGUUGAUUAAGGUCGAGCGGGGUCGACGGCAAUCACAACUAGAUUUUUGGAGGUUAAUAUCCGUUCGUCCAUGGCUUUUCAAUCCAAGUCUGUGCAUGUUGAUUAAUUGAAAAUGAGUGAAUCAGCAGAAAGUUUAGAUUUUUUUUGUUCAGAAUAAGAUCACGACCAGUUUCAUUUAAAAUAUAUGCAAUAAAAUAAAAUAAAAUAAAAUAAAAUAAAAUAAAAUGCAAUGACAGAAGAGAAGCAUUGUACAGUUAGUCACUUUGCCUUCAAGAAGCUGAAAAAAAAAGUUGGAAAUGGGCUCUGGAAUACAGAUUUAGCUCAUUCCACUGAAGAGUACAAAGAAAUGUGUGCAGAUGGAGUAGAAGGUCGCCGAGGUAGGAGGUCUGGAUGCUGGGGUUCCAUCCACGGUUGCCGCCGACAAAUGUGGUCGGUGACGGUGGCAGAGGCCGGAGACACUAUGGCGGCUGCAAGGAGGAAGUGGAGGAUGACAGGGUGGGAUGAUGGUGGCCAUGGACGGACAACCUUUAGGUAGCGAAAGGAAGAAGGAAGAUUAUAAAAAGAAUAAGAAAAGGAAAAGCUACAUAUAAUUCUGAUUUGGGAAAAAAGAAUGAGUGGAAUUGACAAAUGAGACGUUUGAGGUUGAUGAUGCUCUUUGGACGGACAAAAAGUUAACAGAGGUCAGAUUUGGAUAUGAAGUCAAAGUUGGUGAUUGUUUAUGAGAUACUAAAGAAAAAAUAUUUGGGGCCAGAAUUGAGAUUUGAACCUAAAUUGGUGCAAUUUUGAGGAAUUAAGCCCUUGCUAUUUUUUUUUUUUUGGACAAUAAGCCCUUGCUAUUUAGAAUCAUCGUUUUCGACUAUGUUUUAAAAAUGGUAGUGUCUAUAACAUGAUAACAACAUGAACAGUAAUAAGCAAGAGAAUGAAUUAGGGCAUAUUUAUUUUCGCGGCAGAAAAUGCUGCAGGCAGAGUCUUUCUAUUGAAGAGAUGAUCCUGCCCCCACGGACGAGGACACUUAACACCUACAAAACACAAACGGGGCGAGGGAGUUUCUAUUGGUGGGUUCCAUCAUCAUUAUAUUUAUCUAUGUGAUGUAGAUGUUUCCGUAAUGGGUUCUCCAUUCUUUUCAUUUUCUUGAGUUUAAGCUUCCAUCACUUAUCUGAAAAUGGAGAAGCUGGACUCAAAAAAAUUUUGAACUACUACCAAAUAAAAAAUUGUUGGAUGAUAAUUAAUAAUGUUUCAUUACUUUAAUAGUUUUGAUGGCUUAAAUCUAUUACCAAAAAAGUCAUAAACUUAUUUUUUUGACUAAUUGAGUCCUAAACCUUUUACAAUUAUUUCCGAUCAGUCCAUUCGGUCAAAAUUGGGUAGUCGGCACUGAUGUGGCUGUGACACCCCUCGACGGCCCCCGAUCCGAUUAGGGUCGUCACAGUUCGCUUACCAUUCACUUUCCUUAUUAACAUAUCACUCUGAUACCAUUUCAAUUGUAGCGGGUCCAUACAACCGUGGGGGUUUACACACAUUUUUUUUUUUGAUAGGUCCCUUGCGCAAUUCAUAUACGGAAGCACAUCUAGCAAACUCCCUUCCUUAUAUUUAGAAAACUAUGCACACCUACUAAACAUCUUAUAUAAGUUAAAGCCGUACACUUUUAUUUACAUAAAGCAGAUGGACAUCUUUAGUCGGUACAUCAAAAUGCCGUAGUUUUCUAUACUCGGCUACACUUCAAAAGAUGACCGACAUCUCCUCCCACAAUCGCAUGCUUAAGGUCCAUCAUCCAGUGUCGGCGUCCAAAGGUUCCCUCCUUUGCUAUCCUUCUCCUCGCGGUCAUAUCCAACCGCUCAAACCAUCUACUAAUCUGAAAUGUUGGUCCCCAAAAGGGGUGAGUACUACCACUCAGCAGAUAAGGAAUCCAAUAACAACUCAAUGCAUCAUGCAAAUCAUACAUGCAUUGCAGGCGUAACUUACCUUGCAGCCAUGCGUAAUACUAUCAUGCAUCAUCAUGCCUUAUCAUCAUGCAUAUCAUAUCAUCAUAUGUCAUCAUCAUAAUCAUCAUCAUGGCAUCAUUAUAUCAUACAUGUCAUCCUUAUCAUGACAUCAUCACAUCACAUAUUAUCAUCAUCAUCAUGCAUAUCAUCAUGCANNNNNNNNNNNNNNNNNNNNNNNNNNNNNNNNNNNNNNNNNNNNNNNNNNNNNNNNNNNNNNNNNNNNNNNNNNNNNNNNNNNNNNNNNNNNNNNNNNNNCAUCACAUAUCAUCACCAUCAUCAUGCAUAUCAUCAUGCAUAUCAUACCAUGGGUGAUCAUUAUAUCACAUCACAUAUCAUCACCAUCAUCAUGCAUAUCAUCAUGCAUAUCAUACCAUGGUUUAAUUUUCAUCUUUAUCUUUCAAUUUUGAUCACCACAUCACCCAUUCAUCAAUCUCAUCAUCAAUUUCAUCCCAUAUUUUACCCUCGCAUCCCAUGCGAGAAAAACCUCCGGGCAUGUAUCCAAGAUACAACCGGGCAUCCGGCCCCCCACAUUCCGGGCAUCUCGCAUCCCAACUAGCAUCACGAGGAACCUCCAGGCAUGUAUCCAAGAUACAACCGGACAUCUGGCCUUUACCCUUCUAGCCAGGCAUCCCGCACCCCAAUCCUGGUGUCGCGAGGAACCUCCGGGCAUGUAUCCAAGAUACAACCGGACUUCCGGCCCCCCACAUUCCAUGCAUCCUGAAUCUCCCAGGGAAUCUCUGGAAUUACGCCACCAGGCCACCAGACAUCAUCAUCCACCACAACCACAUCCUCAUUUACCAUCAUCCACAUAUACCAUUUCUUUAUCUCAAUUUAACAUGGCAAUUGGCAUGGUAUCAAACAAAUCACACUUGACAUGGAAUUCACACUUGCAUCUCAAUUCAUAUGUCAUACACAUGCCAAAACUUUAUCCCAUACACAUCUCAAUUCAAUACAUGUACAAGGACCAUGUCAUACGCAUACCAAGACUUUAUUACAUAUACAUCUCAAUCCAAUACAUGUGCAAAGACCUCAUCACACAUAUGCCACACAAAUAGAAUUGAAUCCAUGGCCAAAUAAAAAUCCAUUUUAUUUUAUUAUUAUUUUAUUUAUUUAUUUUCAUAAAUAAAUAUUAAAUUUAAUAUCUAUGAUUUUCCCAAAAUCAUAGUAUUCAAACAAUCACUAAACAAAUCAAUAGGAUCACAAUUUCAUACAAAAUUCAUAGCCAAAUUGAAUUUCUCAUAAUUUCACAAUUUCCACAAAAUAGCACAUGAUAUUCGGAUAAUGACCAGAAUUGCACAGUUUUCAAAUAAAUUAGAUUAAAAUACUCAUAUGGCCUUCAAAAAUUACGAAAUUUUACAGGGUGAUAGCCAAGACAUUUUCGUGCAACUUUCAUGAAGAACUCUAAGUCAGAUUAUUUUUAUAUUAAUUUAUACAUCCUCACGAAACUUCUGGAACCACUACCGCAUCGUCCAGAAUACACAUCUCCGAAAUAUUAAGGUUUCACCCAUCUAUUCUCUUUCUUUUCCUCUGAAAUUUGAGUAUGUUAUGUAUCAAGGUGUCCUUUACAAGUUUCAUGAAGAGAUCUAGGUCACAUAACCAAAUUAUGGUCACCAUUUAAGUCCAUCAAGUCUCGGGUGUCUCGGAACACAUCACCAGAAUCAUCGUCUCCAAGAUCUAGCCGAUUCACCAAGCUAUACUUGUUCUUUUUGCUUCAAAUUUGAGUAUGUUGUAUUUUAAGGUGUUACCUUCAACUUUCAAGAAGACAACAAAGUGAGAUCUCCAACAGAAAUCAACAUGCAAAUCAAGAAAUCAACAAGAGGUCAGUGAAAAUUUCGCAGAUCUAAAGUCUCCGUACAAUAUAACUUUUGACCCCUCAAAUAUCCAUCGUUUUCUACGAAUUUUUAGUAUGUCAUAGUACAAGACGUUAGCUUCAACUCUCAUGAAGACACCGAAGCCAAAAUCGAACCCCAAACUCACAUGAAACUCGAACAAGCUACUGACUUCAACAAACCGAACAAGAACAGUCACACGGUUUACAAAUAACCAACUCUUACCUCGGUUUUUCGCACAAAUCACACCUAAAAUCUAACAUGCAACCACCACAACAAACAUGCAAGAGAAGUUACGGACUCCACUUGCCUUAAAGGUGAACAAGCAACGACGAACGGCGACGGGACACGGCGAUCGGACGGCGAACGGACGGCACACCCCUCCGGCUCCGCCUCCUCUCCUCUCGGUUUCUCCCUUUCUCUCAAGCUCUCUCUCUCGCACACCCUCUCUUUGGACGAAAAGCAAAGAACCGGCCAUCUCUCUCUCCUCAUCCCUUUUAUAUCCCCUUAAUCCCAUGAUUAGCAAUGAUUACUUUGCCUACAAACCCACCAAUGCAUGCCAUUCCUUCAUGCCACUUGUCACACUAAUUUUGAAUUGAUUUGGGCUUGGGCUUAGGCCCAUCCGGCCACUCCCUUGGGCUGGUCGAAAUCCUCCUCUUCUUGGGCUCUAAUGGGCCGACAAGCUUGGCCCACCAAGCUUUAGGCUAAUGGGUCCAAGGCCCAUUCCAAUUUAACCUAUUUUUCCCUUCUUUUUUUUUUUUUGAAUUCCUUUCUAUAAAUAUUUCCAAAUUCAAAUUUCAUCUUGGCCAAAGUCUUGGGACACUUUGUUUAUUAAGAUUUAAAUUUAAAAUCUCAUGGCCAAUUAUUAAUCUAUAAAUUUAAAUACACAAAUCAUCAAAUUAAAAGUCAAAUUGGCUAAGGCAUAAGCCAAAAGAAAUUCUAUCACCUAAUUAGGAACUUCAACUCACCUUAUGGCUUGUCAUUAAAUUUGGGAUGCCACAGUGGCAGCCGGUCAGCGCUAAGUCUGGUGAGGGGAGCCCUGCCGGAUCUGGUGAGGGAGGCUCGUCGUCGCAUUUGGCGAGGCCCUCCUCACCGGAUCUGGCGAGGUCUCGCCUCGCCCGACGACCGUGAGGCAAGCCCUCACCAAAUCCGGUGAGGGGGCUUGCCCUCGCCAGAUCCGACGGGGGCUUGCCCUACCGUCGCUAGGCGUGAGCUUGCUGACUAGCAAGGCAAGCUCGCCGGAUUGCCUUAGUCUAGUGACCAGCCAACUUGGCCAAUCACUAGAGCCAAAGGAAGGAGGAGGGAGGAGGGAGGAAGAGGGAGAAGGGGAAAAAAAAAACAAAAGAGGAAAAAGGAAAAAGAAAAGAUAAAAAAUUAAUAAAAUAUUUCAAAAAAAAAAAUAUUAUUAAGAAAAGCUCGCUGGCAUUGGCCAAUCAAUUUUAGCAGGAUGGACUAAUCGGAAUAAUUGUAAAAGGUUUAAAACUCAAUUGGUCAAAAAAAUAAGUUAUGACUAAACUAGCACAAUUGCAAUAGGUUUAUGACUUUUUUUAGUAAUUUUCCUCUUAUUUAUCAUAAAUUCUAUUUCUUUGCAAUCAAGAUUAUCUGCGAAGAAUGAUGGAUUGAUGAGAUUUGUGGUUAUGAAGGGUAUUCGCCUACAAAAUUUCUUUCCUUGAACUAAAAGGAGGGUCUGAUCCCUCCGUGCAUAGAGAAAGGUAGAUUUGUGCCCUUGAAUCCAGCGAGGCUUAGUUUUGCUUAUCAUUUUUGUAAAUCCAAUGAGAUUUUGUUAUAUAUAUGGGGUUGCAGAGGAGGUGAUUGAAUAUAUGCAUGAUCAAGUGGCAUAGAUCAUUGUUUACUUAUUUAUCCAUAAAAUCUCACACACACUAAUCGUUUAUCGAACAACAUGCAUGGCAGACUAGAUCAGGCUUUCUGUUGCAUAAUUAUUUCCUAAUUCUCUCCGCUUGACUUUAGACCUAGCAGGAGGGCUUGAGAGAAUGUGAGUGUAUUCAUGCUUAUAAUCAAGUUUACUUAACACGAAUUCAUUGGCUUGAUGGGAUUAUUUGUAUAAGUGUAGUUACUUUAUGGAGAAGCUUGAGUUAUAUAUUAGAGAAGUAUCCGCAUUGUCUACGUGAAAAAUUUUCGAGGCUCCUUCCGUCGUAGCACUAAAUAUCUAAAGUCCAUAUGAAAACAGAAAUCUACUAUAGAAAAAGAUAUCUGCCUCUUUCUACUAGGCUUAAGCUCGUGUCCGGUUUCAUACAUCGGUCCAAAGCCCAAGCACCAAAUGGGUCCGUAGGGUCUAGCCCUCAACAUAAGCUAAGGUGAGCUCGUUCCUAAAACAUCCUAUCUUCUGGUCAUUAUUUGACGAUUUAAAGCCCAAAGGAGCAAUUAAUCCAAAAGGAAGACUUUCCCUGCUUGAGGAGCGAAGCUUCCCGCAUCUCGUAUGCUCUGAAUUUGAUUAUGCUUAUCAUUGUUUGUUGGGUGUAAAAUUUCCUUUCCAGAAAUUAUACUUUACGACACAAAUUAUUAUGCACCAACUCCACGUACAGAAUCAAUUGGAGAAUACAUAUCUACAAAAUUAUACAAUAACAGCUUUUCUCUAAGAUUGAAACACAACACUCUAAUAGCUAGAAAGGACUUCUCCUUGUUUCAAGAAUUAGAUUUGCAACGUUCUCUAGAAAAAAAUACAUAAAUAAUGUGGCCACGUAGGCUCCACCUGAGCUGAUAUUAUGCACUACUGACUAAAUAGAUUACUCAAAUGAGAAUAUUUUUACAUGCACUAAUUCCAAAAAAUCUUGACUAGACCUUAGAAUUUAGAUUGAGGGCAUGUAAAUCGCAAAAUAUGAUGAGUAUUAUAGGAUCAACGGCUGUGAUUCAUCUGAUGAGUCCGUGUAAGUAUUUGUCAUUCCAAGCAGGGAGGACGGACAAUAUUGUGAUCUUACAUGGGGAUUCUGGAAAAGGAAAAAGCGACACGACUGCAUUUUCAAAAAGCAAGAGAGGCUAAGGAUAACUAAGGAUGAAAGUAAAGUAGUGGGGACCAUAACUAUUUGGCAUUGCCUCAAAAAGGUCAAGAGAUCCAUCAAUUAGAUUGGGUUUUGGUGGAUUAUGAGUUGAUUCUAGUGCUUUGAAGCAGUGUGAAUUGGAUUCCAAAUAGAAAGCAAAAGAGGUGGAAAAAAGCAUACGUUGGUUAAAUUGAACAUCGACACCUCAUUCCAUCACUCAUCACUUUUGGAACUUGUGCCUAUGUAAGCUAUUUUGCUUUUUCUUAAAGUAUUAGACACAACAUGACCGCUUUAGCGUCCACAUUGGAACUAGCCAUCUUCUUUAAGAUUAGGAUAUCCAUUAAAAAUGACCAUGAACCUACUUUAAAGAUUCACCCACAUAAAGUCACAAUCCCUUUAUCAACUAAAAUUAAUUUUUUGAAAUUCUUUACCAUGGAGACUACGGGAGUCCGGAGCAAAAGUAAGUGACAAUGGAUGUCGACAUCGAACUUUUUCUAGUGGAAAAUAAAGCAUGCUUUUUUCUUUAUUUUUUGGGUACAGUAUUGCCGAAGGGAUAAGGCAGGUUCGUCAAAUGUAUGGCGCUUGGUCAAUUAGCUAUCCCAAGGUGGAUGUCUCCGUCGCUAAGAUUUGCAAAGCCUCAUUGAUAAUGACUCAAAUGGGCAUAGCUAAGACAGUGAACAGUCGAAAAUUAUUUGGUUACCCACGAACUUUUUAGAUGGUUGUACAAUUCCAUAUUAAAAUUAGAGUGUAAAUGUGACUUCUAUUGGUAAGGUAAGGUUUUAAAGAUUAUGGCAUUUUCACUUAAAUAAGUAUGAAAGCAGAGUACGAAGAUAAAGAGGAUGUUUCAUCUUUCAAUUGAAAAUUAAAACUGUCCAAGCACUAGAAAUCUGACCUUCAACAAGUCAGAGUACCACGGCUGGAAACAACUUAAUCCAGAAAUCGCGCAUCAUGGGGACCUCCAAAAGAAGGAAAAAAAGCACGUUAGAAACAAUUGGUGAAAGCGAAUGAUGAACCGACCGAACAACCUCUACAUAUAUGCAUAUAUUUCCAAAGAAUAACCCCGCAUGAAACAAGAAUCAUUUUCCCAGCUAGAACUAGGGAUGGCAAACAAAUAGAGAAGAUUGUGGAGCAGAUAAGAAAGCUCACAAUGAUUUUUCUUUAUGUGAGGAUUGUAGAAUCGAUAUUUCAUGGGAUUUUAAAUAGACGUGUCUACACGUGCAUACCCCUAAAUUACCAACAAAAAAAAAUGCUUACUUUAGGAAAAUGCUAACUAAAUUUGGUAACUUUUUUAUAUACACUUAUUCCUCAGAAACUAGUAGCUAUUAUGCAAAAGGUCCAUAUGACCUUAAUUUCAAAGAGAAUGUCCCACAUGACUUUAAUUAGUCAUAACAAUUUUCUUUUGUUAAUUAUUAGUCAUAAUUUUUUUCAUGUAGUCAUAAUAAAUAUAAGGAUUUAUGAAUAACAUGACAUCAUAAUUUAACAAUUAUGCUUGGCAAACGAGGUUAAACGACUUCAAUUUUUACUUAUGAAGUGAAUUUCUUCUUCUUUUCUCACUUAUAGGGAUGAUUAUGAGGGGCUCUCUUUCAACAAAUCUGUGAAAAAUUGAAGGACGAUUCAUGAAAAGUCAAAACUUAUUUUCAACUAAUGCUCAACAUUAGCUGGGUAGAGGGCUCCAAGUUGGCUCAAGUUAUAUAUGUCAAUAAAUAGAAUCUCAUCAAAAAUUGCCAUUCAAUAUAUAAAUCAAUAACACGGCCAUUUUACAUUUUAGAGCUAUUUCGAUUUGCAUACCAAUUCAAAAGUAAAACCUCAAUUUUUUUCCCAUUCAAUUAGCUUGAUUAUAAUGUUACUUCUCUAUUUUUUAAUAUGAUUUCAUGCCAACACGAGGAGUGGGCUUAGGAAUAGUACCUAAUCAAUCUCUUUGCCUUCUUUGUCCCUAAUCAUUCUUGCUUUGUUUCGCUCUUCCGUUAUUCUCUCUGUCUCUUUGUUUUUGUUUUUGUUUUUUUUUUUUUCUGGGUUCUUCUCCACUAAAAAAGAAAAUCAAAAAGAAAAAUGUAAAAUCGAUGAUACUGUUGAGGAAAAUGGGAAACAUCACAUUAAAUUCAUCUCAAGAAGUAAAAUUAUUGAUAUAAAGGUCUAAUUUGUGGUUAAAGAGCAAGAGCAAAAAAAAAAAAACACAUUAGAAAAAUCUCAUUUAUAUCAUCAUAGUAGGAGGUCCUUAGCAAGACCUUAAAAGGCUAUGACAUUCGGGAAAGACUGCAUAGAAGCGGGGAUCUAGGCCUCGAAAAACAUUCUAGCCCCAUUGCCAGACCCGGCCAUAACCCCUAUGGGGGUAGGGCUGGCAACUCUGAUCCCCGCGAUGCCUUCCCCUCUGAAACACGGAGGCAUGGUAUAGGGAAAUGAGGGGUCUCCCCUGAAAGGGGGAGGCGCCGGCCGGAAACAUCUCCCCUUUUCGGAGGGAGACCCAUCAUUUUCCUGCACCACGCCCCCAUGUUUCAAGGGGAAGGCGUCGCAGGAAUCAGGGCUGCCAGCCCACUCCCGAAGGGGUUGUAGCUGGGUCUGGCAAUGGGGCAAGUAUAUUUAUCAAGGCCUUGAUUCCAGCCUCUAUCCAGUCUUUUCUGGAUGUUAUAGCCUUUUAAAGUCUUGCUAAGGACCUAUGAGCAAGAGCAAAAAAAAAACAUUAGAAAAAUCUCAUUUAUAUCAUCAAAUGAUAAUUUUUUGAUGAUGUUCUACUUGGAAUAUGAGUGCAUCAACCUCGAACAAUCCACGUCUCUGCUGGCUCCAUCAAUUUGUCUUCUUGACUCCUUUGAAGUCAUGAUGUUGUUUUUUCUUGGAUUGCUACAAAAUUUAACAGUUAAUACUUUUGACAUUUCACACAUAAUCAAUGAUGAUAUGGACAUCCAUCUUCAAUCUUCCAUUGCUGCUUUAUUGCACCGAAAGGUGAAAUUCCCAAGACUAAAAGAGAGAGAUUCCUCUGGUGGGCCUUCCGUUCCACCGAAACCCUUGAAAAAUAGUCAGGAGGAUCUUCUAAAGUCGUUGUGAUGAUUUGGUGUAUACAUGCAUAUUCACACACAUUGCGCGAGGCUAUUCCCGCUCCCAAUUUAGCUUAAAAUCACGUCCUUUUAAGAAAAUUCAAUUAUUGAUAGACCUGCCUUUUAUUUAAAAAUAAACAAAUAUGCCUCUUCCAAUUUCUCUCUCAUCGAUUGUCUGGUCUAUUUUCUUAUUUACUACAGACAGUUGAUAAGAGUUUAUGGUUUCAAUCUUGUCAUCUACUCCUUUGAUUUCAAAGUUUUUUUCAUGUAAGAAUUUACCUAAAAAACGUCUUCAACCUAUGAAUCAUGCAAAAAAAAAAAAAAAAAGAGGCUGAUUUAUUUAAAAGAUUGGAGCAUAAGCACGUUUCGAAAUAUCAAAUUACACGUAUGCUUUCAUCGAGCUUUAGCCAUAAUUUUUUCAAUUUAUUAUGACCAAAUCUUCAAUUCUUCGAUCUAUCAUGUUCAAACUUUCAUUAUUUUGUAGAAGAGAAUAUUUCAACAAGUUAAUUUGGUAUAUUUUAUUUACGAACUUAUAAGUUAGUGACUAAUUGGUCAUAGACAAGGAUUUUGAGACAUUUAAAGUUAUUUUUCUUAUUGAUAAUUGGUUUUUCUGAAUUUAUCAUGCUAGUAAAUUUGGGAGAUCAUUGAGUGAGAGUUUCAUUUUGAGCAAUCUCAAUUUUUUUCACACUGCAUCUCUAGAGUUAUUUCAAAGUGGUGGUGCGGCCGUUUGAUAUGAAGAGAUUCAUGGAAAGGUCCCAAGCUUAAUUCAUUAGGAGCAUGUUUUCAAAUUGAAAAGCUUGCCUCGUAUUUUUAGUUUGUUUUUGAGUUUUGAUUUUGUUUGCUUUAUUCCUUAUACCUGUAGCUAGGACUUGAGAUUAUAUUACAUACCCCAUGAAUAGUUCAAGAGCAUAAAUUUUGAUAGUUUAAGAUUGAUGUCUUUCAGAUUUUGCACCGUAUUAUAUAGUUAAGGUUGCUGAUUAUAAUUCUUGAAACUAACAAAUUGUCGAGUGCUGUGAAAUAUACAUACAUACAUAUAUAUAUAUAUGUAUUGUGUGUUCUCUCAUUCUGUGUACUUGUAUUAUGGUCUUUCAUAUCCAUACGUUGCUUGUUAAAAUAUGCAUGCGGGCAAACAAUUCUCUUUACAUUCUUCAAGGAAUAUAUUCAGGGAAUAAUCAAAUCACAACUCUUAGACAUUUAGACAAAUUGUGCAUAGUGAAGUUGAAGAUCCAUCACAUCUUGUUGAAAAAUGAUGACUAAAUUACAUUUACCUUGUUCCUUGCCAAGAUCGAAUUGCAAUCACAAGAAUUUGGUGGUGUUACUUGUAGUUUGAUAAGCCAUGUUUUUGCUCACAUUGUGUUGUUUUUAAUUGGUAGUUAAAUCACGUCUUUUACAAAUGACAAGUAAUUGAAAUUAUGAGUUCCUACGAAUGAUAAGCAUUACGUGACGAAUGAUUUGAUGAUAGCAUUCGGGGCUCUUAGGUUAAACUUUUGUUUUCUAUUACAAUUUGAUUAAAAUUAUUAUUUUAAAGAAAGCAGCCAUGGAUUCUUACUGGAAUCCCAAUCCCCAUGAUUGAACCAUGCAGUCAAAAAUGGGGUCCAUAUGCCAUUAGAAGAAAGCUAUGCACGUUGCUCAUGCUUGCCUGUGGUCAUUCACUCGUGAAAGGGUUAAUAGUAAGAGAGUGAAUAAAACAGCCAAGAAUUUGCAAUAAUUUGACUAGACAUAAAAUAGUGGGAUGUCCUAUCUCCCCCUUGAGUCUACCUUAGUAUUAAUAUUACAAAAGCAUUGAUUAUUCGUCAAUGGCUUAGUAUAAGGAGCAUCAAACUCCCAAAACUUUUCUUACAAAUCUUAGUUAUUAUUAUUAUUAUUUUUUAAAUCAUAACAUUCAAAUAAUUGAAAAAAAAAAGUUAUGACACUCAAGUUUAUGUUUUUUAGAAGCCAUGGUACUCAAAUAAUUGAAAAAAAAAUGUGACCACUUUACAAAAGUCAUGACACUUCCGGUGUUUUUUAGCUAUUCUUUUUAGGAUUUUCGUCCUAUCGUUUUCUCAAUCUUUCUUUCUCAAAAGAAAAACAUUAACAGAUGCUGCCAUCGAGAAAAAUUCGAAAAAUCACAUUAAACUCAUAUCAAGAAGUAAUUGUUGAUUAAAGGGUCUAAGUUAUGGUUAAAAGAGCAAGGACAAAAGACAUUAGAAAAUUUCCAACCAUAUCAUCAUAUGGUAAUUUUUUACAACGUUCUACUUGGACUAUGAGUGCAUCAACCACGGACUAUCCACUUCUCUAGUGGCUCCAUCAAUUAAUCUUUCGACUCCUCUCUAAAGGGAAAGCCAUGAUGGCUUUUUCUUGGAAUGCUACAAAAUUUAAUUGUAAAUACUUUUUGGCCUUCGACGCAUAAUCAAUGAUGAUAUUGAUAUGCAUCUCCUAUCUUCCGCUGACAAUUGCUUCCUUGAACCGAAAGGUAAAAUUAUCAAGACUAAAGCAACAAGAUUCCUCUGGUUGACAAAUAGCUGUUGGGAUGAUUGGUGUGCACACACAUAUUUGGUGGAGCUAAUUAUGCACCCAUUUUACACGUGAUACUUUGCUAGGGUCAUUCCAAAUUUGUCUCUACGUAAUAUUUCCUUAAGAGAACCCAAGGACAAAAUGCUAGAAUAGCCAACCUCUUAUAUUUCCCCUUAUUUCACAUUUUUAGCUUGCCAUCACCUUUCUUUUGUCUCCUUAAUUUUUCCGUUUUCACAUGUAGUAUCUCUCUGUUGGAAAGAGCUUUGAAUUUGAUUAUGCUUGUCACUGUGUAUUUUGGGUGUAAAAUUUCUUUUUUGAGAAAUUAUACUUUUGAUACAAAAUUAUUCACUAAUUCACGUACAAAAUAAACAUGAGAGUCGAUAUCUAUAUAAUUAUGCAAUAACAGUCUCUUCUCUAUGCCCUGCCUCUAAGGUUGACACAUAGAAUUCUAAAUAGCUAGAAAAGACUUCUCCUUAUUUUAAGAACUGGAUUCUCAACGUUCUCCAUUAAAAAAAUGUGCCCACUUAGACUCCACCUAGGCUAAUAUUUUGCAUUACUAACUAGAUAGAUUAUUCAUAUAUCAUGAUGUACUUAUAGGCACUAAUUCCUUAUUAGCUACGUGAGUUAUACUCAAUCUAAUUACAAGGAGAUUGUCUCUCAUGACUUUAAAUUGUUUCUAUUUAGUCAAAAUGUUUUCAAACGGUCAUAAUUCAUAUAUGGGAUUAGGGGUAAAUUGACAUAUCCAACACAACAAUUUUUUAUGGGCAAGUUUGUCAUGUGAAACUAAUUAAGAGAAUUUCAACCAGCUUAAUAUUCAAAACAGAUCAGAGACCAAUAUUAUGCCUAUCUAUCAUAUGUCACUAUUAUUUUUAACGUUAUACUUAGCAUCUCUAUCUUGCACUUAUUGAAUAUUACUAUAUGAUAAUUUUAUGCUAACUUUGUCAUUUUCUUAAGAAAGGGUUCGGAAUAGAAAAUACACUACUCUUUACUAUAUAAAUUAUGCUUACAUAGCCCCAGAAUUGGAGCAAUUGGUUGGGUCAUUAGGGAUUUCCAACUUAGGAACUAGGGAUCGCUAGUUCGAAUCCCACAAACUACAUGCAAACUACUUUGGGUUGUAGUCACCUAAAUAGACCAAAGAUUUGAGUUUAACCGGUUCAUGGAAUUGGCAUGAUAUUUCAUGAGCUUCUAGGUAAAUGGCUCUCCACACUCCUACCCCUAUAUUACACACGCGUGUGCACACACAGAUUCACUUUAGGAGAAUGCUAACUUUACAUGGUAUGGCACUUACUUUAGGAGAAUGCUAAUUUUACAUGGGAUUUUUUAUAUGCACUUAUUCCUCAUAAACUAGGUAAUCAUUAUGCAUAAGAUCUAUGUCAACUUAAUUGCAAGGAGAACAUUCCUCAUGACUUUGAGGAAUAUUACCCAUCGAUCCUAAACAUAUUGUACAAAUGCCAAUUUAGUUCUAAACUUUUCGAUUUUACCAAUUUAGAGAUAAACAUUUGCACAAAAUUCCAAUAUAGUCCUUUUGGCCAAUUUCUGUUGUUGAAAUGGUUGUGUUACUUAGAAUUGUCAGUGAUUACUGGACUGCCAAAUCAAUAAUUUCAGGCAAAAAUUCAUCAAAAGGGUUUUCUUGGAAUUUUCCGUAAAUGUGUAAAACUAAAUUGACAAAAAAAAAAUUGAAAUGAUUUAAACUGAAUUAGCAUAUGUAUAAUAGAUUUUGGGACUGCUUAGAUAAUUUUCCCCAUGACUUUAAUUAGUCAUAAUAUUUUUUUUUAUAAAUUAGUCAUAACCUCCUUAAAUAGGCAAUACAAAUAUAAGGUUUAUGAGGUAAUUUGAUAUUCUAAUCUAACAAUUAUGGGUGAGUUUGAGAAAAGGAGCGAGGAUGUUAAGCAGCCACCCGGUGUUCCGGUUGAGCAAGCCAGCGAAGAAGACGCGUGAGUUUACUUUUUGCUUUUGUCCGAGUAUACGAGUAGUUAAAGAAAAUCAAUGUCGGAAUGCACUCAUUCGAGGAGCUAUGCGUAAUGACUCAGCAAGUUGCAUAUAAAGGAAACGCCUUCAUAGUUAGUGAUAUAUCCCCUUUCAACGAGAUUCACGUGGCACUCGGCAUAACAAUUUGUCAUUGUCCGAUAUGAUUGUCAUGAAAUGGGAAUACGCAAGAGUGAUUUUGAAAAAAUUCCACGAGUUCCAUAGUCACUUUGGUCGACAUCUAGUUCUAUUUGCUUACGCUUAAAUAUAUAUAUAAAAAAAAAAUUCUGCAUUUUGCUCUCCCUUGAGAAAAUUAAAAAUGGGGAAAAAUAGGUUUCAUAAAUUAUGAAAAACCAUAUAAUAACUCUACUUGUAAAUAAAUGUAUAUUUUUGAAAAUUUUAAAAAUCAACAUUUUAAAAAUAAAUUUGAAAAGGAAAAGCUCCAGACAGAACCAAACAUUUGGGAAGAAAAAAAAAGAAAAGAGGGUUUUUUUUUGGGGAGGUGGGGGGGAUGCCGGAGACUUCAAUAUGAAUGAGAGCCCACGGAGCAAAGUUAAUCCUGGCUGGCAAUAAUUUUGCAUGUUGAUUUUGUCAUGUAAAGAGUAGCAAUGGUCGCUAUGAUUUUGCGUUUUAAUAUUAUCAUCUAAAGAGUAGUAGUGUUCAAGAUAGUAAAUUAGUUUAAAAUGUUAAGAGGAUAGCAAAAAUUUAAUUUCCUCAGAAGUUCUAAUCUAACAAUUACAACUGCAGUUAUAUCUAACCUAACAAUCAUAAUUGGCUUUAUAAUCUAACAAUCAGCCUAAUUAUUAUGUUAAUUCUAAAUUUUUAACGUGAUUUCAUGGACCAGCACAAUGAGCUGGGAAGCACUAUUACCUAACCAAUGUUUGCCCAUUGGACGUGGAGGAAAAACUAGAUGCUUAAAUUAUGUUUGUCGAAAGCGGUGAAGGAAAGGAUGGAUAUCUAAUCAAUGUUUGUCCAUUGGCAUUGGAGGAAAGGAUGGUGAUUUCGACAUUGGUGUUGGUGACCUGCUCCAUGUAUUAAUAGAUUAUUUAUUAGAUUACCAUCAUUGUCUUGAUUGACGCGACCGACAACAAUCGUUUUUAAGUUUUUUUUACUUUUGGCCGGUGGAGGCUCUAAGGACUUGGAACCCUUUGCUCCCAACUUUUUAGCUUCCGAAGGAAUUGAGUGGAGUUUAUUAAAAGUCUUAACUGAGGUUAGAUUACCGAGAUCCAUAGUCCAUACACAUCCCAUCUUUCUUCCUCGUGAUUUGGGCCUUUGUUAAGAUUUUAAAUCAUUGGAACACUAGUAGUAACAUCUCAAUCGGUGUUGAUCAAAUAUUCCAGCAAAAAGUUACCAUGUCUCUUUCUCCAUUGAUUGCUCUUUGACGCCCCCCCUUCCUUCAUCUUUUCUCGCACUCGAAUUUCUUCGCCUUUUCCUCUUUCAUCAUUCUUGCUCUGUUUCACUUUUUCUUCUCCUUGCUAUGGCCCUACUCCGCCUCUUUUUCUGAAGUAUCUACGACUCUUUUUCAUCGUUCUCUCUCUCCCUCUCUUUUUCUCUCAACUUUUCCUUUUGAGGGGUUUUUAUCCGAACGUUUUCUCGCUCUUUCUUUUUUGGAAAAAAAAAAUCAAAGAAAAUGUCAGAUUGAUGCCGCUGUUGAGAAAAAUGGAAAAUUAUAUUAAACUCAAAUCAAUAAAUAAUUAUUGAUACAAAUGUUAAGAGUGCGUAACAAAAGUUUAAUCCCUUUAAUCGGAGAGGUUAUCAAGAGAAAGCUCAAGUUUGAGCUCAUUAACAUAUUCAAUUGACCCAUCUUAACUAAAAAAAAUGAGCUAAAAAGUUAUUGAUCAAUUAUGAUAUAUUAAUUGUUUAAUACGACAUCAAUUCUCCAUUGUGAAACUUUUCUAACCCAACUCAUACAUUCAUCUUAACAUUCGCCUCUCGCGUGUUGGCUUAGUAUUAUGCAUGCUUUCCCUUAAUUCAAGUAUCAUUCUCCAUUUACAUGACUCAAUUAGAAUCUCUGCUUUGGUGCGUGUGCUAACAAAAAUAACAAUAACGCCCAUCUUCAUCCCUAGUCUCUUUCUCCAAACCGAAUCAUGAAGGUUACCAUCAAGAUCACAUUUCUACACAACAACGCCCACCUUCAUUCCAAGUCUCUUUUGCUAGAUCGAACUAUGAAGGUUGCCCAAAAACUGCGUUGAUCACGAGAUUCCUUUCCUCAGAUAUUCUCCAAACAUUGGUAUACAUUGGGAUUGGCCAUUAGCUAUCAAUCAUCGGCUCUGGCAUCAUUUCUUAGGAGUGUCUAGUAGAAAUUUGAUACCGUUAACCAGAGAGAUCGCCAAAGAAAAGCCCAUGUUCGAGCUGGCCAAUAUGUUUUAUUGAAGCCAAGUUCACUCAAAAACUAGGAUAUAUUAAUUGCUGCAUACCAUACCAAUUAUCCGGUAUAAGACUUUCUAACAUAAGUCACGUGUAUAUCUCAAUAAGAAGGAUCUAACUAAUGGUUAAAAGAGUGAGAACGGAGAGAUAUUAGACAAACCCCAACCACAUCAUCAUAUGGCAAUUUUUUAUAACGUUCCACGCGGAGUAUGAAUGUGUCUACCUCAAAUCAUUCAUUUCUGUAGUGGUUCCAUCAAUUUGUCAUUUGACUCCAUUUUUUAGUGGAAGUCAUACUGAGGUUUUCUUGGAUGCUACAAACUUUAACAGUAAAUGCUUUUAGCCUCUAGCGCAUGAUCAAUGUUGAUAUUGAUAUGCAACUCCAAUUUUCCAACGAGAAUUGCUUCAUCAAAUGACUAGUGUGGCUGGUAAAAAAAAAAAGUGACUAGUGUGGGAUGUUAACAAAGAAGAGUUCCGCUAUAGCGUAACUGCACUAUCCUUUCCAAUAGCGACGGCGCAAAUGGGACCACGAGUUCUAUUAUGCUGGUAAUGCGCAACCGGAUUACAACUUUAAAAUGGGAAAUCUUUACGAGUAUCCUUAAAAUUUGUAUCCCUUUCUGAAUGAAAUGUCAGUCAAAAUGCCCUCCCUCCAAAUUGAGCACCAAGUAAAGUCAUCAAUCAUUUCUUUUCGUUUCUCUUGAAAGCAUAAAACAUUCAAUAUUAAUAUUAGUGUGCAACUAGCUUAUAACCGCACACAAUCUUGUCAUAACUAUAUACGUAUGUAUGUAUGCAAGCACACAUGAAUAUGUCUAAAAGUAUAUGCUUUUAAUUACCUCUUAUUUAGUUAGAUGUACAUCAUUAUCACAAAAAACUUUUUUUUUUCAAAGAAUUGGCAACCGGAUGAGUUUUGAAAUGACUUGCAUUUGCACUUCUGCGUUCUCUUUCAAAUGUUUUUUUUUUAAACUUUAUUAACAAAGAAAAAGCUUCACCACGUAUUGUUGCAACUGUUUCUUCCUACUUCCUCGUUAAUUGAAGAAUUAUUGUGUACAGCGGACUUAAAUAACAACGGCUCUAUACUUGGUUACCACGAAAUACUAUACAGCCUAUUAACAUAUCGUAAAAUAAAAAUAAAAAUCACCUUUAACCUCUUUCGGUUAAUUAAUCUAGUAAAAAUAAAAUGGGGGAUAUCCAAUCAUUGCAAAAUAACGUAAUAUAAGGUGUUGACUUGCAUAUUGAUUUUUUCUUUUUUGAGAAACCCCUUUUCAGAUAGGUGAAGUUCAUAUUAAAGGUAAAGUGAUUGAUGAAAAUAAUGCCAAUACCAAAACGAGACCAAAAAUAUGAUAGAGAAGGACUUUUAACACCAAAAGAAAUGGAAGUUGGGUUGUAUCGAAUAAGUAUGUAGCUUUUUUCUUUUUUUCACUAAACAGAGAGGAGAAUCAAAGUACCUAUCAUGGGCAGGGGUGUGGAGUUUAACUCUUAUAAGGAGGCUUAUGAAUUUUAUAACAAUUAUGAUAAAUAAGUAAGAUUUUGUAGUAGAGUUUCAAAAUUGUAGAAAAGGAAGAGUAGAGAGGAAAAGUGAGGCACAGUUUUUUGGGGCUAGCUCCAAAAAAAUAAAGCACCAACUUUAGUUUAAGAGACAAAUCUGACCGAAACUUUUUUUUUUUUUUUUGUCUUGUAAAAAAGCACAAAUUUUAGGUUAAGGGACAAAUCCAGCCUAAACUGUUUUUUUUGUCUCGUAAAAAAAUGUCAAUUUUCGGUUAAGUGACAAUUCUAGCUCAAGUUUUUUUUUUUCUCGUAAAAAAUUACAAACUUUCACCAUUAUUCAACUUUCUAUUUGAAGUUAACCUUGUUUCAAGAAAAAAAGGUUCUAGCCAUGAGCUUGGCGGAUCUUGUUCAUGGGGUCUCUCGAUGGGCGGUGGUCCAUAGCUUCAUUUUAAGACAAAAUGACAAAGUCUAGCCAGACUAAUUCAAUUUAGAGAUUUUUUGACUUGCUAGUGAAGUGUAGGAGAUGAUGAAUAAUUUACCGUUAUUCUCCAAGCUAUGGCUCAAACAAGAAGAUAAUGAAUAGUGUUUUAAAUCCGGCCAGCAAGUGCACAUGGAUUUAUCACUAAAAACAAUCAAUGGAUCUAAAUUAAAGGGGGCUAAAUUUAGGAUUUAAGUGAAAACUAGUGAUUUUUUUUAGACAAAAAAAGUUAGGAUCAUAAUUGUCACUCAUCCCAAAGUUAGUGUUCUUUAUGUGACAAAAAAAAAAGUUUGAGCCAAAUUUGUCACUUGACUUAAAAUUAGUGCUUUUUUACGAGACAAAAAAUAGUUUGGUUUAGAUUUGUUCAUUAACCUAAAGUUUGUGCUUAUUUUUGGAAUUAGCCUCAGUUUUUUUGCUGCAUUUGUCAAAGGCUCAAGAAAAAAAAAAUGGGUCAGUUAAGUCGAUUCAUUUGAAAAGGUUAGAAUUCAAUAUAUUUUUUUUAAUUACUCAAGCACAAAGAAUGAGAAGCCCCAAAAAUGUACAAAAAUAUCUUUAUUAGUCUAAAAACAACGGUUCUGGUGUUUUUCUUUUCUAUUUUAGAAAUAUAAGUCAUAUUUAUAAUAAAAUUAAUAAUCUCUUUUUAGUGAUAAUUUUCGUACUUGUGAUUCUUAUAUUGUAGCAUUCAAUUUCCUUCAAGUCAUUUUUCCCUUGCUUUCGUAAGGAUGGAAAUUCAAGAAAUUAAUUGGUGUUUAGUUGAGGCCUUAAUCAAGGUUAGGUUAUAGACAAGAAAAUCGAACAUGCACUCUAUUUUAGCUAAAUUUCCAUAUUGGUUAUGUCCAUAUUUUUAACCCACCAAUCAAAGAAUUGGUAAGGAUGGAAAUAAAUAAACUCUGACUUAAUAUAAACUCGCAUACAUUAAGGAAGCCAUUGCUCUCAAUUAACAAAGAAAUCCAAUGAGAUGUAAAUACUGAAUCAUUCCAAAGCAUGAGAAGAAAAUGUAACCUUAUCACUGCUGCGUCAAAUAAAUUUGUCCUUGUCUCUUUCACUUUUCCCAACCUAUAACAAUUGAAACGAGUAAUCUAAUAUCCGCCAACCUUUGUAUCACUUAUAUUAUGUUUGUGUAUAUGGGGCAGCGCACUAUCAUUUAGAUAUAGGAAAUGUGUGAUUACCUCUAUUUAAAAUCAAUUAAAUGGGAUUCCUAUCCAUGUCAAUAGUAUGCGAAUCAACCACCAAAAGAAGCAAAUCCAGACCAUGUAACUAGAGACAAUUUUUUUUUUUUUAAGAACUUCUGCGGAAUGCAAAAUACACUUGUACUUUACAAGAAAAAAAAUUAUGCUUACUUAACAUCACCAUCUUGCAAUUAUCAGACAUCAAUAAUAUUAUAAUUUUAUGUUAACACAGUCAUUUUCAAAAUGAUAUAGAAUGCAAAAUACACUCAUUCUUUAGAAUAAAAAGAAAAAAAAAAACAUGCUUACUAAAUCCCAGGAGUGACAUAGCUGAUUGGGAUGCUAGGGGAUUUCCAACUCAGGAAUAGGAGGUUGCUUGUUAGGAUCCCACAAACUGCUUUAGGUUUGAGCCAACUACACAGGCCAAAGCCCUGAGCUUAACCAAUUCAUAAAGCCUACAGGAUAUUUCAUAGAAUUAUGGGUAGAGAGGUCUCCAUACACAUGCCCCCAUAUCAUAAGAAAAAUUAUAUGCUUACAUUAAGAGUAUCCCAAAUUUAUAUGGUACUCUUUUUAUAUGCACUUAUUUCUCAUAAACUAGGUAGUUAUUAUGCAAAAGGUCCUGAUCAUAUUAAUUACAAAUAGAACUUCCCUCAUGACUUUAAUUAGUCAUCACAUUUUUUUGUUAAAAAAUUAGUCAUAAUAGUUAUAAAUAUAUGGACUUAGGCCUAAUUUGAAAUUCUAAUCUACCAAUUAUGUUGGUAAAAAGGAAACAACUUCAAUUUUUUUUUUCUUUAAAACAGAGUUCUUUUUCCCUUAAACGGAUGAUUCAAGGGGCUUUCUGUCAACAAAUAUGUGAAAAUUUUGAAUACUACAUAAAGACUCAAGAAUUAUUUUCAUCCAAUGGGCAAUAUCAAUUAGAUAUGAGGGUCUAAAUUAGCCCAAGUCUAUUUUGUCAAUACGUAGAAAACUUACAAAAAAUUGCAAUUCAACUUAUAAGUGAAUAUCAAUAAUAUAAUAAUUUUACAUUAAAAUUGUCAGUUCUUAAAAAUGAUAGAUAAUACAAAAUAUACUUAAUCUUUACAAUAAAAAUUUAUGCCUACUUAACCCCAGGAUUGGUUCAGCUAGUUGGGAUGUUAUGGGAUUUUCAGCUCAAGAACUGAAGAUCCAUUAGAACCCCACAAAUUGCGAGCAAACUACUCUAAGUUACAGCCUCUUACAUAGGUCAAAAGCCUAAGCUUAACUGAUUCAAGGAUUAUAUGAUAUUUUCUAGGCUUCUAAAUAGAUAGGUUUCUAUGCCUAUGCACUUAGAUUAUUAAAAGAAAAUGCUUACUUUGGGAGGAUGCUAAUUUUAUAUGAGAAAUUUUUCAUGUGCACUUAUUCCUCAUAAACUAGGUAGUUUUUAUGAGAAAAGGUCGUUAUCAACUUAAUUACAAAGAAUAUGUCCCUCAUCAUUUUAAAUAGUUAUAACCUUUUUUUUUGUUAGACAUUAGUCAUGGUUGGCAAAACAAUUAAACAACUUCAAUUUUUUUUCCUAUGAACUGAGGUUUUUUAUUUUAUUAUUAUUAUAAAUUUAAGACAUGAUUUGAGGGGCUUUCUGUCAGCAAAUUUAUGAAAAUUUGAAAGAUAACACAUGAAAUUAAGACUCAUUUUCAACUAAUGUUCAACAUCAAUUAGAUAUUAUGGUCUAAGUCAGCCCGAUUCUAAUAUGUCAUUAAGUAGAACAUUAUCAAAAAUUGAUCUUCAAUAUAUAAAUCAAUAACGCAGCCGGUGAAUCCAUUUUUGUGUUUAGCCGUGGAGGAAAGGAUGGUCCCUAAUGAAUGUCCAUGAGCGGCGGAGGAAAGGAUGGAGACAUAGACGUUGGUGUGGUGGCCGGUCAAUUAAUUAAAAAAUCAUCCAUUUCUCUUUAUAUAAAUGUUUUUAAAAAUAUAUAUAUAGUUCAGCCAUUUCUUUAUAUUGCUCGAUUGUUUCAUUCAUAGUUCAUUGCCUGACUGACAAGAGGACUAUGCAAGAGUCUUGGCAGUUGGGUAUUCCUUCCCAGUAAAAAUUAAUUCAUAAAAUGACAAAUAAAUUCUUAUUAAUUAUUGAUAUGACGAGUGAUGACUCUUGCAGCCUCUCAUAUCUCUUUAAAAAUAAUCUUAUAAAUGAACCAAAUGUCUGAGGAUUAGCCGACAUCCAAUAUCAUCAAUCAUGUUAGAAACUAUCAUCGAUAAAUUGUAUUAUACAUUUGGCUGAACAAAAUCGUGUUCUAUAAUUAAAAUACUAUUUUUGUACAAUCUUUGUUGGAACAUUUAUGGUACAGAAAAUUAUAUAAAAACUGCCGAUUAGUAAGGAUUUACACAUUGAAUGAUAUAUUUCCCUCUACUUUUUUGUAUGGUUGCCAGUAUAGAAAGUAAAGUUUAUUUAAGUAUCUCAGUUGGCUAAAUUCUCAUCAUGAAAGCACAAGGUCAUCAUAAUGUUUCGUGUGUUACUUGACUUUCACUGUUAUAAUGACUAAAAUGCUUAGUAGCCUGCAACAACUAAUUUCAUAUAUGUAUAUGUGUAGGCUAACCUCUUCCUGUGGAAGGUUAUAAAAGUGAAAAAAAAUUAGGGUUAUAAAUUAUCAAAAGCCACAUGACUUUAUUUGUCAAUAAUUGUAUAUUUUUGAAUAUUUUAGAACCGAUUUGUGAUAAUUGCAAUAUUUAAAAAAAACAUUAAAUGUAAAAUACUCCAAACAGACCCAAGCAUUUGAAAGAAAGGGGGGAAACUUCAAUAGGAACAAGAGAGACGCAAAAUAAUGUUAGCGGUGACUCGGGAUCGUUCCCCGUAUUAAUUUUAUCUUGGAAAGAGUAGCACUACUCAAGAAAAUAAAUUGAUUUAAAAUGUUAAUAAAGAAUGGCAAAAGUUUAAUUUACUUAGAAGUUUUGAUCUACAAUUCCAAUUCAAGUUACGUCUAAGGUAACAAUUACAAUUGACAUUAUAAUCUAACAAUUUGCUUAAUUACAAUGUUACUUCUGCAUUUUAAAUAUGAUUUCAUUGAUUCGCACAAGGAGCGACUUUAGGACUAGUACUUGAUCAAUGUUUGUCCAUUAAUGGUGGAGCUAAAGGAUGCGGAAACUUACCCAUUGGUGAUGAUGAUUGGUCAAGUUAAGAAACAAGAAAACCAUUUCUAUUACCAUAUUCAACUUUUAAUCAAAAAGUAUUGGGGGACACUGAAAGGAGAUAUCACCCAUGAUAGUAGUAAUAAUUUAUUUGCUUAUUUUGCUAGACUCACUAUGGGUUGAAAAUGAGUCUGGUGCAGACCCACGUAGGCUCACGUGGAAUUGGUGAUGCUUUUUUCAUAUCAUUUCAACUGGCUUAAAAAUUUCAAGUGUCGCACCAAAAUUUUGAUAAUGGGUUUCAGAUACAUACUGCCACCUCUAGAUGAAACUACAUGUCUUGUGGGUUUUGAUCCGUCCUCGUCCUUUUGUUCUCUUUAUUAAUUACAUUUGCUAUAGCGAAGAGUGACAAACUACAUAAAGUACCUAUUAUACAUGAGUGAUGAUUCAAAUCCAAUCAUUUUAAUAAUUGCGUUUUGAUCGAAGGUGUUAUAUACGAUUCGGAUUCUAAUCGUCACUCCAUGUUGAUUCACAAAAGUGCCCACAUACAAAUAUUGAUGAAAAUAUUAAUAUUAUGAACAAGAUUAAGGGAUAAUAUUACGAAAAAUCUUAAACUGAUACACAUGCGACAAAUUUACUUCGCAUUAAUUUUUUUAUCACAAAAAACCCCCAAACUGAUUCAAUUAUGAUAAAUUUAUUACAAACUAAUUUUUUAACCAUGAAAAAUCUCUAACUAGUACACAUGUGAUAAAUUUACUCAAAACUAAUUUUUUUACCGUCAAAAACCAUAAAUUGAUACAUUUAUGACAAAUAUACCCCCGUUAAAUUAUAUUAAUACUAGAAAAAAUUACAAAACCGAUACACUGUGACAAAUAGAGAGUAAAAUCUCAAAUUGGUAUACUUGCCAACUACCACAUGUCAUCUAAAUCAACAAUCUAACUUGAAAAUUUAACGAAAACUAACAGAUAGUAAAUUUCUCAUAGAUUUAUCAAUUCAGAGUUUUUUAUAGUUAAAAGAUUAUUUUUUUGUAAAUUUAUUAUAAGUGUACAGAUUUAAGAUUUUUUGUAGUCAAAAAAUUAAUUUGUGAUUAAUUUAUCAUGCGUACCAUAUUAAAGAUGAUAUUUGUCAAGUGCAUGGGUUGGUGUGGCCUCUCCUUAUCAAGUGGGCGCCAUUUAUUUUGCUAUUUGUUGCUCUUUCUUAAUUACAUUUUAUUAUAUCAAUCUGACACGGUAUAAAGUAUUCAUAUAAUUCUAGUCAAAUUAUUUUGUUACUUUAGAAGUUGGUAAUCAUUUGUAUUUUAUUUUUUUAAUCCACUUCAAUGAGCGUGCAAUUCAAAUAAUGCAAAGAAAUCAAUUUACUCCACAAUUGUGACGCAACGAACAACUGCCGUAAUUAAGGUACAUAUUGGUGUUUAGUUAUGGCCUCAACUAAGAUUAGAUUUUUCUAAGAUCUAAAGUCUGUUGUCCACGUGACUAGUGGAUCAUGCAUGAGUCUUGUGAGUUGGGUUUUCCUUCCCAAUGAAAAACUACUUCACAAAAUGAUAUAUGAACUCAUAUUUUUUAUUGAUAUAAAAAGGAAUGACUCUUGCAGCUUCUCAUAUAUUUUCAAAAAUCAAUUUUAUAAAAUGAACCGUGUAUCAUCAAUCAUUUUAGAAUUAUCAUCCACAGAUUGUAUCGUUGUUUAACUCAUAAAUGGAUUCCAACCUGAGUAGUGAACUAUCUUCAACCAAAAGAUAUAUCUUUUAUUUUUAUGAAAGGGGUUCAGUGGCGAUUUUAAACAUGAGUUGCAAUUGGCAUGAUAAUGAAGAUGAACAACGAAUUUAAAGGUAAAAGGUGAUAGUAAAUGUUGGAAAUUAACAUGACAUUAAAACUGAUAAAAGUACAUCAAAAAAUAUUCGGAAUCAUGAUGAUCCUUGCAAUAAUUAUAUGUUGCCAUUUUAUACUCCGCCAAUCAUAACCGCUUAUUAAGACUUAACCAUACUAGAUGCAGUUGUAACUGCAUUCCCGAGAUUUUAGGACUCCUAUCUACACAUCGAUCCUAUCCACAAGUUGUUACGACUCUUUAAGUGUCACUAGGUUAACCAUUGCUUGGUGCCCUUAUAUUUAGUCGACAUUUUCACUAUCUCCUUUCUUCUUAGUUGAUAAUUGUCGACCAGUCAUCGUGGUACAUCGACAAUGGUAUCUCUCAAUCGUCAAUAAUUACUGUCCAUUGUCAUUGAUAUGUGCUUCUAUUGUCCUUAACUUACCAAAAACCAUAUAAGUUGUCACAAACUAUAUACCCACUUAUAUCAACAUUAUGUCAUUCACAAAAACUUUAUCAUUUUUCAGUGUAAACAAUUAUACAUCUAGCUAAAGAAAAUCUAAUUAAGCGACUAUCAUGUGAUUUAAAUACAAUCUUUAUUCUAACAAUUAUGGUACAACAAAUUACAUAAAAUGUACAACCAAUCAUAUGGGAUUUACACAUUGAAUGAUAUGCUCCUGGCUACUUAUUUGUGUGGUUGCCAAUUUAGAAAGUUAACUUUACAUGAGUAUAUCCGUUGGCUAAAUUCUCAACAUGAAAGCACAAGGUCAUGGACUCAAUUUUGUAUUGCAUGCUACUCAACUUUCACUACUAUAAUGACUAAAAUGCUUAGUAUCCUGCAACAACUAAGUUCAUUUACAUAUUUACAUAAGCCAAACUCUCGUCAUGGAAGGUUGUAGACCUAUCAUGCAUUGCAUGUUGUGAUGCUACUUGACUUAUGCACCAUAUUUAUAGUGUCAUUAAUAAUUAUGUAUUUAGUCAUAUUUACUUAUGAAAAUACAUACCUGCGUAAUAUAACCCUCUUUAUAAUUUUCAUUCUAUAGAAAUUUUGUAACAAGGGAUAGUUUUUUCUCCUAUUGAUUUGCUAUCAGUUGUUUCUUUUACUUUUUAAAAUUUAUUGCAAAGCAUGUACUGUAAUUUCGUUUUUAUGAUGAUAGAUAAUUUUUUGAAUUCUCUAAUAUCAUAUAUUUGUCAAAUAUAGACAAUCAUGGACUAAAAGAUGUUUCUACAUUAAGCAUCUUAUUUAUCACAUACAUGAUAAAUAUUUAUAUUGUCGAUUUGUUAUAUAUAUUGACUAUCACAUCACGUAAUUUUUCUAAAAGUUUGUCAAUGAUAUACCUGAAGAAGGGGUGCCCAACGUCGAACGAGCGAUCAAAAAAGAUUCCGAAGCAUCUUCAUAGCACGACCCAGCAAUCAUGUUCUUUGGGGGUCCUCAGGCUAUAAAGCCGAUUUCCUUCCUUUUGGUCCGUCUGUAAAAGGCAACCAUACAUUUAUUUAAUUAUAAAAUUCGAAAGUUACUGUACACUUAGUUAUAUCUUAUUUUUGAAAUAUCUAAAGUCACGUAGUGAAUCCUAUAUAUAUAAAGUGGGUAUCCAUGCAUUAUUGAACUCCUUCGAGAGCUUGUCAAAAUUUGUAAAUCAAAAUAUUAACAGGGAUAUGUUAAAGUGGUCUUCAAAACCAAUUUGUUAAAGUGCAAAAUAGAACUGAUAUUCAAAUAAACAACAUAUGUUUAGGAAUUUGGGAUUUGUUAAAGUGACCAUUGAUAUCAAAUUGUUGAAUAAAGUUUACACGUGAUUGUGCUGGCUCAACUCUCAAGAGAGUUUUACCAUAUAUAUAUAUAGAGAUAUAUAUAUACAUAUAUAUAGAUGCUUUUCUAGUCAAAUCAAUUUAUUAAAACGACUCAAUUUGUCUACCAUUUAAAUACAAUGAGGAAAAACACAUUAAUUUAUCCAGGUCAAUCACAUGUUUUGAACAUUACCAGUCUCACAUAUGACUGAAAUAAUUUGUUAGUGAGAUUUGGUAAGUCCAAGCAAAAAGGAUUUUACCAUCCUUUAGGAAAGAGAUAUUAUCCGGUAGAGAGUAUUACUGUACUGCAUAUUAGUCGGGAAAAAGUUGUUUUCCGGGACAUUUUUCCUGACAUUCAAAGCUUACCGAAGGCUAGCUAAAAAAAAAAAAAAAAGCUUACCGAAUUACCAUCGGACAAUCCUCUAAAAAAAAAACCUUUAGGAGGACUUAUUCUGAGAAAGAAUAUAGAUGCCGUUUUCAUGUAUUUUUCUGAAGUACUCUGGAAGUUCCGAGGGACCACUUGUGCUUUUCUGCCUUGGCCAUAUGGUCCGCAUUAAAAAUUGAGUUGAUGGCAUACUGUAAAGUCACGUGGGUGCGGCCAGUCCUUGUCCAUUCAUUUUCUUAAAUCAUUACCUUUUAUUAUAUCAGUGCUGACACACUGUUUAAGUCGACUCAUUUGUUUACUGCUACUUGGACAGCUGAUGAUCAUCUCUUUCUUCCUCGAUUCAUCGCUAUUCGACGCUCCCCUUCCUUCGUCCUUCUUUCGCGCUCGAAUCUCUUCGCCUUGUUUGUCUCUCGCUUUGUUUCACUCUUUCUUCUCUUCAGCACAAUCAUUCUUCCUAUUCCUCCUCUUCUUCAGUAUCUUCUCCUUCUUUUCAUCAUUCUCUCUCUGUGUCUCUCUUUCUUUCUUGGGAAAAAAAAAUCAAAGAAAAAAUGUCGGUCGAUUCUGUCGUUUCUAUUGCGUAUGAUGUCUUCAAGAGCUAUGUAGUUGAUCCCGUCAAGCGUCGAUUCAGAUACGUGAUCUCCUCCAAGAAUUUCGCCGACGAUCUUCGGGUGGAAGUCCGGAACCUGGAGAACGAGGCUCAGAGGGUCCACAUUUUGGCAGAAGUGGCCCGAAACAACCUUCGGAAUUUCUAUGGUUACUUCCCAGAGUGGCAGCAAAGUACUGACAAGGCCUUGGAGGAGGCGGGAGACCUGUUGGGCGACAUGGGUGAGGCGAGCAAGACUUGCUGCCACGGGACUCUUCCCGACGCCAAAUGUCGCUAUCAGUUCAGCAGGAAGGCCGAGGACAAGAUCAAGGUCAUUAAGCAACUCGCUCAAAAAGGCAGCGGAUUCAAGGAAUUGAACGACAUCUCCUUCACUGAUCCUGCUCCGGGAAAUGUCACUGCUACGAAUCCAGCCAGGAGAGAAGGCGAAGAAUUCGUCCAGCCGACCCCUGCAACGGCCUCCGCUUCUUCUGCCUCGACGUCAAAUGAGCUUAGUAAGGAUGGCGUCUUCGAAUCCAGAACUGCGAUCAUAAGGGACGUAAUGGGCGCUCUUGCCGAUAACAGCAAUAGUGUGGUCGGGGUUCACGGGAUGGGUGGGGUCGGCAAGUCCACCCUUUUGGACGACGUGGUAAGCAGAAUAAGAGAAGAGAAGCGGUUCGAUCUGGUCGCCAAGGCCGACGUGUCACAAAAUCCUGACAUCAAGAGAAUUCAAAGUGUGAUUGCCCAUGCGUUGGGCCUGGACAUGAAAGAUUAUGAGUAUGAGAGCAUGCGAGCGGAUCGUCUGCGCGAGAGGUUGGGAAAUGAGGAAAAGAAGGUCCUCAUAAUACUGGACAACCUAUGGAAAGGGCUUGACUUGAAAUCUGUUGGAAUUCCUUGCGGGCAUGACAACAAAGUCAUGGGAUGCAAGUUGUUAUUGACGUCGAGAGACCGAAAUGUUUUGCAAAGGGAAAUGGGCUGCGACAAGGACUUCUUUCUUGAUAGGCUGGAGGAGAAAGAGGCAAAUAUAUUGUUUGAGAGGAUGGUGGGAGAUAAAGUUCAUAAUGAUGAGUUCAGACCCAUGGUGAAUGAAGCACUCCGCAAAUGUGCAGGUUUGCCUUUGUUAAUUGUCACAAUGGCGAAACAUUUGAAAUACGGUCGUUUGCCUGAAUGGAGGAAUGCUCUAAAUCAAAUUGAGCGGUGUUCAAACAAAGGGUUAAGUGCAGCGAUCAAUACGAUGUUGCAAUUAAGUUAUGAUCAUUUAGAAAGCGAGGAAGCGAAAAAUUUGUUACAACUCUGUGUUGCUGUUGACGUCUCUAAUCCCUCUGUUGAAGACUUGGUGAGGUAUGGCUAUGGUUUAGGGAUAUUUCAAAGAGAUAGUAGCAUAAAAGAAGCUAGAGAUGAAGUGAGUACACUCAUCCACACUCUUCAAGCCUCCUCCCUUCUGUUGGACAAUAGAGAUGACAAUGCUUUCAAGAUACAUGACUUGGUUCGUGACUUUGUUGCUCAGUUCAUUUUAAAAGAUCGGCCUCUUCUCGUGUUGGAAAAUGAAGAAAUGUUGGCAACACAAUUGUGGAGGGAGAGGCUCGAAAGUUGUAUGGCGAUAUGCUUUCCCUAUAUUGACAUGAAGGGCCUUCCCAAAGAAUUAGAUUGCCCCGAAUUGCACAUCUUUUUGCUUUUCGCCCGUAGUGGAUUUCUUGAGGUUCAAGAUUCAUAUUUCAACUCUAUGAGGAAACUUACAGUCCUAGAUCUUUCCGGAAUACAUCUCACUCAUUCACCAACCCCAUUGCAAUUCUUGGAGAACUUACAUACUCUAUGUCUUAGUAGUUGUUCACUAGAGGAUGUGGCCAUUCUCGGCAAGCUGAAAGGCCUUCAAAUUCUCAGCUUUGUGUACUCGAGAGUUGAACGAUUGCCAAAAGAAAUUGGGCAACUAGUAGAGCUGAGGUUGUUGGACUUGAACUAUUGUUCACAUCUUCAGAUAAUUGAACCGGGUGUGCUUGGAAGAUUGAUCAAAUUGGAGGAGUUGUAUAUGGAGAAUAGUUUUGAUCAAUGGAAUCCUGUGGAGCAAACUCAACCAACUAAUGCGAGUUUGAUUGAGUUGAAUCACCUGAAGAAUCUUUGCAUUCUACAUGUCUCCAUUCCCAAUCCAAGUGUGCUCCCUGAGGACCUAGAUGUCAAGAAAUUAACCAAGUACAAAAUCCGAAUAGGUUAUGCAACACGUUGGAGCAAGGACCUAGGAUCGAGGAUUUUGGACCUCAAGUUGGAUCCAACAAGUGAUGUUCUUCGAAAAGGAUGCAUACAAAGUCUCCUAAGCAAAACAGACAAUCUGUUUUUGGCCAAGUUGAACGGAAGCAAGCAAAGUAUUUGCGGAUUAUCUCAAGAAGGCUUUCCAGAAUUAAAGCAUCUGCUGGUCAUGUAUGGUUCCUCUAUCCAAUACAUCCUCCAGUGGCGUUCUGUUAGUACUUUUGAGAUGUUGGAGUCAUUAUUUCUCAUAGAGCUCAACAACUUGACAAAGAUAUGCUACAGCCAUAUUUCCUCCUCCAAGUCCUUCGGUAAAUUAAAAGUAAUUCAAGUCAAACGUUGUGACAAGAUGGAAGUUUUGUUUCCUCUUUCAUUACUGAGAGGACUUCCACAAUUAGAAGAGAUUGAAGUUGUCUAUUGCAAGUUAAUGCAUGGGAUUGUAGAUGUUGAUGAUUGUGGCAAGGUGGAGUUGCAAAAUUUGCGUAUAAUGAAAUUGCACCACUUACCAAAUAUCAAGAAUUGUUUCACCGGCGGAUCAACUCUUUCGAGCAAUACAUCAGACGACCAAGUUGGAACUCAAAUUGCAUUCUUCAAUGGGCAACGGGUAAUUUUCUAUCAAAAAAAUAUAAUUUUUAUUACUUUUUCCUACCUUGCUAAUUAGAUGCACAACAUAUCAUGUUGCUUAUUCAUUUUGUUAUUUUUAGUUUACUUCUUUCCUAAUAACCUUAUCCGUUCAUUCCUUCUUUGCAAUUAGAUAAAUCAGUCUUCAGUUUCCCUUCAUUGUGUAGAAAUCCAACUAAUUGUAUGAUAUCCAUGUAAAUUUAGUUUGUGGUAGGUUCUGAGUUAUUUUCAAUUUAAAUGCUACUAGUAUAUCUAUGUUAAUAGGGUUUAUUAAAGAAAAACUAAAGAGAAUUUCGGCACUAAAGUAAUUCCAUAAGUAAUUUUAAAUCUUUUGAUAUGGAUUUGAUUGAAUUUACUUAUCAAACUUUGUUAUUAUUCACAAAAUGGGAAGGAGGACUAGGUUUUUUCUUCUUCUUCUUCUUCUUUUAUAAAUAAAAGCAACUAGGCUAAUGUAAUUGAUGCAUGUCUUCUAUGUAUUGUGUUUAAAUAAGAAGUUAGUCAUUGUAUAGAUCCCAUAAUUAUAAGAGUACAUAGUUUUGUGCAUGUUCAUGCAUGUACAUUGUAUACAUAGAUACCUUAAUACGUACUUUUGGCAUCACAAAAACAAAUUCACAAUUUGUAUUUAAUAUCCUAUUAAAUUGGUUAUUGAUAGUGAUUUGCUAACAUUAAAGAGAAGUUAGUAAAGCAAGGAUGAUCAAUUGCUCAACUAAGAAAAGCACAUGGCUAUUUUACACGGGGAAAAUAUUGCUACGAGUGGGACCUUUUAAUUGACUAGAUAAGAUAGCCCUUUAAUAGUGGCCCAAUUAUCACUGAAGUUGAUCAUUGGCCAUGAGACUCACAAAAUAGAUUAGUUUCCCUGUCAGCAAAAAGCGGUGGAAAUUUAAGUCGUGGGUCCCACACGCUAGUGUGUGACUUCUCUUCUUCCCCUGCUUUGAGCUUCCAUGGAGAGAACGCUUUCAAAGAUAAUGGAACUACAUCAGAAAUUUUUUACAAAAAGCCUUUAUGGCUUUGCUUCUUUUUCUUUUUUACAUCAUAAUCUUGUACAGUAGAUCCUCUUAGUAUAAUCUUUACACCAAGCUUAAAGAAGAUGACAAAUCAUUCAAGCUCAACAAGGGUGAGAAAUUACAAAGUUGAUAAAGUAGUUUUGCACAAAAACAAUUAAUUGCAUUCAAUUGAAAUUGAAGGCGAUUAUUUGUAGUCUAUUCAAUUCUAGACUAGUAGGUGGAAAUAUAGUUAACAGUUAAACUAGCUUUAGUGAUAAUAUUUUAUAGGAGAUCCUUUUCCUAUAAUAUCUACACCAAGUUUAUAGAAGAUGACAAAUCAUGCAAUUUUAAAAAUGGAAGCAAUUACAGGUGAAAAUCUUUUGUUAUUUGUUUUUCAAAGAAAAUGAUGUUAGGCCACUGUAGAUAUAUUUUAUGGUCCUAUUUGCACUUAUACGGAUAAUAAUUUACUAACAUGAAAGAGAAUUAGUAAAUUAAGGAUAAACAAUGCCCUCUAUUAAGGAAAGCUCACGGCUAUAUUAUAUGGGUGAAAACUACCGCAAUUAGGGGGUUUUAUUUGAUUAGAUAAGAUAGCUCCCUUAUAGGAGCGCGGGCCCAAGGCUGGUGCCAUACGCAGUUUCCCUUGUAAGAAAGAGCGAUGGAGAUAUAAGUGGCGGGUCCCACAAGGCUGUGAUGUGAAAGUGUGACCUUUCAUCAACCCUUGCUUUUAAUAGAAACUAGAUCGCGAAAUUUUGCUUUGUAGAUUUGCCUCUUUUUUUUUUUUGGCGGUAUUCUUUGGGGCUUUUAACUUUGUGUGAUUCUAAUUCUUCAAAAAAGAGUUACUGAUGCUUUAGUACUUCUUUUUAUUUUUACUUUUGUGUAAAAUCUAGAUAUGCAAAGAUUCAUGGGUUUAUAAUGAAAUACUUCUUAAAAUUGUAAUAAGUCUCCUCCGACAUUAUAAAGUGGUGGUAGCAUACAAAGUAGUAGUUAAGGUUUGUCAAGAAUAACAAUAGACUAAUGAACGAGACACAAAAGUUAAACUUGUUGUAUAGGUGGGAGUGAGGGGUGAUGGCGAGAUACAUGGGAGUUUGAGAGUAACUUGGCAGAUGAAAGCUUUCUUAGAGUUGUAGCAAUGAACUUUCGGAAAAAAACUAGUUACUCUUUGCAGAAAAAAAAAGGAAAAGAAGAGAAUAAAUAAAGCUUUCCAUUGUCAUGGCGACCAUGGGUCUCUUCACCUUUCAGACAUGUUGAUUAACAAAAUUACAACAACAAGGAUAAUUAAUUAGGAUGGGCCACAUAUGCAUCCGACUUGAAAGGAAUACUCGAGGUAAUUUACAAAUGAUAGGGAAAAAGACGUUCAAAUAAUCUCAAGUUAUUUACUCUUUUUCAAGGAUAGUUGGGAUCUCAACCCAUGGUGAUGACUAAUGACUACUAAGUUGUUGUGAUAACCCAAUUGCUGACGUGUCUAAUUUCAUGUUGUUUGCGGGUAAAUUAGUCCUUUUUUGCCUAAUAAAUUUGGAGAAAUCAAAGACAUUUGAAAAGGAAAAGACAAUAAAAUGCCGUCUUGUUGGAUUUUAUCAAGGAAGCAGGCAAUAACAGUGUGUGAGAAGUCCUCUUGACCUAAAUGAGAAUGAGGUCACAUUCAGCUAUCAACUCCCUGUGUCCGUAGGUCACACUCAUAUACCAUUGCAAUCCCAAGGUUUAAUUUCUGAGUUGGGCUCAUAACUAGAUGAUAUAUAAUAGGCCCAAUCUUACCUGAGACCAAUGGGACAUAAGCGGCAUAUAUCUCCAUCUAAUUGUCAAAUAAUUGAUAUAAUUUGACAAUUAGAAAAAUAUUUCAUGCAGAAAUUGAUUGUUAUUAGUAACCGGAAUGAGAGCGAAUUCUUGAUGAUUGCAAUUCCUGAUAUUGCUAGUAAAAUACAAACAAAAUCCAAUUGUAAUAGUAUCCCUUUUUAUGUCGUAAAGAAAAGGUCAAGUUCAUUAGUUGUCUUUUAAGGUCAUAAAUUAGCUUUUGUUUAUCAUAGAUUUUCAUACGUGUGAAAAUUAUCCUAAAGGCUGUACAUUAUCUUGCUUAUAAAUUUCUUUGGCAACCAUUUAUAAUACCUGCUAUAUACGUAAAUUUCCUAACUGUCUUUUGUAAUUGUAAAUGCUAUGUUGAUGGAUUUGUCUGUUACAUUUCAAUCCCGUCCUUGUGGUCCUUGACAAUGGAAGGACUUCCCAAUCCAAAAGAAAUAUGUUAUCAAACUAAUUGUAUAAAAUCCUUGCAAAUUUAGUUUGUGAUAGGUUCUGAAUUAUCUCAACAUUGCAAGUAUAUUUAUAUUAAUAGGGUUUCAUCAAAACAAAAUGAAGGGAAUUAUUGGUAUUAAAGUAAUUCCAUAAGUAAAGUAAUUUAUAAUCUUUUGAAAUAUGUUCCCUUGAAUUUAGUUAUAAAAAUUUGUUAAUAUCCACAAAAUGUUUAAUAUAGGUGACUCUUAAAAAGCAAUACGAAGAAUGAGAAGGAGGACUGAAUUUUCAAAUAAAAGCAGCUACGCUAAUCUAAUUGAUGCAUGCCUUUUGUGUAUCAUGUUUAAAUAAAGCCCUUAAUCAUUGCAUAGACCCCAUAAUUGUAAGAGUACAGAAUUUUGUGCAUAGUUUUUUUUUUUUUUAUAGUAAAAGUAGGCCUUGGCAAUUGUAUGAUUUUCAUUAUGUCACAACAAACUCGUCAUUUCAAAUUCAGAAUUCUUGUUCUUGGAAUUCCUAAGUGGUAUUCAGAAUUCUUGUUAUUGGAAUUCCUAAGUGAUGUUCACCAUUUCUUUACUCCACACAGCAGAAUUUGAAAUCCCCUGUGGUAAAAGAAAUUAAUGUCUUGCUAAAUAAUUCAUGAGUAAGAUUCACCUUAAAGAUCAUCUUAUUUGGUGAUCACCCUUAGAUACUCCUUUGGUGAGAUUGGGACACAUGAAUAAGGCCGCGUCUGUAACAAUAUCAAAUAAUGGAACUUGAUACCUUAAUGGAAAAUUCAAUAUCGUGAAGUCCAGAAAAUUUUAUAGACUUACUUCAUAAGUUUCAACGGGUCUUGUAUUUCAAUUCAGCUACUUAGUAUGUGUUAGUUUAAUUUCCGAAGCUUCAAGUGUUUGACAUUAUAAUCUUCAAGAAAUUUGUGCCAAAAUUUUAGUUUUUAUUUUUUAUUUUUUUAUUGUUGAGUCCAUCCAACUUAGAUUGUAAAUUUUAUGUGGCUUCAAUAUUUUAUCAAGAAAUGGUUGCCUAGUCUCGUAGGACCAUAUGUGGUUAUUGCGGUUUCUCUUCAUGGCGAUCUACAAAUCUAAAUACCAAGUCCUUUCAACUAAGUGUCUUUGCAUUUGGCCUUUAUAGUAUUAUAGAUAUAAUUGAAUGCACUUUUGGCAUCAUGAACACAAAUUGACAUAUUUAUGUUUGAUAUCCUGUUAAAUUGGUUAUUAAUAAUGAUUUGCUAACAUUAAACUAAGGACAAAAAAUUGCCUGGUUAAGAAAAACGCACGACGAUUUUGUCCAGCAAAUGUUGAGGCGGCUACUUAGUUGACCAGAAAAGAUUGCACCCUCAUAGUGGCGAUUAGCGCUAAAGUUGAUGGCGGGGCCCAAGACUCCUGUGAUGUAUUAAUUUCCCCUCGGUCAGUAAAGGGUGCUGGACAUAUUUGUUGCGGGUCCCGCAAGGCAGUGUGUGUGAGUCUUUACGUAUUUGCUUUUUCUUAAUCGUCGUAGUCUUUAGAGCUUUUGACUUUAGCCAUAGUUCUUGGUGGACACUGGCAAUGGAUAUGAGUUGAACUCUUUUUGGGCCGAAAUUUGAGGUUGAAAGUGUUGUUGGGUUUUGCUUUAUUGUACAUAGAGAGAUGAGCAAUGCUCCACUCGCUUGUCCAUUUCCGAAGGAGAGAUUCUUCGAACGAAAUAAAACUAGCUCACUAAUCAAACUAAGCUCAGCAUUGCAAGUUAUUUAGCGAAGGAAAGAGUGGAAUUAGAAACGGCAUUAAUAUAGAGAUUUUUUUACUCCGUUUUUCUUAUUCUCUUUUUUCUUUUCCUUUGGAGCUACCUUAAUGAUCCCCCUCUCCCCUUGGCACUCGUAUGUAUUUACAUUUUGAAAGUUCAUGAAUUCAAGAUUUAAAUUAAUUGUCAAUUUCGUGAGCAAAUUCUGCAGGUUGCCUUUCAAAGAUUGGAGACAUUAGAAAUCAAUGACUUGGAUAACAUCAAAUUUAUAUUUUUCCCAUCCAUGGUUGAAUCUCUCACACAACUAAAAAAGCUGACCAUAUCGAAUUGCGAGAAGAUGGAGGCGAUCAUUAUGAAGGAAGAAGGGUUGGGAAUGGAAACAUCAGAAAUUUUGACAUUCCCGAUGUUAACCAAUUUAUGCUUAGAACGAUUGAAAAGUUUGACAUGCUUCUCUUGUGGAAAGGGUAGGAUUGAUUUUUUUGUUUUUAUCGCUAAUAAUUGUCUUGUAGAUAUGUUCUUCCCUACAAUACAAAUGGUGAUAUUCUUUUCAUCCAAUGAAAUACCAAUGACAGGUGCACGAGAGAGUCAAAAUCAAGAUCGCGUCAGAUCACGCGCCACUACUCUCUUCAAUCAAGAGGUACAUGAUUGACACUAUGUUAAAAUAUUAAAUAUAUCGGACAUAAGCAUAGCCAAGAUAAAAAUUAAGUUACUUAUAAUGUAUAUUUUGGUUAAAAUAUUUUAACAGAAAACGAGUGUCGUACAAGCUUAAGUGUUCACGGUUAUUGACAUGUAUGAGUUACAACUUCUUACUUUUAAUUUCUCUACAAAUAGUUCCCAUAAAGAUGGUUGAACAUCUCUUAUCGUACCUGCACGAAGCAUGAACAGGUAACACAAUUGCCAAAUAGGAUCUCUAAAUGCGUCUGAUGUUCCCAAAAAACUUAAAAACUCUCAUCAGCCUCACAUGUAAAUUUCCUAACCGUCCUUCAUAAUUGUAAAUGCUCUGUCAAUGGGUUUGUCCGUUAGAACAAAAUCCCAUCCUUGUCCUUGAUAAUGGAAGGACUUCCCAAUCCAAAAGAAAUAUGUCGUCAAGCUAACUGUAUAAAAUCCUUGCAAAUUUAAUUUGUGAUAGGUUCUGAGUUACCUCAAUUUAUUUAGUUUGUGAUAGGUUUUGAGUUAUCUCAAUUUACGCGUCGCAAGUAUAUCUAUAUUUAUGGGGUUUCAUCAAGACAAAUUGAAGGGAAUGUUGGCAUUGAAGUAAUUCCAUAAGUAAUUUAUAAUCUUUUGAAAUGUGUUCCAUUAAAUUUAGUAAUCAAAAUUUGUUAUUAUCCACAAAACGUAUAAUAUGGGUGACUCUCUUAGAAACCAAUACGAAGAAUGGGAAGUAGGACUAAAUUUUCAAAUAAAAGCACCUAUGCCAAUCUAAUUGAUGCAUGCCUUUCGUGUACCAUGUUUAAAUAAGCACUUAAUCAUUGCAUAUGCCCAAUAAUUGUAAGAGUAUAGAAUUUUAUAAGUUUUUUAGCAAAGGGAAGACUGGAAUUAUGGAGAUUUUUUUACUCCGUUUUUUUUAAUUAUUAUUUUCUUUGUUCUUUUCCUUUUGGGCUACUCAAUAAUCCCCCUCUCCCCUUGGCACUCACCUGUAUUUACAUCUUGAAAGUUCAUGAAUUUGAGAUUUAAAUUAACUACCGAUUCCGUGAGUGAAUUCUGCAGGUUGCCUUUCAAAGAUUGGAGACAUUAGAAAUUAGUGACUUGGAUAACAUUGGGUUUAUAUUUUUCCCAUCCAUGAUUGAAUCCCUCACACAACUAAAAAAGCUGACUGUAUCGAAUUGCAAGAAGAUGGAGGCGAUCAUUAUGGAGGAAGAAGGGUUGGGAAUGGAAACAUCAGAAUUUUUGGCAUUCCAGAUGCUAAUUGAUUUACGCUUAAAACAAUUGAACAGCUUGACAUGCUUCUCUCGUGGAAAGUGUAAGAUUGAUUUUUCAUUUUUAUUGCUAAAAAUUGUCUUGUAGAUAUAUUCAUCCCUAUAGUACAAAUGGUGGUAAUGACAGGUGUACGAGAAAGUCAAAGUCAGGAUUGCAUUAGAUCACAUGCCACAACACUAUUCAAUCAAGAGGUAUGUAAUUAACAUUAAUCAAAUUAUUAAACAUACCGGAGACAAGCAUAGCCAAGAUAAAAACUAAGUAAGUCAUUUAUUAUAUAUAUUUUGGUUAAAAAAUUUAACGGAUGAUGAGUGGUGUACAAGCAUAAUUGUUCAGAGUUGCCGAUAUGUAUGAUUUGCAAUUUCUCGCUAUUAAUUUCUCUAGAAAUAAUUUCCAUAAAGAUGGUUGAACAUCUCUUAUGGUAUAUACACAAAGCAUGAAUGAGUAAUACAAUUGCCAAAUAGGAUCUCUAAAAGCUUUCCGAUAUUACCAGUAACUUAAAACUCUCAACAACCUCACUUGUAUGGCUUAGACAUUGCAUGCAUGUACAUUGAAAGCAGUUGACAAAACAAUCGAGAGGAAAGUGAGCUAUAAGUUUCAAGAGGCUGGAGAUGAAGGGCCUUUUAAGACACUCACUUGACUUCAUUUGCACUAACAAGAUCUUCUUCUUUUUUCCUAGUUAAAGGAAGCUUUACUCUCUCUUAAUUGCAUUAGCAAAGGGAAUCGAAGCCUUCUCCGUCGCCAAACUGAGCGAGACCUCUCGGGUCUUGGGCUUCAGAUAUCACCCCUCUUAUUUUUUCCAUGAAUGGCAAGACCAUUAUUAUGGAACUUUUAUUAAAGAAAUAAAAUACAUUUUGCAAAAGCAACCAUUUUUGUUGAGUCAUUUGAAUUGUCGAGCGCAUAGCGAAAAAUGUUCCUGUGGAGAAUGAAAUAGAGCAAUGUACAGACCAGUUGACUUUGACUAAACUAAAAGCAAUAUAGGCCGUUCACCUAAAAUGUUGUCUAUGCAGCCAAAAUAGGCUGUACAAAUGGGCCCUCCCAUGGGAUUAAUACGUUGACCUUCUUAGAUAUUUUUAAUAUAUUAUAAUGAGAUAUUUAACACCAUUUUCUAUAAUUUGACUCCAGUUUAUGUAUAUGAUCUAUCGUUUGCAUAUAACUAUUAGACCUUCUAGCAUUAAUAGAAAAUCAAUUUUAAAGGAAAAUUCAAUUGAUUUAAGUAUAUAGCAGUUUGAAGUGUGGAAUGAUGUGAGUAGGAUUUGUUCAUUUGACCCAAGCGAUUCCUAUUUUAAUUGCUUUCUCGUAGCCUAACUAUGUAAUUGCUUUAUAGUGAUCUAAUAUUGAUUAGUGGCAUUCGGUAUUAGAUAAAAUCAUAUCUCUUACUGUAGUGCACCAUUUGAUGGUUGAUCUAUCACCUUUUUAAUUUCAAUCUCUCCAUCAUUUUCUUUCUAAUGCCUAAUGUUCUUCCUCAAGCGAUCCCUCAACUGCAUUCUCUAACGGUGAUUACCCAAUUGACUUGCUUUUUGUUUCUUUAACUAAAUUCUUCCUCAUACUUAAUUAAUUUACGAAAUGGUGCAGAUUCAUUGAAGAAUUUCAUCCAUAUUGUAACUAAUGUCAUUAGGUUAUUGUUAUAUGAGCGUAUUCAAAUUACCAUUUUGCCCAUAUUUAACACAUUCUGGUUAGAAUCCCUACAUAGAACUUUUUGUUUUGUCUCCGGUACAUUUCAAUAGCCUUCCCAUUCUAGAGUCAUCGACAUUGGUAUGGAGAUUUUUUUUUUUUUUUACUAUUUUCAUUUUAUUCUUUUUCUCUUUUGUGCAACUUAAGAUAGAAUUACCAAUUCCGUAAAUUUGUAAUUUACAUCUUGGCACUCUUCUUAUUUACAAUUUGAAAGUUCAUGAAUUUGUAAUUUAACUAAAUCACCAAUGCUGUGAAUACUGCAGGUUGUGUUUCCUAACUUGGAGAAAUUAUUUAUCGAGGGCAUGGAUAAAAUCGAGACAAUAUGGGAUGAUCAAAUUCCUACGAAUUCUUUCUCUAAGCUAAGAUUGCUUUCAAUGAAUGAAUGCAAAAAGCUUGUGCACGUUGUACCUUCUUUCAUUUUAGGACAGCUCUUGAGCCUGGAAAUUUUGAAGGCAAAAGCAUGUGCUUCCCUUGAAGUUAUUUUUAAACUCCAGCCACUAACUCCUCUAGAUGGAAAUAGUGUUGCUCGUUCUCCAUUAAAAGAGCUGAAGUUAAAUGAAUUAUCAAAGCUAAACUGUGUAUGGGAUAAGGAACUCUACCAUCAUAUUAAAUUCCAGUGCCUACGUUUGGUUACCCUUCAGGGAUGCACUAGGCUCACCUCUUUGUUUUCAGCCUCAAUAGCCAGAGAUCUAAUCCAACUUGGGAA
rnacentral:lncRNA from 1 species